AGAUGCCAAGAUCUAUCAGUGAACUUCUGCAUCCUGGUUUGUGUUGAGCUCUUUAGAAUCUUAGAUAUCUCUUCUACCUGCCAUUUUACUUAAAUAUGUUCGACCACAUAUUUAUCAGUUAACUACUGUCAUUACAUGAGUGACACAUAUUCACAAAUCGGCUGAUCACUUAUUUUCCAUUAUGACGUUGAUAUAUAAUUUGCAGACUCCACAAAUGAAGAAAAGAGCACAAAUGACGUUGGCAAACCUGAAACUUUCCCAUUGGGCAAUCAAAAUUACUCCAGUCAAAAAAAUUAUGGAACAGGCAAUAAACGUUACUGCAGUCAAAAAAGGUAUGGAAGAGGCAAGAAACGUUACUGCGAUCAAAAAAAGUAUGGAAGAGGUGCUUCUCCAUCUGACAAUCAACUACUCCAUUAUAAAGACUUAGCUAUUUUCUUCUUGGAGAAGGACAUGCGCCCUGGCACAACAAUGAAGUUCCAAUUCUCUAGAAAUUCAAACACGGCUACUUUCUUGCCACGAGAAAGCGCUCAAUCGAUCCCCUUCUCCUCUAACAAACUACCAGAAAUUUUCAACCAUUUUUCAGUGAAGCCAACAUCUGAGGAAGCCAAAACAAUUAAGCAAACAAUCGAAGAGUGUGAAGCUCCCGGCCUUAAGGGAGAGGAAAUAUAUUGCGCCACAUCUUUAGAAUCAAUGGUUGAUUUUAGCACUUCGAAGCUUGGAACAAGAAACGUUGAAGCAAUCUCGACGGAGGUAUUGGAAAAAGGAGCCACCAUGUCCAUGCACAACUAUACAACAAUGCCGGGACUGAAGAAGUUGGCCAGUGACAAAGUCGUUGUGUGUCAUAAGCAGAACUAUCCCUAUGCUGUGUUUUUCUGCCAUGCAAUAAAACAUACAGCAGCUUAUGUUCUCUUCCUGAAAGGCGAUGAUGGGGAGAAGGUUAAAGCAGUAACCAUCUGUCAUCUAGACACAUCAGAAUGGAACCCAGAGCAUAUGUCCUUCCAAAUCGUCAACGUUAAGCCCGGAACCAUUCCCAUCUGCCAUUUCAUUUCCACUGAUGCUAUUGCCUGGGUUCCGAACCACAAAUCUGCAUGAUCAUCACUUAGCACUGUACGUAUAAUUAUCUCCUUACUUAUUUCUGCCUCUUCAUCAUGUGGUGUAAGAUAUAUGAUGAGAUGAAGUUUUUGGGAUUAGUGGUUGGGUUGCCUGAAAAACACAGAUUACAGAAACUGCUUGAAAUUAACCCGAUCAUGUUUUCUCUUGUAACUAUAUAGACUUCAACUUGUACUCAUAAUAAAGCAUGCUAUAUUUAUGAAGAGAUAUUAAUCUAUAUAUAUUUUUUAUAUAUGCUUUGGCUUUGUGGUUCUACCCAAUGUUUGAGUGUUGAAUUGUUACGUUGGAAUAGGCUGCUAAUGCAUGUAGUUAGAGAAGCCUUCAUUUAUAUCAAAGUCCUCAAACUAUCAAGAACUAAUGUAUCCAGAAACAUAUACCAAGACGCAAAACAACAUAUUUUCCAUGCUCUGUCUGUAACACCAAAGCAAACUUCCUUGAUCACAAAAGGAUCAAAUUCCAGUACUAAUCUAAUCCAUCAUGUAAAGCAUACAAGUGCCUCCCUAAAUACUAUACUCUUUUUGUUAUUUCCUACUAUACUAUUUAAGAUUUAAAAUUCAGGUCAACCCAUAGAUUUCUCGCCUUUUUCUUCUUCAUCUCGUCGGGCUUGUCUUCUUCUUGAGGAUUGUAUAGGCCAAGGAAAUGCUUUGAGUUAGUUUUUGCGCUUUUGCGUUUUGGGCCUUGGAAGUUGGGACCCAAACCAACUUCACAAAAAGAAAACGCUCAGACUAUAAUGAGUGGAAAGUUAUAAGGGGUAAGUUAUAAGGAGUUCACUUUAUAGCCAUCAGAUCAAUCUAAGGGCUGGGGAGAAUUGAGAUAAAGUUUUAAAAUCGGGUAGGUGAGGAACCCAAACCCGAAUUGAAUAUCCAGCACGUCCGAAAAAGAAGAAGAAGAGGCAAGCACGUCCGAAAAAGAAGAAGAAGAGGCAAGGUCGAAGUUUGAACAGAAAAAACUCAUCUCUUUAAAACCCAUAGCUCUGAGAAACGGUUGAAGGCAACGGUUAACGACGGUUGUUGAAGCCACUCCGUUCUCCAGACCCUGAAAAAGUAUUUAUUUUGAGUAGAAGGGGCAAAUGUGUGGAUUCCGAAACAGUGAAGGGGCGAAGCAGUGGAAGGGGAAGGAGAGAAGCCGUAUUCGUUGGAAGUGGUAGGUUCCAUUUGUGGAGCAAAGCAACACAAAGACCCCGCACAGACACCUUGCGAUUGUUCAAUAACCAGCAUUUGGUGAGUAAUUUAUGGAAUUUGAGUUUAGGGUUAGAGUAAUGGUUUUCCCCAAUUUGUACCAUCAAUUUUGUUGGAUUUGGCAUCUCUUCUUUGUGCUUCAGUUGCAUGUUAAUUUUUGCUUGGGUAUAUGUUAAAAAAAGAAUGAAAAUCAAGUCAAUAACAAGUGAAUAACAUGUCAAUAAUGAUAUGAAUAAGAUAAUGGUGUUGAAUUGGAGGAGGCCCUCAAAACAUUCCACAUUUGAAGCAGUGCAUAGUGCAGAUUAUCUCUCUGGCGCUAGAAUAUAUAUAUAUUUUGAAAUAAAUAUGAUUUCCUUUGUUACUAAAUUUGCCUGAGAAACAUGAGAACAGAUAAUAAUAAACUCAUGAAUAGAAGUGCAAAGCAUUUGAUGAGUAAUUUAUGGAAUUUGAGUUUAGGCCCAGGAAAUUCCUUGACCCCAAAAAAAAAAAAAAAGUUGAUUUAAAAUUCAGGUCAACCCAUAGAUUUCUCGCCUUUUUCUUCUUCAUCUCGUCGGGCUUGUCUUCUUCUUGAGGAUUGUAUAGGCCCAGGAAAUGCUUUGAGUUAAUUUUUGCAUUUUUGCGUUUUGGGCCUUGGAAGUUGGGACCCAACCCAACUUCACAAAAAGAAAACAGAUUUGCCAAAAAUCAAAUUUCAAGUCUCUCCUCCGAUCGAAAUUUGGAUUUGAUGAACUAAAGUGGUUUUACUUUCUCCAUCAGUGUUUGAUAACUUAAUUUGUUAUUUACUUUUUUUUUAAAAAACUUUGGCUUAUAUAUAUUAGUUUUCUUUUUUCCUUCAUAUUCACCACCUUUAUGUUGCAUAAGUAUUUCAGUCUUAAUGGGUUUCCAUCUACCACUCAUCUUUGCUCUUCUCAGUGUAAGCCUUUUUUUUUUUUUAAAGCACAAGAUUAGAGGGGAGGGGGAUUUCUCAAUGUAAGCUUUGCAGUUUCAUAAUUAAUAUUUCCAAUAUCUCACUGUUAGUAAAAUACAGAAAAAGUACUAAUAACAUAUGCACAUGUUACUAAUUUAUUGAGAUAAAACACCAUUUUGCCCCUAGAAUAUUUUAUUAGGUUUAAAGUUGACUUUUUGACCAGGAAGGAAUUUGGGUAUUUAGACUAUAUCGUUGCGUAGAGCAUGGCGAGAUGAGUCCGUAGACACAUGAUUGGCUCGAAUCAGAGUUAUAAUGAGAGAGAUACGAUCAAAAUACCCUCAGUGGUAUAACCGUAAUUUUGGCUUAAAGGGUUUGAUAAAAUAUAAUUUUUCUUUCUUUCUUUCUCUCUCUCUCUCUCUCUCUCUCUCUCUCCUCUCUCUCACGACGGCAGUGAUAGCCGGCCACUUUUUGGCCAGCCAUGCUCUCGUCCGGCCACUAAAGUUGACGGGGCCGGUACCAAAAUGACCGGGCCACCAUCCUUUUCCAACCCCAGCCAGGCCCCACUGCCAGCAGUCGUGAUUUUGCUGAAAAAUGGAGAAGAAGCGGCCGAUUUCGUUCGAACUUCUCCGACUUCGUUCUCUCUCCUCCGGCCACCGAUUUCGAUGAAUGAGGUAUGGUUUCUCACCUACUUUUUAUGCUCUAGCUGCCUGUUGGGUAGGAUUCGAUCAAUUCCUUGCGUAGGUAGCUUGAUUUUCGAAUUGGAUUUCGGCCGGUUUUGGGAUCUCGAUUCCGGCCACUUCCGGUCAGUUUUUGGGGUACAUCCCAAAACAAAAGUGGUUCUAAAUAGGGUGUUAUACCUAGGGUAGGAACCUUGAACCGUAAUUUUGAGAAUUUUCGGUGAUGCCUAAUCGCUUUGGACACCUACGCUAUGCCUGCGUGUGGGCACUAUAGAAAAAGGGCAUUGUGUCCCGAUGCAAUCCCCUUGUUGUCUUGAGCGCGUAGGUGUGCUCGGAUUUCAAUUUGGAUACCGUUUGAAUCUCGAACGAAUAUCGCAUAUUGUGCGUUAUUCGGGGUCGAUAGGUUUGAACUGUUGGAUAGUCUUAGAUUUAUAAUAUGUUAAUCUAGACAUUCUUAGGAUCGAAUGGGAUUAAACGGAUCGUAAAACGGAGUCCCGGAUACUCCAAAAAUGCCAACCCUAGGGCUAGGUUCCUAGUAACCGUCCGAUCGUGCGAUCGUGAGCGAUCCGACCGUUUGAUCCGAACCAAACUUGCAGGACGUGUAUCCUAAACCUUGUAGAACCCAUAGGAACUUUCGGAUUAGAAUUUGGAGGUCGUGGGCCCCUUGGGCCGUUUGACUAAGUUUGGGUAGUUUGACCCUUGGCUGAUCGUGAGUCUUCAGAGGUCUUGAGCGUUGUUGAGCUAUGUUGACUAGGUUUAGACUUUUAGAGUGUUUAUUAUUAUCAUAGGAAACUAUUAGAUAUUAUUUUAAUAAUUGAAAUUAUCAAAUUUAUGUUUAUGUGCAUGAUUGUUGGUCUAAAAAUAACAUUGUUUUCUUGAUAAAAUUACGUUGCAGUCUACUAUAGACUGGUAUCACUAAAUGGAGAUUACCUCUAUUAUUAGUUUAGAUAAUUAAGAGUAUGUCAGUUUGAAGUGCUAUAUGCACUACCCUAAGUACCACCCUGUGAUUGUUAGGUCCCAUGUGGUGUAGAUUAUACAGCGUCAGGACAGACCCCAUACGUGGCUUUGGAUGUUCUGGCGCAUGGGGGAGAUUAUGUAAUGGUUAGGUCAUACGUGGCGUAGGUUAUUCAGCGUGUUGACAGACCCUAUACGUGGCGUUGGAUGUUCCAGUAUGGAAAGAUUUUGUGAUUGUUAGGUCCCACGUGGCGUAGAUUAUCCGGCGUGAGGACAAACCCCAUUCGUGGCUUUGGAUGUUCCUGCGUAUGGGGGAGAUUAUGUGAUGGUUAGGUCACACGUGGCGUAGGUUAUUCGGCGUGUUGGCUAACCCCAUAAGUGCCGUUGGAUGUAACGACCGGUCCUAAAUAAAUUAGUGAAUAUUAAUUUAUUCAGAGAAAAUACCAUUUUGCCCAUAGAGUAUUUUAUUAGGUUCAAAGUUGACUUUUUGAUCAGAAAGGAAUUUGAGAAUUUCGAUUAUACCGUUGCAUAGAGCACGGCGAGAUGAGUCCGUAGACACGUGGUAUGCUCGAAUCGAAGUUGUAACGAGAGAGAUACGAUCAAAAUACCCUCAGUGGCAUAACCGUAAUUUUGGCAAAAAGGGUCGAUAAAAUCAUAUAUAUAUAUUUUCUCUCUCUCUCUCUCUCUCUCUCUCUCUCUCUCUGCGAUAUUGUCCCUCUCUCUCUUUGAUUCACUGCCAUCUGCCCACGGCAGGACUUGAGACUGGUCACGUUUGAACCGGCUCGAUGUCCCGAUCACGUCGCACCCAAAAUGCAAAUGGAAACCUUGAAUUCCAGCCACGGCUUCGACUGGUUUGAACUGGGUUUUUCCCGGCGUUGCGCCACCGCCUCCGCCGCCCAAUUCCGGUGAAACAGGUAUAAUUCCUCACCUAUUUUUCGAGAUCCAGCUGUUGUUGUGUAGGAAUUAGACGAUUUUCAUGUUUAGGAACUCGAUUUAGAAUUUAGGUUUUGGUCGAAUUUUCAAAGUGAAAUUUCGGCCACUUCCGCUGGUUUUUCGGGGUAUGUCUAAGAACAAAAGUGGUUCCAAAUAGGGUGUUAUACCUAGGGUAGGAACCUUGAGCUGUGAUUUUGAGAAUUUCCGGCGAUGCGUAUUCGCUUUGGACACCCACGCGCCGACAGCGCGUGGGCACUGUAGAAAAGGGGCAUUGUGUCUCAAUGCGAUCUGCUUGUUGUCUUGAGCUCGUAGGUAUGCUCGAAUUUCAAUUUGGAUACUGUUUGAGUCUCGAACGGAUAUCGCAUAGUGUACGUUAUCCGGGUUUGAUAGGUUUGAACCAUUGGAUAGUUUUGAAUUUGAUAUAUGUUAAUCUAGGCAUUUCUAGGAUCAUGUAGGAAUUCAGGGAUCAUGAAUCAGAGCCCCGGAUGUUCCGAUUUAAUAACUUAAAGUUUAUGUUUAUAAUAACUAUCAGAUCGUGCGAUCGUGAGCGAUCCGACUGUCUGAUCUGGACCAAACUUGCAGCACGUAUAUCCUAAACCUUGUGGAACAUAAAAAAAUUUCGGAUUAGAAUUUGGAGGUCGUGGGCCCCGUGGGCCCAUUUAACCAAUUAUGGGUAGUUUGAUCCUUGGUUGACCGUGAGUCUUCCGAGAUAGUUUUACCUUCCUAGGAGGAUUAUAAUGACCCUAGUGAUAGGUCUUGACCGUUGUUCAGCUAUGUUGACUAGGUUGAGACUUCUAGAGUGUUUAUUAUAUUAUUGUAGGAAACUCUUAGAUAUUAUUUUAAUAAUUGAAAUUAUGAAAUUUAUGUUUAUGUGCAUGAUCGUUGGUCUAAAAAUAAUAUUAUUUUCCUGAUAAAAUUACGUUGCAGUCUACUAUAGACUAGUAUCACUAAAGUGGGAAUACCUCUAUUAUUAGUUGAGAUAAUUGGGAGUAUGUCAGUUUGAAAUGUUAUACCCUAAGUACUACUCUAUGAUUGUCAGGUCACCCGUGGCGUAGGAUUUUCCGGUGAGAUGACAGACCCCAUACGUGGCGUUGGAAUUUCCAACGUAUGGAGAGAUUAUAUGAUUGUUAGGUUUCACGUGGCGUAGGAUUUUUCAGCGGGAUGACAAACCCCAUACGUGGCAUUGGAAGUUUCAGCGUAUGGGGAGAUGAUAUGAUUGUUAAGUCACACGUGGCGUAGGUUAUUUGGAGUGCUGACAGACCCCAUACGUGGCGUUGAAAUUUCUGGCGUAUGGAGAGAUGAUAUGAUUGUUAGGUCACUUUGGAUGUUCUAGCGUAUUGGGAGAUUAUGUGAUUACCAGUGAGAUGAAUAAAGGAUUGUUAUGUUAUAUUGGGAAAAACAUGUUUGUAGAAAGAAUUACGUGUGGCUUGAUCCCUCAGUAAGGGUACGUAGGCAGCCUAGGGUAGUGCCUUGGUGCAGUCGCUGACUAAACAUUAUAAUGUUGUUUUUAGGUUUGAUUAUAUGGUAUUAUGGGGCAAGGCCCCUAGGACUAUUGGUGAUAAUUCAUAGAUGGUAGUGGAUGCAUGCUAGAAAUUUGUAGGAAGUUAUUUCAUGUGGAUUGCAGUGGUACUCGUAAAAUUUAUUUGAGUUCCUUAAUUGCAUUGUUAAUAUAUUAAUUUACUUAAGAGUACUGCUAGUAGUUCUGCCUUGAUUUAUUUGAAGGCUGGAGGCCUUGUCUGGAAACUGUGUGCAAUUAGAUUGUGUGUGCUGGCAGUUGACUUUUUAAAUUGUGAAUUUUGUGCAGGUUGAAAUUUGGGAAAUGUUCAAUUUACAGGGGAGACUCUGCUGAAAUUUCGGUAGAAAGUCUUGUGCCCUUAUUCCUUUUUGGGGAAAAGGAUAUAGUUUUAGAAGUGGCGAUGUCGGGAAUUUCCACAGGAUUCGUCUCGGGUUUCGGGAAAUUCGGGGCGGGUCUGAAAAAGUUGUUUCAGUUUUGGCAAGUAUCGGAAAAGACCAAAAUUUUCCGACUUUAUUAUUACUAGAAACAAGGUCGAAGUAUUUACCAAUCAUGUGGCCUUCCAAGUGCUCUAGGUUAAGCCAGGAACCGUUCCUAUCUGCCGUUUCCUUCCCAACUAUGAUCAUGUUGUCUGGGUUCCAACCCACAAAUCUACAUUGGGCUACGUAUUUGAAUUUGUACUAAAGCGUGAUCUAUAGUAUGCAUAUAUUGGAUAAGUUUGAGAUCAGUGGCUUGGGUGUCCGCUGAGCUUGAACAAGUUUGGGUGUGCUGAGUGUUUCCAUGGGUGUGUUGAUGAUCAUGGUUAUUAGAUUUGUGAUAGUUUGGGCUCAAUUUCAACAGAACUCAUCUCAAGCCUAGAUAGUUGAUUCUUAAGUUUAUCAGGAAAAAAAAUUAAAAAUUAAAAAAUCUAAAGUUAAGCCCAAGGCGCCGAACUUGGACUUCUCACCAAACUGUGCAUAAAUUGAAAUAUUUAAUAGAAGCCCAAGAUUUUUGAAGCACAUAAUAUCUACAAAAAUCUACAAAGUGUAAUACUUUACAAACUUCUUAUGUGUACCAAUUUCUGCUCAAAUUAAUUUCUCUGUGGUGCUGAGAUUCAUCAUAAUUUUAGUAGAAAUUGGAAGUUUUCAUCAUUUUUGCUUUAAGUCUCUCCUCCACUCACUAAUAAAGAUUACUCAAGUGAGUUUACAAAACAUUUUUUUUCUACUCUCUCCUGAAGACUACACAUCUUCUCAAAAGAUUAGAUCACUUCACAUCUUGUAUAUGUGAAAACUAAUGCAAAAAGUUGAAACUUUAUCAUAAAACCUCGACAAAAAUUAGCUCUACUUAGAACAUUAAAUUUGGAUUCGUUGAUUUAAAUGGCAAUUUGACACUUCAUAGAAAUUUUUACAUACAUGUGUUAGUGUUUGAUCACUUCACUUAUUACUUACUAUAUUUAUUCCAUGAUUCUCCCUCAAGUUAUGUAAAUAUUAUUAUCAAACAUUUCAAUUCAUUUGUGAUAUUUCUUGUCCAUCUUUCAAUGUACCCUGAAAUCCAUUAGCCACAUAUGAUGACCAAAAUCCACACUCUGUUGUUUGCAAACGUUCAAUAUACGACUUGCAUCCACAGUCCUGACCCAAAUGAAAUGCGGAAACUGUCAAGCUAACUGUAGGGAGGACUAUAUUUGAUUUUACCUUAAAGACUGAUCCGAAACCACCUUCUCCAAGUUUAUUGUUGUUUGAAUAGUUUUUGGUUGCACAAACAACAGCGGCCAAGUCAAAUAAUGGCAAUUCCAGAUCUUCCUUUUGGCCGGGCUUCAGUUCUCCUGUGAAGUACGUAGUGAAGUAAAUAAUGUAGCAUGGAACCUUAGCUUAGAAACCAGAGAGGCAACAGCAAAAAUUUUCUAUAGAACUGAACCUACCUAUCUUAGAAAAUGAAGGGGCAGAAGAGUAGAAAAUCAAAUAGCUUACCAUAUUUUUGUUGCUGGUUCUUCCUCACAUAUAAUAGCAGGGUAAGGCCCAGGGUCAGCAGUCCAGUAGACAACACAGUACUGGUUACUAUGAUCUUUGUAUUGUGUCCUUGAUCUAGGAAUGAAGUAUUUGAAAGCAGAAGAUUGAGGAGUCAGAAAUUCAUAAAGAAAAAAUCUCUACUUUUUAUCAUCCAACGAACAAUUAAUGCUAGUUUCUGAGACAGUUCUAAAGAAAUAUUUUUCUAACAAUGUCAAAAGUUUUCUGGCUCUAUCUUGUUUCUAAUCAUGUCACUGUUGGAAGAUUUCUUUCUUCUUUUUUCCUUGGUGGCUUUUAUUUUUCUUUCAAACUUUGUUUUAAACAGCAAGAUGAUUCCAUACCUAGUUCUGACGAAGCCAUUCUUAUGUAAAUAUCUUGCCCAUUUAUAUUGGAAUAUCUUAUAUCAACCAGAUCGCUGAACCACAGCAAGGACCCCCUUCCUCCAUCUCGGAUAUCCAAAUUUGAAAAAGCGGCGCAGGAGCAGUUGUUCAUGCACAUCAUCUCACAUUCCUUGAGGUUCAUAAUUGUGUUAUACUAGGAUUGUUCUGUACUUUAUUUCACCCCAGUGUACUUCUUAAAGAUGUCUCCACUGCAAUUCAGUUGGCUCUUUCUCACAGAUCUAUAUGACCAAUCCACCAAGUCCCAGUCUUGUUGAAAGUCGGUAUAAAUCCUUUCAAGCAGCUACGUACUGGGGACUUGUCAAUACAACAUGCACCAUUCGGACCACAUAUUCCAUAUUUGUCGCAGAUAUCAGUCGUUGCUCUUAGAUAAACAACCCAACCUUGGUUUCCAUCACUCCCGAUGUAGCUCAGCCCAAAUCCAUCUUGAGUUAACGCCAGCCUGAAAAGAGUUGAGCUGUUGAGAAGCUUAUAACCAUAAUAUACUUCAUCAUCAUUAUCCAACACAAAAUCAUAUGUUGGAUUUAAAUUAUGCAUCCCACUAAAUUGGAUUCCAUUCCAUGGUGCAGUCCGAUAUUUUAUAACAGAACCCUCCCUCAGAAUUAAUUCAUGGUACCCAUAAGGACCAAGUUGAUAUGGGUAAUGUCCUUGAGAAGGAUCCUGGGGGCUUUUCCAGGGUGUAAGAUGCCAAUUAAAACCUGUGAUUUUGUUCCUAACAAGCUUCAUACCUGGUAUUAAUGUAUCUCCUGGGUAAUCAAAACUCUGCCAUAAAAUAUUAUCAGAGUCAUUACGACCAUUGCCAUCUAUCACAACAAGAUUUCCGGAAUCCAAAAUCUGUGCCACUGGAUUCUAUGAAGAACUUGAUGUGUUGGAAGACCUGUAGUGUUCUUUGUUGAAUAUUUGGAUUGCAAAGGGAGCAAGAAAUGUACUGAGAGAGAAAGAGAGAGAGAGAGAGAGAGAGAGAGAGAGAGAGAGAGCAGUGAGCCUUAGAUUGUUCUAACAGUUUUCUUACUCUGCAUGAACAUAGCAGCAGAGCUUAUAUUCCUUCAUGACUGUUACAUGUUCUCUCUUACAUCAGUAGAUUCAAAUCUAACGGUUUGUAAUAGUAAGCCAAUGUGAGUAUGACACAUGGCAAUACACAGCUGUCCUAACAGCUGGGAAUUCAAAACAGACUCUAGCAUUGCACCUGGCAUAUAAGCACAAGGCACUCAGCUAACACAAAGAUUAAAAACAGAUUGAAUAUAAACUGACAUAGAACUUACUAACUAAUCUGAAAUUAGCUAGACAGUUUACAUUUUAACACUCCCUUCUAAAGUGCUAGCUGAUUUCACUCCAAGCAUUCUCCUCAAAUAGUCAAACCUGUCUUUGGGAAGAGCUUUGGUGAAGAUAUCAGCAAUCUGCUCUUCUCCUUUGCAGUAGAGCAGUUCAAUCACUUCUUCUUGUAUUGCAUCUCUAAUAAAAUGAAACUUCCUUUUAAUAUGCUUGCUCCGUUGAUGAAAAACAGGAUUUUUAGCCAUUGCUAUGGCUGAAGUGUUGUCACAAAACACAGUUGUUGCAGUGGUCUGUUCUUCCCCAAAAUCUUCAAGAACAAACCUGAGCCAAAUGGCUUGUGAUGUAGCUUCUGCUGCACUCACAUACUCUGCCUCUGCAGUAGAGAGAGCCACACUGUGUUGUUUGACUGAUGCCCAUGAAAAAGCACCACUUCCAAAUGAAAAUGCAUAUCCAGAAGUGCUUUUCAUAUCUUCCUCAGAUCCACUCCAGUCACUGUCACAGUAACCAACUAAGAGUGCAGAUUUUCCUGUCACAUACUCAAUUCCAUAGUCAAUUGUGCCUUGUAUGUACCUUAGAACCCUUUUAGCUGCCCCAUAGUGCAUCUUAGAAGGGUUAUGCAUGAAUCUUGCAAGCAGGCAGGCAGAGAACAUGAUAUCUGGCCUGGUUGCAGUAAGGUACAGCAGGCUGCCUACAAUUUUUCUGAACAAACUUUCAUCUGCAGCAUCACUUCCAUCCUCUCUUUUCAAUUUAUCAGUAGCCACUAAUGGAGUGCUUACUGACUUGCAGUCUUUGAGUCCAAACUUAUCCAAGAGAGUGAGAGCAUACUUCUUUUGAUGAAUGAAGAUGCUCCCUUCAGUUUGUGUUACUCCCAUACCAAGAAAAUGGUGGAGUAAACCCAAAUCAGACAUCUCAUACUUGCACAUCAUUUCAGCUUUGAAUUCUUUCAUCAUUUCAUCUCUACUUCCUGUGUACACUACGUCAUCUACAUAGAUUGACACUAUUAGUGUUCCCACCUUCCUUUGUUCUCACAUAGAGAGUGGCUUCACUUGGACUUCUGUGAAAACCACACUGAUUCGAGUAGGUGUCAAUUUCACUAUACCAGGCCCUUGGAGCCUGCUUCAACCCAUAGAGGGCUUUUCUUAACCUAUACACCUUAUCCUCAUCAUCUUUAACCACAAAACCAUCCGGUUGAUCAAUAUAAACUUCUUCUUCAAGGACACCAUUUAGGAAGGCUGACUUGACAUCCAAUUGCCAUAGUUUCCAGCCUUUCUGAGCAGCAAGAGCUAUGAGAGUUCUAAUGGUGUCUAACCUUGCUACAGGAGCAAAGGUUUCAUUGAAAUCAAUCCCUGGUUUUUGUGUGUAUCCCUUGGCAACAAGUCUUGCUUUAUGUUUUUGAAUGGAGCCAUCAAGAUUAAGCUUAAUUUUGAAUAUCCACUUCACUCCCACAAUUGGUUUACUACUUGGCCUGUCAACCAAUUCCCAACUGGAGUUUUUCUCUAUCAUAAGUAUCUCCUCAGUCAUAGCCUUCCCCCAAGCUUCAUCUUUGACUGCUUCUUCAAAAUUUUCAGGUUCAAUGAUGCUCAUCUUGCAUUGAGCAUACACUUCACUCAAACUCUUCCAUUUCUUUGGGGUGUUAUCAUAAGUUUCUAAUGGAGCAGAGUCUUGAGUAGCAUGCACAUCAUUACUUGUUUGUGUUUCCAUAGGAGACUGUACAAUCUGUUGCUGUAACAGAUUUGGUUAUGAAUCCAAAUCUGAUACAAUUGAACUUACUCCAUCACCCCAAGACAUAGGGAUUUGCAAUGCCUCAUUGGUUUCCCAAUUCCACAUUGCUUCUUCAUCAAAAAUAACACUCCUAGACAGCUCAAUCUUUUGAGUUCUCAAGUUGAGCACUCUAUACCCCUUUUCACAUACACCAUAUCUUACAAAUACUCCCUUCUCACCUGUGUCUUCCAGCUUGUGCCUUUUCUGUGUGGGGAUGUGAAUAUAGCAUAGAGAACCAAAUAUUCUCAAAUGCUUGACACCUGGUUUUCUUCCACCGAACUUUUCAAAUGGAGUGGAAUUGUCCAGUGCACUUGUAGGACAUCUGUUCUGCAAAUAUACAGCUGUAUUGACAGCUUCUGCCCAAAACUUCAAAGGGAUUUUCUUCUCAUACAUCAUGGCUCUUGCCAUUUCCAUCACAGUACGAUUCUUUCUCUCUGUAACUCCAUUCUGUUGUGGAGAGUAGCCUACUGNNNNNNNNNNNNNNNNNNNNNNNNNNNNNNNNNNNNNNNNNNNNNNNNNNNNNNNNNNNNNNNNNNNNNNNNNNNNNNNNNNNNNNNNNNNNNNNNNNNNNNNNNNNNNNNNNNNNNNNNNNNNNNNNNNNNNNNNNNNNNNNNNNNNNNNNNNNNNNNNNNNNNNNNNNNNNNNNNNNNNNNNNNNGGUGUGGUCAUCAAUGAAGGUGAGGAAAUAUCUGUUCCCUCCAAGAGUGAUGGUCUGCAUUGGACCACAAAUGUCUGAGUGAAUCAGUUCUAGAGGUUGAGUGGCUCUCCAAGCUCCUUCCUUAUCAAAAGAGCUUCUGUGAUUCUUGCUUUCAGCACAACCUGAGCAGACCUUCUCAUGUUCUUGUAAAUUAGGCAUUCCCUGAACCAUAUCUCUCUCUUGUAACAACUUCAAACUAAUAUAGUUUAGGUGCCCAAAUCUUCUGUGCCACAGCCAGGAUGUUUCUCCAACUGUUGCUCUGUUUGCCAUAGGAGGAUUAACAUAGUCAAGAUUUAAAGGAAAACAUUUGUUUCCCUUCAUUGGCACUCUUGCAAUGCAAUCUUCCAACUGCCUAUCUCCAUAGAUAUCAACUGCAUUAUCACCAAAUACAAGCCAAUGCCCAUGUUCUAUCAUUUGACCUACACUUAGCAAAUUUUCAUCUAAACUUGGUACAAUCAUGAUUUCUUUGAUAUAUCUAGUCACACCCUUCAUUUCUAUAGCCAAAGUCCCUUUGCCUAUUAACUGCACUAGAUCACCAGUCCCCAUUUUGACUUUACUCUUCAUACUUUUAUCAACAUUUACAAGUAAUGACUCAUGGGAAGUCAUGUGAUUGCUGCAUGCACUAUCAACAUACCACAUAUUCACAUUCUUUCCAAUUGUUGCAGCAUGACAUGCAUAGAACAUAAUGGCAGGUUCAGUUACCUGAUUUGCAAUGUUAGCAAGUUUCCCUGCCUUGUUUGCUUGGUCACAGUCCUUAACAAAAUGACCAAAUCGAUUGCAGCCAUGACACUUUGGUUUUCCUUUAAACCAACACUCACCAUAGUGUAACUUCUCACAAUGUUUGCAUUUUCCAGAUUUGUCUCCUUGACUUGGUUUUCCCCCUUGAUUGGCACUGUUUUGGGGUUUAGAAUCCCAUUUCUUAUCCUUGGACUUCCAAUUCUUCUUUGAUUUAUUAGAGCCAGAACUAGAACUUGAUUGAGAUCCUUUUGAGUUUAUGCUCAUGCUGCUGAAAGCUUUCUCAGUGGUGCUUUCUGCAUGUCUGUCAAGGCGCUGAGCAAAACCUCUUAAUGCUGCAAUUACCUCCUGCACUUCAAUGGUUUCAAUGUCUCUAGUUUGCUCAAUCACAUAGCAGACUGGAUCAAAUUCCUUGGUUAAGCUUAUUAGCAGUUUUUGAACUAUCCUCCCUUUGGUCAGAUCUUCCCCAUAUCCCUUCAUCUGAUUUACAAGCUCAAGUAACCGAGUGAUGUAUCCAGACAAGAUCUCAUCAUCCUUCAUCCUGGUGUACUCAAAAUCUCGACGCAGACCCUGCAACAUGAUGGAUCUGACUUGCUUAUCACCAUGAAACUCCUGAUGCAAGAUAUCCCAAACACCUUUUGAGGUUUCUUCAUUUGAGAUUCUGGGAAAGAUGUCAUCUGAAACAGCACCUUGGAUAAUACCAAGAGCCUUAGCAUCUUUCAUCAACAAGGACACCAUCUCUGAAUCUGAUGACCCUUCUUUAUCAGCUUUUGAAUCUGGAACUUGAAGGCCUUUCUCAACCAAAUUCCAGAUUCCAUGAGAUUUGAAAAUUGUUCUCAUUCGAAUCUUCCAAAACUCAUAGUUCUCCCCAUUGAAUAUUGGAGCUCUAAGAUCACUCCCUCCUGACCCAGCCAUCUGAGACCAGACUCAAUGAGUUGAGAGUAGGAAAUUUCCCGUUGGAUUUCCAGACUCAGCUCCCACAGCUUCAACGCCCUCUAUCCAGAUCCAACCUGCGCACCUGAUACCAUGUUGAAUAUUUGGAUUGCAAAGGGAGCAAGAAAUGUACUGAGAGAGAGAGAGAGAGAGAGAGAGAGAGAGAGAGAGCAGUGAGCCUUAGAUUGUUCUAACAGUUUUCUUACUCUGCAUGAACAUAGCAGCAGAGCUUAUAUUCCUUCAUGACUGUUACAUGUUCUCUCUUACAUCAGUAGAUUCAAAUCUAACGGUUUGUAAUAGUAAGCCAAUGUGAGUAUGACACAUGGCAAUACACAGCUGUCCUAACAGCUGGGAAUUCAAAACAGACUCUAGCAUUGCACCUGGCAUAUAAGCACAAGGCACUCAGCUAACACAAAGAUUAAAAACAGAUUGAAUAUAAACUGACAUAGAACUUACUAACUAAUCUGAAAUUAGCUAGACAGUUCACAUUUUAACAUUCUUAUGGUCGGCAGGGACAAGAAUUCCAGGGCUGCUCAACUUGAAUACACCUGAUGAACCAGUGAGGGGUGUGUUUCUUUUAGUCUGCACUAUAUAUGCAGGGUCUGACUCUAAUUAGAAGAUAAUUGUAUUAAUUUGGUAAAGCUUUGUCUGUAACUGUCUCGCACCUUAAAAAAAUUUCACAAUUAGCAGCAUUGGCAAUACUUGAUUAGAAAGCAGAAACCCUACAGUAUAUAGUUAAGUUGAGUAGCUGGGAAGACAAUUAGUAAGCUUUCAAUACUAAAGUUGAAUAUUGGGGAGACAAAUUACUAGAGCUUCAAGUUCAGAUAAAUAGGAUGAAUUUCUCUUAAGGGAUCCCCUUUCACUGUAGCUUGGAGUAGAAUUCAUUUUGACACAAUAUCAAUUAUCAAUGUAAACACGUUACUGAUGCACUAUUGACAAUAUCGAUGCACGUCAUAUCAUAUUUGUGGGAGUAAAUUUCCUCACGAGAAUAUUUGGUUCAAAAGAUUCCCCUUUUUUUUUUUUUUGCCGCCUCUUUCUCCUUGCAAAAUAGAACAAAUAAGAGGACCACACCCGGGGGGUGUUGGCCAAAGGCCCUCCGAUGCUAAAUUAGUUCAAGUAUUUGUAAGAAAAAUACUAGCUAACUAGGGUACAGAGGUGUAUUUAAGGUGUAAACCGGGCAGCCGAAGUCUUAUGUAAAAGAGAGAGAGAAAGGAGGUGGCUAGCGUUUGAGAGGAAUUUUCUGCAGAGUUUUUAGUAGAGAUUUCAGACGUACCUCAACCAUUGUGUGUGGCCAUCUUUUUAUAGUGGUCUUGGAGGCUAGGGUUUCAGAGGAAUAAUUCCGUAGAUGGAAAGGAAUUAUUCCUCCCCUAUUUGGAAUUGAUUUGAUUAAUUAGGGAUUUGAUUUAUUAGGGUAAAUCAAAUCCCUAAUUGUGGUAGGUAUCAAAUCAAAUCCUUUUUUAAUUAGGUAACUCCUCAUUUAAUUGGGAAUUGUGGUAGGAAUCAAAUCAAUUCUCAACCUAAUUAGGUAACGUUCAAUUUAAUUGGGUAAUUCCCAAUUAAAUUGAGUAACUCCCAAUUAGGUUGAUUAAUUCCCAAUUAGAUCAAAUAAUCCCCUAAUUGAAGGAAUUAUUUGACCUAGGGUCUGAUUUAAUUCGAUUCCCACAAAUGCCCCCCAGCUUCUGCAUGGUGCAUGGUGGCACGUAGGAGAUGUAAAUUAUCUGUUGGGCUGUCCAGCUGUAACUGGGCUUCCUUCGUGGACCUGGGCUCCCGAGUAGAGGAGGUGUUUGACUUGCCAAUUUUAUGAACACCCAAUUGGAAAGGGUUUGAGAUUCCUUGUAGGUCAAGGAAUUUUGCUCCUUAUAAAUGUAGGGCUCCUCCAAAUUAUUCUCGACAUCAGAAAUCUACUCCUCCAAAUUUGUUAGUGAGAGAGAGAAGACUUUGGAGAAUUUUUCAGCGUGCUUGAGACUUCAUCUUUGCAGCCCAUCCAAGGUAAUUUGAUAGGAAGAAUUUUAUUUUGAGUUGCUAUGACUUUUGGCAGCAAGCUGUGAGACUAAGGGCAUGUCUUGAGGUGCGCGCUAGGGCUUUAGGCAUGGCAAGAGACUCGGAAAGGCUAGCAGGUUCGUUUCCACCUACGCUGGGCUCAAGGAGAAGGCAACAGGGCUUCAGGCCUUGUGGAUGAAGUGGGCUUUCGCUGGGAGCAAGAGGCCUGGAGCUGAGGCAAGGAGACAAUGGGCCUGGUACGAGGUGUGGGCUGAGCAUGCCAGCUUUGGAGCAAGGGGGCCAGGACGACUGCUGGGCAGGAGGUGCGCUGGGCUGCAUGCGCGAGCUGCGCCGAGUGCUGGCUGGAGGAGCGAGCUGGGCUGCGCGCUAGGCCAUUCAUGCUGGGCUACUUCCGUUUUUUUUUUGUUUUUUUUUAAAUUUUAUUUGCUGUUGCUGCUUUUUUUUUUGUUUUUUUGUUUUUUUUUUGUUUGGUAUUCUAACUCGUAAUUUUUUUUUUCUUCUUACAGCUACUUGUUGAUCAACCAUGUCUUCCGGAGAUGGUAGCAAGGCUCCAAGCUCUUAGGUCCUUUUGUAUUUAUGGGGAGGCUCCAUAGUGCAUGGCAAGAAGUUUGUGGUCAACUUGCAUCGCGUCACGACUUAUGCUCAGUUCCAGAAGUGGCGGGCCACUUAUGCGUCUGCCAUUCCAGAUGACGUGCUGGUCAAGCUAUUGAAAUCUCAAACUGAUAACGAGCCUUUGGUGGACGUGAGUGAUCAUGAUGCUAGGAUCAUUACCUUCCGUCCUUUUUACUUCUCUUUAGGCUUCAAAUUCCCGUUGUCAAAGCUCUUCAAGAAGGUGUUCUGUGCCAUGGGGUGUGCUCCGAGCCACUGUACUCAUGUGCUUCAAGAAUUUGAGUCGUUUCUUCAUGUUGGAGCUGACGAUGCGAGAGUUCUUUUAUUUUUUUCGAAGUGAGGCACUUUGAGCGGUACGCCCAAGUUCGUAUCUACAAGGCCAAGCUGUUCCACGGUCUCAGUCAAGGAGAUCACGCUUGACAUGAAGAUGUGUUGGAGGUCAGCAGACGGUGGGAGGGUGACGUCGGUGACGGCCCACCUGUUCCCAUCACCUAUUGUGAUGGUAUGUCUCUUUACGAUUUUUGAUAUGCUCCUUUUAUUUGAAUUUCUUGAAGUGUGGCAGACUAACUUCUAUCUUCUGCUCGUAGUGAGUGACAUUAGCAAGCAAUUGGAGCUCCGACCAGACAUGGCUAAGGUCCGUCGUGCUUUGAACAUCCCUCUAAGGUUUCACGAGUGGCGCUGGCUGUUGAGUGAGUACCGGGAGGAAGACGGUGGUUUUCUCCUUGCCGAGGAUGUCGAAAGGUGGAAGCAGAACGAUCCUGACCCUGAUGAUCUGCUUGGCAGACAGGAAGAAUGUUCUGCUUAAUCGCUCUUAAAGAGAAAGGCUGCUGCCAAAUCUUUGAGAUGUGAAGCUACUUCUUCGCAUGCAAAGGAUGGGUCUCCAUCGAGGAAGAAACCAAGGCUCCCUUCUGCUGAGAAGACUCAAGUGGGGUCUGCUCCCUCAUCAUCUGCCAGGGUUAAGCAUCUCGUGGGUGCAGAUAGCAAGAAGGUUGGUGGUAUGCAUGGUACUCGGGGUGUUCUGCCCAAGCUUCCUGCUGACACGCUCGAAAACCAUGAUAUACUUCGUGAAGUGGCUCGUGCCCAACCUAGUUCUGCCAAGCGUCAAAGAGAUGUAGACAUUCCUCCUAGAAGUUCGAGUUGUCUGCAUCGGUCAAAAGAUGGAGACCGAAGCGGGAGGUCUGCUUAUGAUCCAGCAUUAUUGACUCAUUUGGAGAUGAGGUUGGCGAAGGCUAAGAAGGUGAAAGAGUCAUCUGCCCGGGUUAAGGGUUCUUCCUCGGCGUUGGUAGUUGGUCCCAAGAUGAACAAGUCUAGCUCUGUAGGGGAUGCAUGCGUAUCUGAUCUGCUCAAGAUGAACUUCCUAUCAAACCCGUCCUCUUGUGUUGAGUUGGUUGAUCACAUCCCUCAAGCGGGCGAUCUAGGCACUUUCUCGUGCCUUUCCUUAGAAAAAUGAAGGAAAAUGACAUUCCAUCUGAUUCAAAAAGGACUGGUUUUUGCUACUGAGACUAUUUGGAACUCAUCUGCUAUUGCCCCUCUUCUGUCCAACUCAGCGAGUUGGAGAAGAAGAAUGCUGAUUGGCUAGACAGCUUUCCGCCGAGCAGGCCCGUUACGAGAAGAAGAUGUCUGAUUUGAGGGCGAUGAUAUCUGAGCUGAAAAGCUCCCUUACCGAGAAGGAUUUCGAGCUCAACUCUUCUGCUGCUGAUUUGGCUAGUCGAAAAGAUACCUUCUUUCGUCUUGAGCAUAAGAAUGCUGACAUCUUCCUUAGCUAUAACAAACUCCUGGCUAGAUUUCAUGCCUACCAUAAGUCUGCUAAAGAAUCCAAGACAGAUGGAGCUGCUGAAGGCGUAGCCGGUCAGGUGGAUGCCGAAGAGGCUGCAGCUUAAAAGUCUUCUGCUGGCGUCUCAGAGUAGAUGAAGACUCUUUUUUGUUUCUUUUCAGCUUUUGUAGUUUGCUUUAUUGUUUAGAAUAACUGGUCUUAUUUGACCAUCUUCUUUUUGUUGAACUUGGCUGGUUGGUCUGUUUGUUAGGGAAAUUUCAGUUACAUUUUCCAACUUCAAUUUGCAUAUUUGACUUGUGAACUGCUUAAGUAACCAGCCUGUGUUUUGAUUGCACAUCCCCCUUUAGAGAUUUGUGAGUACCAGGGUCCCCCUUGGAGGACUCCGGCCAUGCACAGUAUAUCUCGUAGGAUGGUUCCCCUUAGGAAGUUGGCGAGUACCAGGGUCCUCUUUGAGAGACUCCGGGUGUGUUCUGCACAUCCCGUAUGAUGCCUUAAUCGUCGCCUUGCUUCUCCCGUAGGACGCUGCUUAUAGGCAACUAUAUGACUAUCCUGCCUUUCUUAGGAAACGGAUAGGAACCUGGAUAUUUCCCGCAUGAAGCAUGGAGACCUCCUUUUAAGAAAUUUUUGGUGCACCAUGCUUCUCCCUUAGGACGCUUUUUUCGCAGGCUGGGUCUCCAAAUGGACGCUUUUAGUCGUUGCCCUGCGUCUCCCUUAGGACGCUCCUUAUGGGCAACUGUGUGACUAUCCUGCCUCCCUUAGGAAAUGGAUAAGACUUGAAUAUUUCCCGCAGUAAGCAUGGCGACCCCCUUUUAAGAAACUCCUGGCGUACCCUGCAUCUCCCUUAGGAUGCUUUUUAAGAGGGCUGCUUCUCCAAACGGACGCUUUUAGUCGUUGCCUAUGUCUCCCCUAGGAUGCUCCUUAUGGGCAACUGUGUGACUAUCCUGCCUCCCUUAGGAAACAGAUAGGAAACUAGAUAUCUCCCUUAGGAAAUUCCUAGCGCACCUUGCGUCUCCCGAAGGACGCUUUUUUAGCUGGCUACGUCCCGAAACGGACACUUUUAGUCGUCGCCCUGCGUCUCCCUUAGAAUGCGCCUUAUAGGCAACUGUGUGACUAUCCUGCCUCCCUUAGGAAACGGAUAGGAACCUGGAUAUCUCUCUUAGGAAAUUCCUGGGGCACCUUGCGUCUCCCGAAGGACGCUGCUUAUGGGAAAAUAUUGUGUUUCGUGGGCAGAUGAGACAUUUUGGAAUGAGAAACUGAACUUAUAUUGAUAUUCAUAAGAUUACAGUCCUUUAUUUGAAAAUGGAAAUAACUUGGUUCAAAAACUUAGAACUUCUAGCAGCUACGAGGAAGCACUAUGGAUAAUACUUUCGGAGAUGGUGAGCAUUCCAUUGUCGUGGUAUUUCCUUCCUAUCCAUGGUGUCCAGUGUGUUGCUUCCUCUGCCCCGGACCUGCUGAUCACAUAAACGCCCUCCCAGUUAGGAUUCACUUUUUUUGACCCGUGUCUUGGUGCAGUAAUGAAAGCCUUAGCACGAGGUCGCCUGGUUGAAACUGUUUGACCUUAGCUCUUUUGUCGUAGUAAGACUUCAACUGCUAGUGAUAGGAGGCGACCCGAAUAAUGGUCUUCUCACGCCUGCCCUCAAGUAAGUUGAGGUUGAGCCUCAUCUGCUCGGAGUUCUGAUCAACACUGCCUACCUUAAGACUUAUAGAGAGGACAGUGAUGUGAGGUGGUAUGAUCACUUCUGUUCCAUAGGCGAGAGAGAAUGGGGUUUCACCAGUCGAUCUUCGCUUGGUGGUGUGAUAAACCCAUGGUACUCUGGGGAGUUCAUCCACUCAUUUCCCUUCAGCGCCUUCCAGCCUUUUCUUUAAGCAGUCCAAUAUGACUUUGUUGGAUGCCUUGGCUUGUCCAUUUCCUUGUGGAUACCUCGGGGUGGACAAGUGUUGUUUGAUCUUGUAUUUCACAAAAAAAGCGGUGAUCUGCUUGCCAAUGAACUGUGAGCCAUUGUCGGUAACCAACGACUGUGGGCAGCCAAACCGGCAUAUGAUGUUUCUCCAGAUGAAUCACUCCACAUCGGCUUCUUUAGUAAAUGAUAGAGCUUCGGCCUCGAUUCAUUUAGUAAAGUAGUCGGUGGGGACGAUCAUCAUUUCUUUCUUGGCGGGCGCUAGUGGCAAGGGAUCCACUAGGUCGAUGGCCCAUUGCAUGAACAGCCAUGGACUGUUUUGCGGAUGAUAGACUUCGGCAGGCAAGUUAGGGAUCGGCUUGUAUUGCUGACAGCGUCACAUUUCUUGGCACAUUCAGCACAGUCGUGACGUAUGGUAGGCCAGAAGUAGCCUAUGUUUAGAACUUUCUGGGCGAGUGACCUGCCCCAGAAUGGUUGCCAUACUCGUCGUCGUGAAUUUUACAGAUAAUCUCAAGUGUUUGAUGGUACUUUAUGCAGGUGAGAUGAAGGCCGGAGUAUGAUCUGUGGAUGAGCUUGUUGCCGUGCAUGUAGUAUCUCUCGGCCUUUUGCUGGACUUUUCUAGCUUCGGACUUGUCCGUUGGCAGGUUUCCAUUCGUGAAAUAGUCGAUGAUGAGGUCUUGCUAGCUGGGGUCCUCGUCAAUCUGCAUGGUAUUAAUCGGCUCUAUUUCUUCAAUGCUUGGUCGGUCAAGGUGUUCGACCUAGAUGGAGUGUUUGAACUGGGUAUCCAGCGUUGAACCUUGGCUUGCCAGUGCGUCUGCAUGCGCGUUCUUUGCCCGGGACACUUGUUGGAUAGUGAAGGUAGGAAAUGCCUUCAACAGCUCUUGGACUCUAUCAAGGUAUAAGAUCAUCCUUGGGUGCUUUGCCAUAUAUUCACCUGAGGCUUGAUUCGUGAUCAACUGUGAGUUUGAGUAGAUGGCUAGCUUUUUGAUUGCGAGCUCCUUUGCCAAGCGUAAGUCGGCGAGUAAUGCCUCGUAUUCUACCUCGUUGUUCGAGACCGAGAAGCCAAGCGUAAUAGCUUGCUCUAACAGGGUUCUAUCCAGGGUGGUGAUAACGACCCCUGCUCCAGCUCCUUUUUGGUUCGACGCUCCGUCUACACGCAACUGCCACAUGUCUCUGGGAUGGCUUGGUUCUGCGGAGGUCCUGUCUGCUUUUGAACUUCCCUCCUUUUGGUUGACUAACUUCUCUUUUUUGGCUGAUGGGGUGAAUUCUGCGACGAAGUAUGCUAAAGCCUGGGCUUUUAUUGCAGUUUUUGGCCCGUAGAGGAGGUCAUAUUGGCUUAGCUCUAUAGCCCACUUCAUGAGUCGCUGAGAAGCAUCAGGGCUGUGGAGGAUUGAUCUCAAAAGAAAGUCAGUCAUGACUAUGACUCGAUGAGCUUAGUAGUAGGGUCGCAGCUUUCUCGCAGAAACUACAAGAGCCAAAAUAAGUUUCUCCAAUUUCGGGUAACGAGUCUCUGCAUCGAGGAGAGCUUUUGACGUGUAGAAUACCGGAUAUUGGGCCCCUAUCUCUUCUCGGAUGAGAGCUGAACUGACAGCUGAGUUGGACUUACCUCACUAGGGACUGGAUUUGAGAGCAUGGAAGGUGAGGUGAGGUAAGUCUUCAGAUUAUGGAAAGCUACUUUGCAGUCCUCAUCCCAUUUCUCUCUUUGUCCUUUCUUCAAAGCUUUGAAGAGUGGUCUGCACUUGUCGGUUGAUCUCGAGAGGAAUCGGUUGAGAACCGCUGCUUUGUCCGUCAGACUUUAUAUCUCUUUCACCGUGGAAGGCGACUUCAUCUCUAGAAUGGCUUUGAUUUGACGUGGAUGUGCCUCGACACCUCGUUGCGUGGCUAGGUAUCCCAAGAAUCGGCCGGAGGAUACACCAAACAGGCAUUUACUUGGAUUCAACUUCAUGCGAUACUGGCGGAGCAAGCUGAAUGAUUGGGUAAGACUUCCGAUGUGAUCUGCACGUUUUGGGGCUUUGACCAGCAUGUCAUCCACGUAGACCUUCAUAGUUUUGCCGAUCUGCUUAUUGAAGAUUUUAUUCCCGAGCCUUUGAUAGGUUGCUUUGGCGUUCUUCAGCCCAAAGGGCAUGACCUUAUAGCAGCAGGUCCCUCUCUCGAUGAUGAAAAAAGUUUUUGCCUUGUCAUCCUCGUGCAUCAGGAUUUGUUUAUAGCUGGACUAGGCGUCCAUGAAGCUAAGCAGUUGAUUGCCAGAAGUGGAAUCCACGAGUUGGUCGAUUCUCGGCAAUGAGAAGUUGUCUUUAGGGCAUGCUUUGUUGAGGUCUGUGUAAUCGACACAAACUCUCCAUUUGCCAUUUUCUUGUUUUGCCACCAAAACAACGUUGGCAAGCCACUCUGAGUAGGAGGCCUCUUCGAUGAAGCCGACAGCUAGGAGUUUGUCAAUCUCGGCCUCGAUGAUAGCAAGUCGCUGGGGUGCGAAGUUGCGUCUCUUCUGCGCCACUGGCUUGCAGGCAGGGUUGAAGUGGAGUCAGUGACAGAUGAUGUUCUUGUCGAUGCCAGACUUGUCUGACGGCAACCAUGCGAACAUGUCUCUGUUGCUCUGGAGGAAGGUGGUAAGCUCCACAUUCUCUUCUGGCCUUAGGCGCGAACCGAUCCACUCUUUCCUAUCUGGUUGGUCAGGAUCCAAGGGUAUUAACUCGACGUCCUCCUUGGGUUUCCAUCCUUCUUCAGGAAAGACCUAUGGACGGAUUUCCUCGACUUGGUCCUGACGCUUUAAUUGCUAUAAGAUAGCAAGAUCCAGUUGCUCAACCUCCUCCAGAUCUGCCUGGCUCACAGGGAGAAACUGCGCUUGUUUACCUUUCUUUAGCCCUUGGGCGGAGCAUUUCCUCGCCAUUGCCUAAUCGUUGUUGAUUUGGCCGACACCGCCCCCAAGGAUUGGGUACCGAAUUUUCUAAUGUGUGGCGGAGGUGAUUGCAUUAAUUUUGCCAAUCGAUGGUCUGCCCAGAAUGCCGUUGUAGGGUAAGACCUUAUUAAUGACCAUGAAGGUUAUGAGCUGAUUAUAAGUGGGGAGUAGACGUCGAGGUCUAUCAUGCCCACGGUAACCGUUGUUGCACCAUUAAAAUCGCUCAGCAACCUAGCUAAUUUGUAAAUCUUUGUCUCCAAUCCCAUCUGUUGAAUGACCUCCAGUUGCAGGAUAUUGGCUGCGCUGCCCUCGUCUGUGUGGAUUCAGUCUACCAUGACCUGAGCAAUUUGAAUGCUGAUGACAAGGGCUUCGUUAUGUGGCAUGUAGAGGCCGAUCAGAUCUUUCUUUUGGAAGCCGAUUACAGGAUCGUCUUCUGCUGGUGGAAGGUCGGUCGAGAUUUGGGAGAUCACAGUGGUCUGUUUGAUCUUCCUCUUUUUUUCCUUUCUGGUCAGCCCAGACUCCUCGGAGUCAGCUAGGAUUGUGUUAAUUCUUAUGACCUUCUGAGGCGGCUCCUUGGCGAUGUCACGAUCUUCUAUCCGCUGGAUGACCUUCUUUGCAAUGAAUUCUGUGCAGUGACCUUCUCUCACGAGUUCUUCAAGAUGUGCUUUCCAAGCGAAGCAGUUGUUCAUAGUGUGUCCGUGCAUUUCAUGGACGGCACAGUAUUUGCUAGUAUUCCUUUUGUCCGGAUCUUCUUUCAAGGGUGGUGGUCUUCUUACCCAAGGUUGUUCUUCACUUGGGCUAAGAUUUGAUGUAUGGAGAUGGUGAACUUGGUGUAGUUCUCUCCUGCCGUAGCAUCCCCUUAUGGGUGCGACCUGCGCUUGUCCUUGUCCCUGUUGCUAAAUCCGUCGCUUCUUUGGCCUGCCCCCUUAGUCGGCUGAUCUUCCUGCUUAGUAGAGUUCUUUGCGGCGAUUCGAUCGUCAUCCCAAAGCGCAUAGCUUUCCGCGGUCUCGUAGACCUCUGCCAAAGUUUGGCUGGGAGUGAUGGUCAGCUCGUGGUACAAGUCGUGCUCAGUCGAAAGGUCUUUCUUGAAAGCAGAGGACGCAAUUUGGUCAUCACAUCCUACAAUGUUGGCCUUUUCUACUUUGAAUCUCUUGAUGUAAUCUCUAAAGGAUUCGUCGAACUUCUUGCGCAGGUUAUACAGGUGGUCAGGGUUCUUCUUGAUUGUUCGGUAAGAGGUGUAUUCUUUGGUGAAUAAGUAAGUCAGCUCCUUGAAGCUGCUGAUCGACCUGGAUGGCAGAGUAUGGAACGAGUCUUGGGCUUCCUCACAAGGUCAUUGCAAACACCUUGCACAUCAGCGCGUCGUCAACCUUGUGGAGGAUCAUGACACUUUUGAAGUGUUUUAGAUGGCUCUCAGGAUCGGAAUCCCCCUUGAAGUGUGUGAAUGUGGGCGUUGAGAAUCGCUUCAGGAGAGCAGCCUGCUCGAUUUUGGCAGUGAAAGGUGUAGAGUAUGCCUGGUCUACCUCAUUUCGUACAUCUUCGAAAUUUCCACCGGUCUUCAAGUCUCGAAGUUGGUCAUUCACAAGCUUCUCUACGUCUUCCGCACACAUUGCUUGUCGGCCACAUUGGCGACCUUCACGAAUUGUUCGAUGCUGACUGACUUCCUCGUUGAUUUCCGAGGAUCGACCUUCUUGUCUGCAUUGCCUAGGUGGAGUGUUGGUGGAUUGCGCCUACGAAAGAUUCUCUGUGGCUUGUCAAUGAGAAUCGGUUCUUCGAGAGUGAGUAACGAAGUGCCUUUCCUCAUGGUCCUUAUUGUGAGGGUUAUCCAGCUGACCUCCCUGGGGCCUAGCCUUUCCUGAAUGCUUCUCUGCGAGUAGACAGUUGAAUGCUUUUCUUCACGAUCCUCGUUGUGAUGGUUGUUUGGCUGACCUCCUUAGGGUCUUAGCCUUUGAUGUACAUUUCCCUGCCUGCCCAAGUAGGUGCGGACGUCGAGUCGUGGGCCCAGCCUUUCGUGCACGUCGUUCCUUAAACUCAAUCUGCUCUGAGUGUGGCUUGCAGAUGCUUGCGACAUGUCGGCAGGUCGAUCACGUUGUUGUCCCUCGACUUGUCUGCCCACUCUUGCUUGACCUGCUUGGUACUCGUUGAGCUGUCUACCGGCCCGUUCAUCCUUCCUUCUUUCCUCGCCUGGUUGUCCAAGGCCAAGGUUUUGAGCAAAGCUUAUUUGGUUGAGGAGCUGCCUCAUUAGAUUGUUUUGGUCGUCCAUUCUUUAAGCUAGCUGGUCAACUCUCAGAUUAAGGUCUGCUUGAUUUCAUGGAUCAGGAGGAGAGAAGUGUGUGGAGCUCAACUGCACAUAGGCUAGGGUUUCAUUAGAGGUGUAUGCGGGAGCGUGUGUCGAGCGUGGAGGCAAUAGAGGGAAUGCUUGGAGUUGCUCCAAGACCGGCCCUAGGUCGGCGGUGGUAACGAGUCCACCUUGAUGGGAAGUUCCACCAUGUUUGGCGGCAGUGACCGAUGCAGUGGUGAGAGGUGGUGGUGCCACCAUGUCGAUCGCGGGAUCGUUGGUGGAGUGGCUUUGGGCCGUCGCAAAUCUAGCCAUCAUGGCGGCUUUGCCUCUCGUGUUCAUGCUUCCAACCAUGGUUGUUUGGAAGGCUUAGGUGGAUUGGAAAAUUAGAGGAACGGAUUCCUUGAGCACGCAUUGAGUAUAACUCGUGCUCUCAAUGAAAGCACCAAUUUGUGGGAGCAAAUUUCCCCACGAGAAUAUUCGGUUCGAAAGAUUCCCCUUUCUUAUUCGCCGCCUCUUUCUCCUCGCAAAAUAGAACAAAUAAGAGGACCACACCCGAGGGGUGUUGGCCAAAGGCCCUCCGAUGCCUAAAUUAGUUCAAGUAUUUGUAAGAAAAACACUAGCUAACUAGGGUAUGGAGAUGUGUUUAAGGUGUAAACCGGGCGGCCGGAACCUUAUGUAAAAGAGAGAGAGAAAUGAGGUGGCUAGGGUUUGAGAGGAAUUUUCUGCAGAGUUUUUAGUAGAGAUUUCAGACGUACCUCAACCAUUGUGUGUGGCCAUCUUUUUAUAGUGGUCUUGGAGGCUAGAGUUUCAGAGAAAUAAUUUCGUAGAUGGAAAGGAAUUAUUCCUCCCCUAUUUAGAAUUGAUUUGAUUAAUUACGGAUUUGAUUUAUUAGGGUAAAUCAAAUCCCUAAUUGUGGUAAGUAUCAAAUCAAAUCCUUUUUUAAUUAGGUAACUGCUCAUUUAAUUGACAAUUGUGGUAGGAAUCAAAUCAAUUCUCAACCUAAUUGGUAACGUUCAAUUUAAUUGGGUAAUUCCCAAUUAAAUUGAGUAACUCCCAAUUAGGUUGAUUAAUUCACACUUAGAUCAAAUAAUCCCCAAAUGGAAAGAAUUAUUUGACCUAAGGUAUGAUUUAAUUCGAUUCCCACAAUAUUUAGAUGCAUAAUUGAAUGCGAAUAAACAUCACUCUCUCCAGUGUGAAAUGGCGAAAAUUCUCUUCAAUCAAAAGUGGGCUUACUUCAAAUUUAGUUGAAGAAUGAUGGUGUGUCUUGCCUGACAAUUGACAAUUAGGUUUAGGAGCGUUCCUCUAGUAGAAAAAUCUAAAUCAUUUGUGGUCAUCCACUCACUUGGUUAGUCUUCCAGAAUCAAAUACCAAAUCAACCCAAAGGAAGCUGCAAUUUUCUGAAUUGUAUACUUGUUUUAAUUCUUCCUAUCUUUUUCUCUCUUUCAUUUUUUUUGUCUCCCUCAAGUUAAUACUUAAGUGAGUUGCCAAAUGGGGGUAAAAAAGAGAGUAGAAGAGAUGAACCCCACAUUUGACUUUAAUAGACAAAUGCCCAAGAGAAGUACCAGUAAGAGCAUCUCCAAUUGGGAGGUGCUAUCCUAUAAUUUGACACACAUUUCUUUUUUCUUUUUUUUCAAUUCUAACAACAUGUCAUCUAUAUCGCAAUAGGCCGUUGUAGUUAAAUUUUCAAAUAACCAAGUUGCUCUCUAUUUUCCAAAGAAGACUAGAAAACAACUUACCAUCUAUCUGGUGCUGCUUCUUCCAAACAUUAGAAAAAACAGAGCUACACCCAGGAGGAGCCCAGGAGAUGACACAAUACUGCCUACUAUGAUUCUUACUUUCUUCACAUUCAAUGAGACUAUAAAAUAUAACCCAAGUGGUCUAACCCCCCAGGGCGGAAAUUGGGUUUAGCAAGUUUAGCACUGAUUGUUGUAUAGUCUUAAACAGUCCUGAUCUCUUGGACCCCUGUAGUCCAAGAGAUUUAUGGUCACCCACCGUUGGAUGUAAAUUCAACGGUUGACUUGAAUCGGGUAAUAAUAAUUUAUGUCAUAUUGCAUUUAUAUAUAUCAUUUUGAACCAUUGGAUUAAUAUCCAACGGUGGGUGACCACAAUCUCUUGGACUCCUGUGGUCCAAGAGAUCGGGACUGUAGUCUUAAAAUAAGUAGUUUAGCGAGUGCAAACUUCGACUUAAAAAAACUCUCAUGUAUAGCCGCGCGGCUAUACUAUUUACAUAUAAAUAUAUAAAAAAGCACCCCCUAGUCACGUGUCACAAAUAGUAUAGUCGAAAACAGUAGAGCCGCGCGGCUAUACUGUUUUUAAAAUAAAAAAAACCAUAUUCGAUUCUCCUUAUAUUUAAAAGGGGUAUAGCCGCAUGGCGAUACUAAUUUUUUUUUUUCAAAAAAAGGGACCCCAGUACUCCUUUUAUAUAUUAUAAUAUAUUGUCUAAUAUUUGGAAUAUUUACUCUAAAAUAAACAAUAUAUUAGGUUCUUUUUGUCUACAAAUUGACCAUUAAACUUCUUAAUCACUCUUAUACUUUCAAUUAAAUCUACUAGGCUAGGUUAUGAUAUUUUCACUAAAAAACUCCUCCUUUUUUUCUUCUCUUUCUCUUCCUGUUUUGUUUAACUUAAGCUUAAGUUUUGUAAUUUUUUUUCCCGCCCUUUUUACAUGUUUGAGUAGGGUACUUUAAUAUUGGGAUUUAUGAACUUUUUUUGUAUUUCUUCUUUAUAUUGGAAUAUAAAUUAUUAACUUUUGAGUCUUUAAUAGUGUAGAUGAUGAGAUUAUUAUUCAACCAUUUUAUAAUAUGAAAUGAAGGACAAUCAUGAUUGUGAUGAAUGGAUUAUUAAUCAAUAUGAAAUGAUAUUAUGAAGUGGGCUAAAUCGAGUAGUUAGUAUCGUAUUGUUGAGACCCAAAAAAUCCAAGGCUAGGCCCAAAUAUAUUAUGAAGUGGGCUAAAUCGAGUAGUUAGUAUCGUAUUGUUGAGACCCAAAAAAUUCAAGGCUAGGCCCAAAUAUAUUUCCGGUCCAAUGCGAUACCUUACCGAGAAGAAACCUUAUUUGGGCACGCGAAAGUUCGUCAUAUGCUCUUGCACACAUGCCAUGCCAAGCAAAUAAGCAACAUGCCACGCUACAAGCUUAAGUGGGCCCAAGCCACGUGAAUGCCUAGGGCCUGCUGAGUGGGUUGUGGUAUGGAUGGUUAUGAGUAUUCACGAGGCCCAUUGAUGGUCUAAGGAGUGGAAGUUUUGGGCUACUUGGGAGCACCAAAACUCAAGCCCAUUCAUUGAGCCCAAACAUAUGGGUAAGCAUGAGAUAAAACCUAGUAGCCCAUCACCUUAAGAAAUCCUAAUAGCCCAUAACAUGUGAGAAAAUCCCACAUCAACCAAAGCUUCCAGCAGUCUGACGAAAUCAAAGGGAACUCACAAGCCGUUGGAAACAAAACAACCCAACACUGUAACACCCCGACCCCAAAUUUCCCCAAAUUUAACCCUUAUUUAAUUAUUUAAGGGUAUUUUAGUCAUAUUUUUAACCGGAGAGAGUUUGGGGCAAUGACUAGUAUUUUUGGAUAGGUCGUACUGAGACGAGUUUAUGGACACGCAGUGAGCUCGAAUCGGAGUUGUAACGAGAGAGAUAUGGUCAAAAGAAGCCCAGUGGCACAAUCGUAAAUAUUUUGAAAUGAGAUUUUUUAUAAAAAUCUGGUUUUCUCUCUCUCUCUCUCUCUCUCUCUCUCUCUCUCUCUCUCUCUCUCUCUCUCGCUAGCGACCUCUCUCUCUCUCCCCCGUCGGUCUCUCCCCUCUUUCUCCUCGUAACUCCGGCCACCGGCCCCGGCUGUGGACGGGGCCGGUACCAAAAUGACCGAGGCGUCGUCCUCUUCCUACCCCAGCCACCUCCCACCGCCAGCCGUCGCGGAUUCGCCGGAAUCUGGAGAUGAAGCGGCCUACGUCGUCCAAAUUUCAAAGCUGCCGAUCUCCCUCCUCCGGCCACCAAUUCCGUCGACCCAGGUAUGGAUUUUGAACUUCUCGAGCUGCUCUAGCUGAUGGUUGGGUAGGAUUAGAUCGAUUCUUAGCUUAGACAACUCGAUUUUCAAAUUGAAAAUCGGCCGAACUUCGGCUGCCGUGAUCGGCCAUUUCCGGCCACUUUUUGGGGUAGGUCCAAGAACAAAAGUGGCUCCAAAUAGGGUGUUAUACCUAGGGUAGGAGUUUGGAGCCGUGGUUUUGAGAUUUUCCGGCGAAGCGUUAUCGCUUUGGGCACCCACGCGCUGCCGGUGCGUGCGGCGGCGCGUGGGCACUGUAGAAAAAGUAGCACUGUGUUCCGAUGAGAUCCUUAGGUUGUCACGAGUGCGUAGGAUUUUGCGGAUCUCAAUUCGGACGUCGUUUGACUAUCGAACGGAUAUUCGCAUAUUGCGCGUUAUUCGGGUUCGAUAGGUUGGGACCGUUGGAUGGACCCAAAUUUAAUAUAUGUUAAUCUAAUUAAUUCUAGGAUCGUGUAGGAAUUCACGGAUUGUGAAUCGGAGCCCCGGAUGUUCCGAAUAAUAAUUUUAAAGUUUGUAUUUUAUAUUAAUUGUCAGAUCGUGCGAUCGUGAGCAAUCUGACCGUUCGAUCUGAACCAAACUUGCAGGACAAGUGUCCUAUACCUUGUAGAACCCAUAGGGACCUUCGGAUCGGAAAUUGGAGGUCGUGGGUUCCGCAAGUCGGUUUGACCAGGGUUAGAGAAGUUUGACCCUUGGUUGACCGUGAGUCUCCCGGAGUAAUCUCACCUUUCUAGGGGAGAUUAUCGGGUACUAGAUGAUUGUGGACACAAUAUUAGAAUUAAUUUAUAUAAUUAUAAUUAUAUAUGGUUGUACAAGGGUACAACAGAGUCUAGAAUGUCAGUUUGGAGUGCUAUACGCACUACUUUAGGUACCUCCCCGGAUGUUGGGAUUUACUACAAGUACCACCAAGUGAAAUUGAGGUCCCGCGUGGCGUAGGUUAUCCAGCGUUGGGAUAGGUCUCAUACGUGGGGUUGGUUGUACCGGCGUAUGGGGAGAUUUGUGAUAUUAUGUUCAGGUCUCACGUGGCGUAGGUUAUCCGGCGUUGAGACAGGCCCCAUACGUGGUGUUGGUUGUACCAGCGUAUGGGGAGCUAUGUGAUAUUGUGUUGAGGUCGCACGUGGCGUAGGUUAUCGGGCGUGUCGACAGACCCCAUACGUGGCGUUGGUUGUACCGGCGUAUGGGGAGAUUUGUGAUAUGAAAUUGAGGUCCCACGUGGCGUAGGUUAUCCGGCGUUGGGACAGGCCCCAUACGUGGCGUUGGUUGUACCGGCGUAUGGGGAAAUAUGUGAUAUGAUGGCAUGGUCGCACGUGGCAUAGGUUAUUCGGCUUGUUGACAGGCCCCAUACGUGGCGUUGGUUGUACCGGCGUAUGGGGAGAUUAUUUGAAAUGCAGAGAAACGAAAUAUGGUAUCGCCCAAAUGUGGAAUUGGGUUUUAGGGAAGAACUACGUGUGGCUUGAUCCCUCAAGGAGGGUACGUAGGCAGCCUAAGGUUAAUAGGUGCAGCCGCAGACUAAAUGUUAGUCAUAAUUGAUAUUUGAAUUGUUUGGUAGUUGGUUAAGAAUUAUUGGAAGGCCGAAGGCCAUUUGUGUGAAUUGCAUGAAAUUAUAUUGUGCAUGCUGCCAGUUGGGAAUAUUAAAUGCGUUUUUAUGCAGGUAUAAAUUUUAGGAAAUGUCCAAUUUAUAGGGGAGACUCUGCCGAAUUUUCGGCAGGAAGUCUCAGUUUUUAGUAUCUGGGCCUGGCAUCGGGAGGAUGUCGGGAAUUCCAAAGGGUCGUCUCGAGUUCUGAAAAAUUCGGUGCGGGUCCUUUCAAACACCUUAUAAAAUAUCCAACGCCGUGCAUCUCUGUUAAAACCAGAUCACAGCCAAACCACCAAAACCAUGCAAACCCAUAUGCUGAUCACCAUUUUUACUAGCACCCUUACCCAUUCUUUCCUCUUCAAGCUUUGGUGAGAAAACAAGAAACAAAAGUGGGCGGAUCUUCACCCACAUGGAGAAAUCCAGCUGCCUGAGGGCCCUGGAACUCCAAAAAACUUCUUACCUACAUGCUCAGGCUAGGGAAGUUUCACCAAAUAAGCAAGAAUGGAAGAAAGUGAAGGAAAAGGGGAAAGGGUGGCUUGACGAAAUUAAGGUUUUCAGCACUUAUAAAAGGAAACACUUUCUAUCCAGCAAAAACAACUCACCCUGGUUGCUGCAAGCCUCCUAGCAACCAUGAGAAUUCAUUGAAGGCAAGCAUCCCCUUUGGAACCCUUCAAUUUCAUGCUUUGUUCUUCCAUCUUCCUCCUUUCUCUCUCUCUCAAAACCCACAUCCAGAGAGAGCAAGCAUCAUCUCUCAUCUUUGGAACCCUUCGAUUUGAAGCCUUGUUCUUCCAUUGCUUCCCAUUUUCUCUUCUGUCAAAUCACCUAGGAGCUUGACGAAACUUUCGUCAAGCUGCUGGAAAUAUGGUAAAGCCACCCAUGCUUCCAUCUUCUUCCUCUCUUUCCAUAAACACACAUCCAAAGAGCAAGCUUCAUCUCUCAUCCUCUAAACCUCUGCAAUUUCAAGCCUCAUUCCUCUAUCUUCUCCCAUUUUCAGCGGUAGUGAGAAUGAUUUCUGCGUGUGCAUGGGAAGGAUUGUAACUCAGAUGAGGAGGAGAUGGUUUGGAGUGGGGUGAGGCAGUUGGAUAGAGCUCUUGGCCUUUUCAAGUUUGGAUGGGAAAGAGCAGGGAUGAAAGAAGCUUUACAACUGCAAGGGCAUAUAUGGUGCGUAGGGGCUGAAGGCAGAACACUUACAUAUAGAGGAAACACAUUUUUUGUCCAUGGGAUUCAUGUUUGACAAACACUUGUCUUAGACUAUGAGUUCAAAUUUCAAAACCUUUUUUUUUUCUUUCUGAAAUCAGGACCAGUGUGGAGAACUAGCAAGGAUUGGAGAAACAGAUUUUUGGGCGUCACUUGACCACAGAUUGUUGAUUGCUCAAAUGUGUAGAAUUGGCCAUCUUAAAUGUCAAAAUGAUUUAUCAAUUGGGGUUUUUUUAGAAACGUUUAUGUUUGUCAAUAGAGACAGAAGUCAGAGAACAUAAACCUUUCUCAGCAAAUUGAAAUUCUCAGUGCAUGCUCUGUUCUUCCAUGGCUUUCAAACCUUCUCUGCCACGGUGAAAUGGAUCGAUAGAGAUAGUUUAGGCCGUUCCAUUUGUUUGAUGAAGCAUUCGUUCUAGGGAUUCUGUAUAUUCAUAACAAAAUCACUAGAAUGAUUCUUAGAAAUUCAUCACUGCUAAAGGCAAUGGGUUCAGCAUAAUAACUUCUUAGUCUUGCUUCUUGGUCCUUUAUUUUCUUUGCAUAAUACUCCAAGUUUACCUGGGUUCUACAGAGAAAAUCUCGUAGAUACCUCUUUUUGUGGUCUUCCAUGGCAUUUAAGUGCUGCUUUCCAUGGUGAAGUGGGCCUAUAGAGACUACCUGAGGUGUGUAGGCUUUGUCAUUUCCACGCCGUAAUCGCUCAGGAACUCUGUAGAUACACCUUCAAGGGGGACAAGGGAGACAAACUAUCCAAUUCCUUGCGCCUUACAAAUAGAUCGCAUGGGUUUUCUAUUUCAUCUGCAGCUUCAUCAAUUCCUUCCAUUUUUCUCCUGAUCAUCAUGCGCGGUGAUUCAAAUAUUUCAUAAUGAACAUUGAAAUGAGAUGCUACAAGCAAACUUAUGAAAAGAAACAGAAAUACCAAAAAGACAAAUCAAUGUAGAUGGUUUAGAAAAUCUAAACAUUGCAAUUAUACUCCUUUGCCCAACUUCUAGGAGCAAACGUACACAAAGACCUUAUUGCUUCCAACUUUUCCAACAGAAUUUCAUAUGAAUUGCUCCAAGUGAAAUCCGUAUGAAAAAUCGGUAGUUGGAUUUUCAUCCUGCUUUAAUAUGAUUAUUUAACUUCUAACAAAAAAACUCUUAUUACUUGAGCAAGUAAAAUACUAUUCCAGGUUUCUCCUAGUUCUAUAUGCGCUUAUAAUUGGUAUACUCUAUAAAUACCAUAAUCUGAAUUUCUCUGUUUUGAUUACUUUAAUUUAUUACUUAUGUUUUAAUUAUUGUUUACUUAGUGAAUUAUUAGUAUUUAAGAGAAGGCCUUCCAUCGAUUAGGCACCACGUGUCUAUAAUAAGUAAAGCCGUCCGGCUAUACUUAAAAAAAAAAAAAAUUGUAGUAUAGCCGACCGGUAUAGCCGCGCGGCUAUACUAUUUAAUACAUUAUAUUUAAACGGUAUAGCCGCGCGGCUAUACUAUUUAAUAAAAUAAAAAACAAAAGAAAAAGAAAAAUUACCCUCCUAUUUCAUUAGUUUGUACUUUAUAGAUACUAGCCCCUUGACACAUGCUCACGCAUGUGCCAAUUGGUUUUCUUUUUCUUUUUUAUUUUUAUUUUUAGAAUUAAGAAAAAAUAACAGGAUAGUUAUGUUCCAUAAAAGUAGGACCUAUUAUCUUAUUUUGUUUUUAAUUUUAAUUUUUUUAAUAUUAAAAAAAUAUGAAUUUACGAUAUUAUCCUCAUUUAAUUAAUAAUUUCAAUUCUUAAUGUUUGAAUUAACAAAGGGCAUUUUCUGGUAUUUUGAAUGUUUCACCAUUCUCUGCCUUUUGCUUUAUAUAUAUAGAUUAAUUUGCCAGUUUCAAGAUAUCCAAAGUACAUAUUAGACUUUCACUAUAUAAAUUUCAAUAUAUAUUUUUUAUAACAUGUGUUGUUCUUAUUCAAUAAUAUGUGAGAAUUAUUUGUAUAAUACGUGAAUUUUGUGUGUCUUACUGAAUUUUUUUAAAUACGUGUAUUAAACGUUACAAAUACGUACAUAUAUGUACAACACGACUAUUGUAAGUUUGCUAUAUAAAAAAAAGUGAGAUGUAUCUAGAACACGAAUGUAUUAUCGAAAAAUAUAUAUGUAUGUAUAUAUAUAUAUAUAUAUGUAAAAGCCUAUAGCCUCUCACCUAUACUAUUUAUUAAAGACAAUUUAAAAAUUACAACAACAAAAAAACCAGUACAGCCACAAAGCUAUACUAUUUUAAAAAAAAAAAAUAGAAAAAAUAUCAAGUACUACACAGGGCAAAGGCCCAGUGUAAAAUAGUAUAGCCGUACGGCUAUACGUUUUUAAGAAGAAUUUAAAAAACUAAGUAUAGCUCACCGACUAUACUAUUUUUUAAUAUAAAAAAACAACCCCAUCCAUUAGGCGCCACGUGUCAACAGAAGUUUAUUUUUAAAAAAAAAAAUUAAAAGACAAGGAGUAUAGCCGGGUGGUUGUACUAUUUUUUUAUUUUAAAAAGAAGACAGUCCAUCGAUUAGGCGCCACGUGUCCAUAAUAAGUACAGCCGCUCGGCUAUAUGUUGGAUAUUUUGAAACUAGCAAAUUAAUAUCAAUAGCCGGUCGUAACCUAUGCUGUCCACGUCACUCAUGUUUUACCAGAGUUAAAGCAUCCACAAUGAGCUCCCCAAACCAUCUCUUUAGACAAAUUUUAGGGAGAAAUUGGAAAAGUACAACUCCAACCAUGCUCCCUAUCCACCAACUAAAAUAGGGAGACCUCUAGGAGCUCCUAAAUCUGAGGAGAGGGAAAGGACUCUUAGUGACUCCCUAUAAUUUAAUGUUGCUUUGUUUUAUGCAUAUUUUAAACUUUUAAUUAAAUCAAAUUAUUAUUUUAUAUUAUUUUGUAUACAGAUGGACCAAUUAUAUUAAAUUAAAAAAUAAUUAAAGUAUUUGUGACUCUCUAAACUAAGGAGUAUGAUUAGAGUUCAAAUUUUAUAAAAAGCUCUUAAAAUAGCUUUUGUGUGUUUUUAGCUAAAUUUUAACUAAAAAAUUUGAAGAUUCUUUAUUUGGGUUUCUUUCAAGACGAAAACCAUAUCCACAACAGACAUCUUUGGCUGUUCAUCACAAUUGAGAGACAAUGAAGAAGACAUAAGGGAGAGGCUGCCAAAUACUUAUCACCUUAGCCACCACCAACACCACAAGACCAAUAUGUGUAGGCCAGGAGGCUUUCCAAUUUUAAUAUAUAUAUAUAUAUAUAUUAAAAAAUAAAAUAAAAAUCAAUCUAUUAUCAUAUAUAUUAUAAAAUAAAGAUUAUUGCUCCAUCCUCCAUGCACUUGCGUGCCCUCUUACAAAGUAUGAAGUAGAUUUUGUUAGCUGGAUUUAUAAGAUCUUUUGUUUUUUGGAAAUUUUCUGAAAUAAGGAAAAUCAAGUAAAAUUAAUAAAGCAUAAAUUGGAAAGGGAAAAUAUCUAGAGGAUGCAUUGUAGGAUUGCUCAAGCCAAUAAUUGUACCCUCUAAAUAUAUAGGGACAUAUUUUUUUUGUUUUCAUGACAUGUCGUCCUAAAAUUAUUGUUCUUAGCGGGCUCUCCACCCCCUCUCGAUUGAAAACCUAUUGUGUAAAUCUUCAAUCCUGAAUUAGAAAAGUACAACUCCAACCAUGCUCCCUAUCCAUCUCCUAAAAUAGGGAUACCUCUAGGAGCUCCUAAAUCUGAGGCGAGAGAAAGGACUCUUAGUGUCUCUUUAUAAUUUAAUGUUGCUUUGUUUUAUGCAUAUUUAAACUUUUAAUUAAAUCAAAUUAUUUUUUUAUAUUAUUUUGUAUACAAAUGGACCAAUUAUAUUGAAUUAAAAAUAAAUUAAAGUAUUUAUGACUCUCUAAACUAGGGAGUAUGAUUGGAGUUCAAAUUUUAUAAAGAGCUCCUAAAAUAGCUUGUGUGUGUAGGGGUCUUUUUCUUCUGGCAACUACAGAUGGGUUGGGCUACCGUAAGGAGCAAACUGAAGAAAAUAUCCCCUGUGUCUGAGUUCAAAGAUUCGGCCCCAAAAUAUUUCGAAAAGGCAGUAAAGCCUUAGGAAACACCUUAGUUACCUUCACCAACGAAAAUGACGGCUGCUUACAGGUAGAUUCUUAGUGCUUACAGAUGAAUUCUUAGCUUAGCAUGAGGAGAUCGUGGCAUGGAAGCAAAGUUAGCAUGAGUUUAGCACUAAAGAGAAAAUUAUGUGUUCUUGGGAGGAAGAAGGGGUGUCCAGGUAAAUGGGAAAAGGUUUUGCAAGUAGAUUUGGCUAAGAGAGAAGGGAGAGAGAGAAGAGGGUGGCUAGAGUGCUUCUUCCGGCAGCUUGACAGUGACUCUGUCAAAUGUUAGAGCAAUCUGCCAUAAGAGGGAAAAUGGGGAAGAAGGAUGAACAGUGCACAAAAUUGCUAGGUUUUUGCAAGUAAGAGAGGAAGCUUGCUCUCUGGAUGUGGAUGAUCCGUUGGGUAGAAGAGGCCCCAUUUUAUAGCCGCUGGAAACUAUCAUUUCUCAAGAAACCCUAAUAGUUUCUACCCAAUUUGGUCAAGCUUUUCCCUUCCUUUCUCAUCUCCUCCCUUGACUUUUCCUAUCUUGGUGAAAUUUCCUCUGUCUAUUUGCACAAAAUCAGGAGCUCAAGGCCUCCCUUUCCCGCAACUGUUCAAUGGGAGACUCCAUUCUUAGCUAUUUUUCUUCUUCUUUCCUUCCUCCUUCCCUGACCAAAUCUGAUGAAGGAAAGCAAAUAGGUGCACACAUUGGUUUGAAGGGUGCUUCUCCUUCUAGCAGCUUACAUGCCAAUAUCCCUUGGGUCCUUGCAUGUUUUUUGCUUUGAAACUUGUUUCUUCCUUCCCGUCAACUCACGUGGUCUUCCAUGCUUCUUCAUGGCUUUAUCUUUCAGCCAAAAGAUGGAGUUUUUACUGCUUGCUACUUUUAAUUGUAUGGGUCUUCUAGGAUAGGAAGUCAACCUACCAAACAAAUGGGCCACCUUUAUCAAAUAUUGGGCUGUUGGGGUUAGUUUUAGUGGGCCAUUUUGACUGGGCUUUUUGGUUGGGUUAUUUAAGUUAUUUUCCCUUUUGUGCUCACCCAUGUAUUUAGGCCUAAGAAAUGGGCUUGGGCUCCGAGUCUCCCAAGCAACCCGGAACCUCCAUUUCUUGGCCCAUUAAUGGGCCUCAUGACAACCUAUUACCAUCCAUACCACAACCCACUCAAGCAAGCCCCGGGCAUUUGAAUGGCUUUGGCCCACUUUAGGCUUGUAGUGUGAUUGGGUGUGGCAUAACGAUUUCUCGCUUGGCAUGGCAUGUUGCUUGGCAUGUUUUUUCAUUACGAUGCUUGAUGGAUUUGUAGAGCUACCUAUUUUUAUGAUCUUAAUCUUGAUUCCUAGCAUGACAAAUUUAUUUAUUUGGCAUGGCAUGCGGAGCGUGACUUGUGCGUGGCGAGUUUUGUAUGCUCCAACUUGGGCCUUUCCUAAAUAAUGUAUCAUUUUGGGUUAUGAAUUCUUUCGGGCCCAACCGUGAAUUUUUUGGGUUUCAACAGUGUGUUUUUAGCUAAAUUUUAACUAAAAAAUAGGGAGCAUGAUUGUAGAUCAUCUUAUAUACCUUAAUUUGAAGAUUCUUUAUUUGGGUUUCUUUCAAGAUGAAAACCAUAUCCACAACUGGCAGACAUCUUUGGCUGUUCAUCACAAUUGAGAGACAAUGAAGAAGACAUAAGGGAGAGGCCGCCAAAUACUUAUCACCUCAGCCACCACCAACACCACAAGACCAAUAUGUGUAGGCCAGGGGGCUUUCCAAUUUUAAUAUAUAUAUAUGGAGUGAAAAAAAUAAAAUAAAGAUUAUUGCUCAUCCUCCAUGCACUUGCAUGCCCUCUUACAAAGUGUGAAGAAGAUUUUGUGUGCUUCAAGUCAUUGACUAGAGCUGAAACAUGGUUAGCUGGAUUUAUAAGAUCUUUUGUUUUCUGGGAAUUUUCAGAACCAAGGAAAAUCAAGUAAAAUUAAUAAAGCAAAAUGGAAAGGGAAAAGAUCUAGAGGAUGCAUUGUAGGAUUGCUCAUGCCAAUAAUUGUACCCUCUAAAUAUAUAGGGACAUAUUUUUUUUGUUUUCAUGACAUGUUGUCCUAAAAUAUUUGUUCCUAGCGGGCUCUCCACCCCCUCUCGAUUGAAAACCUAUUGUGUAAAUCUUCAAUCCUGAACGAUGCUCCUAAAACUCAAGUGUCCCAGGCCAAUUAUUGCUCUCAUACCACUUGUUGCAAUACACAUCCACUCAUUCUCAGGGAAAGAAACCCAUCGAUAUUAUCUCAAAUUUAACCACUUUAGUCUAUUAUGAUUAACUAUGUAUUUUAUGGAUCAAUGCAGUUGUGAGGUUUUAUACCCAAUUAGAUCGACCAAUACAGAGAUCACAUGUGGACUGAAAAGCGCCAUCGGUAGGGGAGUGUUUGGCACCCUUUACUGCCGAGUGCAACACAAGACCCCUUACCAGGAACUUAUCUACUAGGACACGUGAAGCCACCACAAGUAAUAUCAACAGUCCCACAUCGAAGUUUAACAUAACAUGUACACUCCCCAGGACUGAUAAAAGUGGGCACAAGUCCCAAAAAUGGGGGAACUUGGACUUUCAGCAAUUCAUCCAUUAUUAUGUCCAAAUUACUAUACACUCCGUACUUAUUCUUACUUAAGCAUUGGAGAGCCUUCGGCCGGUACCACACCAGUGCCUAAGGGCUUACCGAGCGUUCUCUAUCUUGCAUAUUGAUCGCUCUACUGAAGCCCAUAAAGAGUUAAAGGUCAAGACAUCACUAAGUUGAGCCCAAAAGUGCUGAACCACAUCAAAAAUAUGUAUAGAUUGAAAAAAUAAAAUAAAAAUCAAUCUAUUAUCAUAUAUAUUAUAAAAUAAAUAUUGGAUAAAUUACUCAAAUGGUCCUCAAACUUAUACUCGAUUUACAUUUUGGUCUCUCAAUUAAAUUAUUUGUUCAAAUGGUCCAUCAACUCUAUAUUAUUUCUGCAAAAUCUACAAAGUGGUGGGAGGCAGACCAACAAAAAAAAUUAGCGAAGGCUUAUAACUCUGGUAAAACAAGAGUUACUUGGAUAGAAUAAUGUUACGUCGUACUGAAGAUUUUUGGGUUUCUUUAAUUGGUUAAGUGAAGAUUCUUUAUUUGGGUUUCUUUCAAGAUGAAAGCCAUAUCCACAACCACAACCACAACUGGCAGACAAUCUUUGGCUGUUCAUCACAAUUGGGCGACAAUGAAGAAGACAGAAAUUGGAGUACUGUAUGUUAUCACCCACACCACAAGACCAAUAUAAGGAGGAUGGGGAGGCUGCGGAAUACUUAUCACCUUAGCCACCACCUACACCACAAGACCAAUAUGUUGUAGGCCAGGAGGCUUUCCAAUUUUAAAUUAGAUAAAUCGGAAACUGUUUCGAUAUCCAAUUGUAUUCUAUAAAAUCAAUGAACACGGUGCUUCAAGAAAGUAAUAAAAUUUCAAUAAUUCAAUUGAGUGGUCAAAUUCAAGUGAUUUUUUGUAGUGAUGAUCUUUGAAUGAGUAUCUAUAAAAGAGACGGUUUGGAUUAGUGAAAUACAAUAUGGAGUGGGCCCUACCAGCAAUCCACGACAAAAUGUCUGCAAGCUUUCGUAAUAUAAGGAGGAUGGGGAGGCUGCGCAAUACUUAUCACCUUAGCCACCACCUACACCACAAGACCAAUAUGUUGUAGGCCAGGAGGCUUUCCAAUUUUAAUAUAUAUAUAUAUAUAUAUAUAUAUAUAUAUAUAGGGAUGUGAUUUCUCUACUCCCCUUUUCUCUACUUAUACUCCCUUUUGCUUUUAAAUACUUUUUAAUCAAUUUUUUUUCCGCUUUCCUAUUAAUAUUCUACCAUUUCCCUACAUUAAUUUCUUUUUACUUCACUUUUAUAUUAGUUCUUUUUCUUUAUACUUAAUUUUUCAACUUGCACUCCAUUUUCAUUAUUUUUUUCCUAAUCGAGUAAGAAAUUAAGUUUUUUUUCCCCAUUUAAUACUGAAAAUGGAGUGUAAGUUAGAAAAUUAGGUAUAAAGAAAAAGAAAUAAUAUAAAAGUAAAGUAAAAAAGAAAUUAAUGUAGGGUAAAGGUAGAAUAGAAAAGAGAAUGAACAAAAUUGAUAAAUAAAUAAAAAAGGUUUAAAAAGCAAAAAGGAGUGUAAAUGGAGAAAAGGGGAAUGAGGAAAUCAGCUCCAUAUAUAUAUAGAUUGAAAAAAUUAAAAUUAAAAUCAAUCUAUUAUCAUAUAUAUUAUAAAAUAAAGAUUAUUGCUCCAAGGAAAUGACAUCUUUUGUUUUCUGGGAAUUUUCUGAACCAAGGAAAAUCAAAUAAAAUUAAUAAAGCAUAAAUUGGAAAGGGAAAAGAUCUAAAGGAUGCAUUGUAGGAUUGCUGAUGCCAAUAAUUGUACCCUCAAAUUAUACAUGGACAUAGGGGUGGGCAUUCAAAUAGGCAAACUAGAAAUCCGAGCUGAACCGCACCUAGGAAAACCGGAAAAAAAACCGAGUUGACCAAAAAGUCAACAACUGGUCAAAAAUCGAACCGGACCGAUUUGGACUGGUUUUGGAUUCAGUUUAUAUGCAAUGCUACAUUUUUAGUCUCAUAACUAAUAUUUAUCCAAGUUCAAUUUCAAAACAUCUUUCUUUUUUAGCUUUAAUAUUUAUUUUUAUAUGAAAUUAAAUAAUUUAUUAAUUUUCAAGUAAAUAAAAUAAAAUUUCAGUUGAAAUUUAUAUUAAAAAAAUAAUUUUAAUAAUCCAGUUCAAAACCAAACCGGACCAUCCAGCUGUGAGGUACAUUUCUCCCACAUGCCACAAUUGUAUAUUCACAAUUACGUCUGAUACAUCACAUCAUGCCACUUGCCUCAAAUGAAUUUAAGUGAGUGUGGCAGUGGAAAGUAAUUAAGCUCUAUAUUGGUGGGUGGACUGUUACUUCUGGGUUCCCCUCAUCAUUCGUCUAUAAAAUGGUGAAGGCAGUUGCUAUUGUUACCAUAAGAGCCAGCUCCGACUUCCUUUAAUUUCUUGCUUCAUAUCCACUAGCUACAUCUGUUACCAAGUUAAUUUCAGUCCUAAUGGGGUUUCAUCUCCCACUCAUCUUUGCUCUUCUCAGUGUAAGCUCUGCAAUUUGAUUAACUUUUCCAUUCUCUCUCAUUGUACUCUAUAUAAACGAAAGUUUUGUGUUCCUAUAAUUCUCUCCGAUUUUAUUUAGUACGUACUUAAGUGUCGUCCACUAAUUAAUUACACUUUGUGAUUUGAUUUUAAUUUGAGUUCGAAUUAAUGUUGCAGCUAGCAGCAGUGGCACUGGCAAACCAUGCUGCUCAACCAGCACCUCAACUUUACUGGAACUCCGUCCUGCCAAACACACAGAUGCCAAGAUCUAUCAGUGAACUUCUGCAUCCUGGUUUGUGUUGAGCUCUUUAGAAUCUUAGAUAUCUCUUCUACCUGCCAUUUUACUAAAAUAUGUUCCACCACAUAUUUAUCAGUUAACCACUGUUAUUACAUGAGUGACACAUAUUCACAAAUCGGCUGAUCACUUAUUUUCCAUUAUGACGUUGAUAUAUAAUUUGCAGACUCCACAAAUGAAGAAAAGAGCACAAAUGACGUUGGCAAACCUGAAACUUUCCCAUUGGGCAAUAAACAUUACUCCAGUCAAAAACAUUAUGGAAGAGGCAAACCUGAAACUUUCCCAUUGGGCAAUAAACAUUACUCCAGUCAAAGACAUUAUGGAAGAGGCAAACCUGAAACUUUCCCAUUGGGCAAUAAACAUUACUCCAGUCAAAGACAUUAUGGAAGAGGCAAACCUGAAACUUUCCCAUUGGGCAAUAAACAUUACUCCAGUCAAAAACAUUAUGGAAGAGGCAAACCUGAAACUUUCCCAUUGGGCAAUCAGCAUUACUCCAGUCAAAAAAAGUAUGGAAGAGGUGCUUCUCCAUCCGACAAUCAACCACCAAUUCCAUAGAAAUUCAAACACGGCUACUUUCUUGCCACGAGAAAGCGCUCAAUCGAUCCCCUUCUCCUCUAACAAACUACCAGAAAUUUUCAACCAUUUUUCAGUGAAGCCAACAUCUGAGGAAGCCAAAACAAUUAAGCAAACAAUCGAAGAGUGUGAAGCUCCAGACCUUAAGGGAGAGGAAAUAUAUUGCGCCACAUCUUUAGAAUCAAUGGUUGAUUUUAGCACUUCGAAGCUUGGAACAAGAAACGUUGAAGCAAUCUCGACGGAGGUAUUGGAAAAAGGAGCCACCAUGUCCAUCCAAAACUAUACAACAAUGCCGGGACUGAAGAAGUUGGCAGGUGACAAAGUCGUUGUGUGUCAUAAGCAGAACUAUCCCUAUGCUGUGUUUUUCUGCCAUGCAAUAAAACAUACAGCAGCUUAUGCUCUCUCCCUGAAAGGCGAUGAUGGGGAGAAGGUUAAAGCAGUAACCAUCUGCCAUCUAGACACAUCAGAAUGGGACCCAGAGCAUAUGUCCUUCAAAAUCGUCAACGUUAAGCCCGGAACCAUUCCCAUCUGCCAUUUCAUUUCCACUGAUGCUAUUGCCUGGGUUCCGAACCACAAAUCUGCAUGAUCAUCACUUAGCACUAGUACUGUGCGUAUAAUAUGCCUGUAUAAUUAUCUCCCUACUUAUUUCUGCCUGUUCAUCAUGUGGUGUAAGAUAUAUGUUGAGAUGAAGUUUUUGGGAUUAGUGGUCGAAAUUAACCCGAUCAUGUUUUCUCUUGUAACUAUAUAGACUUCAACUUGUACUCAUAAUAAAGCAUGCUAUAUUUAUGAAGAGAUAUUAAUCUUCAGGCAAAUAGAUAUUAUGAAAACAUAUAUAGCAAUUUAUCCAGAAGAAAUAUUAUGAAAUGAAAAGAAUAAAAAGUAAAAAAACAGAAGGAAAGGAAUUCGCACCUGCUAUGUAUGAAAGGACCAAGAUUGUUUUCCCUUUGGUUAAUGACUAGAAAAGCUCACUUGCAGAUUGCUUUCUCUGACCGUAGAUGCAACAGAAAUUUUCUCUUAAUAAUAGCACAAUGAUCGGGUAAUUGUAAGAACAAGUUGAUUUAAAAUUCCUUGACCCAAAAAAAAAAAAAAAAUCAUUUCAAAUUCAGGUCAACCCAUAGAUUUCUUGCCUUUUUCUUCUUCAUCACGUUGGGCUUGUCUUCUUCUUGAGGAUUGUAUAGGCCCAGGAAAUGCUUUGAGGUAGUUUUUGGCCUUGGAAGUUGGGACCCAACCCAACUUCACAAAAAGAAAACAGAUUUGCCAAAAAUCAAAUUUCAAGUCUCUCCUCAGAUCACUAAUACAGAUCAAAUUUUGGAUUUGAUGAACUAAAGUGGUUUUACUUUCUCUGUCAGUGUUUGAUGACUUAAUUUGUUAUUUACUUCUUUUUUUUUUUUUACUUGAUCUUUGUAGGGGUUUUUUUCUUCCGGUAACUUAAACGGGCUGGGCUGCCGUAAAGGGUAGAUUGAUGAAAUUGUCUCCUUUGUCUGAGUUCGAAAAUCAAGCCCCAAAAGCGCUUCGAAAGGGCAGUAGAGCCUUAGGAAGCGUUCUAGUCAUCUUCACCAACUAAAACAACAGCAACUUACAGAUGAUUUCUUAAGGCUUACAGAUAAAUUUUCUAGCUUGGCAUGAGAGGCUUGUGACAUGGAAGCAAAAUCAGCAUGAGUUUAGCACCAAAGAGGAAAAUAUGGCUUCCUAGGGAGAAAUGGGAGUGUUUAAGGUGAGGAAGAAGAGGUUUGCAGGCUGAUUUGGCUGAGGAGAGAGAAAGAAAGAACAAUGUUCUUCCAGUAGCUUGACAAAGCUUCUGACAGAUGUGAAAGUCGUCUGCCAUAAGAGGAAAAUGAAGAAGAAUGGUGAAUAGUGCAUGAAAUUGCUGGGUUUUUGCAGGUAAGAGAGAAAGCUUGCUCUCUGAAUUUGAGUUGGUUUUUGGUUGGGUAGAAGAGGCCCCCUUUUAUAGCUGCGGGAAACCAUCUUUUUUCAAGAAACCCUAAUGGUUUCUAUCCAUUUUGGCCAAGCUUUUCCCUUCAUUUCUCUUCUCCUCCCUUGACUUUUCCUAUCUUGGUGAAAUUUCCUCUGCCUAUUUGCACAAAAUUAGAGAUUUUGAGGAGCUCAAGACCCCUUUCCCGCAGCUGCCUCAGUGGAGAAUCCCCAUUUUCAGUCAUCUUUCUUCCUUCUUUUCUCCCAUCUUCCAAGGUUAGGUCUGAUGAGGGAAAGAAAUGGGUAUGCACACUGGUUUGAAGGGUAUUUUUGCUUGAAACUUGUUCUCUCCCAUGUGCUGGAGCUUCCCAGCAACUUACACACAUGGAUAUUUUGGCUUUCAUCGUGGCUUUUGUUUUCAGCUAGGUGCUGGAGAUUUCGCAGAUAUUUUCAUGAGUUGCUUGGGCCUUCUAGGACAAUAGGUUGGUUUAUCAAGUGAAUGGGCUAACUUCAUCAAUUGUUGGGCUAUUUUGGUUGAGUUAAUGGACUAUUUUGGUUGAAGUAAUGGGCUAUUUUGGUUGAAUUAAUGGGCUAUUUUUCUCUCUUUGUGCUCACCCACAUAUUUGGGCCUAAGAAAUGGGCUUGAGUUCCGGGGCUCCCAAGCAACCCCGGGACUUCCAUUUCUCGGCCCAUCAAUGGGCCUCAUAUCAACUUAUUACCAUCCAUAUCACAACCCACUCAAGCAAGCCCUGGGCAUCUUGCGUGGCUUGGGCCCACUUAAGCUUGUAGCGUGACGUGUUGCUUAUUUGCUUGGCAUGGCAUGUGUGCAAGCGCAUAUGACGAACUUUAGCGUGCCCAAAUUGGGUUUAUUCUCGGUAAGGUAUCGCAUUGGGCCGAGAAUUUAAUUGGGCAGAACUGUGGAUUUUUGGGCCUCAACAAUCUUAUAUAUAUUGGUUUUCUUUUUUUCCUUAAUAUUCACCACCUUUCUGUUGCAUAAGUAUUUCAGUCUUAACGGGUUUCCAUCUACCACUCAUCUUUGCUCUUUUAAGUGUAAGCUUUUUUUUUUUUUUUUUAAGCACAAGAUUAGAGGGGAGGGGGAUUUCUCAAUGUAAGCUUUGCAGUUUCAUAAUUAAUAUUUCCAAUAUCUCACUGUUAGUAAAAUAUGGAACAGGAAAAGUAUGAAUAAAAUACACACAUGUUUUAUUUAGCAAAAUUUUGACAAGAUACAACUGAAAAGUUUGGCCACUAUAUAAUAUUUUGAUAUAAUUUCUACACUUCUUCUCAAAAGAUUAGAUCACUUCACAUCUUGUGUAUGUGAAAACUAAUGUAAAAAGUUGAAACUUUAUCGUAAAACCUCGACAAAAAUGAGCUCUACUAGAAAAUGUUCAAUUUGGAUUCGUUGAUUUAAAUGGCAAUUUGACACUUGAUAGAAAUUUUUACAUACAUGUGUUAGUGUUUGAUCACUUCACAUGUUACUUACUAUAUUUAUUCCACUCAAGUUAGGUAAAUAUUAUUAUCAAACAUUUCAAUUAAUUUGUGAUUUUUUUAUUAUUUAAUCAAUUAUGAAUUAAUGGAUUCUUCUUGUUGUUUUGAAGACCAAUAAAAAAAAAAGGGUAAGGAUGGCUUAUAACUCUGAUAAAACAACAGUGACGUGGACAGCAGAUGUUACACCGUACUGAAGAUUUUUGAAGAUUCUUUAUUUGGGUUUCUUUCAAGAUGAAAACCAUAUUAUCCACAACCACAAUGAAGAAGACAGAAAAUGGAGUAAUUCAGAUGUUACCAGCCAUCCACGACAAACUGAAGUCUGCAAAGCAUUCGUAAUCUAAAGGGAGACUUUGGAAAAGCCCAAAGGAGAGAGAAAAUUUUUAAAAGAAGCAAAAAUGGACAAAAUUGCCCUUAUUUAUUUUUUGAUUUCCUAAGAAAUCCUUUACAUUUGCAUGUCUUUGGUUUGAAAGUUGAGAGGUUAUUCUGUCUUUUUUCAAAAAGCUUUGGCUUUUUCCAAAAGUGAAAGUUUUUUUAUGGGUAAAACCUAAAUUUACUUAAUCCCUAAAAAGGAUGGGGAGGCUGCGCAAUACUUAGCCACGUGUAGGCCAGGAGGCUUUCCAAUUUUAAUAUAUAUAUAAAUUGAAAAAAUAAAAUAAAAAUCAAUCUAUUAUCCUAUAUAAAAUAAAGAUUAUUGCUUCCAUGGGCAGUGCUAUGCACAGGACAGUGCCUGCCCAGCACAAAUUUUUUUUAAAUAAAAAAAAAAAAUCUACAUAUGUUAUAAGCUCAUCCAAAAAAAUAAAAUAAAAUAAAAGUAAAUUCUACAUAUAUGUUGCCCAUCUAGGUGGUUCCAUAUCUUCUCUCUCCUUCUCUUUUGGCUAUUAGACUUCUUGUUUCUCUCUCUCUCUUUGCUACCUCACAUCAGCAAGUUUCUCCCUCUCUUUUUUUGGGGUCAAAUUCUUCCUCUAUUGACAAAAUCUUCUAUUAUCUUGGGUGGGCAACUUGGCAACAACAUCUUCUCUUCUCCUUUUGUCAACAACAAGUAUUAUUCUCAUUCUCUCAUUUGCUAUAUAUCUUUAAUUAUAGUUUUAAUUUAAAAUUGAGUAUUCUAGGGUUUAAUUAGGGAUGAAUUAUAAUUUUAGAAUUUUGUUGAAAUUAAUUAAGGCUUCGAUUAGGGGUGAAUUAUUCUACUGCUUUGGUUUGGAAUUUUGUUAAAAUUGAGUAUUAUAGGGUUUAAUUAUGGAUGAAUUAUAAUUUUUGAUUUUGGUAUUAUUGAGAUGUUAUUAUGAGAAUUUGUUUCAUUUUUUUAUUGGUAUAUUUGAUUAAAAUUCUUUCUACAUAUUAUUCAUAGGCUAUCUUUUAUUAUGUCGGAUCACAAUCGGAAUCCCAAGAGAACAAAGAAUUUGAAUAGUGUUGUUUUGUAUUGCAUUGCAUUUACUUUUGGUUUUAGUUUUGCUUUUAGUGUAAAUUACUCAAAUGGUCCUCAAAUUUGUACCCGAUUUACAUUUUGGUCCAUAAACUAAAUUAUUCAUUCAAAUGGUGCACCAACUCUUUAUUAAUCAGUGCUUUGGUCCUACCGUUAUGUUUUCUAUUAAAUUUAGUCAUGUGAGCAGCACAUGCUACAUUUGUAGGGGUAAAUAAGACUUUUGACCACUUUAUCACCUAUGUAUCACCACUUUAUAACCUAUUUGGAGAACAUAGGUCAGUUAUGGACGGUUUUACAAUUAUAUUUGACGGCAACAUUAACAUAAUGUAACAGUGGGAUCAAUGGAGCGAUUAAUAUAGAGUUGAUGGACCGUUUGAACGAAUAAUUUAAUUGAGGGACCAAAACGUAAAUUGAGUAUAAGUUUGAGGACCAUUUGAGUAAUGUACCCUUCGCUUUUAUAUUUGUUGAACUUUUAUUUAUGGAUAGAUAUGCAUUUGAGGGUAAGACCCAUUAUGUUCCCCCUGACUUGGUGUAUCUUUUUAUGUUUAUUAAUGAAAUUCACUCGAACUGUUGAGUUUAGUAUGUAAGUUUUGCCUAACCGGCUUUUGAAUCCUAGAACCGCCACUGUUGCUCCAUCCUCCAUGCACUUGCAUGUGCUCUUACAAAGUGUGAAGUAGAUUUUGUGUGCUCCAAGUCAUUGACUAGAGCUGAAACAUGGUUAGCUAGAUUUAUAAGGACCCAUCUCUCUAUUUCCUAGACAUAUACCCAUCUCUCUAUAAAUCUAUAUGUAAAACUCAAUUUCAAACUUAAAUGACCAGUAAGAUAUAAGAGGUCAUAGUAUUCCUAUGUUUUUACAUCGUUGCCACCAGACUUCUUAUUUUAUUUAUAAUUUAUUUCAAGCAUUUCAUUAACUGCCAUAAUUGUAAUUAAUACUCCAUAUUAAUAGCAUAUCAAUCACCCCAUUUCUUUUGAUUGCCAUUCCCUCUAACAUAUCGCCCCUUAAAAUUGAAAACCAAAAAAAAAAAAAAUGUAAAUUACAUAUCCAAUAAUGUACCUAUGAAAAAUAUAAAUAUAAAUAUAUACGUAUAAAAAUAUAGGUUUAUUAUUUACCAAAUAAAAAAUAUAAAAAAACUAGGUCAGUUGCUUUGUAAUUGAAAUUUCUAUACAUUUUCCACAAAUUAAAAAUAGGUACACAAUAAUUUAUAGAAAAUAUAGGUGCAUUAUUUAUCCAUAGGUAAAAAUACCUAUAAAUGCACAUAGGUAAAUUAUUUACCCAUAUAUUAUUUUUUUGCUAAGGAUUUACCUUAGUUUUUAGUAGAUUAAUUUACCUACCUAGAGGCAUAGGUAGCUUAAAAAAAUUGUAGCACCUUAGUUGGUUGCAUACUAAUUUACCUACCUAGAGGCAUAGGUUGCUAAGAAAAAAUGUAGGUAAAUUCAUGUACCUAAACACAUAGGGGUCAAAUAGAGAAUAACAUGUUAUUUCCCUUCGAACAAAUUAAUUUCAAACCAUAACAAUAAUUGAAUUCGGAAAUUGGUAUAAAUAAAAGGAAAUAAAUAAGCUAUCAAUUUGAAAAUUAAAAUAAGAAAUGAUCAAGUAGUCAUAUUUGAAAAAAAAGAAAAGAAUAUAUUCUUGGUUUUUAUAGGAACAACGUGUAUAUUCAAACCAAAUGGCAGUAACUACACCAAGCUUUAAUUACUUUUUUUUAAGGCCAAAAGUCACUUUUGGUCUCUGUAGUUUGACACUUCUAUUACUUUUGACGCUGUAGUUUCAAUUCCGUCAAUUUUGCCAUUGUAGUUUCAUAUUUGUAGCAAUUCAAGGACAUGUUAAUAUUAAUGUCAAUUUGUUUAAUGAUGCAAGGGGUAAUUUCGUCAUCCCAAAAUCCUUGAGCAUAAAAGCUUGUCUGAAAUUCUCCCCAUUUCAUAUUAGGGCUCGAAAUUCAACCACUAAUCCCAAUUUUUGAAGAACCCUAUACCCAAAUGACCAAUUUCAAGCCCUAAUAACAAAUUAGGGAAGUUUUAGAUGAGCUUUUAUGCUCAAGGAUUUUGAGUUGAAGAAAUUGCCCCUUGCACUGUCAAAGAAAUUGAUAGGAAUACUGACUUGUCCUUGAAUUGCUACAAAUACAAAAAUACAGGGUCAAAAUUAACAGAAUUUAAACUAUAUGGUCAAAAGUGGUUAAAGUGCCAAACUACAAGGACCAAAAGUGACUUUUAGCCUUUUUGUUUAAAUAAGGAAAAAACUUACCUAUUAAAUCCUUGGAAUCUAUACAAAAUUGAAACACAGUUAAUCAGCAUUGAAUUGCAGCUAAUUUCUUAAACAAGGGUAUUAUAGGAAUUUAAAAAGUAUAACAUUUAAUCCAUUGAGCUUGAUUAGGAAUCUUGAUGAGUUGGAUCCUAGUUAUAUAGUUUCUCUUAUAAAAAUCGGGUUUUAUUUAUAGACAAAUAAAACAAUGGGUUGUAGGUAAGAAAAUAUUAAUUUGAAGGGAAAGUGUCACAUCCUGGGAUCGGCUCCGCCGUAGCACGAUAUUGUCCGCUUUGGGCCCCCCUCUCUGCCCGCACGGUUUUGUUUCUGGGAGCUCACGAGCAACUUCCCAGUGGGUCACCCAUCCUGGGAUUGCUCUGGCCCCCAACUCGCUUAACUUCGGAAUUCCUAUGACUCCGAAGCCAGUGAGCUCCCAAAAGGCCUCGUGCUAGAUGGAUGCGGGUGUGUACAUAUAAGACACAUCACCCCCUCUCCGUUGGUUGAUGUGGGAUCUUACAGAAAGAGUCAAAUUUACUAAAUUAAUAAAGCAUAAAUUGGAAAGGGAAAAGAUCUAGAGGAUGCAUUGUAGGAUUGCUCAUGCCAAUAAUUGCACCCUCUCGAUAUUGAAAAACCUAUUGUGUAUUAUUAUCUUCAAUCAUGAAUGAUGCACCUAAAACCCAAGUGUCCCAAGCCAACCAUUGCGCUCAUACCACUUGUUGCAGUACACAUUCACCCGUUUUUAAAGAAAGAAAUUCUACCAAUCGAUAUUGUCUCAAAUUUAAUCACAUAGGUCUAUUAUGGUUAACCAUAUGUACUUUUAUCGGCCAUAUAGAGGUACCUUUUUCCAACGUGCAACAAUUGUAUUUGAUUCACAAUUAUGUCUGAUAUACAUCACAUCAUGCCACUUGCCUCAAAUGAAUUUAAUUGAGUGAGGCAAUGGGAAGUAAUUAAGCUCUAUAUUGGUGGGUGGAGUGUUACUUCUGGAACCCUCAUCAUUCGUCCAUACAAGGGAACAAUUCCCUUCCUUCUAUAAAAUGGUGAAGCCAGUUGCUAUUGUUUGUUAGAGUUUUAGGAUCUGAGUGUUAGAUUUUGUGAGAAGAGAGAAGAGAAUUUAGUGAAAACUUCCAAUACUGCUCUGCUAUACGUGUAGCAGAGAGAACAUUCUGUUUUGUUAUAUAUUUUCAGUACAACAACACACACUUGGUGUGAGAAGAAAAAUGACUGUUAUGCACAGUACCAGCUGGAUGCUUUCCAUCAAAGUAAUCUCAGCCAUUCACUAUCUAACCAAUCAAGCUAUGACACCUGGACUAAGUAUAAAGAAAUACAACUAAGCAGAAAACAAGACUCUUAAUCCUGAAAUCAACUUAAGCACUUAUAAUUCAACACUCCCCUUUAAGUCUUGAGGUGAUUUCACUCCAAGCAUGCCUCUGAGAUAAUUGAAUCUGUCUUUGGCCAGAGGUUUGGUAAAAAUGUCAGCCAAUUGUUCAUUUGUAGGACAAUAUUCCAGAUUGAUUACCCCUUCUUGCAAUGCAUCCUUGAUGAAGUGAUACCUCCUGUCAAUAUGCUUUGUCUUCUGGUGGAAUACAGGGUUUUUAGUGAUUGCAAUUGCUGAGAUAUUAUCACAAUGCAAUGGAGUAGCUUCAGUUUGAAGCUCUCUAAAGUCUUCUAGCACAAAACGGAGCCAAAUAGCUUGAGUAGUAGCCUCAGCUGCACUGAUGUACUCAGCUUCUGCAGUAGACAGUGCAACACAGUUCUGUUUCACUGAGGCCCAAGAAAAUACUCCACUUCCAAAACUAAACGCAUACCCUGAUGUGCUCUUGCAAUCACCAACUGAUCCUCCCCAAUCACUGUCACAGUAACCAACUAGAAUUGAUCUUUUGCCUUUCACAUAUUCAAGACCAUAGUCCAGAGUUCCUUUGAUGUAUCUCAAAACCCUUUUAGCUGUUCCAUAGUGUCUAUUUGUAGGACAGUGCAUGAAUCUAGCUAGCAAGCUUGAGGCAUACAUGAUGUCUGGUCUUGUAGCAGUUAAGUACAGCAAGCUACCAACAAUGCUUCUGUAUUGUUCUUCAUUUGCAGCUCAACUCCCAUCAUCCUUAGCUAGUUUCUCAGUGGCAACAAGGGGUGUUGUCACAGGUUUGCACUCAGUCAAACCAAACUUGCUCAACAAGGUGCUAGCAUAUUUCUUUUGAUGUAGAAAUAUACUAGACUCAGUCUGAAUAACUCCCAUGCCAAGAAAGUGAUGAAGUAAGCCCAAAUCAGUCAUCUCAUACUUAGCCAUCAUGUCUUCUUUGAAUUCAGCCAACAAUGCUUGACUGCUCCCUGUAUACACAAUAUCGUCUACAUAGAUAGACACAAUUAGAAUCUCCUUAUCUCCCCUUACUUUGGUAUAUAAGGUUGUUUCACUUAAGCUUUUCACAAAACCACAUUGAGUGAAGUAGCUGUCUAUCUCUCCAUACCAAGCCCUUGGGGCUUGCUUCAGACCAUAAAGGGCUUUAUGCAAACGAUAAACCUUGUCUUCUUUACCUUUAAUUACAAAACCUUCAGGCUGACUGACAUAAACUUCCUCUUGCAGCACACCAUUAAGGAAAGCAGACUUCACAUCAAGCUGGAACAAUUUCCAAUCCUUUUGAGCAGCUAGAGCAAUAAGUGUUCUAAUGGUGUCCAAUCUGGCUAUAGGUGCAUAAGUCUCAUUAUAAUCCAGUCCAGGCUUCUGAGCAUACCCCUUAGCCACUAAUCUUGCUUUAUUCUUUUGCACUGAGCCAUCCAAAUUCAGCUUUGUCUUGUACACCCACUUAACUCCAAUCACUGGUUUUUCAGUUAGUCUAUCUACCAAUUCCCAUGUUUCAUUCUUUUCAAUCAUCUGCAGUUCAUCUUCCAUAGCCUUAAGCCAAGAUUCAUCCUGAGCAACAUCAGCAUAUUUUUCUGGUUCCAUGAUACACAAGUUACACUGAGCUAGAACAUCAUCUAGCCUUCUCCAUUUUAGAGGGGUGUGAUCAUAAGCUUGAGUUCUCCUUUCUUCACUGCUUAUAUCACCUGGAGUUGAUGAAAUGCUCUCUUGCAUAUCCAAAGUUUGAGGUGUACCAGUAGAAUUCUCAUUAGAACUGUCAGAUUUCAAGUCCAAAUCAACUUGGUUUUCAAUUGAGUAUGUUGUCAUAACUGAACCAUUUUUGUUUGUCCAAUGCCAAGCAUUUUCUUCAUCAAAUGUCACAUCCCUUGAUAGUAAAAGCUUGUUAGAAACAGGAUCAAAAACUCUAUAUCCUUUUUCACAAGUUGCAUAUCCCACAAACACUCCCUUUGUACUCUUAGGAUCCCGCUUGUGUCUCAAUUCAGUUGGCACAUGAACAUAACACAGAGAACCAAACACUUUCAGAUGUGCAAUUCCAGGCUUCCUUCCACUAUAUGCUUCGAAUGGAGUAAUGUUGUUGAGAGCUUUGGUAGGACAUCUGUUCAGCAAAUAGAUAGCUGUAUGCACAGCUUCUGCCCAUAGGAAAUAAGGCAUUCCCUUCUCAUGUAACAUUGAUUUUGCCAUCUCAAUGACAGUUCUAUUCUUCCUCUCAACUACUCCAUUCUGCUGAGGAGUAUAGGCCAUUGUAAGCUGCCUUUGAAUGCCAUUAGCUUCACAAAACUCCAAAAAAUCAGUAGACAUAAACUCUCCACCCCUGUCACUUCUUAUGCACUGAACCUUGUGUCCAGUUUGUAAUUCAGUCAUGGACUUGAACUUCUUGAAACAAAAGAAGGCUUUUGACUUGUUUCUCAAGAAGUAUACCCAAAUCAUUCUUGUGAAAUCAUCUAUAAUCAGCAUGAAAUAUCUGUUCCUUGCAACAGACUCAUUUCUCAUGGGACCACAGAGAUCCACAUGUAUUAGCACUAGUACUUUGCUUGCUCUUUGAGCUUGAUCUUUUGGAAAAACAUUUCUGUGCUGUUUUCCAAAUUGGCACCCGUCACACACACCACUUUGUUCUUCCAAUUUUGGUAAACCAUGUACCAUUUCUUUAUCACUUAGCUGCUUCAAUCCUCCAAAAUGCAGAUGACCAAAUCUCUUGUGCCAAAUCCAUGUGGAUUGAAGAAAACUAGUCUUCAUUAGUAACUGUUUUUCAGCUAGAAAAGAGACAGGAUAGCAUCUGUUACUCUUCAUUUGCACCUUUAUGAUGAGAUAAUCCAUGGAUGGGCUAUCAAAUACCCUGCACAUCCCUUCUCCAAACACUAGACAGUACCCAUGUUCAUCCAUCUGCCCAACACUUAGCAGAUUUUCUUUCAAUCCUGGCAGAUACAUUACUUCUCUGAUGUAUUUCCUGCCCUUUGCUGUAUCAAUACUCAGUGAGCCAAUACCAGCUACACUCACUAAUGCACCAGUUGGCAUUUGUACUCUCCCAGCUACAUUAGUUCUCACAUCAACCAGCAAAUCUAAAUUUCCUGUCAUAUGAUUGCUGCAGCCACUGUCAAUGUACCAUUCAUUGGUUUUGAUCUCAGUGGUUGAGCAAUUGGCAUAAAACAGGUUUCCUGUAACCUCCAUUUGAUUUACACAAUUAGCCUUCUGCACAUUUUUGCUCACUGUACAGUCUCUAGCAAGAUGUCCAACUCUGUCACAGUUAUAGCAUUUUGGUUUUCCCUUAUACCUGCACUCACCAAAAUGAUGCUUUGAACACACCUUGCAUUGAGGCUUUGUGUUUUCCUGAUUUGAGAACUGUGUUGAAGUGUGGUUCUGUGCAGAAUAAUUAUUCUGCUGUGUCUUGUCUUUUGCCUCCCAUGACUUCCCUUUAGAGUUCCAGCUUCUCUGUGACUUAGAUGAACCAGACUGAGAAGCAUUUUUGUUCUGACCCUUUGAAUUCACAGUGAAUGAGGCAAAUGCCUUCUCAGCUGUAUCAACACUAUGCAUUUCAAGCCUUUGCUCCCGACUCUUCAAAAUGGCAGUUACUUCCUGCAAAUCCACAGUUUCUAGUGUCUUUGUGUUUUCAAUCACAAUGCAUAUAGGGUCAUACUUCUUACUUAGACUAAUUAACACCUUCUGAACCUACCUCUCAUUUGACAGAACUUCACCAAAUGUUUUCAUUUGGUUAAUCAAUUCAGUUAGUCUAGUAAGAUAUUCAGAUAAGGUUUCACUAUCACGCAUCCUACUGUAUUCAAACUCACGUCUAAGGUUUUGAAGCUUUACCGAUCUAACAUGCUCUCCACCAUGAUAUUCUGAGUACAGCAGAUUCCAAGCCAUCUUUGCAGAGUCAGCAUUGGCAAUUCUGGGAAAAAUCUGAUCAGAAACAGCAUUUUGAAUGAUACCCAAGGCCUUCGCAUCCUUCAUGAGAAUCGCAGCUGUUUUCUCAUCAACUUCUUCUUCUGAACCAUCCUCAGAUUCCUGCUUCGUCUUUGAAUCUGGGAUUAAAAACCCCUUCUCUACCAAACCCCAUAAACCAUAUGAUCUGAAUAUGGUUACCAUCUUAAUCCUCCAAAAUUCAUAGUUCUCACCUGAGAAAAUGGGGAUUCUAGCCUCUGAACUUCCAGAUCCAGCCAUUACGAAUUUCAGAUUCGCCUGGAAACAAGAUGUUUUCAGAUUUGACCCUUGAUCGAGCUCAAUCAGCUUCGUGAGCUUAGAAUGAGCUCACCUCGAUCGAUUUUCUUCACAGAACAACGCCCAGCUUCAGAUAAUCAAACUUGGCUCUGAGGCCAUGUUAGAGUUUUAGGAUCUGAGUGUUAGAUAUUGUGAGAAGAGAGAAGAGAAUUUAGUGAAAAUUUCCAAUACUGCUCUGCUAUACGUGUAGCAGAGAGAACAUUCUCUUUUGCUAUAUAUUUUCAGUACAACAACACACACUUGGUGUGAGAAGAAAAAUGACUGUUAUGCACAGUACCAGCUGGAUGCUUUCCAUCAAAGUAAUCUCAGCCAUUCACUAUCUAACCAAUCAAGCUAUGACACCUGGACUAAGUAUAAAGAAAUACAACUAAGCAGAAAACAAGACUCUUAAUCCUGAAAUCAACUUAAGCACUUAUAAUUCAACAUUGUUACCAUAAGAGCCAGCUCCGACUUUCUUUAAUUUCAGUCCUAACGGGGUUUCAUCUUCCACUCAUCUUUGCUCUUCUCAGUGUAAGCUCUGCAAUUUGAUUAACUUUCCCAUUAUCUCUCACUGUACUCUAUAUAAAGGAAUAAGUGUCGUCCACUAAUUAAUUACACUUUGUGAGAUUUGAUUUUAAUUAGAGUUCGAAUUGAUGUUGCAGCUAGCAGCGGUGGCACUGGCAAACCAUGCUGCUCAACCAGCACCUCAACUUUACUGGAACUCCGUCCUGCCAAACACACAAAUGCCAAGAGCUAUCAGUGAACUUCUGCAUCCUGGUUUGUGUUGAAUAAAUAUAGUAUGUUACUGGAGUACGUAUGGCAACAUAUUCACAAAUGUGUCACGUAUUUUCCAAUAUGACGUUGAUAUAUAAUUGCAGACUCCACAAACGAAGAAAAGAGCACAAAUGUCAUGAAUGCUGUUGGGAAUGGAAAGCCAAUUGACCACAAGGGCAACCUGAAAAUACUGUACUACCACAGCUUGCACGACGCCCAUUUUCUUACAAGAGUGAUGAUCGUCCCACUGACAAUCAACUCCAUUAUAAAAACGUAGCUAUUUUCUUCUUGGAGAAGGACAUGCGCCCUGGCACAACAAUGAGCUUCCAAUUCCCUAGAAAUUCAAACACGGCUACUUUCCUGCCACCAGAAAGAGCUCAAUCGAUCCCCUUCUCCUCUAACAAACUACCAGAAAUUUUCAACCAUUUUUCAGUGAAGCCAACAUCUGUGGAAGCCAAAACAAUUAAGCAAACAAUCGAAGAGUGUGAGGCUCCAGGCAUUAAGGGAGAGGAAAUAUAUUGCGCCACAUCUUUAGAAUCAAUGGUUGAUUUUAGCACUUCGAAUUUUCGAACAAGAAACGUUCAAGCAAUCUCGACAGAGGUAUUGGAAAAAGGUGCCACCAUGUCCAUGCACAAGCAUACAACAAUGCCGGGACUGAAGAAGUUGGCAGGUGACAAAGUCGUUGUGUGUCAUAAGCAGAACUAUCCCUAUGCUGUGUUUUACUGCCAUGUAAUAAAACCAACAGCAGCUUAUGUUCUCUCCCUGAAAGGCGAUGAUGGGGUGAAGAUUAAAGCAGUAGCCAUCUGCCAUCUAGACACAUCAGAAUGGAACCCAAAGCAUUUGGCCUUCCAAAUCCUCAAAGUUAAGCCCGGAACAAUUCCCAUCUGCCAUUUCCUUCCCACUGAUCAUAGUGUCUGGGUUCCGAACCACAAAUCUGCAUGAUCAUCACUUAGCACUGUACGUAUAAUAAGCUUGCACCCCUGUAUAAUUAUCUCCCUACUCUACUUAUUUCUGCCUCUUCAUGUGGUGUAAGAUAUAUGAUGAGAUGAAGUUUUUGGGAUUAGUGGUCGGGUUGCCUUAAAAACACAGAUUACAGAAACUGCUUGAACUUAACCCGAUCAUGUUUUCUCUUGUACUCGUAAAGCAUGCUGUUGUGGUUCUACUUAAUUUCGUUCUCCCCAAUGUUUGAGUGUUUAAUUGUUACGUUGGAUAAUGCUUGUAGUUAGAGAAGCCUUCAUUUAUAUCAAAGUCCUCAACUUGUAAAGAUAUCAAUGGUCCUAGUGCUGCCACGUGUAAGAAGAUUGAAGAAUAAAGCUGUUGAGAUAUUGUUAGACCUGUUAUGCAGUUUAGGAAAACUGUUAGUAUUGAUAAGAGAAGGUUAGAGAUGUUAGAGAGGUUAGAAAACACGUGAACAAGGCUUUAACUCAGCUGAUAUAAAGUCUGUAGUUGUGCUCAGUUGAACUUAAUGAGAAAUACAACAAGUCUCUUCUCUAUCUCUGAAAUUCUCUCUGCUCUCUCUGCUUUACUUCUUUUGUCUCUGCUCUACAUUUUUUUUCAAUCUUCCUAUCUUAACAAAACUAUCAAGAAUUAAUGCAUCCAGAAACAUAUAUACCAAGACGCAAAACAACAUAUUUUUCAUGCUCUGUCUGUAACACCAAAGCAAACUUCCUUUAUCACAAAAGGAUCAAAUUCCAGUACUAAUCUAAUCCAUCAUGUAAAGCAUACAAUCUACAAGUGCCUCCCUUAAUUUGUCCAUUGGAUAUAUAUGUCACUUUUUGGUAAUUUGGUAUAGCAGCACCACGUAGUCUUGAAAUAGUAGUGCGGCUAUACCAAAUAUACCAUUUGCCCCUGCAUUUAACAGAAAAGUAAACAAAAUUGACGGUAGAACUAUUUGUCCUAACGAAACUGCAGUUGAAAGACCAUGAGAACGAUUUUGAAAAUUGAGGGACUCAAAUGAAAAUUGGGUCUAAGUUCAAGAACCAAUAAAACGAUUAACCCAUAGAUUUUGGAUCCAGUACCACAUCCCAAAGAGAAAACCACAAGUUUGCAAGCAAGUUUGUCCAUAAUAACACUACGUACAGUAUGGGCAGUGCGCUAGACUCAUCUCACUUUCUCAACCUAUCCUAUAGUUGUCUAAAAGAGUUUCUAAUUUAAUGUACUGAGAUUUACGAAAGAAAUAUCAGAGAAACAAUUUUCAGGCAAUAAAAAAAUGUCUUGGCAAGAAAAUGUACAAUUUGUUACAUAACUUAUUAAAUAUGAACAGUUGAAAGAAAAAAGAAUCUGGAUGAGGGAUUUGCAAAUUCCUAUGGCCCAAUUACCUUUUUUUCUUUGUUGUUUUUUUUUUUUUUUUUUUGGUUCUUUUGAUCCAGUAGCAUAUUCCAAAGAAUGAAAACCACAGGCAUGCAAUGCAAGCUCUUUUCCCACGUUUUCCUCUGUUUUUCUCCUAUCAUGGAAGUGAUUAAAACACACCUCUAAGCUUGUUUUGCGUUUGGUAGCCGAGUGUAAAAGCUCAAUGCAAGAUAGUUUGAGGUAGAAUUUUCUCCUAUUUUAUUAGGACAAUGAUAAUUAAAAAAAAGUGUGAUUCAUUGAAUAUUUGCGGGGUUUUGUUCAGACCUGACAAAGUUCUAAGUCAACACAUCAAAUUCCUUUUUCCAACAUGCAACAAUUGUAUUUGAUUCCCAAUUUUUUCUGAUAUACAUCACAUCAUGCCACUUGCAUCAAAUGAAUUUAAUUGAGUGAGGCAAUGGGAAGUAAUUAAGCUCUGUAUUCGUGGGUGGAGUGUUACUUCUGGAACCCUAAUAAUUCGUCCCUACAGGACUCUAGAACUCUCAAACUUCUUACAAGGACUACUUAACUCUAUAGCUUAAUGCAUAUAGCAUAUAUAUGCAAACACAAUUAGAAAUUCUACAACAGAAGCAAGAUCAAUCUCACUAUGCCUUCUAAACAAACAAACAAAUAAAACAAGCAUAUUAAUUGCUUUAAUCACUCUACUAACAUCAACACAGCACACUUAGUUUACUAACAGAUGAUAUAGAAAGGAAAAAAAAGGACCAAUAGGGAGAAAAUGGUGAACUAAGGAGAGACUAAUACUUCUGGUCCUUAGAAGGCAUAACAGAAAUAAUAGAGCACACUGCUUGAAUGCAAGUCAGUAUUAGGAGCAAAACAGCUGCAAUGAAAGAAAUAGUUGCCCAAGGUGUAUUGAAAUAAUGUUGCCUCAAAUUUGCCUUCCAUUUGUUCCAAGGCUUUCUGCAGUAGCUAUUAAGGCGCUCAGAAAGAAUAGCAAAGUAGAAGCUUUCACGAUACACUGCAAUUCCUUUUCCGAGGUUGUUAAUCAGAGUGCACACCUCAUUGUAGUCACCAAGCAUAUUUUUGACAAUCCCAUCCUUCAGAAGGAACUCCACAUCCUUUUCGGUGUUCACAAACUCAUCCAUGAGUGAAACAUAAUCACUUAUGUAAUUCUUACGGCAAUGGCACUAUUCAAAGGCAAUGAGGUUACGGAGUGUGAGCUCUGUGUAAUCGUGUAUUUUUAGUUUUGGAAUUUCUAGAAUCCCAUCGUUGAAUUGUGUUAACGCAGCUUUCCUUUCCUAGCCUACACGGAAGUCAACUUCACAAUCUCCUCCUAGCAAUUAGUCUUUCCUGCUGUAAAUCAGAUUUCCUACUGUAAAUCGGAUUGUAUUCAUGUCUAUAUUAUUUCCUACUUUAAGUAGAUAUCUUGUACUAGUAUAAAUAGGGACUUUGUGUAAUCUGUUAAAUACAAGGAAAUAUAUACUCUGCAUGGUAUCAGCCUAACCUAGGGUUCUCUCUCUCUCCCUUAUUCGAUCCUCUUCUCCUUUAGGUCCACCUCAUGGCUUUGUCUGAAUCCACCAUCUCCCUCCCAAGCCCCAACUCUUCUAUUUUAUCAAGCUUAUUGACUCCAACUAUCUUCUUUGGCUCCGCCAACUCAAACCCUUUUUAGUCGGCCAUGACCUCUGGAAAUUUAUCGAUGGCAUUCAUAAACAACCUUCUGCCCACACCUCCACCUCUACCACCGCAACACCCACAACCACCACCACUCUUACCCAAAUCAAUCAUGCCCAUGCUCAGUGGUACCAACAAGACCAACUCAUUGUUAGCUACAUCACCAAUACACUCUCUGAGUCCAUUCUCUUUCUCACUGUUGGUUGCACCUCUGCCCGGGAUCUCUGGGAGUGUCUCCAACGCCACUUCUCUCAAUCCAGUAUGGCCAGUGAAUCUACUCUUCGUUUUAAACUCAUGGAUUUGCAAAAAGGCUCUGAACCCACUUAUGCUUACAUUCGUCAUGCUAAGUCCUUUGCCGAUUCACUGGCUGCCAUCAAUGAACCUGUCUCCCCAAAAGAACUUGUCACUACUGUGCUUUGGGGUUUAAGACCCUAUUGCAACAUCCUCGUCACAGCAAUUCUCAAUUUCCCUCUGCUUCCUAACUUUGCUAAUCUUCGUGCUCGUUUGUUAGCAUUUGACGCACAGACUCCUUGAAUCUCUCCUGAUCAAAACACAGCGCAAAUGGCCACCCAAUCCUCUCCUCACACCACCGGUCAUACUUCCUUCCCUUCUCACCGUGGUGGUGGCUCUUCCAACAACAGGCGUGGUGGCCUCGGUGGCUGGCGCAAUAGCGGCCGGGGUGGCUGGCGCAGCUUCUCAUCUUCCUGGAGCAACCCGUGGAAUGGCUUCCAGCAGCUCCAAUGACCUAAUCAACCAUGGCCUCCUUUUGCUCCAAGUUCUGGAUCUCAAAGCAACUGGCCUUCCUUUCAGCCUCCUUGGGCCUAAUCUGCCGCUUCUAUCAAACACUUUGCCCGGCCCAACUCAGCUCCUGGUGUCUUGGGACCCGCUUGGUGCACUACCUGCAAUACCAAUCACAUACUACUACAAUAUGUCCUCAUCGCUACAAUGGCCCAGAAUCCUUUCUUUGCUAGGGCUCAAUUCAUGUAGCCACCUGACUCUACUUGGUACCCUGACACAAGUACCACUCAUCAUAUGAUUGGUAGUCCUUCUAAUCUCCAAAAUCAAUCCUUCUAAUCUCCAAAAUCAACAGCCAUAUCAGGUUCAUAAUUCUGUAUUUCUUGGUAAUGGAGAUUCUCUCCCUAUCUCUCAUACUAGCUCUCUCUUUUGUCUUCCAUCUCUUCGUACUAAUCUUCUUUUUGUUGCCCAUUUUACUUGUGAUAAUUUAGUUUUCUUUGUCUUUACUCUUGACUUUUAUCAAAUCUAUGACUUAUGUACUGGUUCGUUACUCUUUCAGGGCCCUUCUAAAGAUGGUCUUUACCCACUUUCCAUCUCCUCUCACUCAUCCAUAGUCCCCCAUGCCCUUACCACCGUGCACUCUCCUGCUUGGCAUCAUUGCCUUGGCCAUCCAUUCCAUCGUGUGCUCUCUCAUUUAGCGCCAUCUCUAGGCUUUAAAGUUUCUCAUGCUUUCUGUAAGGAUUGUGCACUUAGCAAAUCCACCAAACUGUCAUUUCUUAGUAAUAAAACCUUUGCCCCAUCUCCCUUUUAUUUAAUUCACUCUGAUGUAUGGAUGUCCUCGGUCAUUUCUGUCACUGGUUAUCGCUAUUAUGUCUUGUUUACAGAUGACUUUUCUCGUUACUCCUGGAUCUAUCAUAUGCACCGUAAAAAUGAGGUCUUUUCUCACUUUCAAACCUUUCUUGCUAUGGUUAAAAAUCAAUUUCACACCACUGUACAAAUUCUUUAAAGUGACAAUGGCACUGAAUAUGUUAAUAAUGCUUUCUCUGAUCUUUGCAGUCAACUAGGCAUCCACCAACGUUUCACAUGUCCCCACACUCCCCAACAAAAUGGCCUAGCUGAACAUAAACACAGACACAUUGCCACCAUGAUCUGUCCCCGGUCAUUUAUUCAACCAUCUUGACCUUUUGCUUGAUCAUUUUCCACAAGCAACCGUCCACGUACCCCAAUAAUUUAAAAGGGCUGAUGAUCUUUAAUUUGGUGAAAGCUUCUAUCUACCUACCGUGCUAUAUAUGAGCUAUGCAAUCGUGACCGUGUUACAUGACGUCCCAAUGUCGUAGGGAUAAAAAAAUAAUAGUCAUGGUUUUCUUAUUAAUGUCAAUACAUUCAUAGCAAAGAGCUUGUAGCUCUAGUGGUUAAGAGCAAUUACCCAUGCACUUGAGAUAUUUUGUGUUUAAAUCCCCUCUUCCCCAAUAUUUCUUGUAUAAAAAUAAAAAUAACAAUAAUAAUGACAUUAAUGUUGUAUUCUAUAAAGUGUUGGACAUGUUUUAUACCCCUUUCUUGCAAAUUACAGUUUGCCACGUGUACAAAAAUAAUAGAUAAGUGUUGGACAUCAAGAGCACUUACAUAUAGGUUUAAUAGGUAAGUUUUGAAUAUUUCUGUAUUUAGCUUUAAAUAUUGAAAAUCAACCUAUUAGCAUAUUAAAGAUUUGUCCAUAUUCGACGUACAUUCUCUUAUUUUUCUCUCAUUGAAGUAAAUACAAAACUAAGCACAUAGUGGGAAAGUGCGUCACGAUUAGGGGUGGGUUUAGUCUAGGUUGGUUCAUUUUUGGGCUCAAUUUGAACACCGAACUGUAAGCUUCGGUUUGGCUAUUUUGGAAACCGAAACCAAACCAUAAUUGAUGAAAACCGACCACUUCGAUUACCUUCUGGUCUUCCAACCAGAAGAAAACUCAAAACUUUAACCAUACCAAGUGCAACAGAAUUACACCAGGCUGGAUUCAAGUUUAUGAUGGUUAAAGAUAAAAACUUAUUUGACAUACAAUUUGAGAAUGGAAUCCUCAAAAUUCCACACCUGCGAAUACGGGGUUUAACAGAAAUUUUCUUCCGCAAUCUUAUUGCCUAUGAGCAGUGUGAGCUUCAUGAUCAUUACAUCAACGACUAUGUCUUCAUCAUGGACCGCCUGGUCGACAGUGCCAGGGAUGUGGAAUUGCUUGUGAAGAGUGGAAUUCUUGAAUCUAUGCUACCGGACAGCGAGGCAGCAGGGGAAUUUAUUAAUUCUCUUGACUUGGGGCCUAUUUUAGGCAAGCUUGAAACAAGACUAUUUCAGUUCACCAUGGGCUGGCCUGUCUAUUAUUGUAGCCGCUAUACUAGUUGUGCUCACAUUUAUUCAAACAGUGUGCUCCGUAAUGGCGCUGUAGGUUCUUCAUUUCCUCAAUUUCAUGUUUAGUGGUUGCAGAUUUGUUGCUCAUGUACGUGUUUAUCUAAAGUUAAAUAAGAGUGAUUGACUGGAUUGACUGUUAGUCUGUUAGUUUGUUUUUCUGGGGUUUUUCCCCCCUGUUCGUCAAAAAAAAAAAUAAAAGAGUGAUGGCUUGUGCCUAUGAAAAUUACUUAGGAGUAUGCUCCACAGAGCCAAAAUAAAUAAACUAGGGAAGUGGAGGUUCUUCUGUUUGUAUAUAAAUGAGCAAUUCAAACUCUCAGUGCCAAGGGAGUUACCCUUGAUACAUUUGUUAAAAAUUAUAUAUUUGGUCUUACAUCAAACAAAUAAUUUGAAGGGCUUUUUUGACAACUGCUGACAGCGUUUGGCAGAAAAGUUUAGAAGCGCUUCUACGCUUCUAGAUCAUAAAAGUGCUUUACCAAAAAGCACUUAGAUUUCUUAUGAAAAUUUCAACAUUUUUAUAAUAAAAGCGCUUGCUAGAAGCACUUAUAAGCAGAAGUGCUUCAUAGAGAAGCAGUCCCAAACGAGCUUGAUUUUCAAAUGUGCUGCUUAAGAAGAAAUUUAAUACGUUUUGAAAACAAAAAAAAAUACGAAAUUUAAUACGUUUGUUUUACAAAUUGUAUUAAUUGUUAUCAAUAAUACUUGUGCACACCCACAACAUACUUCUUUCUUUCUUUAUUUUCCUUCAGUACAGUUCUGCCUUUCUUUAAUUAUUUUUAACGAAUGCAAAGAGUUUGUCACAAAAUCAAGGAUUGAAAAAAAAAGAGAGUAAAUUAUGUGCUAGAGAAACUUUCCUGCAGAAAUUGAAGAACAACUCUAGUUUCUCUCUUUCGCCUUGUACUCCCGCACUGAGGUUAGUAUUGUUAUAAUGUGCAGAUUAUACGGUCACUCUUGUAUAAUGGCGAGAAGGCUCUAAUUAUAUUUUUGAACCUCUUUGACAGGACCCGCCCCGAAUUUCCCGAAACCCAAGACGAAUUCUGUGGAAAUUCCCUACAUCACCCCGAUGUUGGGCCCACUUCUAAAACUAUAUCAUUUUUCCUAAAAAGGAAUAAGGGCACGAGACUUUCUACCGAAAUUUCGGCAGAGUCUCUCCUGUAAAUUGAACAUUUCCCAAAAUUUCAACCUGCAUAAAACACAUUUUAUAUUACCCAACUGGCAGCAUGCACAAAAUAAUAACAUGCAAUUCACAUAAACGGCCUCUGGCCCUCCGGUAAUUCAGAGCAAUGCAAACUAGCAACUCUAAACCUAAUAAAACAACAUAAGUAACAUUUAGCCAGCGGCUGCACCCAGGCACUACCCUAGGCUACCUACGUACCCUUACUAAGGGAUCAAGCCACACGUAGUUCUUUCAUACAAAAUUUCCAAAUCCAUCAACAUGCAAUCAAUUACAGAAUCCCAAACAAAAUCUUUCUCAAACAUCAUUAGUUCCCAACUCAGUAUAAUAAUCCUUAAUUCAUCUCUGUAAUAAUCACAAUAUCUCCCCAUACGCCGGAACUACCAACACCACGUAUGGAGCCUGCCUGUACGCCAGAUAACCAACGACACGUGGGACCUCAUCAUCAUAUCACAUAAUCUCCCCAUACGCCGAAACUACCAACACCACGUAUGGGGUCUGUCAACACGCCGGAUAACCUACGACGUGUGACCUCAACAUCAAAUCACAAUAUCUCCCCAUACACCGGAACUACCUACGCCACGUAUGGGGUCUGUCCACAUGCCGGAUAACCUACGACACGUGGGACCUCAUCAUCAUAUCACAUAAUAUAUUAACGAUCAAGAAAUAUCACUACGGUCAUUUAAUCCUCCUGGGAAGGUAAAACUAUCUCAGGAGACUCACGGUCAACCAAGGGUCAAACUACCUCAUACUUGGACAAACGAGCCCACGGAGCCCACAACCUCCGUUUUACUAUCCAAGAGUUCCUAUAGGUUCUACAAGGUUUAGGAUACACGGCUUGCAAGUUUGGUCAAGAUCAGACGGUCGGAUCGCUCACGAUAGGACGGUUACUGCAAACCUAGCCCUAGGGUUGGCAUUUUCGGAGUAUCCGAAACUCCGUUUUACGAUCUGUCGAAUCAUAGACGAUCCUAAGGAUUUGCAGACUAACUAUAAUAAAUUCAAGACCAUCCAACGGUCUAAACCUAUCGAACCCGGAUAACGCGCAAUAGGCAAUAUCCAAAUUGAAAUCCGAGCACACCUACGCACUCGUGAGGACUAGGAGAUUACAUCGGGACAUAGUGCCCUUUUUCUACAGUGCCCAUGAGCCGCCGCACGCACCAGCAACGCGUGGGUGCCCAAAGCGAUUAUGCAUCGCCAAAAAAUCUCAAAACCACGGCUCAAGACUCCUACCCUAGGUAUAACACCCUAUUUGGAACCACUUUUGUUCUUGGACCUACCCCAAAAACUGAUCAGAAGUGGCCGGAAUGGCUGAAAUGUAAUUCAAAAAUCAAGCUACCAACGCUCAAAAUCGAUGCAAUCCUACCCAACCAUCAACUAGAUUAUGAAGAAUGGAUAAAUUUCCAUACCUUGAUCGCCAACAAUGGCGGCCGGAGGAGAGAGAUCUGAUCCGGCGAAGUUCGAGUGAAAACGGCCAAAAAUCAUCUUUUUCAGGCGGCUGGAGGGCGACCGAUGUCAGGGAAGGGCAGGGUCGUGACGCUAAGGCUGAGCCUGUCCUUUUGGCACCGGUCCCUUCCGCAGCCGUGUCCGGUGGCUGGAGUUUCGAAGAGAGAGAGAGAGAGAGAGAGAGAGAGAGAGAGAGAAAUCUGAUUUUUAUCAAACCUUUUUGCCAAAAUUACGGUUAUGCCACUGAGGGUAUUUUGAUAGUAUCUCUCUCGUUACAACUUCGAUUCGAGCCCACCACGUGUGUACGGACUCAUCUAACUGUGUUGUACGCAACGGUAUAGUCGAAAUUCCCAAAUUAUUUCCUUGUCAAAAAGUCAACUUUAAACAUUAUAAAAUAUUUUAGGGAAAAAAUGGUAUUUUCUCUCAAUAAAUUAGUAACUAAUUUAUUUAGGACUGGGUCAUUAUACUCUUUUUCGCUUCAAUGGAUGGGAAAAAAUUUUAUGUAAUAUCCCACAUCGACCAACGAAGAGGGGGCGAUGUGUCUUAUAUGUACAUGCCCGCCUCCAUCUAGCAUAAGGCCUUUUGGAAGCUCACUGGCUUCAGAGUCAUGGGAACUCCGAAGUUAAGCGAGUUGGGGGCUAGAGCAAUCCCAGGAUGAGUAACCCACUGGGAAGUUGCUCGUGAGCUUCGAGAAACAAAACCGUGAGGGCAGAGAGAGGGGCCCAAAGCGGACAAUAAGGCCUCGUGCUAGAUGGAGGCGGGCAUGUACAUAUAAGGCACAUCACUCUCUCUCCGUUGGUCGAUGUGGAAUGUUAGAAUGGAAUUGUUACCUUUGGUGUGGAGGUGUUCUAUCAUUUGAGCAAGAAAUUCCCACAUAUUCUUCAACUAUUUUUCAAGCAUGCAUAUUCCUCCCUAUCAAUCUUUGGUUUCUUCCUUUACUGUGCAUAGUAAGGAUCCAGUCAGGGACGGACCGUCGCUAUGACUAUCCUGGGCUAUAGCCCAGGCAAAUUAUUUUUUUUUCUAGUCUAAAAUAGCAAUCCCACCGCUUGCUGUAGUACUUGUUCAGUUCGUCACAAACAUGAGCAUAAUAGAAGUUAUCAACAUCUAUAUAGGAACCCCAAUGAAAAGGCUGUUAACUAAUAAUGAAGUUAACCCGUCAAUUUUUCCGCAUAUCAGAUAUCUCUCAGAAUAUGCGAUUCCAUAUUCAAUAAGCCACUCCACAUGCCCUGAGGUUUUCAUCAAACCACCCAUUAAGGAAACAUACUGACUCAUGUAAUUAUCAUUACUCAUCGGGUAAUGCAAUUGUUCAAAGGCAAGGACAUUUCUCAUUAUUUAUGUAGCGAACCCCAAUGGAAAUGGUGGGAUCUUCAGAACCCCAUCGGUGCUACUGAAUUGUAUGUCAAAUAUGUUUUCACCUUGUCACGCCUCAAACUUGACUCCAGCGUGCUGUAAUUCUGUCAAGCUGGGUAUGGAUGAUGGGAGUUUGAUGCAGGAGCAUAGGGGUGGAUCAAGAUAGAUAUUUACUAUUUAAUUAGUUAUUUCAUGAUAUAUUGUUAUUUUCUUAUUUAGGUAGUUUUAUGAUAUCUUUUAUUAUUUAUGUGUGAUUUUAUAAUUAAUUAGUAUACUUUUGGACCAAGUAGCCUUGGUGCUCAAGUCUUGUAAAGCCUAUAAAUAAGGCUAAUGUAAUAGUUGUAGAAUAGAUGUCGAUGAUUAAUAAAAUCGUUUAUUUGUGGCAUGGAUUUGCUACGAUAUAUGUGAGUUUGCACUAGCCCUAGAUUUCAGUGCUCGUGUAUGUGGUUGGUGACCUGUGUCCGGAUCCCGAUCCCCAUCAAUUGGUAUCAGAGCUAUGGCUCAAGAUCUGCUAUAUCGGGGAGGUUUUUGGAUGGAGGGUCGUUUUAACAACUACAACGACAUGGAGGAAAUUAGGAGGAUGCUACGGCAACUUAUGGAACACAUUGCUCGCAUUGAAGCUCGAACCCAGAUAGGUAAGAGUUCUGACGGGGAGGGAUGUGUGAACCCUUAUCUGAACCGAGUAGCUCGCAUCGACACUCUAAGCCGUGAGAGUCUCGACGGGGAGUACGAGGGAGAUAGCCCUUUUCAUUAUUGUGCUCCGCUGUGUGAGUCAAGUGAAGAGGGGCACGGUUAUUCUCAUUGUGUCUUUGAAGGUAUAAAUGAAUUUAGUAAUUUUGGUGCAUCUUGUUAUUCAUCAAAGUUAUUAAAUUUGGAUUUACCUCCAUUAUUUGAUCCUUGCAAUUGUGAAAAUUGCAAUAAAAAUUGUUUGGGUGUUCAAAGCAAUUUUGAUAAGCAAUUUAUUGACCAGAACAGUGAAGAGAUGAGAAUUGAGAAAACUUUCGAAGAUAUUAUUGAUUUUAUGGGCAUUAAUAUUUUCACUUGGAAGGUUGCCAAAAAUCUGGUUGAUUUUGUCAAUCGGUUGAAGAUUCUAGAGAGAAACAUUUGCAUUGCUAGAGGGAGUAAGAAGUCAAGAAUAACGAAAUAUUCCAAAUAUCUUUUUAUUUGGAAAGGAAGGUUUCAAUUGGAUGCUAAAAGAUCCAAAAUUAAUAUGCAGCAAUUGAAGAUUCUACUCGGAUUUUCCUUAAUCAAAGGCUUGAAUUCGAGGACGAAUUCUUUCCAACUAUGGGAGUCUGAUGCAGGAGCAUAGGGGUGGAUCAAGAUAGAUAUUUACUAUUUAAUUUGUUAUUUCAUGAUAUAUUGUUAUUUUCUUAUUUAGGUAGUUUUAUGAUAUCUUUUAUUAUUUAUGUGUGAUUUUAUAAUUAAUUAGUUUACUUUUGGACCAAGUAGCCUUGGUGCUCAAGUCUUGUAAAGCCUAUAAAUAAGGCUAAUGUAAUAGUUGUAGAAUAGAUGUCGAUGAUUAAUAAAAUCGUUUAUUUGUGGCAUGGAUUUGCUACAAUAUAUGUGAGUUUGCACUAACCCUUGAUUUCGGUGCUCGUGUAUGUGGUUGGUGACCUGUGUCCGGAUCCCGAUCCCCAUCAGAGUUCCCCUCCAGCUUUUGAUUCCAACGGUUGAUAGAGUUUAAAUAUUUUCCUGAAAAGAUCAAUAAUAUGUGCCACUGAUCUAAAAGUCUCCAAAUUGUCUUCCAAUUUGUCAACAGGCAAUAGAUGUUCGAAGAAACUGAAAGAAAUACAAAUUAUUGAAAGCCCCUCAGUAAUGCUGUUAUUGUCAGCAUUAGCAGGGAGUGUAAUUUUCUGUGGGUCGAAAAGAUCCUCGAGAAUGAAGAAUGGCAACUGAUUUUCAAGCAACCACGUAUCUGUCCAUGCAUCUUGCAACAUACCUGGUUUGUCAAAUAUGCGGUCAUUUUCGUCCCAAAAUUUGAAGUAGUCCUUCAAUAAGGGCUCAAUAACGAAGGCGGCGCCCACUAGAAUGAUUGUUACAAAUUCAUCACUGCUAAACUUGAUGGGUUCUCCAUAACAACGUCUCAAUCUUGCUUCGUGGUCCUUUAUUUUCUUAAUAUAAUCCUCCAAACUCACAUUGGUCCGACCUAUAAAAUCUUGCAGGUAUCUCUGUUUGUUCUCUUCCAAUACGACAUUCAAGCCUUCCUUUCCAUGGUGAAGUGGACCUAUAGAGACCGACUGCCUGAGGUGUGCAGAGCUUUUCAUUCACACAUACGUAGAUAAAAUGUCUGGGGGCUCAGAGAGUGAUGAAUGUGCAACAGCUAAUGGGAGGGUUUAUAUUCCUGAAGUAAGAAAUGAGGAAACACCAGCAGUUGGGAUGAAGUUUGACUCGCUUGACCUCGUUUACAAUUUCUAUAAUAGAUAUGCAUUCUUGGCUGGCUUUGGUAUUCGACUUCAUUCUAGCUUUUGGGGGAAAAAUAAGAAAGAGAUUUUGAGGAAAGAAUUUGUAUGUUGCAAACAAGGUGCAUACAAGAAGGAUGAAACUCGGGAGAGAAAAAGACAACGGGGAAUAAGUAGAUGCAAUUGCAAAGCAAAGAUUGUGGUUGUGAAGACAAAUGGGAGCAAGAAGUAUACCAUUUCUCUUUUUGCAGAGGGACACAAUCAUAAGAUGACACCCUCAGAAAGAAUGCAUUUAUUGAGAUCACACCGUCAUAUUUCAGAUUCUACAAAAGUACUCACAAAACAGUUGGGUUCAGUUAAUAUUCCCAUUCAUCAGAAGGUAAGUAUAUUCGAGGUGCAAUCCGGAGGAAUGGAUAAAAUCGGUUUUAUCAAAAAAGAUAUCUACAAUCUUGAAUGUAGUGUGAAUGGGAAGCUGAGGAACCACGAUGUUGAACUAGUGACCGAGUAUUUUAUGGCUGAACAGAAAAAAAAUGAGGCUUUUUAUUUCAAGAUUGAGGGAGAUGGGCAUGACAGGUUUAGUCGAUGUUUUUGGGCAGAUGCAACUUCUAGACGGGCGUAUGGGUUUUAUGGAGAUGUUGUUGUAUUCGAUACCACAUUCAACACGAAUCGAUACGACUUGACAUUUGCACCAAUGUUGGGAGUUAAUAACCAUGGUCAGACAAUUGUCUUAGCAUGCGCAUUUUUGAGCAAGGAAACGACUGAGUCGUUUGUUUGGAUGUUUGAGGAGUUUAAGAAAGCCAUGCCAGGUGGGGAACCUAAAACGAUCAUUACAGAUCAAGAUGCGGCAAUGGCCAUAGCGAUUUCAAUAGCCUUCCCGAGUACAUUUCAUCGACUUUGCAUAUGGCACAUCACAUCAAAGUUCUCUGUUAAGUUACCACGUGACGCUUAUAAGGAGUAUUGGCCUGAAUUUCAGAAAGCCAUAUGGGAUACUGACAAUAAGGAUGAGUUUGAUGCAAAAUGGAAUAUUGUGGUUAUAAAGGCUGGUUUGACUGACCAUCCAUGGCUAAGUUCAAUGUUUGAUUUAAGGGAAUCUUGGGUUCCAGCCUACGCACGACAAUUUUUUGCCGCUGGAAUGUCAAGCAGCCAAAGAGCGGAAGGUUCUCAUGGUUUUUUCAAGCAAUACAUAUCAAGGAGAAAUUCGUUGAUGGAUUUCAUAAUACGAUUUGAGAGGGCAUUUUCUCAUCAACGUGAAAAAGAGUUAGUUGCUGAUCACGUAGAUGCAUUUGAAGUGGCUCAAUGUCUUCUACCGAUGCCAAUGAACAAACAAAUGGCUACCUUGUACACAAGGACAAUGUUUCAAAAGUUUGAGCAAGAACUAAUACAAAGUACAGCAUGUUUCCUAGAGCUCAAAACAGAGGAUGCAUGUAAAGUUGUGUUCAACGUGAGCGAAAGGAAAAAUUGGGAAACAAGAGUGGCAGAAGUCGUAUAUGUCAAAGAUUCUGACCACGCAUCGUGUAGCUGCAAAAGAUUUGAAUUUGUUGGAAUUAUUUGCAAGCACAUCCUAGCAUUGUUCAGAAGGGACCAGAUUGAAUAUAUGCCCGAUAAAUAUAUUUUGAAGAGGUGGAAGAAAACUGCGAAAUGUGGAUUGGUGUCAGAUGCAAAUGGCAACGAAAUUAAAGACUGUGCAGAUCCUGGCCUUCUAAUAAAGCGGAGUACAAUGUCUCGACUUGCUUCAAAUGUGGUUGAGGAUGCAUUAAUGAGUGAAGAAGGAUGUGAGCUACUGUCAGAGACUCUAAAAAGUUUGCAGGUGAAGUUGAAGUUGCUGAAGGAUGGACCAAGUAAUAACGAAGUUGGAGGGUCCAGCUCUCAAACACAAUAUAUGAAAGACCCUAAGAGAGUGAGGUGCAAAGGAAGGUCGAAAGGAAUAACGGGAGCAAAGGAAAAGGCAAUGAAGCGAGGGAUUAGACACUGUCGGGAGUGUGGACACAUUGGUCAUGAUAGAAGACAAUGCCCAGCCUUGAACACACCGUAAGAUGCUACCACUAUUUGUAAUAAUAUCUAAAAUAUGAAAAGGUAAAAUUUUUAUGUGCUUGUGUUUGAUGUUUAUGCAGGACAUCACCGUCGAACAAUGACAAAUCAACUCCAAUACAUCGUAGUGACCCAUUAUUCGACGAUUUUGACAAGAUGCACAGACCAACUGAAUGAUUGAUAUUUGUAUUAGACGAAAUGUGGUUGUUAUGAAGAUUAAUGAUCAAGUGAAGUUUUAUAGAUUCAGUUUUUGAAUGUUAUUGUGUUUUUGUUCAUGUCCACCGAUGAGCUCUUACUAUGUCCACUGGUAAUUGAAAUGAAAAUUUUCUUGGUUUCAUUCUUCCAAGACAUUUGGAGACAUGUUAAUUUUACGUCUUCUCCCUAUUUAUAAAUUUUCAUAGACAUUUGAUCAAGUUUGAAAUUUGUAGUUAUGUGAAGAAGCAAUGACUCUUACCAUGUAAAAUGGGCAGUUUAGGGUGAAAUUUGUUUUAACAGAGAUUCAUUUUUCAAUUCCUCAGGGUAAUGCAGCAAUUACAGCAGCCAGCUGUUGUUUCCAUUACCAGUAAUCAUUUCCAGCAGCAGCCACUUUUUCCGACUGGUUAUUAGGGGCACGAUUUUGUACACUUUUGUAAGUGAAGGAUACUCGAAGCACUUUGUUGGAACAGAGCAAAUAGAAACCAGCGGGUAAAAAAAAAACAUAACAUUGCAGCUAAUUACAUUUCGAUACAUAGGUGAAAAAUAUUAAAGGGUACACUAACUUACAUAAAUACUCAUAAUUCCACACACAAAAGAACAUUUGAUUGCAAAACAUAUUAUGUGCUUCCUCAUAGCAAUACCACGAUCUCCCCAACCAACUGAACAACGGUAGCCACAAUCACUGGGUCGUACUCGUCAGCUUCUUCUUAGCAGGUCUCACAUGCUUAUGGCCACUCAUAUCCCUAGUGAUAUACACGAAAUAAAUCUUCAGCAAUAUUUGGAAUUUUAUUAUAUAUAAAUAAACCAUAAACCAUUCAGUAAACAAUGUAUAGCACAUGUUAUGUAACUUAUGACUCACGUGUCAGUUUUUUUUUUAACACAUUAGUACUCCAGCUCUUUAAUGUAAAUGGACAUGAUAAGGAGCAUUUACUGAUUCCCGGCUUUCUAUGAUAUUGACUGCUUCUUGAAUAAUAUUUCCAUAUUUGCAAAAUAUAAUGUUAGACAUUAUAACACAUGAUGACUUGCAAUACAUAGUCCCAAUAAUUAUAUAUCAAGCAAAUGAAACUGAUAUUUGUGUUAUUUUAAGUUAGAUAAUGACAUUAAGGGAGUAUAUGUGCAAUACCACGGUCACCCUCAACCAACUGAACAGCGGUAGCCGCAAUCACUUAGUCGUAUCGGUCGGCUUCUUCCGAGCAGCUUUGACGUGCUUAUGCUCAUUCAUGUCACCCCCAUCGUCUAGUAUCUCUCUCACAGCAUCAGGGGACACAUAGUUCCAAUCAUAACUUGUAUGAGUAGUUGCCGCAAAUGCUCGGAAUUUGUCGAAUCCUUCGUUGAAUGCCAACUCCAGUUCAGUAUGGUGCUCUUCGCAUCGCAUAUGGUUCAUCAAACAACCUUUGAUUUCAUCAUUCAUUACUGUAUCCAACUCCUCAGCUUUCAGCUUCCUGCUAUGACUCAGCUUCAAGUACUUGUUCUUUUGGGAUAACGCUUUGUUCACCCUAAUGUUAAGAUCAGCCAAAAUUGCCUCGUCUUCAACACAUUUCUCGUGCCAUGAAUUGAUCAGUCUGGAAUUAUAAUCCAGCUUGCCACUGACUGCAUGUAUUGCCUGUAAUGGAUCAUCGGAGUCCCCCUCACUCCCAAAUGAUGUUGAAAAAGGAAGGGGUCGGCGAGUACAAUGUGGAAAUAGAACCUGCCACUCCAAUUUGUCAUCUUCGAUUGUGUUGUUGGCGCCUGAAGAGGUUGACAUGCUUGAAUAAUCCUCUUUGUUUUGGGAGGAUGAGGAUUGCAUAUGCAAUUUCGUUUGAGAAAGGGAACAUAGGUUUAUAGACCAACAUACCAAAGCUUGUGUGUAGUCAACAUAUGUACUUUUUGGCGGGAAUUUUUUAAAAAUAGGUGUUAGGUUUUGCUUUUCAAGCAUGUCAACCUCACACUCUCCUGACACCACUGCUAGUGGUUGAAACAAAGUCAAUGGAAGUGACAUCUACUUAGUUAACUCAACCAAACUAGUUAGGAUUAAACUUAGAUUGUAUCAGACCAAAAAAUAAUUUCUACUUUGUCAACCAAAUAUUUUUUGGCGGGAACCCUUUUCUUGGUAUUACUAUCACCCCUUUCAUAUAAAAUCUCCUUCCACACAAAACUCACUCCUCCACCGAAUCUGUCUCCAUCUACCGAUACUCUCUCAAGCAAACAAACUCAUUCCCCCCAAAGAAUGAGCAUAAGCACAACCAAGUUUGAUGUGAGCAUAAUAAACACCCCUCCAAACAAAGACCGGCUUCGACACGCAAGUGAGUCACCGGACAAGCAAUGUCACAUUGCUAGACAGAAUGACCAUUUUGUUGGAAGUUUUGAGUCUGAAAGAGUUGUUGCUUUUUGGAAGGAGAGGCAUCUUCAACUUGGUGAUGAAAUCCAAAGGGCAAGGGCACGUUUGGAAUUUGUGGAAGGCCAAAUUGAAGAUGACAAAAGGCAGGCCAAUCUGGAUAGGGCGAAGUUGUAGCGCAUGAAGCGUAGACACAAACGACUUCGGAGUGUAGCUGUUCAAAAAUACAAGAACUCAUCUAAUGUAGUGGAGUCAAAGAAGCGUGUGAUGCAAGCUGGAUUCGACUACUUCCGAUCCUAUGCAAAACUCGUCGUACCCGGGUUUGAUUGGUCAUCUAUUACCGUUUCCGACGUCACCAAAUAUACUCAGCAAGGGAAGUAACCAUUUUGGUUCUCGUGUUUUAGCAGAGGCAAAUAAGUGGAAUUGGAAUUUUGGUUACACUCUGCUUCAAAGCUAUUUUGAUGCUAACUACUAUGGAAGAUUUAAACCUUAAUAUUUUGAUGUCUUUAAUUACGAAAACAGAAGAUGCAAAGAGCUCAUCUACUUCAGCCAUAUGUUGCUGCCAUGUCCAUUUGUUUUUGAUCACUUAUCAGAUUUGGACAUGGUUGCAUCAUAUGCAAUGUUGCCUUUAUUUAUUAUAUGUUAGGACAAGGUUUAUGGAAAAGCUUUUGUGAGUGCGUUUGUGACAAGGUUAUGGAAUUAUUAUGUACACUUUAUAUAUUGUUUUUUGUACUGGUUCAUUUCCUACUAUUUCUUGCUUUCUUUAUAUUUUAUGUUUGUGGAAUCCCUCUCAAAGUUAACAUAUACUGUGAAAAAAAUAUUAUGCAACUGAUUAUAUAAUCACUCAUAUAGACUAGGACAAAUAUUCACUAAGGGUUUUAAACUUGCUUCACUUGUGUGAUGUUAUUGACAAAAAGUAUGGCAUUAUUUAUGUGAUUUGACAUGAUUGAAAAUAUAUUACUGAUUCCCAAUGCGGCGUCAUAUGGACAACGUAUUGAAUACCUGUGACGUGUUAAUAACUCAAGGUGCAGUUGCAUGUGGACAACUUCUUGAAUACCUCUGACGUGUUGAAAACUCUAGGUGCAGUUGCAUGUGGACAACUUAUUGAAUACGAACUGACGUCUUCAAAGCUCUAGGCGUAGUUGCAAUGAUGGCUUCAAAGCAUGUGCAAUUAUUUUUUAUGUACAUUAUUAUAACAAAACAUAUUAUUGUAUAUAGUGAAACUAAAUAUUGUAUUAUUAGAAAUUAUAUUUCGAAUAUUAUCCGAAAUAUACGUGUUAACGUGAAUUUGGGUUAAGAGGAAAGUGAGUUAUGUACAAAUAAUUUUCAUUUUCUCAUUUUCCGGGCAUUUUUUGGAUUUUCGUAGAAUUUAUUACCUAUGUCCACAGAUUGUUGCACUAAAAAAGCCAAAAUAAUAGCAAGAGGACACCUGGAGCGAUCUCAGCCCGUCACUGAUGACUACUUGCACAAGUGUACGUCAGUCAACAUGGCCACACCCUCCCAUUUUACCCUAAAUUAUUAUUUUAUUACUUUUCCUUACAAAAAUCAGAACUAAUUACACACAAAAUAAAAAAAUUAUCCGAAAAUUGCUACGAACUCAUUGACACUCCAUCUCCGUUGCUGAAUUCUCCGAUUCAUUGUUACGUAUUUGUAAAAUUAAUUCCCAACAUUAACGGGAGAUGCUUGUUGAAGUAGGUUAUUCAAGUUGAAGUUAACAAACAUCAAUACUUAGGGUUAAGAGGAAAGUGAGUUAUGUAACACAAUUUGGAUUAUUUCAUUGCGAGACGAAUGAUUUAUAGGUUCUCCUAGUUUUAUGACGUCACAAGUAGGCCGGAGUAAUUUUUGGGGCAUUUUUACGAUUUUCCUACUAUUUUUUACCUAGUUUCAAAGAUUUUUGAACAAAAGAAUCCAAAAUGUAAAAGAAGAUGACACCUGGCGCGAUCUCAGCCCGUCACUUUUCACUACUUGCACAAGUGUACGUCAGUCAACAUGGCCACAUCCUCUCAUUUUACCCUAAAUUAUUAUUUUAUUACGUUUUGUCUUGGAAAAUUCAUAACUAAAUACACAAAAAUUCAAAAUUAUUUCUGAAAAUUGCUACGAACUCAUUGACACUCCAUCUCCGUUGCUGAAUUCUCCGAUUCAUUGUUACGCAUUUUUAAAAUUAAUUCCCAACAUUAACGGGAGAUGCUUGUUGAAGUAGGUUAUUCAAGUUGAAGUUAACAAACAUCAAUACUUAGGGUUAAGAGGAAAGUGAGUUAUGUAACACAAUUUGGAUUAUUUCAUUGUGAGACGAAUGAUUUAUAGGUUCUCCUAGUUUUAUGACGUCACAAGUAGGCCGGAGUAAUUUUUGGGCCAUUUUUACGAUUUUCCUACUAUUUAUUACCUAGUUUCAAAGAUUUUUGAACAAAAGAAUCCAAAAUUAACAAGAAUAUGACACCUGGCGCGAUCUCAGCCAGUCACUUUUGACUACUUGCACAAGUGUACGUUACCGAACAUGGCCACAUCCUCCCAUUUUACCCUAAAUUAUUAUUUUAUUACCUUUUUUCUUGGAAAAUUCAUAACUAAAUACACAAAAAUUAGAAAAACGAUCCGAAAAUUUCUACGAACUUAUUGCGAUUUCAUCUUCCUACUGCAUUCCCUGUUUAAUGGUUAUGCUACAUUAGUAUUUUAUUAUUAUUUAUCCACAAUUAUUAUAAUUAUUAUGAUAUUACUUUUUAGGCUGUCCAUUUGUUAAUUAUACCACAUCCAACUUGUUGAAAACAAUUUUAUUUUCCGUGCGAAUAGGCCAUUUGUAGUGCUUAUCGGUUUCUCUGUUCUUCAAUUUGUUAAUUUUUUUAUUUUUUAGGUUGAAGGGAUGUUUUGAAACAUAAUAUGGAAAUAUACAAGUCAUCCAUUGUACUCCUUCCACACAAAAAAAUAGUCUACGUCAUUCACUGUUCAACACCCUAGGUUAAGACACGUGUAACCAAAUCCGUUCGGAUAUGCUAAGUGGGAAAAUGUCAUUCCCAAGCACUGGUGAAAAGACACUUAUUUACUCCAUGCAUGACUUUUGGUUUACCAAAUAUGAAGAUUGGGGUCGGUGAGCAAAAUAUCUGUGUCAGUAAAAUGUCAUUCCUAGCCAUCUAUGAUGUAAGUAAUAAUUCCGCUAUAUAAUAAAUAUUAUACAUUUAUAUAUAAAACGGUUUAUGACAAAAUACCAACAUUUGAACAACAUUUAAACUGAGAUAGGUAUAACGUAGCCAGCCAACCUAGAAGUGAAGAGAAGCAAGUCCACAAUGCAUCAAAACUGUAAAUUCGUACUAAAACUAAUGCAAAAAUACGUGAUUCCCUCGCACAACUUACUCACGCAGGAUUUUGCACCAAAAAAUACUCUCACGGUGCCAUUUGCAUCGGUUGCAGCAAGUCCAAAACGCAGGAUUUAUCUUGUCUUCACUAGGCCACCCUGGAAUAACAAAAUACCAUUCAUUGUUGUUACAAGCGCUGCACCGAUUGAACUUAAUCUUCCCAUAGUCAAACAUAUCUACGAUAUGUCUUGCAACAAAUGCUCCGCGACAUCUUCCUGUUAAAGCAUCCCUGGUUCCUUUCAUAUCAAUGUUGUUACGUUGAUUCAAAGAACACAAGAAUUGUAAUGCAUCCUCUUUUGACUGACCAAUUCCGGACAUACCAAGUAGUCCAACUACAUAUGCCGCUUCCAUAUGGCCUGCCGUGGCUGCAAUGCGCAUCCCAUACAACGCUUCCACCUUACCGUCUGUGAAAAAACCUUCGAAUGCUUCUCUAAAUAUGGACUCAGGGUUAUCGCAAGCCCUGCAUUGUUGCAAGAAAUGCUGGACUGCAGGUUUGGCACGGUAGCAGAUAGGAUGGUGUGGGUACUUUGCCAUUGAAAUGGUGUUCCACACUUGUGGACUGUUUGCCAAAAUGUUGAACAAUCGGCACACACAUGCCAUACGGAAGAGAUCUUCCGAUGAUUCGGUUGCCACGUAUAACAUCACUUGAAACCAAGCGGACUCCGGGAUAAAGGCUUCGGGCAUAUCGAAAUGGAGAUGCUUCCUUCUCUUUCCUCCGACUGUAGUGAAGUGUUUCGAAUUCAUUGAAAAGUUUUUGGAAUGGAACGAUUUGAGGAGUGGCAGAGGGGAUAAAUGAUAAUAUUUGGGGUACACGUUCUACUUCCGAGCCUCUGUUUAUAGUGUUUUGAAAAGGUGUUUCCAGUUGGGGUUUUUCCAAGUUGACCCUUUUGAAAGAAACUGAAUCCAAGUGAAUUAAAACUUAAGACAAAAGAAGGGAAAACGUCAUAACGGUGCAUACAGAGUCAGACAGUUAAAAAGUUAAUUAAAUGGCUAUUUGCAUAGCCAUUUUUGGGUUUAUCCCACUAUCAAAUUCAUUGAUACAAAUGUGAUGGAUUACUGACUAGUGACAGAAGGUCCCAUCAUAUACUUUUUCAUUUUCGCACACCCAACUAUCCCUAGUAAUGUUAUUAAAAUGGAACCAAUAAUGACGGAUUCUUAUCCAACUAGUUGCCUUAAUGAAAUAUAAAUAAAUUAAUAAAAUUGAAGCAGUGUCCCGUCAUUAGUCAGAAAAUAUAUUUGGUAGUGAAGUAGUUUCUAUUGCUUUUCGGGCUAAAAGAUGUCACAAUGCUGACGGUACAGGUGUCGACAUCGUGACCAACCCACCAAAUGAUCCCAAAAAAAAGUAAUAUAACUCGAUUUGGGCAGAGAUGAGAGAGAGCUGAGUGACAAGUUUAGGGUUAUGAGUGAAGGGGUAUGAAUGACAACUAUGAGUGAGAAGGUAUGAGUCCGAAGAGGUUUCAGUGAGAAGAUUUGAGUGAGAAGAGGUACAACUGAGAAGAUUCAACAUGUCUUCGUCUUCAUCUCCUGCUCAAACAAAGAGGUGUCAGUAUUGUGGAGCUACAAUGGUGCUUCGGGUUUCAAAAUCUGAAAAAAAAUCGAGGGAAGCCAUUCUGGAAGUGUCUAACCUCCUAUGUAAGUUUUAAUUUAAAGAAUAUGUAUGUGGGUGAAAAAAAACCUAUGUCUAACUCUGACAGAAUUAUAUUCCAUAUAUGAUGCCUGCAAUUAGGGAGCCACCAGUUGCAAUGGAUUCGAAUGGGUUGAUGUAACCUCCGCUGAAGCAGAACAUCAAGAUGACACGUAUGAUGUUAGAGUGCUGAACAUGCUGAAGUCCAUUAAGGACUUGGUAUUAGUUUUAUUAGUUGUAUUAAUUGUCAUUUUAUUUGUUCUUUUAAUGAUCAUUUAACUGCACGGUUUAAAAGAUUGUGAAAGUUCUCUCGCACAAGACAUAUUGCACGCACCACCAAUGAGACCCUAAACCCAUUUUGUAAUAUUUGGUAACUGCAUGUAUUUCGCAUGUUAUUGAAUGUUUAUUGAAGGUUUAUUGAUAGUUUGCUGCAUGUAUAUGGAAUAUCAUUGCCCCAAAAUUGGAUGUUUAUUGGGGCCACAAGUAUCACUCAAGUAAGAAUGAAGGGGAGAAACGGACCUUAUUCUUUCUUAUAGUAGGAAGAACAACUGUUAAGUUUAAUAUCCUAUUCAAUACGACUUCCCUAUGGUUGGUGUACUUGGGGACUGAAGUAUAUUGCAUCAUUAUUGUGGGCAAGGGCAUGUCUAUUGUGUGUGUUAAGGGAGUAUUGUGUGGGCAAGGGCAUGUCUACUGUGUGUAUAUUGCAUGUCUACUGUGUGUAUAUUGCAUAUCUAUUCUCUGUAUAUGGCAGGCCAAGUUUGUGUAUAUUGUUUGUCUGUUGUGUGUGUAUUGCUUGUCGGUGCGUUUGUGAAUUGUGGUUCAUUUUGUGUAUAUUGUCUUUGUUUCUACUUUUAUGCUACUGAGCUGCGGAAAACCUCGCAUGUUUAGACACCUAUUAUGAUGCAACACAUUGCGAUUAAUGGUGGCUUGCAUCAACAAUGACAUAUCACUUUGCAAUGAUGUAAUACACUUAAAAAGCCGUCUUCAAAUCCCAAUUCACAUAUGCAGUCUUAAAAUUCUAAUUCAAUGCAGUUUGGUUAACAAACAUGUAAAUGUCAUGAAGGAGUUAGCGGUAGAAUUCGAUAAGGACCCGUACGUCUCUAUUGUGUAUUUACAUUAGUUUGAGAAUGGACAUUCCCAAAACCUUCUCAUGUACCAUUUGUCAUCUUCAACCAAUAUCAUGGGAAGUAAGCAUCUCCCCUUGUUAUCUCCGCAGCCAAUUUCAACCGAAAAAAAGGCAUGUUGUGCGAGGUGCAAGUAGCUAACGGAAGCUUAGCGCUGAAAAGCUCAAUGUACUUUAACACAAACAUGCCACAAUCGCCUCUGAAGCAAAACAAGAACUCGAUCAAUUCAACUAAUGACAUUCUAAUGUAAUUGACAAUUGAAAGUAAUAAAAUUAAAUUGCAAGUUGUGCUUACUCAUUAGACUGUUGUGGAACAUCCACACGCUCUAUUGGCCACGGACACCACCAAUCUCGGCUGCAAUUGUUUGCAUAAACACCUUCUUCAUAAAAGUCGAUGGUGUUGAGAAGAUUUGGAAGCGUAAUUGAUAGCGGGCCGAGUUCUUCCUUUACGAUGUCAUCUGGAAUUAGUGAAACCUUUGAAUCGUACACUUUGAUUCACACAAUACCAGAUCAAACANNNNNNNNNNNNNNNNNNNNNNNNNNNNNNNNNNNNNNNNNNNNNNNNNNNNNNNNNNNNNNNNNNNNNNNNNNNNNNNNNNNNNNNNNNNNNNNNNNNNNNNNNNNNNNNNNNNNNNNNNNNNNNNNNNNNNNNNNNNNNNNNNNNNNNNNNNNNNNNNNNNNNNNNNNNNNNNNNNNNNNNNNNNNNNNNNNNNNNNNNNNNNNNNNNNNNNNNNNNNNNNNNNNNNNNNNNNNNNNNNNNNNNNNNNNNNNNNNNNNNNNNNNNNNNNNNNNNNNNNNNNNNNNNNNNNNNNNNNNNNNNNNNNNNNNNNNNNNNNNNNNNNNNNNNNNNNNNNNNNNNNNNNNNNNNNNNNNNNNNNNNNNNNNNNNNNNNNNNNNNNNNNNNNNNNNNNNNNNNNNNNNNNNNNNNNNNNNNNNNNNNNNNNNNNNNNNNNNNNNNNNNNNNNNNNNNNNNNNNNNNNNNNNNNNNNNNNNNNNNNNNNNNNNNNNNNNNNNNNNNNNNNNNNNNNNNNNNNNNNNNNNNNNNNNNNNNNNNNNNNNNNNNNNNNNNNNNNNNNNNNNNNNNNNNNNNNNNNNNNNNNNNNNNNNNNNNNNNNNNNNNNNNNNNNNNNNNNNNNNNNNNNNNNNNNNNNNNNNNNNNNNNNNNNNNNNNNNNNNNNNNNNNNNNNNNNNNNNNNNNNNNNNNNNNNNNNNNNNNNNNNNNNNNNNNNNNNNNNNNNNNNNNNNNNNNNNNNNNNNNNNNNNNNNNNNNNNNNNNNNNNNNNNNNNNNNNNNNNNNNNNNNNNNNNNNNNNNNNNNNNNNNNNNNNNNNNNNNNNNNNNNNNNNNNNNNNNNNNNNNNNNNNNNNNNNNNNNNNNNNNNNNNNNNNNNNNNNNNNNNNNNNNNNNNNNNNNNNNNNNNNNNNNNNNNNNNNNNNNNNNNNNNNNNNNNNNNNNNNNNNNNNNNNNNNNNNNNNNNNNNNNNNNNNNNNNNNNNNNNNNNNNNNNNNNNNNNNNNNNNNNNNNNNNNNNNNNNNNNNNNNNNNNNNNNNNNNNNNNNNNNNNNNNNNNNNNNNNNNNNNNNNNNNNNNNNNNNNNNNNNNNNNNNNNNNNNNNNNNNNNNNNNNNNNNNNNNNNNNNNNNNNNNNNNNNNNNNNNNNNNNNNNNNNNNNNNNNNNNNNNNNNNNNNNNNNNNNNNNNNNNNNNNNNNNNNNNNNUUUUCCUCUCCCUCAUCUCUAUUAUUUGGCCCUUCACCCCCUUCAAUCCCUUCAUCUUCUUUUUCCUCUCCCUCAUUUCUGUUACUUGGCCCUUCAUCCCAUUGAAUGUCAUCCAUUUCCCCAUAUCCCUUAAAUAGAUGUGAGACGACACAACGAUUCGUCCUCUGUUUCAGUAAAGCUAGGUCCCUCCUUACUUCCUGCUCAAACUGAGGACCUAAACAUUGGUCCAAUAGUUUUUCCAUCCGUAUGACCUUUAAGUGAAGGACGUCUUUUUCCCGCUUUUCUUGAAACAACUCGGACCUCAACAAGCUUACCACCUUGUUCAACUCAUCAAGAUCACCACAUGAAGAAGGAAUUGACUCUGCCGAGACAACAGCAGGGCGAUCCUGUGGCCAACUCCAAUAUGGCUGUCUCAUUUCCUCUUCACUUAGACAUAGCGCCCGCAACUGAACUGACUGUUUCAGAAUACAGACAAGAGUCAUAUUAAAUCAUUCUACUUCAUAAUUUCAUUCAAUCUUAUCAAUAGUUCUAAGGGCUGCAAACCAAACCUCUUUGCUCUGGAAAAAAUAAUUGUUCAACUUUCUCAUCUCUGGAACAGACGUAGUAGUUCUCCAUCGCAAAAUACGCGGGACAGCGGUCGGAUCAACAACCUUGCAGUAAUUCAGGUCCGCCAUUCUAGGAAUUAAUUCAUAUACCCAAAUCUACACAAUUCACAGGACAAAAGUCAUUAUUUAUGUUUUAAAGAAAAACAAAACAUAACUGACAUGAACAUUAUUACCAUGUACCUGGAAAGCAUACGUGAAACCUUUAAAACUCCAGCCACUCCUUUGCGCUUCACUAUGCUUAUCCUUCUUGCCCUUCUCAUUUCUCCGGCUUGUUCCCGUUACCUUACUUUUCCCCUUCCCUCUUCCCUCUUCAUUUUCCAAGCUUUUCACAUACUUUGUUGGUGCAGAAAAUAGACUGUCUUGGGUUUUGUCAAAGGACACCGAACCCCACGGAUACCUGUUGAACGCAUCCAAGUCCUCUACAAGGGUCAGGUAAUUUAGAUUGAUGUUCAAAUGUUUGUCCCUUCCCAAAACCACUAACUCAGCAAAGUAAACAAGAGGUAGCUUGAAGAUGUCAUCUUCCUCUGUGCACCUCACAAAUGCUUCUUCUAAAGCAUUGCAUGUAAUUCCUUCGUCUAUAAAAUAUCUUUUCUGAAGUCUGAUUUCAUUACUCUCUCCACUGGAAACUUCAGGCACUUCCCCAAAACGAAGCCCUGUGAUCAAACAGAAAUCCUGACGAGUGAACUGAGCAACGUCACACCCUAAUAAGAAACUCAGUCCAUCCAAGUCUUUCACACCCUGCCCCGCUACUCUACGCAACACAACCCCAUGCACAAUCUGUCCGCUAAACUGAAUCUUAUCUAUAUUCAGAAGAUGGCCAAAGCAUGAUGUCUUGAAUUGUUCUAAUUGUUCCGCACUCAACUUCGCUCGAAUUGCAGCUAGAGAUGAAUUUGCAUGUGAGCAGUUGUUCACCCGUGAUGAAUAUACCUCUGCCUCUGGCCAUACCAGCUCCACGUUGGAUCCCAUUUCCUCAAAUACAAUGUGAAAUAACGUGAACAUAUAUACUACCACGUAUUUGCACAAUCACAACUAGUCAACCAGGCACAUUACAACUUUUACAAAGUACAUGAGCAUAUGGAUUACUCAUCACAGGCUUUAACAUCAUCAAAGCAAUAUGACAAUUUUUGUGCAAAUACCUGUUAAUGCAAUGAUUAUGUGAAUUACAAACAAUUUCACGUGUUUUAUUUAUGGAUCCAUACUCGUGUGAGUGCAAUGUAGGCAAGUUCUGCACUUCACACACAUGACAAUUAUUGUCAUCUCAUACACAACCCAAAAUAAAUAAAUAAGAAAUAUAGUGGAAGGAAGCAAAGCAAAGCAUGUACUCUGCUAUCUGCUUGCUAAGCAAUUGCCACAUCCUUCUUUCUUUCUACCUUUUUCUUCAGUCACCCACAAUCGUCAUAGAUCAACCUUCAUUUCAAAUGCUUUGCACUUUUAUUCAUGAGUUUAUUAUUAUCUGUUCUCAUUUCUCAUAGGCAAAUUUAGUAACAAAUGAAAUAAUAUUUAUUUCACAAAAUAUAUAAAUUCUAGUGCCAGAGAGGUACUCUUCACUCUGCACUGCUUCAAAUGUGGAAGGUUUUGAGAUGUUAUUGACAUGUGAUUGACUUUAUUUUCAUUCGUUUUUUAACAUAUACCCAAGCAAAAAUUAACAUGCAAUUGAAGCACAAAUAAGAGAUGCCAAAUCCAACAACAUUGAUGGUACAAAUUGGGGAAAACCAUUACUCUAACCCUAAACUCAAAUUCCUUACAUUACUCAUCAAAUGCUUUGCAGUUCUAUUCAUGAGUUUAUUAUUAUCUGUUCAAAUGUUUCUCAGGCAAAUUUAGUAACAAAGGAAAUCAUAUUUACUUCAUAAAAUAUAUAUAUAUAUAUAUAUAUUCUAGCGCCUCUUCUUAAUCUGCACUAUGCACUGCUUCAAAUGUGGAAGGUUUUGAGGGCCUCCUCCAAUUCAACACCAUUAUCUUAUUCAUAUCAUUAUUGACAUGUUAUUCACUUGUUAUUGACUUCAUUUUCAUUCUUUUUUUAACAUAUACCUAAGCAAAAAUUAACAUGCAACUGAAGCACAACGAAGAGAUGCCAAAUCCAACAAAAUUUAUGGUACAAAUUGGGGAAAACCAUUACUCUAACCCUAAACUCAAAUUCCAUAAAUUACUCACCAAAUGCUGGUUAUUGCAAGGUGUCUGUGUGGGGUCUUUCUGUUUCUUUGCUCCACAAAUGGAACCUACCACUUCCAACGAAUACAGCUUUUCCCCUUCCCCUUCCACUGCUUCGCCUCUUCACUGAUUUGGAAUCCACACCUUUGCCCCUUCUACUCCAAAUAAAUACUUUCUCGGGGUCUGGAGAACGGAGUGGCGAAUCGUUGCCUUCAACUGUCGUUAGCCGUUGCCUUCAUUGGGUAUCUCAGACCUCUGUGUUUUAGAGAGAUGAGUUCUUUCUGUUCAAACUUCGAACUUGCCUCUUCUUCUUCUUUUUCGGACGUGUUUCCCUCUUCUUCUUCUUUUUGGACGUGCUGGAUAUUCAAUUCGGGUUUGGGUUCCUUACCUACCCAAUUGUGAAACUUUAACUCAAUUCUCCCCAGCCCUUGGAUUAAUCUGAUGGCUAUAAAGUGAACCCCUUAUAACUUACCCCUUAUAACUUUCCACUCAUUAUAGUCUUGGCCAGGUAUGGCGGCCAUGCUAGUAAGUGUUGGGUCUUUGACCCAACUUAAGCUAAAUGGGUCAUAAGAUGACCGAUCAUCUUAUCUCAUAAGGAUAUAUAAGUCAUGUUAUGAUUUAGGAUUUUAUAGGGUUUCCUUUGUAAGAGGUAAGAGAGAAACAAGCUCUCUCUCUCUCUACACAAGGAGGUCAGCCAUAGCAAGGGAAAGGCUCCUAGCACUCUCCUCUCUCUUAUUAUAUCAUCCUUCCAAGGACAGCUUUGGUAUGGUAAAGUUGGAGGUUGCACACUUUGUGCACUUUGGUAAGAACUCAUCCAAGGGAGCCAAGAUUAAAUUGGUUAGCUGUUGGAUUAAAUUGGUUAGCACGAUUCAACGGUUAAUAGAUAAAACUUCACAUAAAAGUCAUAUAUAAGGCCCUCACUAUAGAAUGACUCGUUAGUUUAGUCUCUUGUUACAUAUCAAAUGUUAGAGAUAUUUUUUAAUAAGGAUCUGCCAUACCACAUAGUUGGAUAAGACAUUAUACACGGCUUUUGUAAGAGCAUCUCCAGCGCUCCAAACUAGCCCAAGCAGCAGGGGGGCCUAAGUCUAGGAAGCAGCUCCAGCUCGCAAGAUUCAACCCAGGCAAGGUGUGGAACCCACGAGGAGAUCUAGCCCGUCACCUUGCCUUUGGGUUUCAGUCAAGCUGAUGUCAACGAAAGAAUUUCAAAUUUUUUUUACCGUUACAAUGUACGCGCCAACGAUAAAUUUUCUUUGGAUUUCUUGCAUUGAUCCACAGCUACCAAAAACCAACAGCUACAAGCCACGUGGCUUCUCCAGGAGCCUCCGAUCCAAAAAUCAUGUCAAAUCUAACGGCAGUCCAUUUUUUGGCUAAAAAUAUCAAAAAAUUAUGGAAACAUGUUCUAUAAAUUCCUACAAAUAUUAUUCACUUCCCACACCAAAUCUUCAUACAAAUUCAUAUCCUUUCAAUAUUUUUCACUUUCCAUACAAGAUUUUCUACUACUAAGUUUCGUUUGUGUAAAAAUACAAAUGACCUCUUCUAUCGAAGCCGGAGGCGCGUGUACAACCGUGGAAGAUAUUUUGUUGCGUGAGUGUUGGGUCAAAGUUGGUCAUUCCCUGAUCACGGGCAAUGAGAUGAAGUCCUCUCGUAGGAGUUUCUGACAUCGCAACGAAAGUAAGAUGUGAUAUGAAAAUGUAAGGAAUUUGAUGAGAGGAAUGGGAUUUGAGGAGUUUGAUGUAGGAAUUGAUGUAGGAAUUGAAUUUGGGAGGUAUGUAUAUAAGAUUUGAGGGUAUGUGUUUAGGGAUUUUGAUAAGAGGAUUUGAGGAAUUUAGAUUUGAAGGAUUUGGAUUUGGGGAAUUUAAAUAUGAGGAAUUUGAUUAGGGUUUGGGUUUGAAUAUGUGAAAUUUGAUAUGAGAGUUUAGAGACAACAGAUGAUCGAUUGCUCUGAUACCAUGCUAAAAUAUGAUAUGGUUUGAAUACUUUAGGUUGAGUUUUAUUCUUUUCCAUAAAAAGGUAUAUAUAGGAGUUUACAUGAGUGCUUUACAAAGAAAUAGAUACAAUAAUCAAUUAGGAUAAUAUCUCCUAAUUAUACAAUAAUUUGUCAACUAUAUAGAAUAGGAAAGUAAAUUCCUUAAUUAAUCAAGAAAAUAAAUCUCAUUGAUUAAUUAGGAGACUAACGUCAACAUUUAUAAGCCAUAAAAGAGCAGAAAAAGAGGUACUUAGGAGAUUUUAUACGUCGGACUAAGGUAAGCUUAAAGGACUAUAUCAAAAAAAUAAGGGACCAAGAAGCAAGACAGAGAAGUUGUUAUGCAAACCCAUUAAGUUUAGCAGUGAUGAAUUUGUAAAAAUCAUUCUAGUGGAUUCUGCCUUCACUAUUGAGUUCUUAUUGAGGUUCUAUCUGAAAGGAUCUGGACAUGAAGGAGACCGCUUAUUAAACAAACCGUGGAUGUUUACAGCCUGACAUGUGGUUGCUUGAAAAUCAGCUCCCAUUCUUUAUUCUUGAGGAUCUUUAUCACACAUACAUAAUAACCGACUCUUUUAGGAAUUAUUACAGUACUCAUGAUCAUGAGAGGCUUUCAAUAAUUAAUAUUUCUAAGAAUUUCUUCACAGCCGGAAUAUUGAAUUUGGAGGGGAAGGGAGACAAAUGGAACAGAAUAUCAUCUUCUUCUAGUGUUGGAAAUUUUAUAUUAUUUAAUAAUAUUUAAUUUCUAUUGUGAAUGAAAAAUAAGUUUCUUUAAGAAACGUGUGUCUUAGGCCAGUUUUUCUAACUGGUCGGCUUCCUUAGAUUUGUGCCUAUUGCUUUUCAAAGUAUAAUGAUGCAAUGGUUGUAUCUCGUUCAGGCAAAUGGAAGGUAUAUAGCAAUUUAUAGAACAAUACAGUAAUCCAGAAGAAAUAUUAUGAAAUGAAAAGAAUAAAAAGUAAAAAAAGAGAAAGAAAGGAAUUCCCACCUGCAAUGUAUAUGUAUGAAAGGAAGGACCAAGUUUGUUUUAAAAUGGUAAGAACAAGUUGAUUUUAAAUUGGGUUCAGAUCAACUCAUAGAUUUCUUGCCUUUUCUGUUCUCCUUCCUUGGACAUGAACUGUUUAAUCUUGGACUCUUCCCCAUCAUGUUGGGCCUGUCUUCUUCUUGAGGAUUGUAUAGGCCUAGGAAAUGCUUCGGGGUAGUUUUUGUGUUUUGGGCAUUGGGACCCAACUUCACAAAAAGAAAACAAAUUUGACCAAAACACAAAUUUGAAGGACAUUGAAAUUGUACCCGUAGGAUAGAUUAAAACACUAUAAGGGAGGUAAAUAGUACGUUUACAGAGUUUAAGUGUAAUAAAGGAAUAAAAACAUGCCCAGAGAAUUGAUAAGUGAUAUCAAUUCUUGAAUAUACGUGAAAAUUAUUUUAUGUGGUUAAACCCCACCUCUGGGGAAAAUCCACGGAACUUCUUAGUCCAACUUCUAUCACUUAUCCUAGACACAUUCUAGAUAAUGUUUGCCAACCUCUUCGUAACUCAACUUCUGUCACGAGAUGAUCUUUCAACACUUUAUGUCGAACGCAAUACUGGUCACGAUUUCUUCAAGCUCGCCGGAGUUCUUCCAAUUCUCCUUAUAUUGAAUCUGAUACUAGUCACGAUCGAUUCAAGCUCAUCGGAGAAAAAUCGCCACAACAAUCUUGGUGCCCUCAACCGUAUGAGUCACUGAACAUGCAAAUGAAUACAAUAUGAAUGAUAAAAGUGUUUGAUAAAUCACCAAGUUAUGGAACACUUGAUGAUUUAUCUCAAAUAAAAAUUCAGCUUUCCAAAGUUUAUGAAUUGAAAAUAUGACCGUUAAAGCUCUCUAAACAAAGAAGACGAAGGUCUUAUUUUAUAGACUUUUACUUUACAAGAAAGAAAACACGUUGAAAACCAAAUCUCCAAUUUCCAAGGCUUGACAGAAAAUCACAAAAUUAUCUUUCCUAUUCUAGAGAUUGGUCACAUGAAGUCCAACCAAUAGGAAAUGAGAUAUUUAAGAAAGGAAGAUUUUGAUCAAUAUCAAUAUCAAAUGAAUUCUUAUACGCCUAGUCAAUUGUUAUGGGUAUCUUGACUCCUUGAUAUUGUGAUAUGAUUGAAACAUGAUUUCCACGUUAGAAAAUUAAGGGGAUGUUAAAACAUGAAGGUAAUAGGAGAAUCAAAUUGAUUUGGGCCAAAAUUGCCUAAAAAGAAAACACUCCUUAAUAAACUUCAAUUUACUUUUAAAAAUAGUAAAACGUGAUUGAAUCGUUCUUUAAAACAAUUCCCUAAUAUACAUGCAUGAUAGUGAUAUCACUUACCUUUGAAUCAGAUGGCUUUCACGGGUCAAGCCACAAGUUUUUGUCUUGGGGAUUGCUGAGCUUCAUCAAUCCUGCCAAUGUCAAUUUUGCCCCUAAGCUCUCUCAAAGCACGUUUACAACCUAUGCUAACAUAUAUUAGAGUUUAUGUUAGUAUCAAGAAAAUGCCAACACUAAUUUCGUAACACGUAGAAAUUGUUAGAGAUUGAAGUUUUUAUCAUUUUUUCUUCCAGACUCUCCACCACUCACUAAUAUAGUUUACUCAUGUGAUGAGUUUACAAAACCUAUUUCUCUACUCUCACAAAGACUAUACUUAGGGGGGUGUAUUCAAUUAGGAUUCUAAAGCGUUUAAAAAGAUUUUGUUUAAGUGCCAGCUUUCAUAGAACUUGAUGGAACUUUAUAAUUCGUAUAGAACUUGAUAGACUUUCAGAAGACUUCUGUAUAAUUUUUUAAUAAAACUUUCUUAAGCUUUCAUAGAACUUGAUAGGCUUUCAUUCCAAACUUAUGUAGAUGGUAUAUUUCAUUUUAUCCCCAUCCUUGACAUUUAAAGAAAGAAACUUGAAUUUUUUCAAUCAAAUUUGUUUUUGUUACCAAAGCAGCAAAAACAAAAAGUACUUGUUUGCGAUGGAAGAACAUAUGCACAGUUCAAAAUGAAAAGAAUAAGAAGCAAAGUACCUAUUUGACCAAUGAAUGCUGUGUCAACUAGAGAAGCAAUUGGAUCGGCUGUCAAAGCCAAUGCUGCAGGCAAUGCAUCGAUGGUCCAAAUUGCAAUAAAAAAAUAUUUUGAAUAAUGGCUCUUGCAGACAAAGACCACAUAAAUUCUGAACUGGUCUAGCUUGAAUAAUAAGGUUAGAUUAGCCAAUUGAUGAGAUUAAAAGCAAAGCAAGUUGAUGAAUUUAUCAUCAACUAUUUAAUAACCACAGUCCUGAUCUCUUGGACCCCUGUAGUCCAAGAGAUUUAUGGUCACCCACCGUUGGAUGUAAAUUCAACGGUUGACUUGAAUCGGGUAAUAAUCAUUUAUGUCAUAUUGCAUUUAUAUAUAUCAUUUUGAACCAUUGGAUUAAUAUCCAACGGUGGGUGACCACAAUCUCUUGGACUCCUGUGGUCCAAGAGAUCGGGACUGUUAAUAACCAAUAGAGUAUUUAAACAUAAACAACAAUGUUUGAUCAACAAAACAAAUAGUCCAAAUAUCAUCCAAAAAACAAUAACAAAAAAUCAAUCAUUCCAAACAAACUAGUCAUUCUCAAAAACUCUCAAAAAACCCACUCAUUCCAAAUUGUAGGAUAUCCAAUUUGAGCACUCCUCAGGAGACAUUUUCAAAAAUGCAUCCUUUUUUGUGUUACUAUGCAACAAAGAGAGUGCUUUAUAACGAGCAUGUUCAUCCAAAUUUGGGGUCUCCUUAAUGGCAUCCCAUAUAUAACUCCGCUGCUCUCUCUCUUUUUCCCUUUUUGCCAAUAGGUUAUGGACCUCCCGGAAGUCGAUGACAAUUGAAUCAAUGCUAAGGCUAAUUCUUCCCAUAGCUUGCUGGGUGGUCACAUUUGAGAUAGCAUUCCCUUCCAAAUAUGUUCUAGUUCGUUUCCUCUAGUAACAAGCAUAAAUCCUAGUAACAAGCAUAAACCCUAACCCCAACCUAUAACCUAAUAACAAGAAGAAAACCCAACGAGGUAUUGAUCAAAGAAAAAUUAGGGAGCAUACCUUCACAGAUGGAGGAAGGAAGCUGUUCGUCUUCGCAGAGAGAAAAUCUAGGGAAAGAGAAAAACGUCUUAUGAAAUACUUGGGGGGGAGGUUGGAUUUAUUUUGGUCUUUUUUAUUUAUAACUCUCCCCUUAAAACCUACGUAAAUUUAUCACUUAAUGAAAUCCUUCCAAAUAUAUGACCUUUCGAAUACACCUAGAUUUGAUUCAACUUUUUUAUAAUCAUAAUUGAAUACACCCAUAUUUGAAUGGACUUUUUAAAAGUUCAUAUAGGUCCGAAAUGAAUAUACUCAAACUUGUAAAACCUCUUUUAAAGUUUGUAUAAAUCCAAAUUGAAUACACCUGGAUUUUUAAAAUCUUUUUAAACACUUUAUAAUCCUAAUUGAAUACACCCCCCUUAUUCUCAAAAGACUAUAUUACUUUACCUCUAUCUCUGUGAAAUGUAAAAAGUUGAAACUUUAAUGUCAAACCUCAACAAAAGAUGAACUUUCAUCAGUUACGUUGAAUUUGGAUUUGUUGAACUUAAGUGGUUUUAUUUUCUUUGUCAGUGUUUGAUGACUUAAUUUGGUAUUUAUUUCUUCUUUUUUUUCCUUGGAAAUGUGUUCCACCAACGUGAGGAAGAAAAAUAUGCACAAAUUAAUAUAUUUAAUAGAAGCCCAAGAUUUCGGAUGCAUAUAAUUUCUACAAAAAUCUACAAAGUUUUUUACUUUACAAACUUCUUAUGUCUACCAAUUUCUACUAAAAUUAAUUUCUCUGUGGUGCUCAAAUUCAUCAUAUGUGUGUCGUUAAUUUUAUUGAAAAUUGGAAGUUCCCAUCAUUUUUGUUUUUUGGGAAUUUUCUGAACCAAGGAAAAUCAAGUAAAAUUAAUAAAGCCUAAAUUGGAAAGGGAAAAUAUCUAGAGGAUGCAUUGUAGGAUUGCUCAUGCCAAUAAUUGUACCCUCUAAAUAUAUAGAGACAUAUUUUUUUUGUUUUCAUGACAUGUGGUCCUAAAAUUAUUGUGUAAAUCUUCAAUCCUGAACGAUGCACCUAAAACUCAUCCACCCAUUCUCAGGCCAAUUAUUGCACCUAGUGGGCUCUCGACCCCCUCUCAAAUUUAACCACAUAUUUUAUGGACCAUCCAGCUGUGAGGUACAUUCCCCCCACAUGCCACAAUUGUAUAUUCACAAUUACGUCUGAUACAUCACAUCAUGCCACUUGCCUCAAAUGAAUUUAAGUGAGUGAGGCAGUUGGAAGUAAUUAAGCUCUAUAUUGGUGGGUGGAGUGUUACUUCUCGGUUCCCCUCAUCAUUCGUCUAUAAAAUGGUGAAGGCAGUUGCUAUUGUUACCAUAAGAGCCAGCUCCGACUUCCUUUAAUUUCUUGCUUCAUAUCCACUAGCUACAUCUGUUACCAAGUUAAUUUCAGUUCUAAUGGGGUUUCAUCUCCCACUCAUCUUUGCUCUUCUCAGUGUAAGCUCUGCAAUUUGAUUAACUUUUCCAUUCUCUCUCAUUGUACUCUAUAUAAACGAAAGUUUUGUGUUCCUAUUGUUCUCUCCGAUUUUAUUUAGUACGUACUUAAGUGUCGUCCACUAAUUAAUUAUACUUUGUGAUUUGAUUUUAAUUUGAGUUUGAAUUAAUGUUGCAGCUAGCAGCAGUGGCACUGGCAAACCAUGCUGCUCAACCAGCACCUCAACUUUACUGGAGCUCCGUCCUGCCAAACACACAGAUGCCAAGAUCUAUCAGUGAACUUCUGCAUCCUGGUUUGUGUUGAGCUCUUUAGAAUCUUAGAUAUCUCUUCUACCUGCCAUUUUACUAAAAUAUGUUCCACCACAUAUUUAUCAGUUAACCAUUGUCAUUACAUGAGUGACACAUAUUCACAAAUCGGCUGAUCACUUAUUUUCCAUUAUGACUUGAUAUAUAAUUUGCAGACUCCACAAAUGAAGAAAAGAGCACAAAUGACGUUGGCAAACCUGAAACUUUCCCAUUGGGCAAUCAACAUUACUCCAGUCAAAAACAUUAUGGAGGCAUACCUGAAACUUCCCCAUUGGGCAAUAAACAUUACUCCAGUCAAAAACAUUAUGGAAGAGGCAAACCUGAAACUUUCCCAUUGGGCAAUCAGCAUUACUCCAGUCAAAGACAUUAUGGAAGAGGCAAACCUGAAACUUUCCCAUUGGGCAAUAAACAUUACUCCAGUCAAAAACAUUAUGGAAGAGGCAAACCUGAAACUUUCCCAUUGGGCAAUCAGCAUUACUCCAGUCAAAAAAAGUAUGGAAGAGGUGCUUCUCCAUCCGACAAUCAACAACUCCAUUAUAAAGACUUAGCUAUUUUCUUCUUGGAGAAGGACAUGCGCCCUGGCACAACAAUGAAGUUCCAAUUCCCUAUAAAUUCAAACACGGCUACUUUCUUGCCACGAGAAAGCGCUCAAUCGAUCCCCUUCUCCUCUAACAAACUGCCAGAAAUUUUCAACCAUUUUUCAGUGAAGCCAACAUCUGAGGAAGCCAAAACAAUUAAGCAAACAAUCGAAGAGUGUGAAGCUCCAGACCUUAAGGGAGAGGAAAUAUAUUGCGCCACAUCUUUAGAAUCAAUGGUUGAUUUUAGCACUUCGAAGCUUGGAACAAGAAACGUUGAAGCAAUCUCGACGGAGGUAUUGGAAAAAGGAGCCACCAUGUCCAUCCAAAACUAUACAACAAUGCCGGGACUGAAGAAGUUGGCAGGUGACAAAGUCGUUGUGUGUCAUAAGCAGAACUAUCCCUAUGCUGUGUUUUUCUGCCAUGCAAUAAAACAUACAGCAGCUUAUGCUCUCUCCCUGAAAGGCGAUGAUGGGGAGAAGGUUAAAGCAGUAACCAUCUGCCAUCUAGACACAUCAGAAUGGGACCCAGAGCAUAUGUCCUUCCAAAUCGUCAACGUUAAGCCCGGAACCAUUCCCAUCUGCCAUUUCAUUUCCACUGAUGCUAUUGCCUGGGUUCCGAACCACAAAUCUGCAUGAUCAUCACUUAGCACUAGUACUGUGCGUAUAAUAUGCCUGUAUAAUUAUCUCCCUACUUAUUUCUGCCUCUUCAUCAUGUGGUGUAAGAUAUAUGUUGAGAUGAAGUUUUUGGGAUUUGUGGUCGAAAUUAACCCGAUCAUGUUUUCUCUUGCAACCAUAUAGACUUCAACUUGUACUCAUAAUAAAGCAUGCUAUAUUUAUGAAGAGAUAUUAAUCUUCAGGCAAAUAGAUAUUAUGAAAACAUAUAUAGCAAUUUAUCCAGAAGAAACAUUAUGAAAUGAAAAGAAUAAAAAGUAGAAAAACAGAAGGAAAGGAAUUCGCACGUGCUAUGCUAUGUAUGAAAGGACCAAGAUUGUUUUCCCUUUGGUUAAUGACUAGAAAAGCUCACUUGCAGAGUGCUUUCUCCGACCAUAGAUGGAAGAGAAAUUUUCUCUUAAUAAUAGCACAAUGAUCGGGUAAUUGUAAGAACAAGUUGAUUUAAAAUUCCUUGACCCAAAAAAAAAAAAAAAGUUCUUUUCAAAUUCAGGUCAACCCAUAGAUUUCUUGCCUUCGUCUUCUUCAUCACGUUGGGCUUGUCUUCUUUUUGCGUUUUGGGCCUUGGAAGUUGGGACCCAACCCAACUUCACAAAAAGAAAACAGAUUUGCCAAAAAUCAAAUUUCAAGUCUCUCCUCCGAUCACUAAUACAGAUCAAAUUUUGGAUUUGAUGAACUAAAGUGGUUUUACUUUCUCUGUCAGUGUUUGAUGACUUAAUUUGUUAUUUACUUUUUUUUUUUUACUUGAUCUUUGUAGGGGCUUUUUUUUUUCCGGCAGCUUAAACGGGCUGGGCUGCCGUAAAGGGUAGAUUGAUGAAAUUGUCCCCUUUGUCUGAAUUCGAAAAUCAAGCCCCAAAAGCGCUUCGAAAGGGCAGUAGAGCCUUAGGAAGCGUUCUGGUUACCUUCACUAAUUAAAACAACAGCAACUUACAGAUGAUUUCUUGAGGCUUACAGAUAAAUUUUCUAGCUUGGCAUGACAUGGAAGCAAAAUCAGCAUGAGUUUAGCACCAAAGAGGAAAAUAUGGCUUCCUAGGGAGAAAUGAGAGUGUUUAAGGUGAGGAAGAAGAGGUUUGCAGGCUGAUUUGGCUGAGAAAAGAGAAAGAAAGAACAAUGUUCUUCCGGCAGCUUGACAAAGCUUCUGACAGAUGUGAAAGUCGUCCGCCAGAAGAGGAAAAUGGAGAAGAAGGAUGAAUAGUGCACGAAAUUGGUGGGUUCUUGCAGGUAAGAGAGAAAGCUUGCUCUCUGAAUCUGAGUUGGUUUUGGUUGGGUAGAAGAAGCCCCCUUUUAUAGCUGCGGGAAACCAUCUUUUUCCAAGAAACCCUAAUGGUUUCUAUCCUUUUUGGCCAAGCUUUUCCCUUCCUUUCUCUUCUCCUCCCUUGACUUUUCCUAUCUUGGUGAAAUUUCCUCUGCCUAUUUGCACAAAAUUAGAGAUUUUGAGGAGCUCAAGGCCCCUUUCCCGCAGCUGCCUUAGUGGAGAAUCCCCAUUUUCAGUCAUCUUUCUUCCUUCUUUUCUCCCAUCUUCCAAGGCUAGGUUUGAUGAGAGAAAGAAAUGGAUAUGCACACUGGUUUGAAGGGUGUUUUUCCUUGAAACUUGUUCUCUCCCAUGUGCUGGAGCUUCCCAGCAGCUUACACACAUAGAUAUUUUGGCUUUCAUCGUGGCUUUUGUUUUCAGCUAGGUGCUGGAGAUUUUGCAUAUAUUUUCUUGAGUUGCUUGGGCCUUCUAGGACAAUACGUUGGUUUAUCAAGUGAAUGGGCUAACUUCAUCAAUUGUUGGGCAAUUUUGGUUGAGUUAAUGGACUAUUUUGGUUCAAGUAAUGGACUAUUUUGGUUGAAAUAAUAGGCUAUUUUUCUCUCUUUGUGCUCACCCACAUAUUUGGGCCUAAAAAAUGGGCUUGAGUUUCGGGGCUCCCAAGCAACCCCGGGACUUCCAUUUCUCGGCCCAUCAAUGAGCCUCAUGUCAACUUAUUACCAUCCAUACCACAACCCACUCAAGCAAGCCUCAGGCAUCUUGCGUGGCUUGGGCCCACGUAAGCUCGUAGUGGCAAUGUUGCUUAUUUGCUUGACGUGGCAUGUGUGCAAGUGCAUAUGACGAACUUUCGCGUGCCCAAAUUGAGUUUCUUCUCGGUAGGGUAUCGCAUUGGGCCGAGAAUUUAAUUGGGUAGAACCGUGGAUUUUUUGGGCCUCAACAAUCUUAUAUAUAUUAGUUUUCUUUUUUUCCUUAAUAUUCACCACCUUUCUGUUGCAUAAGUAUUCCAGUCUUAGCGGGUUUCCAUCUACCACUCAUCUUUGCUCUUUUAAGUGCAAGCUUUUUUAUUUUUAUUUUUUUAUGCACAAGAUUAGAGGGGAGGGAGAUUUCUCAAUGUAAGCUUUGCAGUUUCAUAAUUAAUAUUUCCAAUAUCUCACUGUUAGUAAAAUAUGGAACGGGAAAAGUACGAAUAAAAUACACACAUGUUUUAUUUAGCAAAAUUUUGACAAGAUACAACUGAAAAGUUUGGCCACUAUAUAAUAUUUUGAUUUAAUUUUUUUUAUUUUUUUAAUAUAUAUUAUUUUUAUUCAAUAAUAUGUGAAAAAUAGGUGUACAAUAUAUGAAAUUUGUAUGUAUUAUUGAAAAAUUCGUAAAAAAAAAACAUGUUAUUAAAUGUGAAAAAUAUGUACGUAUAUGUAUAAAACAUGUAUUGUACAUUACUUUUUAACAAACUUGUAUUUUACCUAGUCUUUAAACCGUAUAUGGAAAACGGAAGUAUUAUUGAAAAAUACAUAUGUACGUAUAUGUAUAAAACAUGUAUUGUACAUUACUUUUUAACAAACUUGUAUUUUACCUAGUCUUUAAACCGUAUAUGGAAAACGGAAGUAUUAUUAAAAAAUACAUAUGUACGUGUAUAAUAUGAGUAUUAAACAAAAAAAUGUGCUAAGUACUUAUCUUUUAAUUUAAUAAUUCAUUUCAUUUUGUGAUCUCAUACGUAGUAAUGAGAGUUCAAAUUAAUGUUGCAGCUGACAAUGGUGGCUCUGGCAAGCCAUGCUUGAUGCAGGAGUAUAGGGGUGGAUCAAGAUAGAUAUUUACCAUGUAAUUAGUUAUUUCAUGAUAUAUUGUUAUUUUCUUAUUUAGGUAGUUUUAUGAUAUCUUUUAUUAUUUAUGUGGGAUUUUAUAAUUAAUUAGUUUACUUUUGGACCAAGUAGCCUUGGUGCUCAAGUCUUGUAAAGCUUAUAAAUAAGGCUAAUGUAAUAGUUGUAGGAAAAGAGAUGUCGAUGAUUAAUAAAAUCGUUUAUUUGUGGCAUGGAUUUGCUACGAUAUAUGUGAGUUUGCACUAGCCCUAGAUUUCGGUGCUCGUGUAUGUGGUUGGUGACCUGUGUCCGGAUCCCGAUCCCCAUCAAUGCUGUUCUCCCAGUACCUCAACUUUACUGGAACUCUUUCCUGCCAAACACAAAUGCCAAGAGCUAUCAGUCAACUUCUGCAUCCUGGUUUCUAUUAAGGGACUUUUCGUGAGCUUAUCAUCUACCCAAAUUUUACUCAUCCGACGUAAUUUUAAAAGUGAUUUGAUCCUUUGGCAAAGUAAUCUUGAACUACAAAAAAGGAGGGCACUCGAAUAGGCAUGCCAUUUGGUAUUACCCACCUCUAAUUUCUUUUAAAAUUUUAGUAAUUGAUUUUUAAGAUUAGAAAAUGGGAAAGUUCAAAACCGAAAAAGUUGUUUCAGUUUUGGCAAGUAUCGGAAAAGACUAAAAUUUUCCGACUUUAUUAUUACUAGAAACAAAGUCGAAGUAUUCACCAAUCAUGUGGCCUUCCAAGUGCUCAAGGUUAAGCCAGGAACCGUUCCUAUCAGCCAUUUCCUUCCCAAGUAUGAUCAUGUUGUCUGGGUUCCAACCCACAAAUCUACAUCAGUACCUGAACUAAUCAGUUCUACAUGAAUAUUCAUUCAUGGCAACCUUGGGCUAAGUAUUUGAAUUUAUGCUCAUAAAGCUUUAAUGCUUUUGAGGGCCAAUCGUUGUCUACAUAUGGUAUUGUAGCAUCUUUAGAUGGAAGAGGUCAGGGGUUCAAUUCUUGUUUUCCACUUCUUUAUUUGUUGGUUUAUCGAGUGUAGAGUGGAGUUGCACCUAUAUGUUCGUCUCUCACCCCAUCAUUUACCAUUGAUAUAUAUUUAAUAGAAGCCUAAGAUUUCGGAAGCACAUAAUUUCUACUUUACAAACUUCCUGUGUCUACCAAUUUCUACUAAAAUUAAUUUAUCUGCGGUGCUGAGAUUCAUCAUAAUUUUAAUAGAAAUUGGAAGUUUUCAUCAUUUUUGCUUUAAGUCUCUACUCCACUCACUAAUAAAGAUUACUCAUGUGAGUUUACAAAACAUUUUUUUUUUCUACUCUCUCCUGAAGACUACACUUCUUCUCAAAAAAUUAGAUCACUUCACAUCUUGUGUAUGUGAAAACUAAUGUAAAAAGUUGAAACUUUAUCGUAAAACCUCGACAAAAAUGAGCUCUACUACAAAAUGUUAAAUUUGGAUUCGUUGAUUUAAAUGGCAAUUUGACACUUGAUAGAAAUUUUUACAUACAUGUGUUAGUGUUUGAUCACUUCACAUGUCACUUACUAUAUUUAUUCCACUCAAGUUAGGUAAAUAUUAUUAUCAAACAUUUCAAUUAAUUUGUGAUUUUUUUAUUAUUUAAUCAAUUAUGAAUUAAUGGAUUCUUCUUGUUGUUUUGAAGACCAACAAAAAAAAAAAAAAGGGUAGUGAUGGCUUAUAAUUCUGGUAAAACAACAGUGACGUGGACAACAGAUGUUACGCUGUACUAAAGAUUUUUGAAGAUUCUUUAUUUGAGUUUCUUUCAAGAUAAAAACCAUAUUAUCCACAACCACAAGCACAUCCGGCAGACAAUCUUUGGCUAUUCAUCACAAUUGGGAGACAAUGAAGAAGACAGAAAAUGGAGUAAUUCAGAUGUUACCAGCCAUCCACGACAAACUGAAGUCUGCAAAGCAUUCGUAAUCUAAAAAGGAUGGGGAGGCUGCGCAAUACUUAGCCACGUGUAGGCCAGGAGGCUUUCCAAUUUUAAUAUAUAUAUAGAUUGAAAAAAUAAAAUAAAAAUCAAUCUAUUAUCAUAUAUAUUAUAAAAUAAAGAUUAUUGCUCCCAUGGGCGGUGCUAUGCACAGGACAGUGCCUGCCUAGUCCAAAUUUUUUUUAAAUAAAAAUAAAAAUCUACAUAUGUUAUAAGCUCAUCCAAAAAAAAAAAAAAAAAUAAAAGUGUUGUAAAUUAUAAGGUGGAGCCCACAUGUUGGAAGGCUUUGCCUACAAAAGGGUUCACACCCUCCCUUUGUAAUUAGACAUUGAGAAUACUAAGGAAGACAGAAAUGAAUAGAGAGAAAACAUUCCCUUCUCUCCAUCUCAAUUCCCUCUCCAAUUCCUCUAGAUUUAUAACACGUUAUCAGCAGCACGAAUCGCUUUCAAACAAUACCAGCUGAAUUUUAUGAUGAAACCCAGAUCUCUCAUCCAUCUCUGCUGCUCCACUACUUCAAAAUAAAUCCCACAGAAAAAGAAAAAGCCUCAAUGCUCUCUCUCUCUCUCUGUCUCGCUUGGGAGACUUGGACAAUUCCUCAUCCCCGUUACUGACAAUUUCAACAGCUUCAGGGGAAGCUAGUUUAUCUUCCUCUGCUCACGAAACCAUGACUCUUUCAGAGCCAAACAACAACACAAUAGACAACGCAUGGAGACCAGACUGGAGCUCGUCGGCUAAGGCACCGACGAUCCGACCCUACCCGUAUGGACCUUCCGGAUGUGGUUCCUGGGUCUUGUCUCAUGUGCCCUCCUCUCAUUUCUCAACCAAUUCUACAAGCAGCAGAGCUUCAAAUCAAACAGAUCAUGGCAUCGCUUUCACACCUCCCCAUCUUCCUCUUCCUCCUGUUCACCGCUUUCUAUUCUACAGCUUCGCAGUCCUUCAUCGGCGCAUCCAAAGGCGACAUACCGGCGCUCGCCUCAGAUCCGAACGCGGCGGCUCAGUGGGUGAACUCGAAUGUCCUCGCCUUCUACUCGGCCAGCAACAUCGACCUCAUCAACGUCGGCAACGAGGUCCUUUUUCUCCAACGACCAGGGCCUCAUCUCGCAGCUCCUCCCCGCCAUGCGAAAUGUCCAAUCUGCCCUCUCCGCCGCGUCCCUCGGCGGCAAGGUCCGUGUCUCCACGGUCCACUGCCUCGCCGGAUCGGGAUCCUUCCUUCAAGUGUUUCUCUGUCUUCGACUUGAAAAAGAAGGUCAUGGCAGGCCUAUGUAAAAAUUGCGAAAAGGAAGGCAAUCUUCAACCUUUUCUCCUGUCUCUCUCUUGAUCAAUUCAUGGAAGGCACAUUUGGGUCUUCCGGGGGCUCAUCAAAUGAGUCAGCAAUGUCAAAGGUGGAGGUGGUGGAGCAAGACUACGUGGGGAUGUCAUAUGAGGCAACCUCAUACCCAGCUGAGGCAGAGCUUGUGCUGGGCCUGGGCCUUGGCCUGAGCCUUCGUGGUGGUGGUGCAGGGAAGCAGCCAAAGCCAUGUGCAUGGGGUGAGCGUGGUAGAAUCUUGACUGCUAAAGUUAGGUGCUGAGUUACACUGUGUUCUCUGCUACUGACCCUAAGAGGAGUGCUAGAAACUUCCAUGUUCCGCCAUCAUUUCGCUUUCACUGUUACAAGGCACUGGAGUAUGUUUAAUUGAAAAGUGAGAUACACAGCAAGUUGAUCAGCCUAGUGGAAAGCAAAGGAUUAUUGCCAGGGAUAUGAACACCCACCGAAAUAAAGGGAUAAGUACUCUUUUUCCCUUCGACCAGUUUUUUUUUGUCCCACUGGGUUUUUACUGGCAAGGUUUUUCACGAAACAUAUUCCGUAUCAUUUGUGGUCUCUAAGAGGGAGUGUUGUAAAUUAUAAGGUGGAGCCCACAUGUUGGAAGGCUUUGCCUACAAAAGGGUUCACACCCUCCCUUUGUAAUUAGACAUUGAGAAUACUAAGGAAGACAGAAAUGAAUAGAGAGAAAACAUUCCCUUCUCUCCAUCUCAAUUCCCUCUCCAAUUCCUCUAGAUUUAUAACAAAAAGUAAAUUCUACACAUAUGUUGCCCAUCCAGGUGGUCCCAUAUCUUCUCUUUCCUUUUCUUUUGGCUAUUAGACUUCUUGUUUCUCUCUCUCUCUUUGCUACCCCACAUCAGCAAGUUUCUCCCUCUCUUUUUUUGGGAUCAAAUUCUUCUUCUAUUGACAAAAUCUUCUAUUAUAUUGGGUGGGCAACUUGGCAACAACAUCUUCUCCUCUCCUUUUGUCAACAGCAAGUAUUAUUCUCAUUCUCUCAUUUGCUAUAUAUCUUUAAUUAUAGUUUUAAUUUAAAAUUGAGUAUUCUAGGGUUUAAUUAGGGAUGAAUUAUAAUUUUGGGAUUUUGUUGAAAUUAAUUAGGGCUUCGAUUAGGGGUGAAUUAUUCUACUGCUUUGAUUUGGAAUUUUGUUAAAAUUGAGUAUUAUAGGUUUAAUUAUGGAUGAAUUACAAUUUUUGGUUUUGGUAUUGUUGAGAUGUUAUUAUGAGAAUUUGUUUGAUUUUUUGUUGGUAUAUUUGAUUAAAAUUCUUUCUACAUAUUAUUCAUAGGCUAUCUUUUAUUAUGUCGGAUCACAAUCGGAAUCCCAAGAAAACAAAAAAUUUGAAUAGUGUUGUUUUGUAUUGCAUUGCAUUUACUUUUGGUUUUAGUUUUGCUUUUAGUGUAAAUUACUCAAAUGGUCCUCAAAUUUGUACCCAAUUUACAUUUUGGUCCAUAAACUAAAUUAUUCAUUCAAAUGGUCCACCAACUCUUUAUUAAUCGGUGCUUUGGUCCUAUCGUUAUGUUUUCUAUUAAAUUUAGUCAUGUGAGCAGCACAUGCUACAUUUGUAUGGGUAAAUAAGACUUUUGACCAGUGGCGGAUCCACGUUGGGACAAGAGGGGUCGGACGACCCCUUGGAAGGCUGGAAAUUUGGCAAGGGAGUCCAUGAAAGCCCCCUUGGACAGCUGCUGGAAGCCCCCUUGUAUGCACACAAUGUGCUCGACGAAAUGCCCCAACGAAAUGUCCUGCGCAGCUGUGCUGCGCCUUGCGCGUAAUUUUUUUUUAAAACCAGCCUUGCCAAACGACGUCGUUUGGUCAAGGCUCAGUCAAAUUUUUUUUUAAUUAACCUGGCCUCAAAACGACGUCGUUUUGGGCCAGGUUUAAAAAAAAAAAAACAGAACAGUACACACGCACAGCAGCUCUGCACAGAUUCAUUUUCUCCAAACCUUUCAUUCCCAAUUCCACAGCCCCUCUUCCCAUCCUCUCAAACCCUAACCUCCCAACCUCCCAACCUUGGACAACCUCCAUCAACUCUUCACCGGUGGCCCAAUGCCGAUCACCACCACCUUCUACCGCCGUCCGCCGCCCAUUUUUUAAACUACAAGUAAGUAAGCAUGGAAAAUCUGAUAUUAAUAAUUAUAGUGAUAAUAUAUAUUGUUGAUAUUGAUAUUUUUUUUUUAUGUAAUGAAAUUUAUGGAUAUGAAUCAUAUUGAUUGAUUGAGUUUAUGCUUGAAAUUUAUGGAUAUGAAUCAUAUUGAUAUUUUUUUUUAUGUAAUUAAAUUUAUGGAUAUGAAUCAUAGUGAUAAUCAUAUUAAUGUAGAUUGAUUGAGUUUAUGCUUGAUUGAUAAUAUGAAUUGAUUGGGUAUAUUAAAUAUUGAUUGCUAUUUGAUAUGAUAAUUUGGUAUAUUGAAUAUUGAUUGAUAUGGGUUUAGGGAGUAUAUUGAAUAUUGAGAGUGGGUUAUUGAAAUUUUCAUAUUCAUAUGAUAAUUAGGAUAAAAAUUAAUGAUUGAUUGAAUUAAUUGAUUUGUAGAUUUAUGGAACGAUUCUUUAAAAGAAAAUUAUCUACGGAUAGUUCUUCUCUGUCUAAUCCGGGUAGUUCAAAUGCAAGACCAAUUGAAGUAGAUGAGAUCUUAGCUAAUCUUCAAGCAGACCCUGGACUAAGAACUCGAAUGGCGGAUUAUAGUCCUAAUAUUAGGGAUGAGAUCCGAAGAGCAUAUCUACAAAAGGGACCUUGUCAACCUAGAAGUUAUAAAUUCCCACAAACUAAUCAAUCAGGAAUUAAUAGACGCUUCAUUGCUCAUUGGUUUGAUGAUCAUGAUUGGUUGGAAUAUAGUAUUGCUAAAGAUGCUACGUUUUGUCUUCAUUGUUAUCUCUUCAAAUCUAAUUUUGAUCAAGUGGGUGGUGAUGCAUUCACUGGGGUAGGCUUCAAUAAUUGGAAGAAGGCGAAAGAAAGAUUUAACCUUCAUAUUGGACCGGUUGGUAGUGUUCACAACCAAGCUAGAGAAGUUGCUUACAAUUUGAUGCAUCAAACUACACACAUUGAAACAAUUGUGCUCAAGCAAACAAGCCAAGCUCGCACGGCUUAUCGCACUUGCUUGAAUGCAUCACUUAAGUGCACUAGGUAUUUGUUGCGGCAAGGGCUUUCUUUUCGUGGUCAUGAUGAAAGUGCACAAUCAAGUAAUAAAGGGAAUUAUUUAGAGCUCUUGCAAUUUCUUGCGGAUCAUGAUGAAAAAGUUAAGGCCGUUGUAUUGGAAAAUGCUCCGGGAAAUUUAAAGUUAAUAGCUCCUUCAAUUCAAAAAGAUCUUGUCAAUUCUUGUGCCAAAGAAACCAUUGAUCUUAUCUUGAGUGAUGUAAAAGAUAGAUAUUUUUCAAUAAUGGUGGAUGAAGCACGUGAUGUUUCAAUAAAGGAGCAAAUGGCAAUGGUGUUGCGUUAUGUGAAUGACAAAGGACAAAUAAUUGAAAGGUUUGUGGGGGUUCAACAUGUAACCGACACUACUUCAAGUGCACUAAAGGAAACAAUUGAUGAAUUCUUUUCUUCCGCGAAUUUGAGCUUUUCCAAGCUACGAGGACAAGGUUAUGAUGGAGCUAGCAAUAUGAGAGGUGAGUUCAAUGGCCUUAAGAGAAAGAUUUUGAGAGAACAACCUUGUGCAUUUUAUGUUCAUUGCUUUGCUCAUCAACUUCAACUAGCUCUUGUUGCGGUAGCAAAGAAAAACAUUGAUGUCAACUCUUUUUUCACAACGGCUAAUAGUUUGGUUAAUGUGGUUGGAGCAUCUUGUAAGCGUCGCGAUGCACUUAGAGCACAAUACCAAGAAGAGCUUGUGAGAGCUUUUGAAGAUGAUUGUCUUAUAACGGGGCGGGGCUUAAAUCAAGAAAGGACUCUCAAACGUGCCGGCAAUACACGAUGGAACUCACAUUAUGGUACGUUGAUUAGUAUCAUUUCUAUGUUCCCAUCUGUGGUGAAUGUGCUUCAAAUGAUUGUUGAUGAUAAUCUUAAUGAUAGUUCGGGUGAAGCCUAUAAGUUAAGGAGAGAAAUACAAUCUUUUGAGUUUGUGUUUCACUUAUUUGUAAUGAAAGCUAUAUUGGGAAUAACAAACACUUUGUCUCUAGCAUUGCAAAAGAAAGAUCAAGACAUUGUGAGUACAAUGAAUUUAGUGAAAACAUGCAAGGAAAACCUGCAGUUGAUGAGGGAUAAUGAGUUUGAAGAAUUGGUUGGGCAAGCAUCCUCGUUUUGUUACAAAUAUGAUAUUAUAGUUCCUACCAUGGAUGAGGAAUAUGUAAUUCCAGGGAGAUCAUGGCGUAAUGCUCCAAUGAAGACAAAUUAUCAUCGUUAUCGUGUGGAGAUCUUUAUUCAUGUAAUUGAUGGGCAACUUGCGGAAUUAAAUGAUCGCUUCAACGAGGUAAGUACUGAGUUACUUACUUGUUUGGCAUGCUUGAGUCCAAAAAAUAACUUUGUGACUUUUGACAAACGAAAGCUAGUUCGUCUUGCUCAAUUUUAUCCUUAUGAUUUUUCGGAUAGAGACUUAUUGAUGCUUGAAGAUCAACUUGGUGUUUAUGUUCAUCAUAUGCGUUCGAGUAGUGAUUUUUCUCAAUUGGAAGGGAUUAGUAGUCUUGCGGAAAAAAUGGUGGAGAAAGGAAUGCAUGAAAUAUUUCCUUUUGUAUUUGCUUCUUACAUUGGCUUUGGUUUUACCGGUUGCAACUGCAUCAGUGGAGAGGGCAUUUUCCGCUAUGAAUAUUAUUAAAAAUCCACUUCGCAACAGAAUGGGAGAUCAAUGGUUGAAUGAUAGCUUGCUUGUUUACAUUGAGAGAGAUGUUUUUGCUUGUAUUGAUAACGAAAUUAUAAUGCAAUGUUUUCAGAAUAUGAAAACUCGUCGUGGACAAUUGUAACUUGUAUUAUUGGUUUUGUUAUGAAUUAUGAAUGAAAGUACUAUCUUUCUAUCUUUUUAGCAUUAUUUUCUUUGUAGAAAAAUUUCAGAACUUUUACACUAAGCCCCCUUGGCUACAUAAUCCUGGAUCCGCCACUGCUUUUGACCACUUUAUCACCUAUGUAUCACCACUUUAUAACCUAUUUGGGGAACAUAGGUCAGUUAUGGACGGUUUUACCCUUACAUUUGACGGCAACAUUAACAUAAUGUAACAGUGGGAUCAAUGGAGUGAUUAAUAUAAAGUUGAUGGACCAUUUGAAUGAAUAAUUUAAUUGAGAGACCAAAAUGUAAAUCAAGUAUAAGUUUGAGGACCAUUUGAGUAAUUUACCCUUCGCUUUUAUAUUUGUUGAACUUUUAUUUAUGAUAGAUAUGCAUUUAAGGGUAAGACCCAUUAUGUUCCCCUGGCUAGGUGUAUCUUUUUAUGUUUAUUAAUGAAAUUCACUCGAACUGUUGAGUUUAGUAUGUAAGUUUUGCCUAACUGGCUUUUGAAUCCUAGAACCGCCACUGUUGCUCCAUCCUCCAUGCACUUGCAUGUGCUCUUACAAAGUGUGAAGUAGAUUUUGUGUGCUCCAAGUCAUUGACUAGAGCUGAAACAUGGUUAGCUAGAUUUAUAAGGACCCAUCUCUUUAUUUCCUAGACAUAUACCCAUCUCUCUAUAAAUCUAUAUGUAAAACCUAAUUUCAAACUUAAAUGACCAGUAGGAUAUAAAAGGUCAUAGUAUUCCUAUGUUUUUAUAUCGUUGCCACCAGACUUCUUAUUUUAUUUAUAAUUUAUUUCAAGCAUUUCAUUAACUGCCAUAAUUGUAAUUAAUACUCCAUAUUAAUAGCAUAUCAAUCACCCCAUUUCUUUUGGUUGCCAUUCCCUCUAACAUAUCGCCCCUUAAAUUUGAAAACCAAAAAAAAAAAAUGUAAAUUACAUAUCCAAUAAUGUACCUAUGAAAAAUAUAAAUAUAAAUAUAUACAUAUAAAAAUAUAGGUAUAUUAUUUACCAAAUAGAAAAUAUAAAAACCUAGGUCAGUUGCUUUGUAAUUGAAAUUUCUGUACAUUUUCCACAAAUUAAAAAUAGGUACAUAAUAAUUUAUAGAAAAUAUAUGUACAUUAUUUAUCCAUAGGUAAAAAUACCGAUAAAUGCACAUAGGUGAAUUAUUUACCAAUAUAUUAUUUUUUUGCUAAGGAUUUACCUUAGUUUUUAGUAGAUUAAUUUACCUACCUAGAGGCAUAGGUAGCUUAAAAAAAAUGUACCACCUUAGUUGGUUGCAUACUAAUUUACCUACCUAGAGGCAUAGGUUGCUAAGAAAAAAUGUAGGUAAAUUCAUGUACCUAAACACAUAGGGGUCAAAUAGAGAAUAACAUGUUAUUUCCCUUUGAACAAAUUAAUUUCAAACCAUAACAAUUAUUGAAUUUGGAAAUUGGUAUAAAUAAAAGGAAAUAAAUAAACUAUCAAUUUGAAAAUUAAAAUAAGAAAUGAUCAAGUAGUCAUAUUUGAAAAAAAAGGAAAGAAUAUAUUCUUGGUUUUUAUAGGAACAACGAGUAUAUUCAAACCAAACGGCGAUAACUACACCAAGCUUUAAUUACUUUUUUUUAAGGCCAAAAGUCACUUUUGGUCCCUGUAGUUCGGCAUUUCUACCACUUUUGAUGUUGUAGUUUCAAUUCCGUCAAUUUUGCCAUUGUAGUUUCGUAUUUGUAGCAAUUCAAGGACCUGUUAAUAUUAAUGUCAAUUUGUUUAAUGAUGCAAGAGGUAAUUUCGUCAUCCCAAAAUCCUUGAGCAUAAAAGAUUGUCUGAAAUUCUCCCCAUUUCAUAUUAGGGCUCGAAAUUCAACCACUAAUCCUAAUUUUUGAAGAACCCUAGACCCAAAUGACCAAUUUCAAGCCCUAAUAUGAAAUUACGGAAGUUUUAGAUGAGCUUUUAUGCUCAAGGAUUUUGAGUUGAAGAAACUGCCCCUUGCACUGUCAAAUAAAUUGACAGGAAUACUGACUUGUCCUUGAAUUGCUACAAAUACAAAACUACAGUGUCAAAAUUAACAGAAUUUAAACUAUAGGGUCAAAAGUAGUUGAAGUGUCAAACUAUAAGGACCAAAAGUGACUUUUAGCCUUUUUGUUUCAAUAAGGAAAAAACUGACCUAUUAAAUCCUUGGAAUCUAUACAAAAUUGAAACACAAUUAAUCAACAUUGAAUUGCAGCUAAUUUCUUAAACAAGGGUAUUAUAGGAAUUUAAAAAGUAUAACAUUUAAUCCAUUGAAUUUGAUUAGGAAACUUGAUGAAUUGAAUCCUAGUUAUAUAGUUUUUCUUAUAAAAAUCAGGUUUUAUUUAUAGACAAAUAAAACAAUGGGUUGUAGGUAAGAAAAUAUUAAUUUGAAGGGAAAGAGUCAAAUUUACUAAAUUAAUAAAGCAUAAAUUGGAAAGGGAAAAGAUCUAGAGGAUGCAUUGUAGGAUUGCUCAUGCCAAUAAUUGCACCCUCUCGAUAUUGAAAAACCUAUUGUUUAUUAUUAUCUUCAAUCCUGAAUGAUGCACCUAAAACCCAAGUGUCUCAGGCCAACCAUUGCGCUCAUACCACUUGUUGCAGUACACAUUCACCUGUUUUUAAAGAAAGAAAUUCUACCAAUCGAUAUUUUCUCAAAUUUAAUCACAUAGAUCUAUUAUGGUUAACCAUAUGUACUUUUAUCUGCCAUCCAGAGGUACCUUUUUCCAACGUGCAACAAUUGUAUUUGAUUCACAAUUAUGUCUGAUAUACAUCACAUCAUGCCACUUGCCUCAAAUGAAUUUAAUUGAGUGAGGCAAUGGGAAGUAAUUAAGCUCUAUAUUGGUGGGUGGAGUGUUACUUCUGGAACCCUCAUCAUUCGUCCAUACAGGGGAACAAUUCCCUUCCUUCUAUAAAAUGGGAGCAAUUCUCUCACUGUACUCUAUAUAAAGGAAUAAGUGUCGUCCACUAAUUAAUUACACUUUGUGAGAUUUGAUUUUAAUUAGAGUUCGAAUUAAUGUUGCAGCUAGCAGCGGUGGCACUGGCAAACCAUGCUGCUCAACCAGCACCUCCACUUUACUGGAAUUCCAUCCUGCCAAACACACAAAUGCCAAGAGCUAUCAGUGAACUUCUGCAUCCUGAUUUGUGUUGAAUAGAUAUAGUAUGUUACUGGAGUACGUAUGGCAACAUAUUCACAAAUGUGUCACGUAUUUUCCAUUAUGACGUUGAUAUAUAAUUGCAGACUCCACAAACGAAGAAAAGAGCACAAAUGUCAUGAAUGCUGUUGGGAAUGGAAAGCCAAUUGACCACAAGGGCAAACCUGAAAAUACUGUACUACCACAGCUUGCACGACGCCCAUUUUCUUACAAGAGUGAUGAUCGUCCCACUGACAAUCAACUCCAUUAUAAAAACGUAGCUAUUUUCUUCUUGGAGAAGGACAUGCGCCCUGGCACAACAAUGAGCUUCCAAUUCCCUAGAAAUUCAAACACGGCUACUUUCCUGCCACGAGAAAGAGCUCAAUCGAUCCCCUUCUCCUCUAACAAACUACCAGAAAUUUUCAACCAUUUUUCAGUGAAGCCAACAUCUGUGGAAGCCAAAACAAUUAAGCAAACAAUCGAAGAGUGUGAGGCUCCAGGCAUUAAGGGAGAGGAAAUAUAUUGCGCCACAUCUUUAGAAUCAAUGGUUGAUUUUAGCACUUCGAAGCUUCGAACAAGAAACGUUCAAGCAAUCUCGACGGAGGUAUUGGAAAAAGGUGCCACCAUGUCCAUGCACAAGCACACAACAAUGCCGGGACUGAAGAAGUUGGCAGGUGUCAAAGUCGUUUUGUGUCAUAAGCAGAACUAUCCCUAUGCUGUGUUUUACUGCCAUGUAAUAAAACCAACAGCAGCUUAUGUUCUCUCCCUGAAAGGCGAUGAUGGGGUGAAAGUUAAAGCAGUAGCCAUCUGCCAUCUAGACACAUCAGAAUGGAACCCAAAGCAUUUGGCCUUCCAAAUCCUCAAAGUUAAGCCCGGAACAAUUCCCAUCUGCCAUUUCCUUCCCACUGAUCAUAUUGUCUGGGUUCCGAACCACAAAUCUGCAUGAUCAUCACUUAGCACUGUACGUAUAAUAACCUUUACCCCUGUAUAAUUAUCUCCCUACUCUACUUAUUUCUGCCUCUUCAUGUGGUGUAAGAUAUAUGAUGAGAUGAAGUUUUUGGGAUUAGUGGUCGGGUUGCCUUAAAAACACAGAUUACAGAAACUGCUUGAACUUAACCCGAUCAUGUUUUCUCUUGUACUCGUAAAGCAUGCUGUUGUGGUUCUACUUAAUUUCGUCCUCCCCAAUGUUUGAGUGUUUAAUUGUUACGUUGGAAUAGGCUGCUAAUGCAUGUAGUUAGAGAAGCUUUCAUUUAUAUCAAAGUCCUCAAACUAUCAAGAAUUAAUGCAUCCAGAAACAUAUAUACCAAGACGCAAAACAACAUAUUUUCCAUGCUGUGUCGGUAACACCAAAGCAAACUUCCUUUAUCACAAAAGGACCAAAUUCCAAUACUAAUCUAAUCCAUCAUGUAAAGCAUACAAUCUACAACUGCCUCCCUAAAUUUGUCCAUUGGAUAUAUAUGUCACUUUUUGGUAAUUUGGUAUAGCAGCACCACGUAGUAUGCAUUUAACAGAAAAGUAAACAAAAUUGACAGUAGAACUAUUUGUCCUAACGAAACUGAAGUUGAAAGACCAUGAGAACGAUUUUGAAAAUUAAGGGACUCAAAUGAAAAUUGGGUCUAAGUUCAGGGACCAAUAAAACGAUUAACCCAUAGAUUUUGGAUCCAGUACCACAUCCCAAAGAGAAAACCACAAGUUUGCAAGCAAGUUUGUCCAUACUAACACUACGUACAGUAUGGGCAAUGUGCUAGACUCAUCUCACUUUCUCAACCUAUCCUAUACUUGUCUAAAAGAGUUUCUAAUUUAAUGUACUGAGAUUUACGAAAGAAAUAUCAGAGAAACAAUUUUCAGGCAAUAAAAAAAUGUCUUGGCAAGAAAAUGCACAAUUUGUUACAUAACUUAUUAAAUAUGAACAGUUGAAAGAAAAAAGAAUUUGGAUGAGGGAUUUGCAAAUUCCUAUGGCCCAAUUACCUUUUUUUCUUUGUUUUUUUUUGGUUCUUUUGAUCCAGUAGCAUAUUCCAAAGAAUGAAAACCACAGGCAUGCAAUGCAAGCUCUUUUCCCAUGUUUUCCUCUGUUUUUCUCCUAUCAUGGAAGUGAUUAAAACACACCUCUAAGCUUGUUUUGCGUUUGGUAGCCGAGUGUAAAAGCUCAAUGCAAGAUAGUUUGAGGUAGAAUUUUCUCCUGUUUUAUUAGGACAAUGAUGAGCUAUAUGUGACAACAAAUUGCUUUAAUAAUGAAAAUUAAAAAAGUGUGAUUCAUUGAAUAUUUGCGGGGUUUUGUUCAGAGCUGACAAAGUUCUAAGUCAACACAUCAAAUUCCUUUUUCCAACAAUCGUAUUUGAUUCACAAUUUUGUCUGAUAUACAUCACAUCAUGACACUUGCAUCAAAUGAAUUUAAUUGAGUGAGGCAAUGGGAAGUAAUUAAGCUCUAUAUUGGUGGGUGGAGUGUUACUUCUGGAAUCCUAAUCAUUCGUCCCUACAGGACUCUAGAACUCUCACACUUCUUACAAGGACUACUUAACUCUAUAGCUUAUUGCAUAUAGCAUAUAUAUGCAAACCCAAUUAGAAAUUCUACAACAGAAGCAAGAUCAAUCUCACUAUGCCUUCUAAACAAACAAACAAAUAAAACAAGCAUAUUAAUUGCUUUAAUCACUCUACUAACAUCAACACAGCACACUUAGUUUACUAACAGAUGAUAUAGAAAGGAAAAAAAAGGACCAAUAGGGAGAAAAUGGUGAACUAAGGAGAGACUAAUACUUCUGGUCCUUAGAAGGCAUAACAGAAAUAAUAGAGCACACUGCUUGAAUGCAAGUCAGUAUUAGGAGCAAAACAGCUGCAAUGAAAGAAAUAGUUGCCCAAGGUGUAUUGAAAUAAUGUUGCCUCAAAUUUGCCUUCCAUUUGUUCCAAGGCUUUCUGCAGUAGCUAUUAAGGCGCUCAGAAAGAGUAGCAAAGUAGAAGCUUUCACGAUACACUGCAAUUCCUUUUCCGAGGUUGUUAAUCAGAGUGCACACCUCAUUGUAGUCACCAAGCAUAUUUUUGACAAUCCCAUACUUCAGAAGGAACUCCACAUCCUUUUCGGUGUUCACAAACUCAUCCAUGAGUGAAACAUAAUCACUUAUGUAAUUCUUACGGCAAUGGCACUAUUCAAAGGCAAUGAGGUUAUGGAGUGUGAGCUCUGUGUAAUCGUUUAUUUUUAGUUUUGGAAUUUCUAGAAUCCCAUCGUUGAAUCGUGUUAACGCAGCUUUCCUUUCCUAGCCUACGCGGAAGUCAACUUCACAAUCUCCUCCUAGCAAUUAGCCUUUCCUACUGUAAAUCGGAUUGUAUUCAUGUCUAUAUUAUUUCCUACCUUAAAUAGAUAUCCUGUACUAGUAUACAUAGGGACUUUGUGUAAUCUGUUAAAUACAAGGAAAUAUAUACUCUACAUGGUAUCAACCUAACCUAGGGUUCUCUCUCUCCCCCUUAUUCGAUCCUCUUCUCCUUUAGGUCCACCUCAUGGCUUCGUUUGAAUCCACCAUCUCCCUCCCAAGCCCUAACUCUUCUCAUUUUAUCAAGCUUACUAACUCCAACUAUCUUCUUUGGCUCCGCCAACUCAAACCCUUUUAGUUGGCCAUGACCUCUGGAAAUUUAUCGAUGGCAUUCAUAAACAACCUUCUGCCCACACCUCCACCUCUACCACCACAACACCCACAACCACCACCACUCUUACCGAAAUCAAUCCUACCUAUGCUCAGUGGUACCAACAAGACCAACUCAUUGUUAGCUACAUCACCAGUACACUCUCUGAGUCCAUUUUCUCUCUCACUGUCGGUUGCAUCUCUGCCCGGGAUCUCUGGGAGUGUCUCCAAUGCCACUUCUCUUAAUCCAAUAUGGCCAGUGAAUCUGCUCUUCGUUUUCAACUCAUGGAUUUGCAAAAAGGCUCUCAACCCAUUGAUGCUUACCUUCGUCAUGCUAAGUCUCUUGCCGAUUCACUAGCUGCCAUCAAUUAACCUGUCUCCCCAAAAGAACUUGUCACUGCUGUGCUUCGGGGUUUAGGACCCGAUCACAAAAUGCUCAUCACAGCAAUUCUCAAUUUCUCUCCGCUUCCAGACUUUGCUGAUCUUCGUGCUCGUUUGUUAGCUUUUGAUGCACAGACUCCUCGAAUCUUUCCUGAUCAAAACACAACGCUAAUGGCCACCCAAUCUUCUCCUUACACCACCGGUCAUACUUCCUUCCCUUCUCACCGUGGUUGUGGCUCUUCCAGCAAUAGGCGCGGUGGCUGGUGCAGUAUUGGCCGUGGUGGCUGGCACAACUUCUCAUCUUCCUAGAGCAACCCGUGGAAUGGCUUCCAGCAGCCCUAAUGACCUAAUCAACUGUGGCCUCCUUUUGCUCUAAGUUUUGGAUCUCAAAGCAACUGGCCUUCCUUUCAACCUCUUUGGGCCCAAUCUGCCGCUUCUAGCAAACACUCUGCCCGACCCAACUCAGCUCCUGGUGUCUUGGGACCCGCUUGGUGCACCACAUGCAAUACCAAUCGACAUACUACUACAACAUGUCCUUAUUGCUACAAUGGCCCAGAAUUCUUCCUUUGCUGGGGCUCAAUUCAUGCAGCCACCUAACUCUACAUGGUACCCUGACACAAGUGCCACUCAUCAUAUGACUGGUAGUUCUUCUAAUCUCCAAAGGAAAUUAAAUGAAGGAGUCCUACGAAGGCUCAAGGCUCGAAAGCACACGAUCCGGCUCUGCUGCGGAGCUCACUCAACUACUGGCUGAGGGGGCGCAAAACAGAAAAUUGUGAGUGGACAAAAAUAAAAAUUCAGUUCAGUGUAAACCAACGUAAUAUAACCCCACCGUUUAGAAAACCAUGCAAGAAAUCCAAAUGCAUCUCAAAACCAUCAUAAUCAUCAAAUCAAAAUCAAAUACUGGAUGCCAAGUCCGAAAUCCAUAAAGAAAGCUUUACAAACCCACCAUCCAAAUCUUACAAUCCCACAACUAAACUCUCGAAAGCGUACCCAUUGGCAGUACCAGCAAGGAAGUAUCCUCACCGAGAAACAAGAACAAAAGAAUAGCUAUAUAUAUAAUUAUAUAAUAUAACCACACCUAGUUGUACCGGGAAAACAAUCCAACCGGGGGAUUGUUUGACUAGUCACCAUGGCAGAGUCAAAGUAAACAAAUUCCUCAAUUCACCAUGUGACUAGGGAACGAGCUGUCCAACUGGGGGACCAACUCUCAGCCAGCAUGUACCGUCGAUAGCCUCAAAACCCGUACGUCUGUGACCAGUCCUACGCGUGCAGACUACCCAAUCAAGGGUUUACAGCAACAUCCCAUCAAGGAUGCCCUAGGUUCCCACAAUUCCAAGUAUCUCAAGUUUGCGUAUCCAAGUUCCAAAUCCGGGGAGGUACAUAGGGUAGUGCUUAUAGCACUCCAAAUUGACAUUCUAUACUCAUCACUUUCCACAAUCUCAUCUCAACAACCUAAGUACCCCACACAUAGCCAAACAUAUAUAGAAAUUCUCAAAAUCCAUAUAUACAUACUCAAGAUACUCAAAUAUGUCAAAAUCCAAAAUAUAUUUCCAAUGCAUCAUAAAAAUAUCACUUUUAACAAUUGAAUAAAUAAUAUAUAUCCAAUAUACCAAUUAAAACAUCAUGCAUAAUAUUUCCCAUCAUAAAAUCAUGCAUAAGAUUUGAAAACAAAGUCCACUCACAAGUAGUCCCACACUGCUUGACCUUGAGAGGGUCCCGCCUACUGCGUAUGCGUGGUUGGAGUACCUAUUUCAGAAUACGUAUACGAGAUUAAUAAGAAGCGUUUCGAACGAGAACUUUGAAUUAAAUAUCCUAAUUUCCCAGGUUUCUAGUAAGUGUACUAGGAACGAGACGUUCUAAGGUUCCACUACCCAAUUCGAACCAUGGAAGAGCUUCGGGAGACACUCGGUCAACCGGCGGUCAAAUUCCCAAAUCGGGUCAACUGGCCCACGGGACCCACGACCUCCGUUUUUAAAAUCCGUAAGUUCCUAAAGGUUUCACAAUGUCUAAGAUACUACUAUCACAAGUUUGGUCCGAAACGGACUGUUAGAUCGCUUACGAUCGCACGAUCAGACGGUUAUUGUAAAACGUAAACUUUAAGUUAUUGAAUCAGAACAUCCGGGGCUCCGAUUCACGAUCCGCGAAUUCCUACACGAUCCUAGGAAGGUCUAGAGUAACAUAUAUUGGAAUGGAGUCGAUCCAAAGGUCCGAACAUAUCGAACCUAGACCGGAUAACUCCUAAUAUGUGAGAUUCGUUCGGGGUUCGAACAUCAACCAAAUUGGAAUCCUAAGGUACCUACGUGCUCGUGACAUUAAGGGGAUCAAUUGGGACAAAAAUGCCCCUCUGCUACAGUGCCCACGUGCCACCACACGCGGCGGUAGAGAGUGGGUGUCCAAAGCGAUUUCUCUUCGCCGGAAAAUCUCCAAAUUACAAGCCACUCUCCUGGCUACAGGUUCUACUCAACGAGUGGAACACUUUAUUCAACUACAGCCAAGUCCAAUUCGGACGGCAAGUGGCCGGAAACUCACGGUUUAACCCGGAACUUCAUGGCUUGGAUUGGGCGACCAUCGUCACCAUUGUCGUGGCACAACCUAGGAAAUAGCUAAAAGGAGAGGAGGGCUACCUAUUCCAAGCGAUGGCGCAGCUCGCGGUAGCCGAAAAUGUAGCCGAUGACGUUGGCAGUUUUGGCCGGUUUUUCACGUCGUUGCCAUCGCCGUUUGUCGAGUUUUCGAUUGGAGAAAAGGGGUGGGGUGAGUAGAGGAGGAAGAGAGGAAGCUUUUGCAAGAAAUGACACUUGUCAGGGAGGGGGGGGUUGGGGGAAGAGAGAGAGAGAGAGAGAGAGAGAGAGAGAAAAAAAAAAAAUUUCAGAUUUUCAUCCAAACCCUUUUCGAAAUAUUUACAAGUUUGCCACUAAACUACUUUUGGUUGCCAAAUCUUCGUUAUAACUCCGAUUCAAGCCUACCACGUGUCUACGGAUUCGUCUCAAUACAACCUACCCAAAAAUACCAGUCACUGCCCCAAACUCUUUUUGGGUAAGAAAAUGACCAAAAUACCCCUACCCCAAGGGUAAAUUCAUAAUUUCACUUCAAUAAUUUAAUAAAGAAUUAAAUUUGGAGUCGGGGUGUUACAUUAACUACCUGUUUAGUAGGUGUGGGGUUUUAUACAAAAAGCAUCGAUGUUAUUGGGAGUGGAACCACUUAUUAUAAGUUGUGAUUUAUUUAGUCAAGUUUCCUAUGUGGGAUUUUCUAUUCUUCAACAAGCCCCCUCAUGUGGGACCACCACAUAGUGGGCCACAUGUAAAGCUAAGUCCACAUCGGAGUCAAUCAUUCAAGCCCAAUACCUAAACACCACGUAUUGUGUGAGGGGUAGGGGUAAACAUUCAAGCCCAACAUGUGAACCACCAAAUAUUAAGUAAGGGUAAAGGCUCAAUUCAGGCCCAAUCAAUGAACCCAUUAUGAUAUCAUGUUAAAUUUCAGAUAGACGGGACUGUGGCCCACCACUAGCAACAUUGAUAUUGUCCCCAACUUAACUACAUGUUUAGUAGGUGUGGAGUUCUAUACAUAAGGUCUCGAUGUUUUUAGGAGUGGAACCACUUAUUAUAAGUUAUAAUUUAUUUAGUCAAGUUUCCAGUCAACCUGACUUUGAUACCAUGUUAAGAUUUUAAAGGGACGAACUCUUGGCACUAUUAGUAACAUCGACAUUGUCCCCAACUUAACCACCUGUUUAGCAAGUGUGGGGUUUUAUCCUAAAGGCCUCGAUCUUAUUAAGAGUUGAGUCAUUUAUUAUAUGGAACUUUCUAUUUUGUUAACUCUGUGUAUUCUUCAUCAAUGUGAACACCCCUAAACCAAUCAUACCUGAUACGAAUUGAAACACAAGUUUGUUUUUUGCCUUUGGUAGAUGAGUAGCUAGAAAAGCUCAAUGCACUUGCUCUUCUGCUACAUUUCAAUAUAAGAACAAGGUUUGGAAGUCAGGUCAACUCCUCAUAGCUUCCUUGCCUUUGCUUUGACAUGUCUAUGCACUUCUUGGGGAAGUUUGAAUAAUCCAUUGCAGGCCCCAUGACAACUAAGGAACCAACAUUUUGUAGAAGGUUUUGUCUAUACCUUUUGACUAUAAGUAAAAUCUUUUGUAUCUGCUCUUAUGUUUCGGUGAAGUUUCUAUGUGUCCUUUGUGCCGAGUUUCUAUGCGUCCUUUGUUGAACCAAAAAAUGAGGUUGUUUCUUACUAGAUUCAAAUACUUAAAAGAAAAAAAGAAAUUGUUGUUUCUUAAUGGAUUUUAUGAUGAACAAUAUCAAACUCUCCUCUUAUACGUCUGUUGGUAAAUUUUAACAACAAUAUUAAAACCUUGCAAGUGCACAAAUCAAAUGAUAGUAUAGUAAGCAAGCAAGGGUCGAUCCCACGGAGAUUGUGAUCUAAAGAGAUGUUUAUCAAUGUCACGCAAUGAAAAUCAAAACAAAGGACUUCCAAACACACGCCAACACCAAGGGGGGUUUUGAUUUGUUUUUGUGAAUCAAACAAAAUAAGGAAAAGGAAACAAAAGAGAAUUUAAAUUAGAGUUUAAGAGAAAUUGGUUUAAAAUCAAUCAAGAUCAAUAGCUAGGACUUACUAUCCACCUCCAAACAAUCAAUCAAUCCAUAAACAACAAUAGAUAAUCAAUUUCUAGUAAGCACACUACUACAAAAAAGCAAAAAGACGACGGUAAAUCACCGUCGUGUAUUCGGUUUUUCAAUGGUCGUGGAAUCCACCGUCAUCUUUUCCCUCAUAAACCACGACGCUAAAUCACCGUCGUUGUUACAAUAUACAACGUCAUCAACAAAUACAAAACGACGUCUUUGUACUGCAAAAAGAUCUAAAAAAGCAAUCGAUGAUGAGAAAAGACGACCAACUCUCUAAACAAACCGUCGUUAAAAAGAAAAAAUAUGACACAUAUUAACAGAACAUGGCCGCAAGAUAGACAUACAACGACGAAAAUUAAAAUAAGACGCCGUUAAAUAUCAUUUUCACGACAAUAAAAAAUAUGUCGUCUUUAAAUACAUUAGAAGACGACGUUAUUGAUACCUACUACGUCGCCUAUAUAAAAAUAACCGUCGUAAAAUAAAUUUUCCACUUCGAUUUUUCUAUAAAAGAUGACGUGGAAAUAGUUGUCAGUGUCAUUAUUUACGACGUAUGUAUUUAUAGAGUAGACGUUGAACAACGAAACAACGUCGGUUACAAAUAUAUGAGAGUCGUAUUACAAAAUUUAUACGUCCUAUUUUCAGAAACAAACAACGACGAUAAAUAUUAGACGUUGUUAAAUAAAACAACGUCGAAAACAAAUAAAAACAGACGUGUUUAGUCUGCUAAAGUUCUAAAAAAUAGUCGAGGAUGAGAAUAGACGACCAACUCAAACAAAUCACCGUCGUUAAAAAGGAAAAAUAUGACACAUAUUAAAAGAACAAGGCCGCAAGAUAGACAUACAACGACGACAACUAAAACACUACGCCGUCAAAUAUAAUUUUCACGACAAGAAAAAAUAUGACGUCUUUAAAUACAUGAGAAGACGACGUUAUUGAAAUAUACUACGUUUCUUAUUUACAAACAACCGUCGUGAAAUAAAUUUUCCACUUCGAUUUUUCUAAAAAAGAUGAUGUGGAAAUAGUUGUCAGUGUCAUUAUUUACGACGUAUGUAUUUAUAUAGUUGACGUUGAAAUGCGAAACAACGUCGGUGGCAUUUAUAUAGUCGACGUUGUAUUUAUAUGUAUUCAUUACUCACGACGCACUUAUUAAUAUAGACGACGUUGAACUUCUAAACAACGUCGGUUCCAAAUAAAUGAGAGCCGUAUUACAGAAAAUAUAGAUGGCGUUGAUUAUGAUGAGAGCCGUAUUACAAAUAACGUCGUUUAAUUGAUAUUAGACGGCGGUUAUAAUGAAUUACCGUCGGAAUUCAUUUCGUUCCUCUUCGUUUAUAAAAGAACUUGCGACGUGGAAAAUGUAUGAUGACGUCGUAUUUUUUAACGUUCAGAUUAUAUAUCUCGUUUUUUAGACGUCGGUAUUAUGGGAUUGGAGUCGUGUUAUUUUGAAUUACAUGGCGGUUCUUAAUCCUUCCCCGACGUGAUAUCCUGAAUAAUUGCUUCAUAAUAGCGUCGUGGUUCUUCAUUGUUACGUUGCUUUAAGACGUCGGUAAAUAUGCUGAAUAACUGGUUCACAAUAACGUCGUGUUUUAUUUGAACGUAGAAAGUGAAGAAAUCACAUUACAAUAUAUUACAAAAUUAAUGUCAUACACUGCCAAUUACAUAAGCAUCAUUCAAUCCAUAUAUCUUCACACCCAUCUCGAAUAUUUUGACCGCCUAACUCACCCACCAGUUCAUCAAAUGUGUCAACAUUUGGCAUCCCUCUAGUAAAUGGCUCACACUCAAUUAUCACAUCACCUAAGACUUCAUCACCAAUAACAUUAUUAUAUUCUCUAUUAGGCAUUGAUAACACUACCGACCAACCACGAUGCAUCGGGUCGUCAACAAAAAAUAUUUGUUUGACUUGAGAAGCCAAAACAAAUUGGUCAUUCCUAUGUCCAAUUUUACUCAAAUCUACAAGGGUAAAUCCAAGUUCGUCGACUACAAGACCAGAACUAUCUAUCCAAUCACACCUAAAGACUGGGAUUGUAAACUUUUGGUAGUCAAGGUCCCAAAUUUCUUGAAUGACACCAUAGAAACCCAUAUUUGAGAGAAUUGAGUUUUUAUCCUUGGCACUAGCAACUUGCAUGGUAUGUGCAAGUAAAUAAACUCCACUAUUUUGAGUUGUCCGCACAUCAUCUUGUGCCUUGAUAUUGAAUUUAAUACCUUUAAUAAGAUAGCUCCUAUAUAAUGGCACAGCCAUGUUUGGACCAGCUGCUAGCCACCUUAAAUUUUCUGAUACGCCAUGAUUGUCUUCCUCAAGUUCACUUUGAACCUGCAAAUUAAUCAUAUAUCUUAAUGCAAUCUAACAUAGAAAUAAGAAGAAAAUUAAAAGAGAAAUAUGUUAUUCAACAACAUAUACCUUGAAGCGUAGCCAUUGAAUGAAAGUGUUAUUGUGCUUAUCCUGCAGCCACUUUGUGAUUUAAGGUAUGACAAUCAUGUGAUUUAAGGCCAAGAAGUCUUGAAUCUUGUAAAGAUACAAGAUUUUUAAUAUUUGAAGAAUAACCUUCAGGGACCUUCAUACCAUAGAAAGAAUUGCAAACCUCUCUCUUCUCUGCUCUUGACAAAUUCCAAGGCCCAGGAGGCAAACGAGUACGUCUUUCUCCAUACUCGGGUUGCAAAUCAGUUUUGACCCCCAUGUUCAAUAAAUCUAAUCGAGCAGCAAUCCCAUCUUUAUUUUUUCCAGGGAUCUCCAGCAAUGUACCAAUGAUACUAUCGCAAACAUUCUUCUCAAUGUGCAUAACAUCUAGGGCAUGCCUCACAGGAAGGUAUUUCCAAUACUCGAGAUCAAAGAAUAUUGAUUUCUUCUUCCAACAAACUCUGUCACCAUUUUCAACCAUGUGCAGCACUUCUUCUCCGGUUAAUGGCUCGGGAGGUAUGCCAUAUUCAGGUUUCCCAUUAAAAGCUGCACGUUGCCUCCUAUAUGGAUGAUUGAUUGGUAACCAUUUUCUAUGCCCAAUGUAACAAAUUUUGUGGCCAUUUUCAACCUGUGACUAGGUGUAUCAUCGCCGCAUAUUGGACAAGCUUUAUAUCCUUUAACAACACAACCAGAUAAGUUUCCAUAGGCGGGGAAAUCAUUAAUUGUCCACAUUAAUGCAGCUCUGAGUGUAAAGUAUUCUCCAUUAUGUGCAUCAUACACUCCUCUAAUCCCAUCCCACAAAGAUUUUAAAUCAUCAAUCAAAGGCUCCAAGUAGACGUCUAUAUCAUUUUCGGGUUGUUUAGGACCGGAAAUCAAUAAGGUUAACAUCAUGAACUUUCGUUUCAUGCACAGCCAUGGAGGGAGAUUAUAUGUAACUAAGAUAACCGGCCAACAACUAUAUCUGCUACUUAGAGAACUGUGGGGAUUGAAUCCAUCAGAUGAAAGAGCCAAUCUCAAGUUUCUCGGCUCAUUACCAAACUCAGGCCAUUUAUCAUCAAGAAGUUUCCAAGACGGGGAAUCCGCCGGAUGAGACAUCUGACCGUCAAUUGAUUUUCUAGCAGCAUGCCAAGUCAAACUCUUAGCUGUCUCAUGUGAUUGAAACAUCCUUUUAAACCUUGGAAUUGGAGGAAAAUACCACACCACCUUCGCUGGCACAUCCUCUUUCAAGAUUGAAUCUUUGCCUUCCUUCCACCUUGAGAUACCACAAGUAGGACAAUUAGUUGAAUCCUCAUACUCCUUCCUAUACAAGAUGCAAUCAUUGGGGCAUGCGUGCAUUUUCUCAUAACUCAGCCCCAAUGCACACAAAGUCUUUUUUGCCUCAUACAUAGAGGUUGGUAUUGUAUUUCCUUCUGGAAGCAAAUCGCCUUGAAGUAUCAAUAAUUCUGUAAAACAGACAUCACUCAUCCCAUGUUUUGCCUUCAAAUUAUACAACUUCACUAAUGCCGAUAACUUCGUGUACUUUCUACAACCAGGGUACACUGGUUGAUCUCCAUCCCCAAUCACAUUGGCAAACUCAUACGGAUCGGAACCAAAAUCACCAAAAUCAUUAUCAUCCAUAUCAAUUUCUUCAGACACAAAACUGUACCUACUAUGGCCAUCAUCUUCUUCAACAUUUCUACUAGCAUUAGUAGUUGCUUCCCAAGGUUCUCCGUGAAAUGUCCAAUUCUUAUAGCUUUGGUCAAUUCCAUUAAAGUAUAAGUGAUCCCUUAUAAUUCCAACCCCAAACAACUUCAAAUUAACACAUUUAACACAUGGACAACGGAUAUGUGUUGUAGUUAGAAGAUUUUCUACAGCAAAGUUCAAAAAUGCUUCCACCCCAAACUCAUAUGCCUUCGAUCUUCUAUCCGAGUGCAUCCAUGACUUAUUCAUCUCCGACACUAUAACCUAUUAUCUAUAAUAAAGUGAAAAUACAGGCAAUGACCAUCACUAUAGCAGAUUAUACAAAGAUCUAAUAGCAAGUAAUACAUAACAGAGACGACGGGUUUUAAACAAAAACAGACGUAUUUGGCAUAUAUAGACGACGGAUUUUCAACAGACGUCGUCUAAUAUAAGUAAUACAAACGACGGUUUAUGAAAAAACCGUCGUGUAUAAGUAAUACAACGACGGUUUUUUCAUAAACCGUCGUGUAAUCGUCGUCGUAUGCCUAAAAAGGCGUCGUGUCUCAGUUUAUUUUCAAGAACCCAAAACCCAUUAAGAACACAACAUAUAUAUGAAACCAAGCAAGAAACCAACAUAUACAUGAAGCCAAGCAUGAAAACAAUAAAUCCAUUCCCAAUUCAACAUAACAUAGGGUGAUUAAAAGAUCCGACAAAAUUAAAACCAUUCCCAAUUCAACAUAACAGAUAAUGUAAUCCAUGAACCCAUUAAACAGAAAAUCCAUGAACCUAUACCUAUAAGCACAUUAUUAACAGAUCGCAAAGCAUAUACCUAAAACCCUUUAACAAAACAACCUAAUAUCAUUCAAUGAAUUUACAAAGGGAAGAUAGGGUUUGUACUUACAGGUUGGACGAGCUCACAGAUUCGACGAAGCCUGGAGAGUGCAACUUUUAAUUAGAGCAGAAGUGAGAGAGCGAAUGUUAUGUUGCGCGAAAUCUGAAAAUUUUAGGGUUCAGGGUUAGAAGUAUAAGAAUAAGAGCCAAAUAUAAAAAAAUUUAGGGCGCGCGAAAAUUUUUAGAGCGCGCGCUCUUUAAAACGUCGAAAGAAAAACCAUGGCGAAAGUUCUACAAGAACCGACGUAAAUGUAAUAUUCCACGACGAAAACACUUAACGUAACGCCGUUUAUUUUGACGUUCAUUUUUCGGAUUAAUUUUAAAUUUAUUUUGAAUAUUUUGAUAUAAAGACGACUGAAAAACCACGUCGAAGUUAAGAAAUUGAAAACGUUGUAAAUUAUAAUAGACGACUUACAUAUUAAAAUGACGUCGUUUAAAGUGGAAACCAUGUCGGAUAUUUUACUGCACGACGUAACAUAUGUAUUCCACGACUCAACCACCGUCGUUAACAAUUAAUACCCUAAACCCUUAAAACUAAAUUAUAUAAUUUUAAAAAUUAAGUUUAUAAAAGGGUUUAUGGUUUUACAGCCUAAUAUAUACCCUAUACUACCCAAAAAUUAUACUUUAAAAAUAAACCCCAAUAAAUAACAACCCUAAUCUCUAAACCCUAGACUCUAAACCCUAAACCAUAAAACUAGAAGUGAUUUUAUGACUCAUCAAAACAAUUUUGUUUUGGAUGGUCAUUUUAAAUUUUUUUUAUUCAAAAUGAAUUUUUUCAAGGUUUAGGGGGAAGAAAAUAUAUCAAUGACUUCAUAGGAGUUGACUUUUCAUUUUUCUGAUUUAUUUUAAAUUUAUUUUGAAUAUUUUGAUAUAAAAAUAAUAAAAUAUUCUUAUCACAAUAACAAACCACGUCGGUGUUAAUAAAUUUUAGACGUUGUAAAUUGUAAUAGACGACUAAGUUGUUAAAAUGACGUCGUUUAAAUGAGAAACCAUGGCGGAUAUUUAACUAUCCGACAUAAAAUAUAUAUUCCACGACUUAACCGCUGUCGUUACAAAGUACUACCCUGAACCCUUAAGAAAUUGAAGACGUUGUAAACCAUAAACGACUCAAUUGUUCAAAGAACGUCGUCUAAAUAUCCUUUUACGUCGGAUUUGGUUAAAACGAAACAACAAAAAACGACGGCUUUUGACUUUAUUACGUCGUUGGAAAAGUAUUACACGUCGGUUACGCAAUUUGUAUGUUUGUUUUUUUUUUUAAUUUAAGAAAACCUCAACAAAUUUUUACAUUAUAUAUUAUAGACAAAAUUUGUACAUUAUACAUAAAUAUCAAGUGUUCAAUAAUUCCCCUAUUCCAGGUGAAGGCAAACAAACUCUGACCAUUCAUUCCGGACUUCAUCAAUUGCUUCUUGGGGGUAUGGCGCUUCCUGUUUUCCCUUGGCAUACUGCAUAAACAAUGACUAUUAGGGUUUAUAAAUAAAAAGAAAUUCAAUCACAGACGACGAUAUUUUUCAUAACCGACGUACUAUAUCUAUUCAACGACGGUAAUUUUACAUGACCGUCGUUGAUAAUACAAAAAACGACGUAAAAUGUAUGAAGGUAAUUUCUUCUUACCUUCUUCUCAAACCCCAAGGAAGGAUCCAUGAUGAUGUCCCUCAUGAAGCGCAUCACAUAAUACCCGCAUUCGACAUUGCUGGGUUGCUUUGGUGUCCCUGACAGAGUUUUCCAAAUGGCUGCCUUACGGCCUGGUCUGGCUAUGUGAGAAUUAUAAAUUUUUAUAGCACUGUUCACAAUGUUUUUGGCCUCUUCAUCGACCACACGAUUUCCUGGCAGAGGAUCCAGAAAAUAGACGGUUUCUCUCUUUGCUCUUACAAUCAGCAAGAUCCAAUGACGGCUGCACAAAAUUAAUAUAAAAACGACGGUUAUUUACAAUAACGACGUAUUAUAAUGUUUCACACGACGAAAUAAAGUAGCAAUCGACGACAUUUUACAUUUAUCACGACGAUAAAUAACUACCGACGUGGUUAGUAGUUUCAAACGACUCAAUAAAAUAAAACACCGACGUGGUUAGUUUAUACGCUGUAAUUUAUUGAAAAUCAUAAAAACAAAAUCCUGUUAAGGAGACUAACCCUGGAUUGUAAGGCAUCAGGAAAAUCUGUUCACCGUCAGUCUUUUGAAGUCGAGCUGCUAGUAAGCGUGAUCUGUCAGCUAUUGUGCCAGAGUUGGCACUAACUGUAGCAAGGUCGAUAAAGCCAACCAUAUUGCACAUAUUUGCUCGUUUCAAAACAUCGUGCAAGUGCCUAAAUAUAUAAAAUAAUAUAAACAAGUCAGCACAAAAAAACACACGACGGUUAUGUAUAACAAAACGACGUAUUAUAAAAUUUCACACGACGUACUGAAAUAGACAACGACGUUAUAAUAUAUUUAUCACGACGGUAAAUACUAACGACGUGGUUAGUUAGUUAAGACGACGUAAUAAAUAAACCAACGACGUAUUAUUUUAGAAUGACAAACCUCAUAUAUACAAAAAAACACGACGGUUAUGUAUAACAAAACGACGUAUUAUAAAAUUUCACACGACAUACUGAAAUAGACAACGACGUUAUGAUAUACUAACGACGUGGUUAGUUGGUUAAGACGACGCAAUAAAUACACCAACGACGUAUUAUUUUAGAAUGACAAACCUCAUAUAUACAGCAAUGACAGUGGCUCCUAUUUCUUCCAUGCCUGCAAAUUGUGUAAUAUCUUCAGGCAGGAGGAAGGUAUCGCGCUCUAGACCAAACACCUCCUUAUCAAUUGUAAAGUGCAGGGUCUUAUCCUGAGGCACGAGUGUCGUUUCCACAUAACGACAAAGGGAGUUUAAAGAAGAUGGCGCCUCCAUAUUUGAAUAAUCAACAACUUUAAUAACCUGUUUAAAGAAAUAUAAAAAAUGACGUGGUAAUUCAAUAAAAACGACGGUUUAAGGAAUAAAACGUCGUCUGAAAAGAAUUUAAACGUCGUCUGAAGAAACCGUCGUGGUGAAUAAUUUAUUACGUCUUAAAAAAAAUUCCGCCGUCUAAGUUGUAAACAAACGACGGUUUAAAGAAAAAUAUCGACGUCUGGAAUUUUGAAAAACAAAUAAAAAAGGCAAAGUUAUGUGAACAUACCUGGUCGUCAUCUUCUUUCUCCUUUUCAUCAUGUUUUUCUUCUGUCUUCCCUUCAUCUAUUACGUCGAGAAUGACUAACUCCGUCGUCUAAAAACCACAAAGUUUUAAAAUAACGACGUUUAAUGGCGUGUAAAACAAGUAAACUAAAUACGACGUGGUAUUGAAAUACAAACGACGGUUUAUGUUUAAAAUCGUGGUGGUAUGUAUUUCAAACGACGGUUUUAUUAAUAAUAACGACAUCUAAUGGUUUUUAAAAAAACAGAGAAUUCAAAGUUCAGAUAUGUUACCUUUUCUUCCUGAUGUUUCCCAUUUUUGGCAGUAUCAUCCUCAAAAUGCUGGGAUCUCACAUCACCUCCAGAGCAGCUUGCUUUGUCAGACAUUGGAUUUUUGGGACUUUGGCUAAUUCUGGGUUUAAGCAUGCUUGGAUCAAAAUUGGGAAUUAAUUGGGAAAGCUGACUCAGGAAAUGCUCCCUCUCAGCCUCUACCAAUUGUUUCGUUCUAGCCUCCAUCCUUAAAGCCUCUUCCCUUGCCUUAGCUUCCAUCUUUUUAGUCUCUUCUUGAAGGAGAACUCUUAAACUGUCCUUCAAACGGUCGUCAAAGCUCACUCUCUGUGGUUUGGGUAAAUUGAAAUAUUGCCUUGGUGAGAUCCCAGCACCUACUCCUCUCACUCUGCCUGGAUGCUCGGGGCCCAAAGCCAUGGUCAGCACAUCAUUGCUGCCAGAAACAGUGACUUUGCCUUCCGAGACUUGUUUUUGCAAUUCAUCCUAAAACAAAGAUAUAUAAAAAAGUAAGAACAAAAACACACGACGGUUAUUUAUAUACAAACGACGUAUUAUAUAAUUUCACACGACGCAAUAACAUAUAAAUCGACGUUAUUAUAAUUUAUCACGACGGUAGUUUUUAAACCGACGUGGUUAGUUUUUAAAACGACGAAAUGAAUAAACCACCGACGUCUUAUGCUUUAUUUACAGAUAACAGAGGGAUGAUUCAAUAUUCACACCUUUAACGACCUUGUUUAAAAUAUUUCGACGUAGUAAUUCAAUACAAACGACGCGAAAAUGAACCACCGACAUCUUAUGCUAUAAUUACAGAAAACAGAGUAGUGAUUCCUGAUUUAGACCUUUAACGAUGUGGUAAUAUCAUUCACACGACGCAAAAUAUAACAUAAGACGUAAUAAGAAUUAUUCACAGUUUAAUAAAAAUUUAAAACAGAGUGAGUAGGCUUACAAUUAAUUUUGCUUUCUCUGCCACCUUUGGAUCCGGGAUGUUACCAUGUUUGUCCUGUCUAGCUCUCUUCCAUAAGGUAGAUCGAUCAAUUUCUACCCCAGGCAUGGUUUCCUCCAAUUGAUCCUCCAAACCAGCAUAUCCUUUUCGAGACAAUCGAUGAUUGUACUCAAGUUUCUCCCUAAUCUGUGCAUGUUGAGAAUGCACAGACUCAAAAUCUUUGGAUAACCUUGAAGCUACAAAGGCAUCCCAUUGUGCUUUCUCUAUGAAUUUAUAUAUUUCAGGGGGUUGGCUUAAUCUCUCCCUGUCAUUAGUGUAUGGAAGGAUAUAUUGCCUCGUUAGUGUAGACUUGAAAUCCUUCCAUUUCUUGGCAGCAGAAGCUAACACAGAGCUCUUGCCCCCUUGACCUACCACAAAAGCAAUGUCAACUGCUUCCCAAAUCUGCUCCUUUAUAUCCUUGGAGAUUUGAGCCUAUUUCAUGUCCACAAGUGGAACUCUGGAGCGUGCCAACACACCAAUGUAGGACUGCAUCUCACUAUGUGCUUGGCCAAUUCCUUUCCCCCUUUUAUUGUACUCAACAAUUGGCCUCAGUUUCUGAAGUUUUCUCUUCACAACAUGAGGCAUUGUGCUCAUACCUCGACCAGACUUUGAAUCAUCAGAGAUUGUUGUCGUGCUGGUUCGUUCUGUCUCAGCAGAUGAUGAAGCAAACUUCAUCUUCUUCGAAGGCUUCACUUGAGGAGGUACCAUUCCAAGGUCCUUACCUCCAUUUUUCUUGGAGCCAGAAUCCUUACUUUGGUCUUAGUGAGAAACCAUUUUUACAGACAAAACUGCAAGUGAAAAUAUUUCAGGAAAAGAUUAAGAACACAAACGACAGUUAUUAAUAAAAUACGACGUAUGAUAUGAUUUUAAACGACGCAAUGAAAUAAUCUCAGACGUAAUAAAUGUUUAAAACCAAGGUAAUUAAACAACGACGAAAUAAUUAACUAUAAACGACGUGAUAAUUAACUAUAAACGACGAAAUAUUUAUAUAACGUCGUGGUAUUGAUGUUCACACGACGUCAGUCGUAAUAUACCGUCGUCUAUAUAAGGAUCCAAAACCCUUCUUUCUUUCUCUGUGAAUGUUUGAUUGCAGAUUUGAUUUUUCUGAACCAUGGUUUUUGUUUUCUAAUUUGAUAAAAUACAAGGCCAAGAAAGAAAGUUUUGGAAUCUUAUAUAGACGACGGUAUUUUAAUAUGACGUCGUGGUAUUAACAUUCACACGACGUAAAACAAUAAGAUACUGUCGUCUAUAUUAGAUACCAACCCUACUUUCUUUUUCUUUAUAUUUUAUCAAAUUAGGGAAAAACAAAAACCAUUGUUCAGAGAAAUCAAACCUGCAAUUAAACAAGCAAAUAAAAAAAAGACUAUAAUUUUAAAAACAACUUUGUCAAUUUUCAGACGACGCUAGAACGACUGACGAACCGUCGUGGUCUACAUAUUUAACCACGUACAUAAGAAGCUACCGUCGUCUUAUUUAGUUGAGGUAGUUGUCUUCAAAGUUGGAAACUUUCCCUCUUUGUCUGUAUAUUUUAUUGAACUUGGAAAGAAGUAAAAUGAUUUUGGCCAGAAAAAAGGUAAAAAGAUUUUUCAAACAAAAAACGUAUGAGCAUGCAAAACAACAACCAAAAUAGUGAAAAUGAAAGCUUACCUUUUGCGUGCAAUGAAAGCAAGAGGAAGAUUAUGUUUAAGUUCAGAGACGACGAAGAAGAAGAGAGGAAGACGAUGAGAUACUCUGACAGUGCUCUGACAAGGAAAAAAGUCUAAAAGUUUUCUCUGGGAGAUUGAACUUUUUAAUCGGGUUUGAAAACGGCGCAUGUGUAUGUCAGGUAGACGAAAAGUUGCUUACAUAUAAAACCAUUUCAAAAAAAUAAUACGGCGGUUACAUAUAACUACGACGUAUAAAUUACAAAAUACGACGGUACAUUUAACUUCGGACGUGGUAAAUAAAUACGACAGUAGUGUUGUAGGUACCGUCGUAGUAAACUCAAAAAUUAAAGUACAUAAGUAAUAACUCGCGUCAUGGUAGAUUAUUUAACACGUCGUUUUUAUUAAUUUACCGACGUGGAUUUCUGUAAUAUACGUCGAUAAUACCGACGUUGAUUUUACAAUUUAAACGGCGGUUUUUUUGUAAGGACCGCCGUUGGUUUUAAAAAUUUAUUCUAUAAAUUUGUCGCUUUCAUUCAUUUUCGGUUUACAUUUAAGGUUCCAAGUUCUUCCUCUCUCAGUCUCUCACGUCUCAAAGACAAUAAUUUGGAUGUCUUUCUCAAAGAGAAAUUGAGCUUACUCGCAUCAAAUAUAUGUCCACAAGAAGAAGCUUGUCAACUAGCCUUCUCACUUCCUUGAUCAAGCCUGAUAGGACACUUAGUGCUUCUGAAUACUCCUUGCUUUCCAUCAAAAGAGAUGCAAGCCUGGCCUCCACUCGCUGUCGAAGGAAAGUUCGCUUCUCAGGGAAAUCUUCUUGAUUUUCUUGGCUAAGAAGAUCCGUCAGAUUUGUGAUAGCCUCUUCCUUUAUCCGUAGAGCUUCAGAAGAAGAAGAUGGGUUUCAAGAAUGCGAUAAAGAAUAGAAAUGGCUUCAGAUGGCCUCUAAAGCAUGAGCAAUCGAAUCAGUAGUUGUUGGGAGAUAUGAUGAAGACAUUGUCAAUGCUUUGAACUAUACAAGUCCUGCAGAAAGAUAAAGGACCAAACUGUUAAAGAAACUGAAACAAUGGCGGUUUUCUGUUCUACCGUCGUCUUUUCUCGUCGUCUAUAUUAAGGUAAGAUGGCGGUAGAUUUAUAAUUACCGACGUAGAUUAUUUUGUUAAACGUCGUUAAGUGUACUACAACCGACGUGGAUUUUAUUUUUAAAUUAUAAAUAGAGUUUUUUUUCCCCUAUUCUUUCAGUUUUAGUUUUCAAUUACAAAGCGUGAUAAAUAGAUUUUUCUUUCCCGAGGAAAUUUAAAAUGAGGGAAAUUAAUGUUCUAGAAUUUGUAAACUAACACGACGCAAUAUUUGCAAAUCUGUGUCAUCUGUUAAGAUUAUGAUGUGGAACAGAGUUCCAUCUGGUAAGAUUUCGUAACCCUUGGGAUCUCAGACAAAUCUGAUUAUGUCGGCGGUUUUCUAUAUAAAUCGUCGUGGUUAUUUCAAUUCUUGUCAUUAAGUAGAUCUACCGACGUAGGAUAAGAAAAUCAAAGAAAAAAAUUGUUAACAAAAAUUCUUAUUAAGACGACGGUUAAAAUUAAAGGUACGACGUAUAAAAUGAAUAAAUACGACGUUAAAUUUUAUUGUACGAUUUAAAGAUAACGUCGUAGAACUAUAAGAGAAUGACGUCGAUAUAUUUAUAUUUUCCGUCGUUGUACAUUAAUUUAAUACGGCGAUAUUUUGUAUUUUAAAGCCGUGGAUUUGUUUGUAAUUAUACGGCGUCUUAUACGAAAACCUCGUCGUGUUAUUUUAUGAGUAAAAACGGCAGUUUUUAUUGAAAUCGUCGUCUUUACUUUCUACGUCGGUCGAUUCAUAACUUCUGCCGUUCUUUGUUGGCAUUGAUUUUACACUGCGAAAAUCUGUUUCAAAUAGACGUCGGUUGUUUAAUUAUGUACGUUGUUGUUUUUGAACAGCCAUUUGAAUCUCCAUUUUUUAGUUGUCUAAGGUUGUAUUACACGACGGUGUUUUUAGAACCGUCGUCUUUUUAAAAACCACGACGGUUUUCACUUAGACCGUCGUUGUUUUCUGGUCGUCUUUUUCACUUUUUGUAGUAGUGGCAUAUGAUGACGACACUCACAACAAGAUCAUGGCAUUUGACUCGAGUUGUAUGAUUCUCUCUUAAGUGUAUGUAAAGUGUAUGACAUUUACAUCAAUACGUGUAUUCUUAAUUGAAAUCUACUAUGGCAUUUACUCAAAUUAACAAUCAAGAAUCCAUUAAGAUCAAAGAGAAUAUGAGUGUCACAAAAACCCUAAAACAUGGCAUUUGUUAUUAGGAAUUCAAGAAUCGAUUUCUCAUAACUAGUUCUUAACCCAAUUAUUCGUUGCAAAUAAGAACACAUUCAAUAUGGCAAUUGACCUAUGUUCUACAACAAUUUAAUUCCAAUACAUGCUUCUAAGUUAGCUACUCAAAGAAACAAAAUAUCAGAAUUCACAUAACAUAUAGAAACCGAAAACAUCACGCUUGUAGAAACUAAAAAUCCAUUAACCUUGUUUAUAAAAUUGAAAUCAUGUUUAGGGCUUCAAGAUUAAGCCCUAACUAACAAGAAAUUAGUUACUCAUGGUCUUGGAUGAACUCAAAAAUAAAUACAUAAGAACUGAAAAUUAAAGAAGGAAGGAAAAGAAAGAACUCGUUCGCAGCUUUCUCCUCUUGCGCUGUUGAUCUCUUUAGGACGUGAAUCCUUUUUAUCAGCCUUGCCUCGUCUUUUAUAUCACUUAUAUCAGAGUUCUAAACCCUAAAAUUGACUGAAAAGUCGUCCAAGAAGUCUUGGUAAACAAGGAAUCCAAAUAGGAAAGUAAAAAUCACAAUUCCUAACUCCACUGGGAAAUACAGCUCAGCCCAAUGUUCACACGAUUUUGGGAUCUUCGACCUUGUAGAAAAAUCAUUAAAAAUAUAUUUUAGAAAGAUAAAUGUCUUAUCUUUCCAACCAUAUAUAGCACGUAACUUGAAAAAUUCGGAAAGGCUUCCGUUUCUUCACAUUCACGUAGCAUGUACGAAACUGUCCUGUCUGCACGUGGGCUAACUUUACUUGUAAUACUGUACCAAUUGGCUCGGUAGAAAAUUCUAGAAAAAUCAUAGAUUGAACUUCAAGAUGUUAGCUUUCAUCUCCAAUCAGGGGCGGCCUUGGGGAGGUGCAAGUGGCGCCACCGCACAGGGCCCCCGAAAAAAAAAAUAUUUAUAUUAUAUAUAUAUAUUAAUAUUAUAUGAAUCGUAUAUAUAAUAUAGCGUCUGGAUAUUUGCACAACAGCGUGUUCAGGGGAGUUGGAUGGAGCACAUCUCUCUUUGGCAAAAGGGCCCGAGUUCGAUGCUCCUUGAUGUCGUUCUACUGGCUAGCCUUUUGUGAUAUUAUUUUUGCAUUCAAACUUUACAUAAUUAUUGAACCAUUGGAUUAAUAUGCAACGAUGGGUGACCACAAUCUCUUGGACUCCUGUGGUCCAUGAGAUCGGGACUGAUAUUACAUGACUUAUUUUAUUAAAUUAUUAUCAUGUUGAUGAUUGGUUGUAUGAGAAUAUAGUUUGUAGAAAUAUUUAUCUAUUUCUUGUUGGGGUUUUCUUCCAGGUUAUAGGGUUUUGGAAUUUUUCUUUGUAAUCUAAACAUGCCACCUACUAGAAAAUACGUUUAUGGAUAUACAAAACGGCUUAGAAAAAGAAAAUUCGAGGAAUUGACUCAAUCUCAAAGAGGAGCUCUUGAUAGAUUCAUUGUUAGAGAAUCACAUGCUACAAUUGAUGAAAAUAUUUAAAUUUUUAUGAAUUUAAUUUCUGAUUUUCAUUGCAUAUUUAUUGAUGGUGAAUUUUAGUUAUAAAAAAAAAUUGUUUAUGACAUUAAGUUAUGGCAAAUUUUUAUAGUAUUUUCGUAUUAGAUUAUGCAAGGCCCCAAUUUAAGUUUCGCACAGGGCCCUCAAAAUCUCAGGGACGGCCCUGUCUCCAAUUGGUCUUGUGCUAAAAUUCCUCCGAAAAGUUGAUUUUCCCUUAAAAACCUUCUAAGAGUGCAGAAAAGCUGAAAAUCAGAAAAAUAAAGUAAUAAGCCAUUUUUAAAUCUAAUUCUCUUACAAAACCAAAGUAAAAAGAGUACAUAAAUGAGUAUAUUUAUGGACUUAUCAACGUCUUCUUCGUUGGACUUGGGGUUGUUUUCCUUAUAUGUCCCCUAUAUAUAUAUAUGGCCUUUAGUUGAGCCCACAAAUACCUUCAGUUAGUUUUUGGGUUUAGGGGCCUACAGAACCUGCACUAAACAAUAAAAGAAAAUACCUAAUUAGUUUAGUACGAAUUUAUAAUGAAGGCUUUAUUAGGUGAAGUUUUAUUUCUUAAUCGUUAGAUCAAAUUGGUUAGCAUCUGAAGUCGCCCAAAGAUUUGAGAGGGAUUCCACAAACAUAUAAUAUAAAGAAAGAAAGCAAUAGUAGGAGAUGAACCAGUACAAAAAACAAUAUAUAAAUAGUACAUAAUAAUUCCAUAACCUUGUCACAAACGCACUCACAAAUGCUUUCCAUAAACCUUGCCCUAACAUAUAACAAAUAAAGGCAACAUUGCAUAUGAUGCAACCAUGUCCAAAUCUGAUACGUGAUAAAAAAAAAAGGACAUGGCAGCAACAUAUGACUGAAGUAGAUGGGCUCUUUGCAUCUCGUGUUAUCGUAAUUAAAGACAUCAAAAUAUUAAGGUUGAAAUCUUCUAUAGUAGCAAGCAUUAAAAUAGGUUUGAAGCAGAGUUUAAAGAAAAUUCCAAUUCCACUGAUUUGCCUCUGCUCAAAGACGAGAACCAAAAUGGUUACUUCCCUUGCUGAGUAUAUUUGUUAACGUCGGAAACGGUAAUAGAUGACCAAUCAAACCCAAGUACGACGAGUUUUGCAUAGGAUCAGAAGUAGUUGAAUCCAGCUUGCAUCACACGCUUCUUUGACUCCAUUGCAUUAGAUGAGUUUUUGUAUUUUUGAACAGCUACACUCCGAAGUCGUUUGUGUCUACGCUUCAUGCGCUGCAACUUCGCCCUAUCCAGAUUGGCCUGCCUUUUGUCAUCUUCAAUUUGGCCUUCAACAAAUUCCAAACGUGCCCUUGCCCUUUGGAUUUCAUCACCAAGUUGAAGAUGCCUCUCCUUCCAAAAAGCAAGAACUCUUUCAGACUCAAAACUUCCAACAAAAUGGUCAUUCUAUCUAGGAAUGUGACAUUGCUUGUCUGGUGACUCACCUGCGUUUCAAAGGCGGUCUUUGUUUGGAGGGGUGUUUAUUAUGCUCACAUCAAACUUGGUUAGUAAAUCCAUUCUAUGGGGGGAGUGAGUUUCUGUGGAGGAGAGAGUUUCAGUAGAUGGAGACAGAUUCGGUGGAGGAGUGAGAUUUUUGUGGAGGGAGAAUUUCUAUGAAAUGGGUGAUAGUAAUACCAAUAAAAGGGUUCCCGCCAAAAAGUAUUUGGUUGACAAUGUAUAAAUUAAUUUUUGGUCUGAUACAAUCUAAGUUUAAUCCUAACUAGUUUGGUUAGUUUGGUUGAAUUCACUAACUAGAUGUCACUUCCAUUGAGUUUCUUUCAACCACUAUCAGUGGUGUAAGGAGAGUGUGAGGUUGACAUGCUUGAAAAGCAAAACCUAACACCUCUUUUUUUUAAAAUUGAAAGAAAGUACAUAUGUUGACUACACACAAGCUUUGGUAUGUUGGUCUAUAAAGCUAUGUUCCCUUUCUCAAACGAAAUUGCAUAUGCAAUCCUCGUCCUCCCAAAACAAAUAGAAUUAUUCAAGCAUGUCAACCUCUUCAGGCGCCAACAACACAAUCAAAGAUGACAAAUUGGAGUCGCAGGUUCUAUUUCCACAUUGUACUCGCCGACCCCUUCCAUUUUCAACAUCAUUUGGGAGUGAGGGGGACUCCGAUGAUCCAUUAGAGCUAAUACAUGCAGUCAAUAGCAAGCUGGAUUAUAAUUCCAGACUGAUCAAUUCAUGGCGCGAGAAAUAUGUUGAAGACGAAGCCAUUUUGGCUGAUCUUAACAUUAGAGUGAACAAAGCGUUCUCCCAAAAGAACAAGUACUUGAAGCUGAGUCAUAAAAGGAAGCUGAAAGCUGAGGAGUUAGAUACAGUAAUGAAUGAUGAAAUUAAAGGUUGUUUGAUGAAUCAUAUGCGAUGCGAAGAGCACCACAGUGAACUGGAGUUGGCAUUCAACGAAGGAUUCGAAAAAUUACGAGCAUUUGCAGCAACUACUCAUACAAGUUAUAAUUGGGACUAUGUGUCCCCUGAUGUUGUGAGAGAGAUACUAGACGAUGGUGGUGACAUGAAUGAGCAUAAGCACGUCAAAGCUGCUUGGAAGAAGCCGACCGAUACGACUAAGUGAUUGCGGCUACAGUUGUUCAGUUGGUUGAGAGUGAUCGUGGUAUUGCACAAAUUAGAAGUAUAUUCCCAUAAUGUCAUUAUCUAAUUUAAAAUAACACAAAUAUCAGUUUCAUUUGCUUCAUAUUGUAACACCCCGACCCCAAAUUUCCCCAAAAUUUACCCUCAUUUAAUUAAUUAAUUAUUUAAGGGUAUUUUAGUCAUAUUUUUAACCGGAGAGAGUUUGGGACCAUGACUUGUAUUUUUGGAUAGGUCGUACUGAGACGAGUUCAUAGACACGUAGUGGGCUCGAAUCAGAGUUGUAACGAGAGAGAUAUGGUCAAAAGAAACCCAGUGGCACAAUCGUAAAUAUUUCAAAAUGGGAUUUUUAUAAAAAUCUGGUUUUUCUCUCUCUCUCUCUCUCUCUCUCUCUCUCUCCCGCGACUUCUCUCUCUCUCCCGUCGGCUCUCUCUCUUUCUCUCCUUGUAUCUCCGGCCACCGACCACGGCUGUGGGCGGGGCCGGUACCAAACUGACCGGGACGACGUCCCCUUCCUUCCCCGACCAUUCCCCGCCGGCAACGCGGCCGUUGCUGGCCGGAAAAUGCAGAAAACCGCCGGGAGGUCGUCGAAACUUCAACGCCGUCGAUCUCCCUCCUCCGGCCACCAUUUUCGUCGACCCAGGUAUGGAUCUUGAACCUCUCGAGCUGUUCUAGCUGUUUGUUGGUUGGGUUUUGAUCGAUUCGAUCUCUAGAUCACUCGAUUUUCGAAUUGAAAAUUGGCCGAAACUUCGGCCGCCGUGAUCGGCCAUUUUCGGCCACUUUUUGUGGUAGGUCCAAGAACAAAAGUGGCUCCAAAUAGGGUGUUAUACCUAGGGUAGAAGUUUGGAGCCGAGAUGUUGAGAUUUUCCGGCGAAGCGUUAUCGCUUUGGGCACCCACGCGUGCGGCGGCGCGUGGGCACUGUAGAAAAAGUAGAUGUGUUCCGAUGAGAUCCUUAGGUUGUCACGAGUGCGUAGGAUUUGGCGGAUCUCAAUUCGGACGUCGUUUGACUAUCGAACGGAUAAUCGCAUAUUAUGCGUUAUCCGGGUUCGAUAGGUUGAGACCGUCGGAUGGUCCCAAAUUUAAUAUAUGUUGAUCUAGGUAUUUCUAGGAUCGUGUAGGAUUUCACGGAUCGUGAAUCGGAGCCCCGGAUGUUCCGAAUAAUAAUUUAAAGUUUAUAUUUUAUAUUAACCAUCAGAUUAUGCGAUCGUGAGAAAUCCGACCGUCUGAUCUGAACCAAACUGGCAGGAAAAGUGUCCUGUACCUGGUAGAACCCAUAGGGACCUUCGGAUCGGAAAUUGGAGGUCGUGGGUUCCGCAAGUCUGUUUGACCAGGGUUAGAGUAGUUUGACCCUUGGUUGACCGUGAGUCUCCCGGAGUAAUCUCACCCUUCCAGGGGGAAUUAUCGGGAGCUAGACUAUUGUGGAGGGUUACACAAUAUUAGAAUUAUUUAUAUAAUUAUAUAUGGUUGUACAAGGGUACAACAAAGUCUAGAAUGUCAGUUUGGAGUGCUAUACGCACUACUUUAGGUACCUCCUCGGAUUUUGGAUUCGCUACAAGCACCACCAAGUGAAAGUUAGGUCCCGCGUGGCGUAGGUUAUCCGGCGUUGGGACAGACCCCAUACGUGGCGUUGGUUGUACCGGCGUAUGGGGAGAUUUGCAAUAUGAUGUUCAGGUCUCACGUGGCGUAGGUUAUCCGGCGUUGAGACAGGCCCCGUACGUGGCGUUGGUUGUACCAGCGUACGGGGAGAUUAUGUGAUAUGAUGUUGAGGUCCCGCGUGGCGUAGGUUAUCCGGCGUUGGGACAGGCCCCAUACGUGGCGUUGGUUGUACCGGCGUAUGGGGAGUUAUAUGAUAUGAUAGUAUGGCAUGGUCGCACAUGGCGUAGGUUAUCCGGCGUGUUGACAGGCCCCAUACGUGGCGUUGGUUGUAUCGGCGUAUGGGGAGAAUAUGUGAAAUGCAGAGAAAGGAAAUAAGGUAUCACCGAUGUGUGGAAUUGGGUUUUAGGGAAGAACUACGUGUGGCUUGAUCCCUCAAGGAGGGUACGUAGGCAGCCUAAGGUUAUUGGGUGCAGCCGCAGACUAAAUAUUAGUCAUAUUUGGUAUUUGAAUUGUAUGGUAGUUGUUUGAGAAUUAUUGGAAGGCCAAAGGCCAUUUAUGAGAAUUUGCAUGAAAUUAUAUUGUGCAUGCUGCUAGUUGUGGAUAUUAAAUGUGUUUUUAUGCAGGUUGAAAUUUUGGGAAAUGUCCAAUUUAUAGGGGAGACUCUGCUGAAAUUUCGGCAGGAAGUCUCGGUUUUUAGUAAGUGGGCCUGGCAUCGGGGUGAUGUCAGGAAUUCCAAAGGGUUCGUCUCGGGUUUUGAGAAAAUUCGGGGCGGGUCCUUAAACAUAUAUAAUUAUUGGGACUAUGUAUUGCAAGUCAUCAUGUGUUCCUUCUGUCUAACAUUAUAUUUUGCAAAUAUCAAAAUAUUAUUCAAUAAGCAGUCAAUAUCACAGCAAGUUGGGAAUUAGUAAAGCCCCAUUAUCAUGUCCGUUCACAUUAAAGAGCUGGCGUACUUUUUCUCAAAAAACUGACACGUGAGUCAUAAGUAACAUAACAUGUGCUAUACAUUGUUUAGUGAAUGGUUUAUGGUUUAUUUAUAUAUAAUAAAAUUCCAAAUAUUGCUGAAUAUUUGUUUUUUCUAUAUCCCUGGGAACAUGAGUGACCAUAAGCAUGUAAGACCUGUUAAGAAGAAGCUGACUAAUACGACCGAGUGAUUGUGGCUACCGUUGUUUAGUUGGUUGGGGAGAUCGUGGUAUUGCUAAGAGGGAGCACAUAAUGUGCUUUGCAAUCAAAUUUUCUUUUGUGUGUGGAAUUAUGAGUAGUUCAAAUGUUAGUGUACCCUUUAAUAUUCUUCAACCGUUUGAAAUGUGAUUAGCUGCAAUGUACUUUUUUACACGCUGCUUUCUAAUCACUCUGUUCCAACAAAGUGCUUUAAGUAUCCUUCAGUUACAAAUGUUUACAAAAUCGUGCAUCUAAUAACCAGUCGAGCUCAGAUCUUAAUAACAAGUAAAACACUAGAACAUAACAUUCGGAAAAAGUGGGUGCUGCUGGAAAUCAUUACUGGUAAUGGAAGCAAGAGCUGGCUGCUGGAAAUGCUGCAUUAGCCUGUGAUAUAAUCAAUGAAUCUCUGUUAAAACAUAAUUCACCAUAAACUACCCAUUUUACAUGGUAAAAGUCAUUGCUUCUUCACAUAACUCAAAAUUUGAUACUUUAUCAAAUGUCUAUGAAAAUUUCUAAAUAGGGGAAAGACGUAAAAUUAACAUGUGUCCAAAUUUCAUGCAAGAAUGAAACCAAGCAAAUUUUUAUUUCAAUUAUCAGUGGACAUAGUAAGAACUCAUCGGUGGACAUGAACAAAAAAAUAAUAAUAUUAAAAACUGAAUCUAGAAAACUUCACCUGAUCAUUAGUCUUCAUAACAACCGAAUUUCGUCUAAUAGAAACAUAAAUCAUUCAGUUGGUCCGUGCAUCGUGUCAAAUUCAUAGAAUAAUGGGUCACUACGAUCUAUUGGAGUUGAUUCGUCAUUGUUCGACGGUGAUGUCCUGCAUAGACAUCAAACACAAGCACAGAAAAAAUUUACCUAUUCAAAUUUUAGGUGUUAUUAUAAAUAGUGUUAGCAUCUUACGGUGUGUUCAAAUUUCUUGCGCAUUGUCUUCUAUCAUGACCAAUGUGUCCACACUCCAGACAGUGUCUAAUCCCUCGCUUCAUUGCCUUUUCUUUUGCUCCCGUUACUCGUUUCGACCUUCUUUUGCACCUCACUCUCUUAGGGUCUUUCAUAUAUUGUGUUUGAGAGCUGGACCCUCCAACUUCGUUAUUACUUGGUCCAUCCUUCAACAACUUCAACUUCACCUGCAAACUUUUUAGAGUCUCUGACAGUAGCUCACAUCCUUCUUCACUCAUUAAUGCACCCUCAACCACAUCUUAAGCAAGUCGAGACAUUGUACUCCGCCUUAUUAAAAGACCAGGAUCUGCAGAGUCUUUAAUUUCGUUGCCAUUUGCAUCUGACACCAAUUCAGAUUUUGCAGUUUUCUUCCACCUCUUUAAAAUAUAUUUAUCGGGCAUAUAUUCAAUCUGGUCCCUUCUGAACAAUGCUAGGAUGUGCUUGCAAAUAAUUCCAACAAAUUCAAAUCUUUUGCACCCACACGAUGCGUGGUCAGAAUCUUUAACAUAUACGACGUCUGCCACUCUUGUUUCCCAAUUUUUCCUUUUGCUCACGCGAAAGACAACUUUAGAAGCACCCUCUGUUUUGAGCUCUAGGAAACAUGUUGUACUUUGUAUUAGUUCUUGGUCAAACUUUUGAAACAUUGUCCUUGUGUACAAGGUAGCCAUUUGUUUGUUCAUUGGCAUCGGUAGAAUACAUUGAGCCACUUCAAAUGCAUCUACGUGAUCAGCAACUAACUCUUUUUGACGUUGAUGAGAAAGUGCCCUCUCAAAUCGUAUUAUGAAAUCCAUCAACGAAUUUCUCCUUGAUAUGUAUUGCUUGAAAAAACCAUGAGAACCUUCCACUCUUUGGCUGCUUGACAUUCCAGCGGCAAAAAAUUGUUGUGCGUAGGCUGGAACCCAAGAUUCUCUUAAAUCAAACAUUGAACUUAGCCAUGGAUGGUCAGUCAAACCAGCCUUUGUAACCACAAUAUUCCAUUUUGUAACAAACUUAUCCUUAUUGUCAGUAUCCCAUACGGCUUUCUGAAAUUCACGCCAAUACUCCUUAUAAGCAGAAUGUGGUAACUUAACAGAGAACUUUGAUGUGAUGUGCAAUAUGCAAAGUCGAUGAAAUGUAGUCGGGAAGGGUAUUGAAAUCGCUCUGGUCAUUGCCGCAUCUUGAUCUGUAAUGAUCGUUUUAGGUCCGCCACUUGGCAUGGCUUUCUUAAACUCCUCAAACAUCCAAAUAAACGACUCAGUCGUUUCCUUGCUCAAAAAUGCGCAUGCUUAGACAAUUGUCUGACCAUGGUUAUUAACUCCCAACAUUGGUGCAAAUGUCAAGUCGUAUCGAUUCGUGUUGAAUGUGGUAUCGAAUACAACAACAUCUCCAUAAAACCCGUACGCCCAUCUAGAAGUUGCAUCUGCCCAAAAACAUUGACUAAACCUGUCAUGGCCAUCUCUCUCAAUCUUGAAAUAAAAAGCCUCAUUUUUUUUUUCUGUUCAGCCAUAAAAUACUCGGUCACUAGUUCAACAUCGUGGUUCCUCAACUUCCCAUUCACACUACAUUCAAAAUUGUAGAUAUCUUUUUUGAUAAAACCGAUUUUAUCCAUUCCUCCGGAUUGCACCUCGAAAAUACUUACCUUCUGAUGAAUGAGAAUAUUAACCGAACCCAACUGUUUUGUGAGUACUUUUGUAGAAUCUGAACUAUGACGGUGUGAUCUCAAUAAAUGCAUUCUUUCUGAGGGUGUCAUCUUAUGAUUGUGUCCCUCUGCAAAAAGAGAGAUGGUAUACUUCUUGCUCCCAUUUGUCUUCACAACCACAAUCUUAGCUUUGCAAUUGCAUCUACUUAUUCCCCGCUGUCUUUUUCUCUCCCGAGUUUCAUCUCUCCUGUAUUCACCUUGUUUGCAACAUACAAAUUCUUUCCUCAAAAUCUCUUUCUUAUUUCCCCCCCAAAAGCUGGAAUGAAGUCGAAUACCAAAGCCAGCCAAGAAUGCAUAUCUAUUAUAGAAAUUGUAAACGAGGUCAAGCAAGUCGAACUUCAUCCCAACUGCUGGUGUUUCCUCAUUUCUUACUUCAAGAAUGUAAACCCUCCCAUUAGCUGUUACACAGUCAUCACUCUCUGAGCCCCCAGACAUUUUAUCCACGUAUAUUAUUGAUCCACUUCUAUAUUAUUGCAUAGCAAAUAUUAAUUCAUUAAUAAAUCAUUACUGCAUCACAACAUAUCAAUGCAUUCCACUUACACAAAACAUUGCCCAAAUUGACACAAAACACGCAUAGCCUAACUUGUUGGAUUCCGAUUACACAAAACGCAAGCAAAAUUUAAUAAUAGUUACGUCAUCUCUUGUGAAAUAAUCUAGAAAAAAUAACAUUAGAACCAACAUGUUCAACUAAGAACACAAAUGCAAUUCAAACCAGCAAUCACAUAACUUCACCCAAUAUCCUCUCCAAAUGCUUACUCCUAAUGUCAUUAAGCCUAAGUUUAGGAUCUUUUACCUACAUUUCAUAAUUUUUCACCCCCACCAAAAAUAAUCAACUAAGUAUACUGAAUAUUCAUAAGGAAAUGACGCAUUAUUGAUGCCACAAAUGACGAAUUUCCUACCCUCACAAAAAACAAAUCAAACCCAAUUAAAUCAAUCCAGCAAGAGUGAACUUACCUCUCAAAAUCAAUCGGGAGCUCCGAAGUCAGUAAGCUUGAGAGAAUGUGGUGGACAUUAGAGAAGACUCUUUGGUAUUGGAGACUCCAUCUCUACCAAAAUCGAGGAACGAACUGCUGCUACGGCGUCUAGCUACAGAAAAAGAUAUGCUACUUUACUUUCAUCUGGAAUCUUGUUUGCUGAACGAAAAAGAGAAAGGGUUUUCACUUGAGCCAUAGAAUCAAAACAAGGCAACAUCUAGGUAAGAGCCAUUAAUCGUCAUAUCGAGGAUACCAUAGAUCGCAGGCCUCCCAAGGAGCUGAUGACAAUGGAGCGACUAUAGGGUUUGGGAGCUUUGGAUCCUUCUAAUUGUGGGUUUGCGUUACAUUCAAAAAAAGAGGAGUGUGUUGUUGAGUUUUUCACAUAGAGGGAAAGAGGGAAAGAUCUUCAACUGAAGUUGGGUUUCCAACGGGUCAAAUUUCAACCCGGUUCUACAUGCACCCUCUUUUAAAAACUCACCGUUGGAUUUCAUCCAACGGCUCGUACAUACCCCUCAAAAACACCCCUUAUAACUUUCCACUCACUAUAGAAGCUCUCCCCAGGAAAUGCUUCGAGGUAGAUUUUAUGUUUUGGGCCUUGGGACCCAACUUCACAAAAAGAAAACAAAUUUGACCAAAAAACAAAGUUGAAGGACAUUGAUAUUGUACCUGUAGGAUAGGUUAAAACACUAAAAGGAAGGUAAAUAGUACGUUUACAGAGUUUAAGUGUAAUAAAGGAAUAAAAACAUGCCCAGAGAAUUGAUAAGUGAUAUCAAUUCUUGAAUAUAUAGAACGUAAAAUAAAGGAAUACGUAGAAAAUUAUUUUAUGUGGUAAAACUCAAUCUAUGGGGCCACGGGACUUCUUAGUCCAAAAAAAAUCCAUUGAACGAUGAUUACAAGAAGUACUCACACACUUAUCCUAGACACAUUCUAGAUAAUUUUUACUAACAUCUUUGUAACUCAACUUCUGUCAUAGGAUGAUUUUUUGACACUCCUUAUGUUGAACGCAAUACUGGUCACGAUUUCUUCAAGCUCGCAGGAACUCUCCUUAUAUUGAAUAUGAUACUAGUCACGAUAGAUUCAAGCUCAUCGGAGAAAAACAGCCACAACGGUCUUGGUGCCCUCAAUGGUAUGAGUCACUGAACAUGCAAAUAAAUACAAUAUGAAUGAUAAAAGUGUUUGAUAAAUCACCAAGUUAUGGAACACUUGAUGAUUUAUCUCAAAUAAAAACUCAGCUUUCCAAAGUUUAUGAAUUGAAAAUAUGAUCGUUAAAGCUCUCUAAACAAAGAAGACGAAGAUCUUAUUUUAUAGAAUUUUUCUUUAUAAGAAAGAAAACACAUUGAAAACCAAAUCUCCAAGGCUUGACAGAAAAUCACAAAAGUAUCUUUCCUAUUCUAGAGAUUGGUCACAUGUAGUCCAACCAAUAGGACAUGAGAUAUUUAAGAAAUGAAGAUUUUGAUCAAUAUCAAUAUCAAAUGAAUUCUUAUACGCCUAGUCAACUAUUAAGGGUAUCUUGACUCCUUGAUAUUGUGAUAUGAUUGAAACAUGAUUUCCACGUUAGAAAAUUAAGGGGAUGUUAAAACAUGAAAGUAAUAGGAGAAUCAAAUUGAUUUCGGCCAAAAUUGCCUAAAAAGAAAACACUCCUAAAUAAACUCAAUUCACUUUUAAAAACAGUAAAACGUGAUUGAAUUGUUCUUUAAAACAAUUCCCUAAUAUACAUGCAUGAUAAUGACAUCACUUACCUCUGAAUCAAAUGCCUUUCAUAGGUCAAGCCACAAGUCUGUGUUUUGGGGAUUGCUGAGCUGCAUCAAUCCUGCCAAUGUCAAUGCUGCCCCUAUGCUCUCUCAAAGCACGUUUACAACCUAUGCUAACAUAUACCCUAAACCCUAGUAUCAAGAAAAUGCCAACACUAAUUUCGUAACACGUAGAAAUUGUUAGAGAUUGGAAGUUUUUUUUCUUCAAGUCUCUCCACCACUCACUAAUACAGAUUGCUCAUGUGAUGAGUUUACAAAACCUAUUUCUCUACUCUCACAAAGACUAUACUUCUUCUCAAAAGACUAUAUCACUUUACCUCUAUCUCUGUGAAAUGUAAAAAGUUGAAACUUUAAUGUCAAACCUCGACAAAAGAUGAACUUCCAUAAGUUACGUUGAAUUUGGAUUUGUUGAACUUAAGUGGUUUUACUUUUCUGUCAGUGUUUGAUGACUUAAUUUGGUAUUUACUUCUUCUUUUUUUCCUUGGAAAUGUGUUCCACCAACGUGAGGAAGAAAAAUAUGCACAAAUUAAUAUAUUUAAUAGAAGCCCAAGAUUUCGGAAGCACAUAAUUUCUACAAAAUUCUACAAAGUGUUCUACUUUACAAACUUCAUAUGUCUACCAAUUUUUACUAAAAUUAAUUUAUCUGCAGUGCUCAAAUUCAUCAUAUGUGUGUCCUUAAUUUUAGUGAAAAUUGGAAGUUUCCAUUAUUUUUGUUUUACGGGAAUUUUUUGAACCAAGGAAAAUCAAGUAAAAUUAAUAAAGCAUAAAUUGGAAAGGGAAAAUAUCUAGAGGAUGCAUUGUAGGAUUGCUCAUGCCAAUAAUUGUACCCUCUAAAUAUAUAGGGACAUAUUUUUUUUGCUCAUACCACUUGUUGCAGUACACAUUCACCCGUUUUCAAAGAAAGAAAUUCUACCAAUCGAUAAUGUCUCAAAUUUAAUCACAUAUUUUAUGGACCAUCCAGCUAUGAGGUUUUAUCUCAAAAACCUUCGGUACAUUUCUCCCACAUGCCACAAUUGUAUAUUCACAAUUACGUCUGAUACAUCACAUCAUGCCACUUGCCUCAAAUGAAUUUAAGUGAGUGAGGCAGUUGGAAGUAAUUAAGCUCUAUAUUGGUGGGUGGAGUGUUAGUUCUGGGUACCCCUCAUCAUUCGUCUAUAAAAUGGUGAAGCCAGUUGCUACUGUUACCAUAAGAGCCAGCUCCGACUUUCUUUAAUUUCUUGCUUCAUAUCCACUAGCUACAUCUGUUGCUCUUCUCAGUGUAAGCUCUGCAAUUUGAUUAACUUUCCCAUUAUCUCUCACUGUACUCUAUAUAAAGGAAUAAGUGUCGUCCAUUAAUUCUCUCCGAAAGUGUCGUCCUGAUUUUAAUUAGAGUUCGAAUUAAUGUUGCAGCUAGCAGCGGUUGCACUGGCAAACCAUGCUGCUCAACCGGUACCUCAACUUUACUGGAACUCCGUCCUGCCAAACACACAGAUGCCAAGAUCUAUCAGUGAACUUCUGCAUCCUGGUUUGUGUUUGAGCACUUUAGAAUCUUAGAUAUCUCUUCUACCUGCCAUUUUACUAAAAUAUGUUCAACCACAUAUUUAUCAGUUAACUACUGUCAUUACAUGAGUGACACAUAUUCACAAAUCGGCUGAUCACUUAUUUUCCAUUAUGACGUUGAUAUAUAAUGUUGGGAAUGGAAAGCCAAUUGACCACAAGGGAAAACCUGAAAAUACUGUACUACCACAGCUAGCACGAAGCCCAUUUUCUUACAAGAGUGAUGUGGGGACCAAAUCUCAUGUAUCAUAGCUUAACCCAUAUGCCACAACUAAAAGACGUGGGAUGAUCGAACAGCAUACCCACAUGGUCAUGGAUCUCUUCAGAUAAUCAAUAUUAAACAACCCAUAAACUUCUCCCUUUGAAGAACAAAUUAAAACCAAUUUCUAGAGGAAGGUUACAAAACAUUUUAGCCCGUGAAGAACAAAUCAAGACAAUAUAACCCAUUUGAUAACAAAAUCAAAAUGAGAUUUACCAAUACUAGAUGACCACGGCGCCAGUAUAAUGGUACGACGGCGGCGUUAUUGUAACGGUGGAGAAGUGGAUGGUAUGACGACGGUGUUAGUGUGACGGUGGAGGAAACGAUAUUAUGAAGGAGGCGUUGCUAUGUUCGGUGGAGGAGUCGUGUGUUUCACAGUUCAAUAUAUCCUUUUUAGUCAUUUUAUAUUAGGGUAAAUCAGUAAUUCAAUAAAUAAUUUGAUAGUAUGGUGUACUCAGUUAAUAUUAGGGUUCAUUUAACAGCACUCAAAUUAACUAGUGUAGAGUCUAUCUAUAUUAUUAAUACUAAAAAUAAAUAUAUGACUAAAUAACUCAAAAAAAAAAUAAAUCUACAAUCUUUUUUUUAAAAAAUUUUUUUUAUAGAAUUUUAUUAGAUUAAUAGGCACUACUAAAAAAUCUCCUUAUAAACUACAAAUACACGCAUAACUUAUACUAAUGUGAGCUACUGACACCACCUGCCACAUGACAGUUGUCCAAGCAUAGUGUUGUCAUUCAUUAUUCCCCACAGCAACUAACAUCCAAUAAAGGGUUGGGGCCCACCCAUACUCCACCUCUCUGUAUGUAGCUCUUUGAGAAUACAGAAGAAAUAUUUUUUAGGGAAAUAGCUUAAAAUGAUACCCAUUUCAUAAUUUUAAUUAAAAAUACCACCCCUUUCCAAUUUUUGUACAACUAUCACCUAUAAAUAUAAAAUUAUUGUCCACUUAUUGCUGAUUUUUCACAAGUUCAGAAAUUUUGGAAAGAAGAAGCUCACACAGCUCUCUCUCUCUCUCUCUCUCUCUCUCUCUCUCUCUAGCACAACUCUCUUUCUUUGGUAUCUGUCUAUCACAGCUCUCUGUGUCUCUCUUGGCUCUCUCUAUCUUGGCUCUCUCUCUCUCUAGCACAACUCUCUGUCUCUCUCUUUGCUCUCUUUCUCAUAGCGCAGCUGUUUCUCUCUCUAGCUUCGUUAUGUCUCUUUCUCCCCUAUUCGAUCUCUUGCUUUCUGUUUGGAAUCGCGAACCCCUCCCUUUAGCUAUGUCUUCUGAAUAGCUGCUUGCAACCUUGAAGCUCUAGUGGAUUGCCGACCUCGAAAAGGUAGUGUUGAUGGUUAUUUUCUUAAUAUCAGUGGGAUUAUGUGAAAUGGGUUAUAGUUUGAUUGUUUGGGUUUGUGUUAAAUUCGUUUUGGCUUUAAUUUCUUUGGGUUAGGUUUUGUUGAAUAUUCAUACUCAUUCAUCUGGGUUUGUACCAAUUGCAUUUAGAUUGGUCUGGAUAUGUGAAUCUUGAAACUUGGGAUUUUCUAUUUGAUGUAGUAGAUCUGUAUAGUGUGAUUCUGUUGUGUUCCUCUUAUUUUACAGUCGUAUUGCUGUUAUAUUGUCAUUAUAUUGCUUAUAUAUUGCUGUUAUAUUGUGGUUAUAUUGCUAUUGUAUUGUUUGGUUAUUGUGGUUAUAUUGUGUUAAUGAAAUGUUGUUUUGUCAUGGUCAGAAAUGGAGACAAUUGUUAUUCUCGUGUGCUACAAUGGAAAAUGGGUCACCUCGAAGAAGAUGUGCAAAUACGAAGGGGGUGACUCAAAAGGCUUAAUAGUUCCACGGACCAUCAAAUUUGUUGAACUGUUGGACCGUGUGCAUUAGAUUGGUAAUACAAACAGCAGGGAAGACAAGGUUUGCUUAAAAUUCUCAGUUUUGGUGGCCUCGAAUGAGUGGAAGCACAUAAAUAUUGAGGACGAUGAUGAUAUCAAUUUUUUUAUGAAGUACAAUUCCGAGGUAACACCUUCAAAACUAGCUCCCUUACUCGUGAGUAUAGAAGAUAAAGGAUUGACAAAUGAUGUAGUUCAUAGUAUGCAUAUCACGACAGAUAGUAGUCGGAUGGGUCAUUCUUCAGUUGCCAUUGUUGAAAGCAAUGAAGUAACUUGGAAUAAUACGAAUGUCACUGAUGUGGGAGGUGAAGUAGGGACAGAUUUUGUGGAUAUGAUUGAUUUUAGCGAGGUGUAGGAGAUGCAUGGUGGUGAUAAUAGUACUGAAAGAAAUGAAGUGUCAGUGUACUCUGCCCCUCCUAAUUUGGGCUGCUUCAACAUAGCUGCCCAGUUGCCAAUAAUGCGUUUAGGAGGAGAAUCUGAACCCACUCGUCAACAUUAUUGGAGUCAAAUAGGUGAACAAAAUCGGUACAAUGCAGCCGGUGUAAAUGAUGAAGAAGCAUAUUUGGACAGCGGGUUUUCACGAAGUGAUUGGAAUCCGAAAAUUACAGUUGGGCAAAUUUUCUCUAGUAAGAAAGCAUUGUUGACGGAGUUACGGUUGACGGCAUUAAGAGGCCACUUUGAAUUUAAGGUGCAAUUCUCUUGCACUAAAAGGUUGCUUGUGGUUUGUUGUCAACGUCCAUGCCCAUGGCGGGUCCGAGCAUCGAGAAUUGGAGAAUACAGCUUCAUGAUUGUGAGGUGUACAACUGUCCAUGAAUGUGAUUUGAGGUUCGUAAGUGACAAGCAUCGUCAAGCAACCGCAGCACUUGUAGCCACUUCACUUAAAAGGAAGUGACAUUAUGAGAGAUGUGAAACACAACUUUGGUUGCACCAUCCAUUAUUCGAAAGCUUGGAAAGCAAAGGAGUUAGCUCUAUUGUCCAUUAGAGGAUCAGCGGAGGAGGCAUAUUAUAUCCUUCCAGCUUAUUGCUAUGAAUUGGAGCGUAUGAAUCCCGGCACAAAAACACACAUCCAAACUGAUGAGAACAAUCACUUUGUGUAUUUAUUUAUGGCGGUUGGCGCAUGUAUUAGAGGGUUCCGUUCUUCCAUGCGCCCAGUGAUAGCCGUGGAUGCCACUCAUUUAAAAUCCAAGUACAAGGGUGUUAUGUUUGUAGCAAAUGCAUUCGAUGGUAAUUGAAAUAUAUAUCCUCUUGCUUUUGGGAUCGGGGAUUUGGAGACGGAUGCAUCAUGGCAUUGGUUUUUCACUAAACUUCAUGAAGCCAUUGGUGAGUGUCCCAAUCUUGUUAUUAUUUCUGAUCGCAAUGUUAGCAUAGAGAAUGUGUGGAACAAAAUUUUUCCAACUGCACAACGUGGCAUAUGCUUUUAUCAUAUGAAGGGGAACAUGAAACGCACUUGCUAGUUGAAAAAGCGUGAUCACAUACUUAUGCACUUUGAGCAGGCUGCGAAAUCUUAUUCCAUUGCUGAAUUUGAUUGUCAUUUUUGCAAGAUCAAGCGAAAGGAACAUGUUGCUCAAUAUCUUGAAGAGACAGGGUUACAUAAGUGGUCUAGAGCUCACAUGGAUGGACGCCGCUACAAUGUAAUGACAACAAAUAUUGCAGAGUCAAUCAACUCAGUCCUUAGGUUUGCAAGGAUGCUGCCAGUGGUUCAUUUGAUAGGGGAAAUUGUUAAUCUCCUUGUGAAAUGGUUCACCGAACGUUGUGAGUUGGUUUUGAAUUGCACAACAACAUUGUGCCCCAAUUUUGGAGAGAAGAAGUUGAGGAACAGGUUGGAGGAUGCUGCAAGGAUGAAUGUGGUUAAAGUAAAUAAUGCACAGUUUAAUGUUUUGGACGGUGAUAUGGACGGCCUCGUAGAUUUGGCGAACAGCAGUUGUAGUUGUAGAAAGUUUCAGCUUGAGCAGCUACCUUGCAAGCAUGUAGUUGCAGUUUGCCGCUUCUUGAAAGUAAAUGUAUACGCAAAGGCUUCUCGGUAUUACACUCAGAAAACCUGGAUGAUGCUUAUUCGGAUAGCAUCUACCCGGCACAACCUCACGGAAUGUGGGAUAUUCCUGAAGAUGUUCGAAGUCGAGUUGUGCUGCCUCCCAUGGCAAGGGUCAUGCCAGGCAGACGAAAGAAGAUCAGAAUUCCCUCGCAAGGAGAGGGCACCAUUAGAAGAAAGUGCUCAAGGUGCGGUUCCGCAGGCCACAAUAAAAGCACAUGUAAAAACAAUAUUCCAUUGCGCAAUGUAUCUUAGACAAUAUGAUUUGUGUUGCUUUGGUAGGUCAUGUAAACUCUACUUUUAUUUGUGGUGGGUUUCGUGUUAUGUUGAAUGGGAAUUCUUUUAAAUUUGCAUAAUUUGGGUUGCAUUGCUACAGCAUGCUGUAUUGCUGACAGAUUGCUAUUAUAUUGGACUUUUAUUGUACUGGUAUUGCUUCCAGAUUGCUAUUAUAAUUUGAGUGCGAAAUUAAAGGGACUGGAAUGUAAUUCCAAAUGGAUCCAAAUCAUUAAAGUUCUUAGAAUUCCUAUAUUACACAGUUACUGUGAUACUCCGACUAUACCUUCUUUUAUGAUUACAAAUUCGGCCAAUGCAUAGGCCAGAUGUGGGGCAAAUACAAGGUGAAAUGUCCUAUGUGUUUGACUACAUAUACUUGUUGAAGGAGCAUUACGAAUGCUAACCUCAAUAGAUUGCUCAUGUCUUGCCAAGAACACUCUUGAAUUUAUGCAAUGUGCCCAAGCCAGUCCCAAAGCUGGACUCACCCGUCUGCCUGAUGUGUCCAGGGACUCCAAGUUUCCCAACCUCACCUCAUUCACUUUAUCAUGUGGCCCAAUAAAAUCCACCACUUGGUUGGUGACAACCACCGCCAACCCAAACUUAUUUGCUAAACCCUUCAAUGUCCCAGAUAUGUUGAAAAAUAUUUCAAACCGCCAUUUCAAAUCUGCUGGUGUUGUCUGAUACUGUGAUCGGAACAAUGCAGCAAUGGAAUCAAUGACAAUGAGUUUCACAGGUAGGUGGGUGUGAUCAAUGGCAAUAAAUGCUUCUAUGUCUCCAAGGACAUGGAUGAGUUGUUGAGCAUCAUGAACACCAUGAACAUAUAUGUCUUCCAAUGGCUCCAACCUUAUUAAGUUGGGGUAUGAUGCAUGAUAAAGGUUGCCUAGUUGUUGCAAUCGACGAAAUGGGAAGCUGAAUUCUGUGAAUAUGUAGACGGUGGAGCCCUCUAGUCCGCCAUGUGAGGGUGGGAGCUGAGCUGGUACCGUAAGUUGGAGACAAAGUUGCGUCUUCCCAGAACCACUCUCCCCUACCAAUUCUGUUAUAGAGUUGCAGGGUAUCCCACCCCCCAAGCAGUCAUCUAGUAUUGGGCAUCCAAUGGAUAAUUGAGGGGUUGAAAGAGGAAGGAGCAUGAGGUUUUAGGGUGUCAUAUUUGUGUAAUUUAGGGGGGGAUGUGAUGGUGCUACAAGGCAUGCAUUAUAUAUAUAUAUAUAUGUAGAGUUCAUUUUGAAGGUCUGUAUUGUAGGCCAUAUGUCUUUUAAGGGAUGUAUAAUCCAUCCUUUUUUCAGGUUGUAAUUAAUUUUUUGUUUAUUUAUUAGUAUUUUUUUGGACCAAAUAAUUUAAAAAACAUUAUGAUGCAGUACGUACUGUAAUAGGAUCAUAUUGUAACUCUAUCAUCACUCUAUUGUACUCUUAUUGACAUAAUAUUGCCGUUAUAUGCAUGUUUAUUAUAUAGUUAUUACUGCUAUAUCGCCACUGAACUGGACACCGAUAAACUGUAUACGCACAAAUACAAAAAGAGGCUUCAUCAUUCCAUAAAAUCCUAUUUCCAAACUUACAUAAUACAACAACAGGCCACCCCAUCGUUACAUAAUACAAAAAUACGCCACCUCAUAGUUCCAUUUCCCUACUGUUGACAAAUUCGAAGUUGCAUACUCUUCAAGUGCGGUGACCGCGACGCAUGAAAUUCAUGACCCCGGCCACAGUGAUGUUGGCCUAGUUUCCUGCCGGAUCCACUAUUUUUGCAAACUUACGAAAUAGUUCGAAUCCGCUUUCCACUUCUUCUUGCUUCAACUUGGCCGUUGCUUCUGAUUCCUUGAAUACCAUAAUUGCAGUGGUAGGGGCAAUUUCAAUUUUUGCUUUCAUUGUCUUUAUAUGUAGGAGAUGCAUGCGCGCAUGAUAACGAGAGCGAAUUGUGCGGUUUUUUAUGACACCCCAUCUAGUUUGGCCCUCCACAAUUUUGAAACUAUGUCUGCAUGAAGAUUUUUCCAAAACAUGGUAUUGCCUCGACAUUGCUGCAUGCCAUGGACCAAGUCUGCAGGGAGUGAAUUGGGUGACUUGGCUUGUGUUUCAGUCUUCUCUCCUUCAGUAAUUGAAAGUGUUGGGUGUGGUGUGAGGUUAUGGUCCAUGGUCUUCGAUAUUUAUUGUAGCCUAGUGUACAACUUAAUUGGAAAAAAAGGGGACUAAAUGCGAUGGGAGUGAAAUCAGUGGGGAAGGUAGUGGCUGUAAGCAGGAGUUAAUGUGAUGGAAGUUUUCAUUUCAAACAACUGGGUUGAUUAAUAUAGGCAAGUUUUAAUGACCUGGAGUAACUCAGAGAGUUAUUGGUGGGAGGGAUUAGAGGGAGUAAUUGGCGGGAGGGAUUGGCGGGAGUCUUAGGCGGGAUAGUAUUGGGCGGGAGUUAUUACCCAGUUGACUGUAUGCCUUUUUGUAAUAUAUUUGUAUGUUGGACGUUCCAAACUUGGUAAUUUUCCCAUUAUGUAAUUCAAAUAAGGGAUUUGCCUAUUUGCCUAAUUGACCAACUCAUUCAAAUUGACCAAUAUGGUUAUUGUCUUAUUUCUCAUUUCAGCAAUCUCAAUUCGUUUCCAUUUUUCCAUUCUUCAUAUUUUCCUAUUUUCCAUGUGUCAUCCAAUUUUCCAAUUUUCCAAUUUUUCAUUAUUUUUGCCUAUUUUUUCCUAUUCCCUAUUUUCCUAUUGUGCAAUUUCCCAAGUUUCCUUUUGUUGUAUUUCUAGUUUUCCAAUUUUUCAAUGUUCCCAUUUUCCCAUUAUGUAAUUUAAAAAAAGUUGCCUGCUUUGCCUAAUUCAGAAAGUAAUUAAAAUGGUCCAAUAUGGUAAUUGUCUUAUUUUCCAUUUCCACAAUUUCAAUUCGUUUCCAAUUUUCUUAUUUUCCAUGUGUCCCUAUUUCCUAUUUCCAUUUUUCAAAUUUUAAGUUUUUGUCCAAUUAUCCAAUUAUCUUUUUUCCAAUUGGACUAUUUUCUAAGUUUCCUUUUUUUCCUAUUUCCAAUUUUCCAAUUUUUCAAUUUGCUAACUUUCCUUUUGUUCUAUUUCCAAUUUUGCUAUUUUCCAAGUUGCCUUAUUUCCUAUUUUUCAAUUAUCCAGUUAUCCAAUAUUCCAAUUUUCCAAUUAUCCAAUUUUCAAUUUUCCAAUUUGCGAAUUUGCCUAUUUUCCAAGUGUCCUUUUUUCCUAUUUCCUAUUUCAAAUUUUCCAAUUUUCAUGUUUUCAGAGUUUCCUUUUUUUUUCCUAUUUUCCAAGUUUCCUUUUGUCCAAUUUCAAAUUUUCCAAUUUUCCAAGUUGCUUUAUUUUCCAAUUACCCAAAUUUCCUAUUUUCCAAGUGUCCUUUUUUCCUUUUUCCAAUUUUCCAAUUUUCCAAGUGUCAUGUAAUCCUAUUGCCUAGUUUCCUCUUUCCAAUUUUUCCUUUUUUCCUAUUUCCAAUUUUCAAUUUUCCAAAUUUCCCAAAUUUCCAACUUUCCAUUUUUUCGUAUUUCCGAUUUGCCAAUUUUCCUUUUGUUCUAUUUCCAAUUUUCCAAGUUUCCUUAUUUCCCAUUCUCCAAGUUUUCACUUUUCCUAUUUUUCAAUUUCGCUAUUUUCCAAUUUUCUGUUCUGAAAUUCGCAAUAAAUGCUUAGUUACACAGUCCUAUUUUGGGUUGAAAUCCACAAUUUUCAAUUUCCCAUUAAGGUUUGCUUUUUUGUCGUUUGGAAGCCAAUUUUAUUGUUGUUAAUGUAAUGUUGUACUGUUGUAAAUUACAGCCAAUGAGUUAAUGAUGUAGUUUGCAAUCCCAUCAAUUGAAUGCACCAACUAAAUACCCAAUAUACUUCAUAUAAGUUCGUACAUAUAACUCAACCUUCCUAUACAGAACUGCAACAGAGGCACCUUCUUAACGGGAAAGGUAAUUAGUCUUACUAAAACGCAAAUAUUCUCCACUACAGCUAACCAAUUGUCGUUUACAACUGGAGACUGAAUCUACCUUUAUUUGUUUUGUUGCAGGCAACAGCUGUGAAUUGUCCCCGGCAAUACUUAAAGAUGUCGGAUGUACGCCCUCCAAAUGAGCAUGUCACAGUUACCCGGGGGACCAGCCGUGGCAUGUGCCAUUCCCAUCUCCACCUCGGACUCCCAAUCAUGAUCCCACUUCAUCUGGAAGUGAGGCUGAGAGCAAUGAUCCGCUUGACAAAAUCUCUGCCGUCAAGCACCACCUCCAAUAUAUGUCAAAGGCAACGGAUUGGUGGGAGAGUAAGUGCGAUAUUCAUGGCCAAGUUAUGGGAAACUUGGCCAACAAGUUGAACAAAGCAUACGCUGGAGAGGUGAAGCAAACUCUAAAAGCAAAAAGUCGGAGCAAAGAGUUAGAGUCCUUGAAGUUGAAAUUGGAAGAGAGAAAGAAAAAUGCUGUCGAAAAAUUCACACAAUCUGAAGAAUAUAACCAUGAAAUGGUUGAAUGUUUCAACAACGGCUUUGAAAUGUUCCGAGAUUAUGCUUCGGUCAUCUCACCAGACUACAAUUGGAGUGAAAUUGAUGUAGCUGGUGUUUGGCAGGUGCUGAAUAUGGGUGCUGAGGGAAUGGCUCAUCAUAGCCUCGUGCAUGCAGCAAGGAGAAAGGACAAAGACUUGGAUCUUUUGAUGGACCUGUAGUAACAGUGAGUGCUGCUUCAGUUCAACUCACCUGAGUACAUGGAUCUUUUGUUGCCUUCAUUUUCCCUUCGCAGGCUAGUAUUGUUAAGGUUCGGUGGCGAUUUCUUUUGCAUGUGUAAAAUGUUGUCUGUAAUGUGUAUGUAUUGUAUGUAGAUUGACUUAAUAUUGUAGUUCUAUUGUAUGUAUAUUGCCUUAAUAUUGCCUUUGUAUAGCAUAGAUAGUGUAUGCAUAUUGCCACCGUAUUGGAUGUAUAUUGUAAAACUAUUGGUAUCGUAUUGCCCUUAUAUUGCUCUAAUAUUGCCUCUAUAGUGCACCUAUAUUGACCUAAUAUUGCUCUUAUAUCGUAUGUCAAUGGCAUGUGCUCUAAUAAGUCUCCAGUUCGUUGAAAGUAAUCCUGAAUUCAAAUAUGAUGGACAAGACAAUUGUUAUCCAUCCUUAUAUUACCAUGAAUUGAUUUGGACCUUUCAAAUGAUAGUUGGAGUUGCACAUGGAUUCAUAUUCAAAAGGAAAGUAAUUCUCUCCCUCAAUGAAUUGUCGUUCAAAAGAAGGCAGCUAUCAAAUUUUGGGUACAAAAAGGCAACAUCCACGGUAAAUUAAUUGGGCACAAACCACAUAUUACAAAACCAGGAUGAUUUUUGGCAUGCUUCAAAAGAGAAGGGCCAAAUACAACAGAAAAGAAAAUCCAUUCAAGCUUGUACAAUAGAAUGCACAAUAACCCUUUUACAUGUCCUUCCAACACCAGUGUUUUGCCUACUUUAGAGUCGCAGGAGGAGAGCUUAUUGCCAUUGUGCAAUUCGAGGGGGCAGUCAAUUUGGAAUGGUGGCAUAAACAUGUUUACUCCACGGAUCACCUAUAUGGGACAGAGCUUCCUUCUUCCCUUGUCGUCUGUAGGUUUCAACUUCACACUUUUUAUAUACAUGUAUGAGAACUUGUGGCUAUUUAUUUAUGGCCUUCUAACACUUGUUCUGCCAUUCCAAAGUGGGUUGGAGACUUUUUGAGUUGAAUGACUGGAAAGACUUCAGAUGACAGAAACUAGAGAGUUUGAAGAAAAAGGGUUACCAAGAACAGCAGUCAUGCCCACGACAUAAACUAAACAUGCUAUAAGCUCCACAGUAAUAUUUACUUCAUCUCCAUAAUCAGAAUAUUGGGAAAAAAAUACCACGGAGAAAUACGUGAAAUGAAAAACAACUCGGCAGUUACUGUGAGAUUGUGUACAUAAAACUUGGAACAACCAAACCAAUUAAAGCUAAGCCAUCUCAUACGUAUACCUACAUCAAAUAACAGUGUAUGGUCAUCUUGUUUAGAAUAUUGCAAUCAACACUUGGUUGAGACCGACCUGCAAAAACAACUGGGUUAAGUACAGAUGAAGCCAUUUAUGAAGGGCAGUUCCAGAAUUAAGACCUACGUUAAUUUGUAACUGCCACCGAAUCAGUUCAUAGUGCCAAAUGCAUCUACCAAGCACACAGAUAUGACCAGCCAAAAGAAAAAAAAGCAAAGUAAAAAAGAUAAAAGAGGCAUGCCAUAAAUGGGAACCUCAGCAGAAAUCAUCAGAUAUGCAUACAAGCAGAUUGAGUAACAUCUCACUAAGUAGAGGUCAUGUUGGUAAUCGCAUGUUGUGUUUGCACACAGACAUUUGGUUUUUGCAAACACAACAUGCAAUUGCAUUCCAUGAUGUGUGUGUUGUGUUUGCACACAGACAUUUGGUUUUUGCAAACACAACAUGCAAUUGCAUGAUGUGUGUGUUGUGUUUGCACACAGACAUAUGGUUUUUGCAAACACAACAUGCAAUUGCAUAUUGUGUGUGUUGUGUUUGCACACAGACAUAUGGUUUUUGCAAACACAACAUGCAAUUGCAUAUUGUGUGUGUUGUGUUUGCACACAGACAUUUGGUUUUUACACACACGAUAUGUAACAUUUAGUUUUACCCUUUUAUUCUUAUUUUCUUCGUUCAAACAUGGUGGUGAGAAAAGCACCAAACCAUCCCAUCAUAUAAAGCAAAACUCAUACAAUAUUUUAGAUGCAAAAGUUAUAUAUUUUAUAUAAAUGCAUCAUCCGCAUGGCUUGAAAUUACAAAUUCACGUUCACAUAUUACUUUUCACAAGCGCACAGACUAACAAUAAUAAUAAUCAACCAAGUAGUUGCGACAUUCAUCCUAUUACGUCCAUAUUGAUAAUGUCAGAAGUUUCAUCGAUAAGCCUCAUCAAACUACAAGUUUUUUAAUUUGAAUUAUGAAUUCAGAACUAAAAGCUCAUGAUAUGCAGAAAAUGACAUACAUUGUCCACAAUCGACUUUUCGAUAUAUUUCUGCUCUAGCAAUUUAUCGUCCAAAUUCUGGACUCUCUGUGUCAGGUGCUUCUUUGUGUUCUAUCCAGCAUAAGAAUAUUUAAUAGUGUGAUUUCAAUUGUUUAUACAAAUUCUAUAAGUAAUAUUGAUGAGUGCUGUAAAUCUAUUUGAUAUUGGGAACAAACAUGGUCCCACUAACAGAAACUCAAACAAAACAGGAAUUUUUUUUUAUUUUUUUUGGCAUAGACAGCCGAAAAGAAACUUACAGCAAUAGCCUCUGUCACGCUCUCCAGACGUUUAUGCAAUUUUGAAACAGCAGCAUUCAUACUACGCUUUGUCACAUACAGAAGAUCUGAGAAUUUUAGACCCUAACCAUUUGUGAAGAGCAAAUAUUAGAUUUGCUUAAAGAAGACAACAACUCACAGAACCAAUGGAUGAAAUAAUAUGAACAUAAAUAUAUCAUUUGGAUACCUUCCACCACAUGUAACCAUAACCCAAUGCCCCCAAGGUAGCUGUUGGCAUUAUUAGUGAUGUCAAACCUAUUAAAAAAAUCAAAAAAAAAAAUAUAACCAAGUAUAAAAUGUUUCUAUUGCAUUAUGAAAUACAUACGUGUAAGGAAUUAAUCGUUUUACAACUUAACCAAAAAGUCAAGGCAGGAGCAUGCAUUCAUUGAGUGGUUAUAAGCAAGAGGAAAAAGCACAAAGCAUGCUAAGAAUUCAUUUGAACACAGAAGAGAAAGUAAGCUACCUUGGAAUUUGGCUGUCAUUCCCCUUCAGGACGGCUCUCUGUAGUGACGAGUCUAGUUGUCGGACCUCAGCUGCCAGUCGGCGCACCUAAAACAAAGUAACACAGGAAAAUUGAUAUCCAUUACAAAAAACAAAAAUUGAACACGAGAAAGCAUCCUUCGACACUAAAUUUAUAGCAGUUUUUCCAAUACCUGUGAUGCGAUCGCAUAAAAGUCACCUUCUGAUUGUUCUCCGGUUCCAUUGAACAAAGGCUGCAAACAAAACAGAAAUAGACACAAAUCCAUCAAUUUUUUGAGCAACAAGACACAAGCUCCGAAAUAAAUAAACUAUCUAACUGAUCAAAACCCUAGUUUACCAAAUGCAUUACAAAAUUAAAAACUCAUACAAAAAUAACACCAAAUACAAAUGUUCUGCGAGUUCCACUAGCAAAGCAGAGUACAAAUCAUGAAAAUGGUACCUGAAGUUCACCGAUCAAUUCAGAUAAUUGACCAUUCUUACGCAGGAUGGUGCUCGUAUACCCUGUAGAAAGAGAACAAUCACUCAGAUCAAAUGUAGCUAAAUACACAAGGAAACUAAUCCAGUAUGCAAGAUGAAAGAGGAGUGAUUGGUACCUACUCCAGCGAAGAUCAGCAAACACAGUAUGAGGUUCCAAAUUCAAAUAACAACAUAAUGCUAAGCAGAGAAGUAGAAUUGCUGCCGAAAUUAUUUAAAACGAACUAAGUCAAAACUAAAUGGAGAAAUGUUAACAAAGUUGUAUGCUUCAGUAAGUCCAGUAACAGAUUCCCAAAACCACAGAGACAAAAUGUGAACAAUGGCUACAAAAGCAUCCAUAAAGAGCAACUAUGUUUAUAUAUGGAGGUGUACAAAAUAGUUAACCUUCAAAAUCGAAACAGUGUGUGUGCCAUGUAAGGCAAUUAGCCACUGCUUCUAGACUAUACAAUAUUACACCUCACAAUAAUAACUAAACCAACUAGCUCUAGCAAAAAGGCAGGAUGACCAUAUAAAGUACCCCCAGCAAAGCAUCUACGUCUGCAUCUUCAUAUCAAGGAGUUCCUGACAUAAGUAAUGAGCAAAGUGAAUUCCCAAGUCAUAAGUCCAGAAUGAGGUGAAUUCACGGACAUUAAAACAUUUACCUCAUAAAUAUGCCUCCCCCCUUAAACCCUCAAUUGCAAGCCUCAGCCGGUAAUAUUUGAUCUUCAAAGGGUCAACUUUAUCUACCGAAAUCCCAGCACUGAGAUGCUCGAUGAAUUUGACGGUCAUGAUUCCGCAAGACGUACUGUGAGACCAAUAAGUUGGGAAAUUAGAACUGCAGUUAUGUAAGAUUUGGAUAAACUGCACUAAAUUCACAAAGCUUACCCAUCUCGUUGUUGUGGCACAUCUGCAAUGCUGCAAACUGAGAAUGGCGUAAACGUCAACAUCUUCAGCCCCUUUUGCUUAACCUUUUCAACCUCAGAAUCUUCAUAAAAGUGCAUAUCGUACAGCACUCGUGCCAGCGUAUCGCUAAUAGGGUGCAGAAGUGUAACCAGCUUCGAACAUUUGGUAAAAGCAACAUAUGAGUCAUACACAGUUGCAGUAUGUCAGACGAAAUCAAUUUCGAUUGCAACCCAGUAAGACCCUUUAAGAUUAUAUGGAAUAUAGACCUUCCGGACUUUUGUCCAAGCUUGGCCAUACCCGUGUUGCCACGUACCGCGUACAAAGUAAUGUAUAUUCUGCAGCUUGCUGGGUGGAAGGUCAACGGUGUUUGAAGCAACUGCCUUCUUCGAUCCACGUUUCUUGGCAGUCGGUUUGAACGGAUCUAGAAAUUGCUGCAUAAAUUGAAAUGAAGGCAUAUUAGAAAAUCACAACCGAAAGCAAAUGAAGCAGCGAAUGUAACAUGGUAACAUGUUUACCUGCAAGCAACAAUCUGCUGUUGUCCAGUCAGUUCCAAAUACCAACGGAUGAGAGAGUUGCCUUUUCCAGAUAAGAAAGGUUGCCAUGUCCAGGUGCUGAAAGUUGACACACAUAAUAUCAGCACAAUUUCAUACAACUGUACACUUAAAAAAGGUGAGAAAACAAUUUAAUUAUCGCAAUAAAGUAGAGCUUUGUGUAUUCUUACCCUUGAGCUAAUCCAUUCCGUUUCAUCGAUAAGUCUGUAGAAAAAAUCAGCGCCCACUGAAAAUAAUUCCAGCUGCACCUCCGCACUACAAAAGGCAAACUUGCAAUGGUUACUUUUAUAGUCAUCUCAUAAUUCUGACUUUGUUGAUGACAAAAAUACACAUGUAUAUUAAAGCAAACUCUACGUUUUCUCAUUAGUCUAUGACUACAUACUAGAAUAGGAUGAAGAUUGGAAUUCAAAGGUAAAGAAUCCUAACCUGAUAUCGUUUUUCCAGGCAGUACAAAACUCUAUUACUGCCUUCACAUCUUCAAUGGGCACGGAUUUUGAUGGAUCAAAACAUGGCGGGGUUGCAGUCGCAGCCAACACACUCAUCGUCCUCUUCUUCCUCAAAGGAUCAGUAAAUGGGCUCAACAAUGUCUGCGCCGGGCGCUUCUGUCUGCACCCUUUACCUUCCACUUCUUUUUUUUCCACACUCGAACUACCUUCUUCAUCACCAGCCAUACUAACUGUGGGUAGACUUGGAGGAUUCAUCGGACCUCCCGAUGGCAUACUCUUAGUCACUUUCCAAUCUUCUAACAGAGACAACACUUUUUGGCAGAUUUCGUCACACCCGGCCACAUCUUCCGGGGUAGGCAGCUUCUCGGAUUGUGCCUGCUCAGCUGCUUCAUGCACUUGUAAGUGAGGAACUGAAGCGGCCAUUUCUGCCUCUUCGACUACCAUGGCUGCGGAAGGUUCGGCUCCAUCACCGGGAACUUGUGUUUCCAUUACCGCCGGUUCUGUAGGCGGACUAACAUGGUCAUGUAAUGGCGACAAGUGAUUGUCGCCUCCUUCAUUCAUAUGAGGACUACUGAGGUCCUCAUGUCCUUUCCCACCUUCAUUCACCCCACCAUUUCGUUUUUUCAGCUGCUCUAUCUCCACAUUAAAAUAAUGCUCCAUUAAAGCCAGGGUGUUGCGGAAAUCCUCCACACACUUUUUAUUUUUUUCGAACUCUCUUUCAACUUUCAAUGACUCCUUCCGUACCAUGUCUUCCAACUGAUGCACUCUGUUGCGAAGCGCUCGAUUUGAUAUGGCAACUUUGGCCAAUUCAUCCUUUGUCCUUUGAAAGUCACGCUUCAAAGUGCGUAACUCUCUGGACGCGACUGUACCCUGCAUUCAGUUAUAAUGCAAGUGUUACAAUAUUUUCAAAAUAUAUUGCAACAAUACAGCAGUUAUUUUCCUAUUGUAUUAUGACGUAUAUCUUGGAAAAAAAUGUAAUGCUUGCCUUAGAAGACGACGGAAGGCUAGCAGUUUCGUCAAUGUCCUUAUCUUUUUCUUCUACAGAGGCAGAAGUGCUGGUUUUUUGUUCAGCGUCAUCGCCAAACAACUGAACAAGUUCUUCAGUGUCGUCAACACUGUCACCCCAAGUCCAAUACGGCUGCUGCUUGUCGAUUACAGAUGGCCGGAGAAGUUGCACAUCAACCUGCAAUUUACACAUACAAUAUACAUAUCAGUAAACUUAUUAUAUUAUAUUUUCAUAUGCCUAACAUUAUCAUUAAAAACUUAACUAACCUCACGGUUCUCGAAUACUUGGCUCAUUAGCUCAUAAAAACACGGCGAACUAUUGCUCCUCCAAUGUAGUAAACGAGGGAUGUAGGCAUUAUCUUCGUGCACCACCAAAUGUAGUGCAGCCAACGCUGGAAAAACCUCAUAAGCCCAAAUCUGGUUUGAGGAAUAAAACGUGAGUCACUGUAAACAAAUGAAAUUUAACUUCAACAUGAAUGGAAAUUUGCUCACCUGAAGUGCAUAGGCAAAACCUUUGAGGUGGUACUCUCUUGGUCUACCAGUUGCCGUUGUUUUUGCUUUCUUUUCAGAUUUUUUUGUUUUUGCAGCUUUUUUGGGCACUUUCACUCGCUGGUAAUCUGUACAAAGUGCCCUCAGAAGUGACACAAUUGUCUUGGCAUAACACACAGCACCCCAUGGAUACUUCCCAAACUCUUCAAGGUCUUCCACCAACUUCAAAUAUCGCAUGUCAAUCUGGACAUGUUUUUCACUGCCCAACAGCACAAACACAGCAAAGUAUACAAAUCUGAGCUUCAAUACAUCGUCCGCAUCAACGCAUUUGAGGAAGGCCUUUUCUAAUUCCAAAACAUUGACAGUUUUAUAGUUGCCAAAGUACUUCCUUUUCAAUGAGCAGUUCUCAUUAGUGGGAAUCGGAAUAAAGGGAAGGUUUCCAAACCUUAGCCCUGUCACGAUGCAAAAUUGCUGCGCCGUGAAUUGGAUCACCUUAUUGCCAACGAUGAAUUUGAUCCCGUUGAGUUGGGAAACUGUCUUUGGAUCAGCUUUCCUCAGCAGCAAGCCGUGGACAAUUGGCGAAGUCCACUUGAGGUCCUCAAUCAGUAGGAGAUGCCCAAAACAACUCUCUUCAAACCUUUGUAGCUGUUGUUCACUGAAUUUCUCCUUUAUCGUGCUGAUUGCAGUCUUCGUAUGGGAUAGGGACAAUGCUUUUCCUUGGAACUUUUCUUCCUCUGCAAUCAUCAACUUCAUUUGAGCAACCAUCUUUCCCUGCAUGCCAAUAUUAUAAAAAAAAAUUCAGUCCGUUGCAAUCUAGACAAUAACAAGCAAUAAACAAUCAGCACUUAUCUACAGCCUAUUAUAGGAUAUUAAGUGAAAACAAAAAAACAAAAAAUACAGGGCAUAAACAAAACCCCAGCUAUUUACAACUGACCUACUAAUUCAAUAGCUCAAAGCCACAUCCCAAGACACCCAGUACUCUACCACUCUUGCAUAAUAUAAUAUCUAAAGACACAUCUCAACACACCAGAUAAUCAUGACACAGCUUCAGCUAGAAUGGGAAUGUGCGGUAGCACAAGCCUAAUUGAGAACAAUUCAAGACUAACGAUAGAAAUCUAUCUGACUAGAAAGAGUUUUAAAAAAACAAGAAGACAUCGGGAAAGAAUUGAUUGACUUCAAGGUAUAAUGUAAUGGAACAUCCUAUGAAUUAGUGGCAACCAUAAUAAUGACUCCACUAUGGCCCUCCUUUCAAAUGUAAGAAAAUGAAUGAAAUUGGCACCAUCCCUUCAGUUUUUUCUUAACAAAAUAAGAGAUUUGUAUGUAUUCUCUGCUUUAUCGAUAUCAAAGAUAAAUUAAUAAAUAAACCAUCAAAACUGUAUAAAAUGUUUGUUAGACAUGUACAAUUACAAAAUUAUAAGUUCUCCUCAGAAACAAAGUUCUCUAAGUACGCAAACAAGAAAAGCAAAAGCUUAAAGAGUUAGCUUAUAGCAAAAUCAAUGUCCCCAUUUCUCUAAACCACACCUGCUGGUGGUAGGUUCCCAUCUUCACUCAUUUCCCGCUUUCUUUUAAACAGACAAUGAUCAAGCACAAAAGAGCAAACUUUUAAAUAACUCAUAUUACACCACAAAUAGUUCUAAAGAAAACUUAUUCAUAUCCAAUAUGCAACCCCUAAAGUUAGUAAACAGAGUUAUAAAAAAAUAUGUCAAAUUAACAAGCAUUAUUCUCAAACAAAAAGUAUGAUAUGGUUGGGAGUUUACAAGUUCAAAAUGAUAUACACAGGUUAAUUGUCUUAGACUUUAGAUAUCAUCUUCAACAAAGAAAAUAGAUACCGAUUAGACUUGUAAGAAGGUUAAAUGCAAUGGUCAUAAAGACCCAUAGUAAGCCACCAAAUACCAAUCAAUAACUGCUAUAAAAACCAUAAUAAAACCAUAAUAAACUAAAAAUACAACAGCACUAAAAUGCCAACACAACAUCACUACAUUAGCAAUAUAGUAGCAACAAAACCACAAUACGACAUCAAUAGCAACAGCAAAACAACAGCAGUGCAAGCAUCAGUCCACAAAGAACAAACCCAUUCACUGUUUCAAACAAGGAAUCAUCAUACUAAGAUCAUUUCAGAGAAACCCCAAAACCAAUUUCAGUGAAACCCCUAAACCAAUUUCAGAGAAACCCCUAAACCAAUUUCAGAGAAACCCCUAAACCUUCAACCAAUUUCGAACAAAUCCCUGAACCAAUUUCAUAGAAAUGCAUAAACCCUAAACCAACUUCAAAGAAACCCUAAACUGUAAGAAAAUGACGAUGAACAGUACCUGUUCAAGGUGAACGAUGGAGUUGAGCUUCGAUGAACAAAUUUCGCUCGGAGAGGAAGAGAGAAGAGAGAGUCAGAGCUGAGCGACGAGAGAUUAAGGGCUGAGCGACGAGAGAGUGAGAGCUGAUCGACGAGAGAUGAGAGAGUGAGAGCAAAGUGACGACAGAGUGAAGAGAAAUUGAGAGAAGGAGCCAAGAGAGAGAGCUGAGAGAGAACUUCAGCAAAACUGAUAGAGAACUUCAGCAAAAGUGAUAUGUGUACAAUAAGGGGACAAUAAAUAUAUAUUUAUAGGUUAUAGUUCCAAAUUUUUUUAAAAAGAGUGGUAUUUUCAGUUACAAUUAUAAAAAUGGUGGCAUUUUGAGCUAUUUCCUUAUUUUUUAUUCAACAUGGACGCAGAAACUGUUGCUAAACUGCAAACUUCUUAAAAUAUUUGUCUCACUUUCUCAACCCUAUAUUUGUCUAACUUUCUAGAUCCAUGUACUGAGAUUUAUUAGGGAAAUAUUGUAGAAACUGAUUAUUUUGAAAUAUUAAAUGUGAAAAACUGAACAAAAAUUUGAUGGGUUACAUAUUUCAACUCAUUUCAGCAGCUUAGAUUUUGAAGACCUCGGAAGAGGCCAUGCAGUGAGCCUAGCUAGUGCACUGUUGAUCACUUCAGUGUCUACCGAUCUGUAAUUUUUCCAGAUUGGUUAUAUUUUCCUUUACAUAUUCUUAUAUUAUUCCCAGCUGUAAGUGUUUUACACACUUGUCUAUUAGAAAAGGGGAGACUUAUAAAUAAAUCCAAAAUGGGUACAGUAUUUAUAAAGAAUGACAAAAUUAAAGUGUUUGGGCAAUAAUGCCCUUAUUCAUUUUGAGAUUGCCUAAGGAAUAUUUUUUCUGAUUUUCAGAAGAUGCCAAAGGACCGUUGUUUGAUGAUUGCCGUAAGGAGCUAAGAAAACUUGCUUUGAUAGUUUUGGACAGAUGCAUGCUACUGUUGCUGGGAUGAUCUCUUCACGUGAAAUGAGGAUGAUGAUGCUUCUACACUACACAAUCCAACGAAUUCACAUGUCUAUUUCAGAUACAAGUAUAAACUAACAAGGCUUUAAAAUAUGGGCUGAUGCACUGUUGUUGAUGUUGCUGACACUGUUACUGUGUUGUUGAUACUGUCACUGCGUUGCUGUUGGAAAAAGCACAAGGACUUCACAUGUUGCUUUCGUCUUUUGUGGAGGAGAGAGACCUAGGACUUGCAUGUCUUAGAUAUUUAAGAUAAGGGGCUUUCGUUCCAUUUUGAAAAUACUUUGGGUGUUUUUGAAAGGUGAUUGUUUCUUUUGGGUUUCUCACUAAAUUUCGCUUUAGAAGGGAAAAUAAUAAUAAUAAUGUCAAACAAAGUAGGGUAAAUAUUCAGAUAUGCUCAUAUUAUUAUUCUUCUCCAAUAUUGAGGUAUUUAUACAAGUACAAAGAUGUGUUAACCCUAAAUAAAAUAGGAAAUAUAUCUAAAUUAUAAUAGGCAGUAAAUCUCUAUUACAAUAGGACUAAAUAAUAAUUGGUAAGUAACCAAAAUUCUAAUGAAAUAAGGAAUCAAAAUCCUAACUAAGUAAGGACUCGCCAACACUCCCCCUCAAGUUAGGGCAAACAUAUUUCGCAUGCCUAACUUGACAAGCGAGUCAUAGAACACCAUACUUGAGAAGCACCAAUUGUAGAGAAGGUCUUUUCGUCAACCACGAGUGAAACAAGUGACAAACUAAAGCAAAGUUCGCAGCGGAAACACAAGAGCGAAUCCUAAAAAAUAGGGCACAUAGCAGAACACAAAAAUCCUGGAGCACGACAGUAGAUAAGGCAGAACACAGAAACCCUGUUAGCACGGCAAUAGGUAAGGCAGAAAAAGUCAAGAGCAAAGGCAAGGUCAACAGGCGUGACCACAACGAAAACACACCAGCAAAGACAUGAGCAACAAUAUUAGCACCAUAAUAGACAUGAGCAACAAUACUGGUACCAACAACAGCAAUACAAGGCACUGGCACCAGCAAGAGCAACAAGGCAUGGACAUAACAUGCAUAAUCAAUAGUAAUCAACAUUGUCCCCAACAAGAGUCAUAAUAGGCAUGAGCAAUAACAUUGUCCCCACUAAGAGACUUAACAGGUAUGAGUAACAGUACUGGCACCAGCAAAGGGCAUAGUAGUCAGCAGCAAUAACAAUGACAAAUACUUCUAUUAUUGCAGAGACAACUUCUCUUCACUCCCCAUCUCCCCUUGAAGAGAAGGGGUCAUCGGAACCAUAAGAAAAGUGGCACUUAAGAAACAGAAGUUGACUGACGCUCAAAUGUAGAAGAAUCAGCCAUGGCAAAUAGGUAGCUGAAUUGCAGCGGAAUAGAUGAGCAGCGGUGUCACUCCCCCUCAUAUCUGAUAAUGUAUGAGAGUCGAGAUUUGGAGAAAGCAAUAUCGAAAAAUAAAGUUGCAGAACCCAAAUAAAGUUGCAUCUAUCUCCCCAUCAAAUCCGACACUGGUAAAGGGUCGAGAUUUGAAAGAGGAGAAAUUGAAAUAAUAGUAAAGAGACUCAAACAUGCAGUCUCAUGGCAGAAACAAAUGCAAGAGGGGAAGAUGGUAGCAUACGGUUGUCCCAUGAAGAAAAAACUUCAGAAAAGGAGAAUAGUAAGGGAGGAAACCUAGCAAAUCAUGAACAGAGACAAAGACAAAGAUGCUCAAACUGAGAAGCGGAAAGGCAACUCAAGAGAGCAACCGAAGAAGACAGAGGCCCGCAGAACAGUCAAAGUUAAGGCUCGGCGAGUGGUGACGAUGCUCGCGGAGGAAAGCAACGGCUCGGUGAGCGGUGAUGAGGCUCACGGAGUAAAGAGACUUGUUAUGAAGUUUCAAAGAUAGAGAAGCUGAGACAUCAAGAAAGACCAUCUGGCAUACAAAGAUGAAAAAUAAAAAUUUUGGAACAGUAGCAAAGAAGCAUGUGAAGGCUGGUGCGGUGAAAACACAUAUGAAAGGAUGAACAAAAGAAGAUGACUAUACAAGAUGAAGACCCAUGAUGGGUUAGGAAUGAGGAGUGCCAACGACUCUCAAUUUGGCAGAGGUUAUCGCAGGUUAGGAACCUGGCUCUGAUACCAUGUCAAACAAAGUAGGGUAAAUAUUCAGUUAUGCUCAGAUAUGCUCAUAUUAUUAUUUUUCUCCAAUAUGGAGAUAAUUAUACAAGUACAAAGAUGUGUUAACCCUAAAUAAAAUAGAAAAUAUAUCUAAAUUACAAUUGGAAGUAAAUCUAUAUUACAAUAGGACUAAAUAAUAAUUGGUAAGUAACUAAAAUUCUAAUGAAAUAAGGAACCAAAAUCCUAACUAAGUUAGGACUCGCCAACAAAUAAUAGUACAACUCUUAUUAGCAACAGGUUACAAACUUCUUCUACAACACACCAACAUGAAUCUAGCCCUGAUCCACUCUUUUACAUACUUGAAAACAAAACAAAACACGAAAAACAAAAAACAAGAAACAAGAUAGGGAGAAAAUGGCUACGGAGAGACUUCCUGCUAAUCAGGGGCGGCCCUGGGGUGGUGCAAGUGGCGUCACCGCACAGGGCCCCCGAUUCUUAAGGGCCCCCAAAAAAUAAUUCUUUAUAUUAUAUAUAUAUAUAUUAAUAUUAUAUGAAUCGUAUAUAAAGUAUAGCGUCUGGAUGAUAAAGAGACUCAUUAUCAUUAUCUUAGUCAUAAGAUUCAAAAUGAAUUGAUACUUUUGUUAGCUUCUGAGCUCAAAAGUGCAAUCAUUAAAAAGAUUGAAGAAGCUAAAUAUUUUUCUGUGAUUCUUGAUUGUACUCCAGAUGCUAGAAACCAAGAACAAAUGAGUUUGAUAGUAAGAUGUGUGGAUGUCUCUACUAAUUCAAUAAAGGUUGAAGAAUUCUUUUUGGAAUUUUUGAUUGUGAAUGAUACAACAGGACAAGGACUUUUUGAAGAGUUGCAAACGGUGUUGCAAAAACUUAAGCUUGAUAUUGAUAAUGUGAGAGGACAAGGCUAUGACAAUGGAUCAAAUAUGAGUGGGAAAUAUCAAGGUGUCCAAAGAAAAUUUUUGGAUGUAAAUCCUAGAGCAUUGUACACACCUUGUGGUUGUCAUAGUCUUAAUUUAACACUUUGCGAUAUUGCAAACUCUUGUGGAAAAGCAAAAGAUUUUUUUGGAAUCAUACAACGUAUUUAUACAUUGUUUGCUAAUUCUACAAAGCGGUGGAAGAUAUUGAAAGAUAAUGUUAAACACUUAACUCUGAAAUCAUUGUCAGUUACACGUUGGGAAAGUCGUAUUGAAAGUGUGAGAGCAAUAAGAUUCCAAGCUGCAGAUUUAAGAGAAGCUUUACUUCAGUUAGCAGAAAGUGACGGUGACUCCAAAAUAACAAGUGAAGCUAAUUCUUUGGCAACAUAUGAACUUGGAAAUUUUGAGUUCUUAUUGGGCAUGGUUAUUUGGUAUGAUAUAUUAGGUGGUGUCAAUGUAGUGAGCAAAAACUUACAAUCUGAAGACAUGCUUAUUGAUGUUGCUAUUGAUAAAGUGAAAGGGUUGAUUACUUUUUUUUUGAAAAGUAUAGAGAAAAUGGGUUUACAGAAGCUAUGUGUACUGCUAAAAAAAUUGCUACUGACAUGGGAAUUGACCCGGUGUUUCCUGAGAAGCGAAAAAUUCGUAGAAAAAAACAUUUUGAUGAGAAUACUUGUGAGCUAUCCCAAUCAGUUCCUGAAUCAACUGAAGAAAAGUUUAGAAUUGAUUAUUUCUUGUAUUUAGUGGACCAAGCUAUUGGUUCUUUACGAAGAAGGUUUCGACAAUAUCAAGAGUAUGAGAAUUUUUGGGUUUUUGUUUACUUCAGAGAAGUUAAAUUCAUUGGAUGAUUGCGAUUUGAAGAAUAGUUGCAGUCAUCUGGAAAGCAUUUUGAAAAAUGACAAGUUUUCUGAUGUCGAUGGGGAGGAUUUAUUUGUUGAGUUGAAAGUUUUACAAGAGCUUUUACCAAAAGUAAAUACCACAGCUACUGCAAUAUUAAAUUUCUUGAAAAGAUUAAAUUGUUUUCCAAAUGCAUUCAUUGCAUAUAGAAUCCUAUUGACUAUUCCUGUUACUGUUGCAUCUGCGGAAAGAAGUUUUUCAAAAUUAAAAUUGUUAAAAUCAUACUUGAGAUCAACUAUGUCGCAAGAAAGAUUAAAUGGACUAGCUUUGAUUUCAAUUGAAAGUGAACUUCUUGAAAAACUUGAUUAUGAACAUUUGAUUGAUGAUUUCUCUUCUAAAAAUUCAAGAAGAUCAAUUUUCAGACAUUAGUAUUGUACUAGCUGUGUUUUUUUUUUUCUUCUAGGGUAAAAGCUCUCAUAAUAAUUUUAAUUCUUCAAAUAAGACAGCAAAUACAAUGUGAUGAAUUUUGGAUAAUCAGGUAUGUUUUUGUUGUUGCUUUUGUGUUUAAUGCAAUAUAAUCUAAUUUUUUUAAUGACAUUUGUGUGCAACUACUCUUUGAUUUGUGAUUGCCAAUUUUUUUUUCUUUCUAUUAAACACAGAUUGCUUAUUGGAGGCAGCAAGAGACCUUAUAGGGGCACAAGGAGCUUAUUUUUGUACAAAACAUUUAACUUUAUCAAAUGGAAACAUUUAAAUUUUUAUGAAUUUGAUUUCUGAUUGUCAUUGCAUAUUUAUUGAUGGUGAAUUUUAGUUAUAAAAAAAAAAUUGUUUAUGACAUUAAGUUAUGGCAAAUUUUUAUAGUAUUUUCGUAUUAGAUUAUGCGAGGUCCCAAUUUAAGUUUCGCACAGGGCCCUCAAAAUCUCAGGAACGGCCCUGCUGCUAAUACUUGAUCAAUAACAGAGAUAAUAGAGCACACUGUUUGUAUGACAAUGAGUAUCAGAAGAAUAAUAGCUGCAAAGAGAGAAAUAGCUGCCCAAGGUGUGUUGAAAUACUUUUGUCUCAAAUUUGCCUUCCGUCUGUUCGUGGUCUUCUUGCAGUACUCGUUUAGUUUGCCAGCAAGAUCACCAAAAUAGUAGUUUCCGUGGUUCGGAGCAACUUUACUGCAAAGCUUGUUAAUCAUAAUGGAAACCUUAUUGUUGUCACCUAGCGUGUUUACAACAAUUCCAUUGUCAACAAGCAACUCUACAUCCUUUGGGGUGUUUACAAAUUUAUCCAGGAUGAAAACAUAAUCGCUUAUGUAUUUAUCCACGCAAUGGCCUUGUUCAAAGGCAAUGAGAUUUCUAUGUGUAAGCUGUGUAAUCAUGUAUUUCAAUUUUUGGAAUUUCCAAGGUGUUUUUCUUGAACUGUAUAUCGAAUAAGUUCUUGCUUGAUCCCACGUUAAACUUAACUCCGGCCUGGUGUAGUUUUGUCAUGCUGGGUGUACUUUGGAGCCCUCCAUUUUUUUUUCUUUUGGCAGAUGUAAAGUUCUAAUAAAAUCAACAAAAUGUAAAGGUUUUUUAGGAUCAGGAGGCAUAAAAGACUUACGGAAGGCUGGUGAGUUCUCCAAGUUUUCUAAACGCAGUGCCUGUUGGAAGAACUUGUAAGAGAGUUCAAUUAUUGAAGGCUCCCCAGUCUGAGCACCUGUGAGAUUGUAAAGAUCCUCGAGAAUGAAAAAUGGCAGCUGAUUUACGAGCAUAAGCAUGUCAGGCAAUAUAUUUUGUAGCACCCAUGGUUUUUUAAAUAUCCAAGCAUCAUCAUCCUGCAAUUUUUCUUCCUGAAAUUUUUCUUCGGAUUUAUUCCUCAACAAUAGCUCAAUGACAAAGGCGGCAUCAACUAGAAUGAUAUUCACAAAAGUAGCAAUGUUAAACUUCUUAGGGCUAGUUUGGCGGCGUUGUGCUUUUAAAAAAAUAUGCUUCUGCUGUGCUGUGAAAAUAAUUAGCUGUGAAAAAAAGCUACUAGGCGUUUGGUAAACUGUUUUUGAAAAACUGCUGUGAGUAGUCAAAGUGUUUGGUAAAUUUUUAUCAGAAGUACUUUUAGUGUGUAUAAUGACCAAAAAGGACAUGAUGAUGAAAUUGUUUGUUAUUUUCUUCAUUCUUUUUCUACUUUAAAAAAAAAAAAAACCCAAUUUCACUACAUAAAUUUUUAUUCUUUUUUAAUUCACACCUUUUUAUCAAAAAAUUUAAUCUACAAUUAACAUACAUAUUUUACCAUAAAUUAUAAAUUACUAUUAUAACAAAAGUAAUUCUAAAUAUUGUUAUAUUAAUAUGGGCUUCGGACAUGACAAAAAUACAAAAAUUGUUCAAUUUUAAAAUGCCCCAAUAGAUCACUACAAUAUAAAAGAAGCUAAUUAGAUGCAUUCAUUAAACUUGUAGCGAUGCUAUUUCUUAAUGCAUUCAUUAGCUUCUUUUUUUGGUUUCCAAUGGUUCUCUAACAAUUUUAACUAAAAAAACAACCAUAAUGCUUUGUGAACAAUAAAUUCAAGUCCAAAUCUGCUAUUGCCCACACCAUACAUAUAUACAUAAUUGUUCCUUUCAUAAAACUUGAAGAUUCAAUAGUAAUUACACAGUUUACCAAUCUUGAUUCCAACUAUAUCCAUAAAAUUAAACUAUAAUUAGAAAUAGAGGAGCUACAUGUGAUUACUCAUAAAUGCUUCCCACUCUCAUCAUCAUCAUCAUCAUCAUCUUCCUCCUCUGUACUUUGCCUUUCACAAAUGGACAAGACCAGAUGGUAACGUACACGACAUGGUCCACAUAUAGAUAAAUUUUGGGUUCACUGGAGAACAUAAAAGAGUUUUUACACGAAUACAAAGUUAGUUAAGUAGUGAAUAAAGUAAAACUAUUCUGUACAAUUCUAGCUGAUGCAGUCCAAAAAGAAUAUAUGUCUAAUAACUUAAAUAACAAUAAAGAGAAACAAAAGCCUCAUGAAAAAUGCUAGAGUAAAAGUUACAUAACUGAAUCGAUGGACAGAGAACUCCACAGGCAGAGAAACAGCAACAAAAAUUGUCAAAACAGUAGCAAGACCAUGUUGGAGUCAAGGCCAAAGAUCAUAUUUCCUGUGUAUCUUCUUCCAUUCUGAAUUAUUCUCGUAUUCAAAUACUGUAACUCUAUUUCAAGUGCACCCCAAAAUACUUAUCUAAGGCCAGUACAUAGGACUUCAUAAAGGGUGCGAUAAAAAAUAUUGCCCCUUAAUUGAUAAACAGAACCAAGAUCCCAACAGCACACCAAAACUAUACCAACCACACCUACAUAAUAUGGACAGAAAAUCCUGUUGUUCCGAUCUCUAACCACACCAAUGACAUUCAUUAGGAAAAUACAAAAGAUGGGUACCCUGCAUUUCUAACAUUUAAGAUAAAAUUCACUGCCAGCUAAUCACAAAUUUGAAAAGAUGGCAAGAAAAUUGGCUAAGCUUUAACAAAAACCAGAGCAGUCCUUGCAUAGACCUGACUUUUUGCUCCAAGCUUUAGCAGAUCACUUACUGGUAGAGAGCAGAGAACAUGUAUGUGAAUAUCUGAAGUUGGAAGGGUAAGCCAUCACAAACACCAAGAGAUCUGAUUCUCAUCUCUUGUUACAACAACAAAUCACAAACACCAAUACAUCUGAUUCAGAAUCUCAUAAACAAUGGAGGAACAAACACAUAUUCACACACAUAUAAAUCCCUAAACAGAAAAAAUAAAAAAUAAAAAAAAAACCAUGAAAGUCAUAGGAGAAUCAAAUUGAUUUGGGCCAAAAUUGCCUAAAAAGAAAACACUCCUAAAUAAACUUCAAUUCACUUUUAAAAACAGUAAAACAUGAUUGAAUCAUUCUUUAAAACAAUUCCCUAAUAUACAUGCAUGAUAAUGACAUCAUUUACCCCUGAAUCAAAUGCCUUUCACUGGUCAAGCCACAAGUCUGUGUUUUGGGAAUUGCUGAGCUGCAUCAAUCCUGCCAAUGUAAAUUCUGCCCCUAGGCUCUCUCAAAGUGCGUUUACAACCUAUGCUAACAUAUACUAGAGUUUGUUUUAGUAUCUAGAAAAUGCCAACACUAAUUUCGUAACACGUAGAAAUUGUUACAUAUUGGAAGUUUUUAUCAUUUUUUCUUCCAGUCUCUCCACCACUCACUAAUACAGAUUACUCAUGUGAUGAGUUUACAAAACAUAUUUCUCUACUCCCACAAAGACCAUACUUUUUCUCAAAAGACUAUAUCACUUUAUCUCUAUCUUUGUGAAAUGUAAAAAGUUGAAACUUUAAUGUCAAACCUCGACAAAAGAUGAACAUCCAUCAUCAAUUACAUUGAAUUUGAAUUUGUUGAACUUAAGUAGUUUUACUUCUCUGUCAGCGUUUGAUGACUUGAUUUGUUAUUUACUUCUUCUUUUUUCCUUGGAAAUGUGUUCCAUCAACGUGAGGAAGAAAAAUAUGCACAAAUUAAUAUAUUUAAUAGAAGCAAAAAUUAAUAUUUACAAAAAUAUGCACAAAUCAAGUAAAAUUAAUAAAGCAUAAAUUGGAAAGGGAAAAUAUGUAGAGGAUGCAUUGUAGGAUUGCUCAUGCCAAUAAUUGUACCCUCUAAAUAUAUAGGGACAUAUUUUUUUUUGUUUUCAUGACAUGUGGUCCUAAAAUUAUUGUUCUUAGCGGGCUCUCCACCCCUCUCGACUGAAAACCUAUUGUGUAAAUCUUCAAUCCUGAAUGAUGCACCUAAAACUCAUGUUGCAAUACACAUCCACCCAUUCUCAGGCCAAUUAUUACUCCUAGUGGGCUCUCCACCCCCUCUCAAAUUUAAGUGGUCCAUUAUUAUUAACCGUAUAUUUUAUGGACCAGCCAGCUGUGAGGUUUUAUCUCAAAAACCUUUCUCCCACAUGCCACAAUUUAUGUCUGAUACAUCACAUCAUGCCAGUUGUCUCAAAUGAAUUUAAGUGAGUGAGGCAGUGUUACUUCUGGGUACCCCUCAUUAUUCGUCUAUAAAUUGGUGAAGCCAGUUGCUACUGUUACCAUAAGAGCCAGCUCCGACUUUCAAAAUAAAAAUUCCAACAACGGUCUUAGUGCCUUCAAUUGUAUGAGUCAUUGAACAUGCAAAUGAAUAAAAUAUGAAUGAUAAAAGUGUUUGAUAAAUCACCAAGUUAUAGAACACUUGAUGAUUUAUCUCAAAUAAAAAUUCAGCUUUCUAAAGUUUGUGAAUUGAAAAUAUAAUCGUUAAAGCUCUCUAAACAAAGAAGACGAAAGUCUUAUUUUAUAGAAUUUUUCUUUACAAGAAAGAAAACAUGUUGAAAACCAAAUCUCCAAUUUCCAAGGCUUGACAGAAAAUCAAAAAAAUAUCUUUCCUAUUCUAGAGAUUGGUCACAUGUAGUUCAACCAAUAGGAAAUGAGAUAUUUAAGAAAGCAAGAUUUUGAUCAAUACCAAUAUCAAAUGAAUUCUUAUACGCCUAGUCAACUAUUAAGGGUAUCUUGACUCCUUGAUAUUGUGAUAUGAUUGAAACAUGAUUUCCAUGUUAGAAAAUUAAGGGGAUGUUAAAACAUGAAAGUAAUAGGAGAAUCAAAUUGAUUUGGACUAAAAUUGCCUAAAAAGAAAACACUCUUAAAUAAACUUCAAUUCACUUUUAAAAACAGUAAAACAUGAUUGAAUCAUUUUUUAAAACAAUUCCCUAAUAUACAUGCAUGAUAAUGACAUCACUUACCCCUAAAUCAAAUUGUCACGCCCCGGACCUGGGGGUCAGUGGAAACCCCACGUUCGGUGCGUGAGAAAAUAAAAAGUAAAAUAAAAUAAAAAGAAUGCCGAAACAAGGGUUUAAAAUAAACUUCUCUUAUAAAAAUAACUCCAAAAUCUUACAACUUUACAAGAAAUAAAUAAAGCCCUAUCAUUCUUAUCUAAUUCAGCCUCAACUGGUUUAGUCCUUGUCUUGCCCACUAAUUCAUCUAAAAAAUGAAGAGUGUUGCUAAACGAACCCUAAAAUUAAUUGAGUACACCCUACUACCAAACGAUUUAUUGAAUUUGUCACAUCUCGGGAUCAACUCCGCCGUAGCACGAUAUUGUUCGCUUUGGGCCCUCCCUCUCUGGCUCGCAUGGUUUUGUUUCUGGGAACUCACGAGUAACUUCCCAGUGGGUCACCAAUCCUGGGAUUGCUCUAGCCCACAACUCGCUUAACUUCGGAGUUCCUACGACUCCGAAGCCUGUGAGCUCCCAAAAGGUCUCGUGCUAGAUGGAUGCGGGUGUGCACAUAUAAGGCACAUCACCCCCUCUCCGUUGGUUGAUGUGGGAUCUUAUAGAAUUACUAAUUUAUCCUAAUAUAAAAUGACCAAAGAAGAUAAAAUAAUAUUGGUAUCUAUUGCUUUGAAUCCAUGCCUUCAAACAAAUUGACUUAAUUUUUAACAAACAACACGGAGUCCAGGAGAAGUGUAUUGAUCCAAGUUGAUUUUUGUAUGCGUAAAACUUAAACAAUCAAUAACACAAAGCAGUUCAUGCUGAAAUAUUGGAAACCCACACCCAAAGAGUUCUCCGCUGCGAGGUUGAAGGCAGGAGAGAUGGGUGACAGAUUUUACUUCCACUGCGAAGUUGGAGGCUAGGAGAGUCUGUGACUGCCAUGGUUGAGGGAGAAGAUGCGUUCAAAAUGCCUAUUGAUAUUUUACAUUAUUGGCUUUUUUCAAAAGUGAAAGUUUUUUUAUGGGUAAAACCUAAAUUUACUUUUUCUAUACAAGUUAACAGUGUUUGUGUAUUGUGAAAAGGUGGAGAGACGUGUCAAAAUUUUAGACAAAGGACAGGAGGAGAUAGGGAAUUUGGGGACAGCAGAUCUCAACUCCCUUGAGACCCUAUUCUCUACGCCACCCCUCCCCCUCAACAACCCUAGUCACCAUUUCUCCUUCAACUCCAACGGCAACUCAUUAAAACCCAAUUCUCAAAUGCAACAAUCUAAUCCCAAUCCCAAUUCAGAUGUUUCUAAAAAACCCAUUGUCGUGGUGGAGAACUGCAAUUCCAGGUGGUGGUGGUGGUACCACAUGGGAGAGAGAAAAAAGAAGAAGAAGAAGCAGGAGAGAGAGAGUUUUUUAUUUUAUUAUUAUUUUACUGUAAUUUUUUAAUUUAAAUAAUUAAAAAAAUUAAAAGUUAAAGAGGAUGUACCAUGGGUAUUUUUGGUAGUUAAAUAAGGUGUACUUAGGGUCAGUUUGGCAUUGCUGUGCUGUGAAAAUAAUAGCUGUCAGAUUUGCUGUGAGAGAAAUCAGCUGUGAGAGAAAUCAGUUUGGCGUUUGAUAAAAUUUUUGUUAAAAGUGUGUUGAUAUUGAUUUUAUGCUUAAUCCGAAAAUGAUUGCUGCAUAAUCAUUAAACCCAGCGCCUCUUCGAAACUGAUUCCUAUAUAAUCAGAAAAUGAAAGCACCUCAUUAGCUGCUUUCCUUUAUAGCUUUCUCUCACAGCAAUUUUUAACAAUAAGUGAUUUUCUCACAGUUUACCAAACGGGUUGGGCUUCUCAAAAUUUUUUAAAAAUCACUUAUUACCCCAAAUAAGCAAUACCAAACGGGCACUUAGUUAAUUUUACAUUUUAAUUUAAACAUUAGGGUGUACUCAGUUAAUUUUAGGGUUCGUUCAGCAGCACUCAAAAUUAAACAAGGUGAGGGAUGAGCAAGUAGGGACAUGAGACAUUGCCACAGUAGAUUGAUAUAACUAAAUAUUAUUAUAAACAUAGAAAUAUAUAAGUAUUAUUAUAAUAGGAUUCAUAAUAAUUAAUAUAAAAGUAUAACAACAAUAUUUACAUUUAUGUACCAAGAUAAUUACACAUAUAAAUAUAACCAAUAUAUAUUUUUAUAUAUUUUAAAAUAUAAGUCUUUACGUAAAUGCCUUUCACGGGUCAAGCCACAAGUCUGUGUUUUGGGGAUUGCUGAGCUGCAUCAAUCCUGCCAAUGUCAAUUCUGCCCCUGAGCUCUCUCAAAGCACGUUUAAAACCUAUGCUAACAUAUACUAGAGUUUAUGCUGUAUCUAGAAAAUGCCAACACUAAUUUCGUAACACGUAGAAAUUGUUAGAGAUUGGAAGUUUUUAUCAUUUUUUCUUCCAGUCUCUCCACUACUUAUUAAUACAGAUUACUCAUGUGAUGAGUUUACAAAACCUAUUUCUCUACUCUCGCAAAGACUAAACUUCUUCUCAAAAGACUAGAUCACUUUACCUCUAUCUCUGUGAAAUGUAAAAAGUUGAAACUUUAAUGUCAAACCUCGACAAAGUGUUCUACUUUACAAACUUCUUGUGUCUACCAAUUUGUACUAAAAUUAAUUUCUCUACAGUGCUCAGAUUCAUCAUAUGUGUGUCCUUAAUUUUAGUGGAAAUUGGAAGUUUCCAUAAUUUUUGCUUUAAGUCACUCUUCUGAAGGAAGUUGAGGUUCCACUUCAUAAUCCAAAAUGUCAGGUUGACUUAUGGCAAACAAUGUAAAUAUGUAGGAGUACUAUGACCUUUUAUAGCAUUUUUAGUUUGAAUUUGGGUUUUAUACAUAGAUUUCAAAAUUAAUAGGUUGAUGCCUAGGAAAUAGAAAUUGUAAGGGCCUAUAUUAGAGUAGCCCUCUUAAAAAUAAUAUUAAUUAAUGAAUAUUUGUUCUUCUUGUUGUUUUGAAGUAGUGGUGGGAGGCAGACCAACAAAAAAAAAAUAUAGUGAAGGCUUAUAAGAGCAUUUACAAUCAUGCUCCCUAUUUUUUAGUUAAAAUUUAGCUAAAAAUAGAAAAAAAGUUAUUAUAGGAGCUCUUUAUAAAGCUCCUUUAUAAAAUUUGAACUCCAAUCAUACUCCCUAGUUUAGGGAGUCAAAAAUACUAUAGUUAUUUUUUAAUUCAAUUUGAUUUUGGUUAAUCUCUAUAAAUAUGAAAAAAUAGUUAGCAUUAAUUAAAAGUUUAAACUAUGCAUAAAACAAAGAAACAUUAAAUUAUAGGGAGCCACUAUGAGUCAUUACUCUCUCCUCAGAUUUAGGAGCUCCUAAAGGUCUCCCUAUUUUAUGAGGUGGAUAAGGAGCAUGGUUGGAGUUGUAUUUCUUCAAUUUCCUCCCUAAAAUUUGUCUAAGGAUGUGGUUUAGGGAGCCCAUUGUGAAUGCUCUAACUCUGGUAAAACACGAGUGACAUGGACAACAUAUGUUACGUCGUACUGAAGAUUUUUGGGUUUCUUUAAUUGGUUAAGUAGCAUCCACACAGCUUCCUAAAUCAUCUCCUUAGACAAAUUUUAGGGAGGAAUUGGAAAAGUACAACUCCAACUAUGCUCCCUAUCCACCAACUAAAAUAGGGAGACUUCUAGGAGCUCCUAAAUCUGAUGAGAGAGAAAGGACUCUUAAUGACUCCCUAUAAUUUAAUGUUGCUUUAUAUUAUUUUGUAUACAGACGGGUCAAUUAUAUUAAAUUAAAAAAUAAUUAAAGUAUUUAUGACUCUCUAAACUAGUGAGCAUAAUUGUAGAUCAUCUUAUAUACCUUAAUUUGAAGAUUCUUUAUUUGGGUUUCUUUCAAGACUUAUCACCUUAGCCACGCCACCUACACGUCUGCAAGCUUUCCUAACAAGGAAGGGGAGGCUGCGCAAUACUUAUCACCUUAGCCACACUACACCAAAUUGACGUCUGCAAGCUUUCGUAAUCUAACAAGGAAGGGGAGGCUGCGCAAUACUUAUCACCUUAGCCACACCAACACCACAAGACCAAUAUGUGUAGUCCAGGAGGCUUUCCCAUUUUAAUAUAUAUUAUCAAAUAAAAUAAAAAUCAAUCUAUUAUCAUAUAUAUUAUAAAAUAAAGAUUAUUGCUCCAUCCUCCAUGCACUUGCAUGCCUCUUACAAAGUGUGAAGUAGAUUUUGUGUGCUCCAAGUCAUUGACGAGAGCUGUAACAUGGUUAGCUGGAUUUAUAAGAUCUUUUCUUUUCUGGGAAUUUUCUGAAUCAAGAAAAAUUAAGUAAAAUUAAUAAAGCAUAAAUUAGAAAGGAAAAAUAUCUAGAGGAUGCAUUGUAGGAUUGCACAUGCCAAUAAUUGUAUCCUCUAAAUAUAUAGGGACAUAUUUUUUUGUUUUCAUGACAUGUGGCCCUAAAAUUAUUGUUCCUAGCGGGCUCUCCACCCCCUCUCGAUUGAAAACUAAUUGUGUAAAUCUUCAAUCUUGAAUGAUGCACCUAAAACUCAAGUGUCCCAGGCCAAUUAUUGCUCUCAUACCACUUGUUGUAAUAAACAUCCAUCCAUUCUAAAGGAAAGAUAACCAUCGAUAUUAUCUCAAAUUUAACCACUUAAGUUCAUUAUGAUUAACUAUGUAUCUUAUGGACCAAUCCAAUCAUGAGGUUUUAUACCCAAUUAGAUCGACUAAUACAAAGUUCACACGUGGAUUGAAAAGCGCUAUCAGUAGGGGAGUGUUCGGCACCCUUUACUGCCGAACGCAACACAAGACCCCUUGCAUGCCUUCACUAAGUUGAGCCUAUCUAUUUUUUAGCAUUAACAAUAUAUAUAGAUUGAAAAAAUAAAAUAAAAAUCAAUCUAUUAUCAUAUAAAAUAAAUAUUAUUGCUCCAUCCUCCAUACACUUGCAUGCCCUCUUACAAAGUGUGAAGUAGAUUUUUUGUGCUCCAACUCAUUGACUAGGGCUGAAACAUGGUUAGUUGGAUUUAUAAGAUCUUUUCUUUUCUGGGAAUUUUCUGAAGCACGGAAAAUCAAAUAAAAUUAAUAAAGCAGAAACUGUACCCUUUAAUUAUAUAUGGACGUAUGUUUUUUUGUUUUCAAGUCUUAGAUGACAUGGGGACCUAAAAUUAUUGCUCCUAGUGGACUCUCGACCCCUCUCAAAUUUAAGUGGUCCAUUAUUAUUAACCACAUAUUUUAUGGACCAUGCAGCUGUGAGGUUUUAUCUCAAAAACCUUCGGUACAUUUCUCCCACAUGCCACAAUUGUAUAUUCACAAUUACGGCUGUUACGUCACAUCAUGCCACUUGCCUCACAUGCAACAAGUCUGUGUUUUGGGGAUUGCCGAGCUGCAUCAAUUCUGCCAAUGUCAAUUCUGCCCCUGGACUCUCUCAAAGCACAUUUAAAACCUAUGCGAACAUAUAUUAGAGUUUAUGAUGUAUGUAUCUAGAAAAUGCCAACACUAAUUUCGUAACAUGUAAAAAUUAUUAGAGAUUGGAAGUUUUUAUCAUUUUUUCUUCCAGUCUCUCCACCACUUAUUAAUACAGAUUACUCAUGUGAUGAGUUUACAAAACCUAUUUCUCUACUCUCGCAAAGACUAAACUUCUUCUCAAAAGACUAGAUCACUUUACCUCUAUCUCUGUGAAAUGUAAAAAGUUGAAACUUUAAUGUCAAACCUCGACAAAGUGUUCUACUUUACAAACUUCUUGUGUCUACCAAUUUGUACUAAAAUUAAUUUAUCUACGGUGCUCAGCUUCAUCGUAUGUGUGUCCUUAAUUUUAGUGGAAAUUGGAAGUUUCCAUAAUUUUUGCUUUAAGUCACUCUUCUGAAGGAAGUUGAGGUUCCACUCCAUAAUCCCAAAUGUCAGGUUGACUUAUGGCAAACAAUGUAAAUAUGUAGGAGUACUAUGACCUUUUAUAGCAUUUUUAGUUUGAAUUUGGGUUUUAUACAUAGAUUUCAAAAUUAAUAGGUUGAUGCCUAGGAAAUAGAAAUUGUAAGGGCCUAUAUUAGAGUAGCCCUCUUAAAAAUAAUAUUAAUUAAUGAAUAUUUGUUCUUCUUGUUGUUUUGAAGUAGUGGUGGGAGGCAGACCAACAAAAAAAAUAUAGUGAAGGCUUAUAAGAGCAUUUACAAUCAUGCUCCCUAUUUUUUAGUUAAAAUUUAGCUAAAAAUAGAAAAAAGUUAUUAUAGGAGCUCUUUAUAAAAUUUGAAUUCCAAUCGUACUCCCUAAUUUAGGGAGUCAUAAAUAUUAUAGUUAUUUUUUAAUUCAAUUUGAUUUUGGUUAAUCUCUAUAAAUAAAUAAAAAUAUGAAAAAAUAGUUAGCAUUAAUUAAAAGUUUAAACUAUGCAUAAAACAAAGAAACAUUAAAUUAUAGGGAGCCACUAUGCCAAUAAUUGUAUCCUCUAAAUAUAUAGGGACAUAUUUUUUUUGUUUUCAUGACAUGUGGCCCUAAAAUUAUUGUUCCUAGCGGGCUCUCCAACCCCUCUCGAUUGAAAACCAAUUGUGUAAAUCUUCAAUCUUGAAUGAUGCACCUAAAACUCAAGUGUCCCAGGCCAAUUAUUGCUCUCAUACCACGUGUUGUAAUAAACAUCCAUCCAUUCUAAAGGAAAGAUAACCAUCGAUAUUAUCUCAAAUUUAACCACUUAAGUUCAUUAUGAUUAACUAUGUAUCUUAUGAACCAAUCCAAUCGUGAGGUUUUAUACCCAAUUAGAUCGACCAAUACAAAGUUCACACGUGGAUUGAAAAGCACUAUCAAUAGGGGAGUGUUCGGCACCCUUUACUGCCGAGCGCAACACAAGAUCCCUUGCAUGCCCUCACUAAGUUGAGCCCAACUAUUUUUUAGCAUUAACAAUAUAUAUAGAUUGAAAAAAUAAAAUAAAAAUCAAUCUAUUAUCAUAUAUUUUAUAAAAUACAUAUUAUUGCUCCAUCCUCCAUACACUUGCAUGCCCUCUUACAAAGUGUGAAGUAGAUUUUUUGUGCUCCAACUCAUUGACUAGGGCUGAAACAUGGUUAGUUAGAUUUAUAAGAUCUUUUGUUUUUUGGGAAUUUUCUGAAGCAAGGAAAAUCAAAUAAAAUUAAUAAAGCAGAAACUGUACCCUUUAAUUAUAUAUGGACAUAUGUUUUUUUGUUUUUUUGCUCUCGACCCCUCUCAAAUUUAAGUGGUCCAUUAUUGUUAACCACAUAUUUUAUGGACCAUCCAGCUUCGGUACAUUUCAAAAAGCUUCGGUACAUUUCUCCCACAUGACACAAUUGUAUAUUCACAAUUACUUCUGGGUACCCCUCAUCAGUCGUCUAUAAAAUGGUGAAGCCAGUUGCUACUGUUACCAUAAGAGCCAGCUCCGACUUUCUUUAAUUUCUUGCUACAUCUGUUGCUAAGUUAAUUUCAGUCCUAAUGGGGUUUCAUCUCCCACUCAUCUUUGCUAUUCUCAGUGUAAGCUCUGCAAUUUGAUUAACUUUUCCAUUCUCUCUCAUUGUACUCUAUAUAUAUAAAUGAAAGUUUUGUGUUCCUAUAAUUCUCUCCGAUUUUAUUUAGUACGUACUUAAGUGUCGUCCACUAAUUAAUUACACUUUGUGAGAUUUGAUUUUAAUUAGAGUUCGAAUUAAUGUUGCAGCUAGCAGCGGUUGCACUGGCAAACAAUGCUGCUCAACCAGCACCUCAACUUUACUGGAACUCCGUCCUGCCAAACACACAGAUGCCAAGAUCUAUCAGUGAACUUCUGCAUCCUGGUUUGUGUUCAGCUCUUUAUAAUCUUAGAUAUCUCUUCUACCUGCCAUUUUACUAAAAUAUGUUCGACCACAUAUUUAUCAGCUAACUACUGUGAUUACAAGAAUGACACUUAUUUUCCAAUAUAAUUUGCAGACUCCACAAAUGAAGAAAAGAGCAAACCUGAAAUUUUCCCAUUGCAGGGCAAUAGAGUUUACACUCAAAGCCAUUAUAAAAAACGUCCUCCUCCUCCAUCUGACGAGGGCAAACCUGAAACUUUCCCAUUGGGCAAUAGCCAUUACACUCAAACCCGUUAUAAAAAACGUCCUCCUCCUCCAUCUGACGAGGGCAAACCUGAAAAUUUCCCAUUGGGCAAUAGCCAUUACACUCAAACCCGUUAUAAAAAACGUCCUCCUCCUCCAUCCGACGAGGGCAAACCUGAAAAUUUCCCAUUGGCCAAUAGCUUUUACACUCAAACCCGUUAUAAAAAACGUCCUCCUCCUCCAUCUGACGAGGGCAAACCUGAAAAUUUCCCAUUGGCCAAUAGCUUUUACACUCAAAGCCAUUAUAAAAAACGUCCUCCUCCUCCAUCUGACGAGGGCAAACCUGAAAAUUUCCCAUUGGCACGUUCUCCUCCAUCUGACAGUCAACUAAAGCAUUACAAAGACUUAGCUAUUUUCUUCUUCGAGAAGGACAUGCGCCCGGGCACAACUAUGAAGUUCCAAUUCCCUAGAAAUUCAAACACGGCUACUUUCCUGCCACGCGAAAGUGCUCAAUCGAUCCCCUUCUCCUCUAAGAAACUACCAGAAAUUUUCAACCAUUUUUCAGUGAAGCCAACAUCUGAGGAAGCCAAAACAAUUAAGCAAACAAUCGAAGAGUGUGAAGCUCCAGGCCUUAAGGGAGAGGAAAAAUAUUGCGCCACAUCUUUAGAAUCAAUGGUUGAUUUUAGCACUUCGAAGCUUGGAACAAGAAACGUUGAAGCAAUCUCAACGGAGGUAUUGGAAGAAGGAGCCACCAAGUACAUGCACAACUAUACAACAAUGCCGGGACUGAAGAAGUUGGAAGGUGACAAAGUCGUUGUGUGUCAUAAGGAGAACUAUCCCUAUGCUGUGUUUCUCUGCCAUGCAAUAAAACAAACAGAAGCUUAUGUUCUCUCCCUGAAAGCCGAUGAUGGGAUGAAGGUGAAAGCAGUAACCAUCUGCCAUCUAGACACAUCAGAAUGGGACCCAGAGCAUUUGUCCUUCCAAAUCCUCAACGUUAAGCCCGGAACCACUCCCAUCUGCCAUUUCCUUACCACUGAUGCUAUUGCCUGGGUUCCAAAACACAAAUCUGCAUGAUCAUCACUUAGCACUGUACGUGUAAUAAGCUUGGUCGGGUUGCACCCUAGGCCUGCAUAAUUAUCUCCCUACUUAUUUCUGCCUCUUCAUCAUGCGGUGUAAGAUAUAUGAUGAGAUGAAGUUUUCUCUUGUAACUAUGUAGACUACUUCAACUUGUACUCAUAAUAAAGCACGCUGUUGGGGGGUUCUACUUAAUUUCGUUCUCUCCAAUGUUUGAGUGUUGAAUUGUUACGUUGGAAUAGGCUGCUAAUGCAUGUAGUUAGAGAAGCCUUCAUUUAUAUCAAAGUCCUCAAACUAUCAAGAAUUAAUGUAUCCAGAAACAUAUACCAAGACGCAAAACAACAUAUUUUCCAUUCUCUGUCUGUAACACCAAAGCAAACUUCCUUUAUCACAUCAUUUAAAGGAUCAAAUUCCAGUACUAAUCUAAUCCAUCAUGUAAAGCAUACAAGUGCCUACCUAAAUUUGUCCAUUGGAUAUAUAUGUCACUUUUUAUUUUUUGAUAGAGAUAUAAAUGUUGAAAAAAUUAGAGUACACAACUCUUAUAGACACUACUACGAUUUACUAUUUGCGCGACGGAAGUUUGCGCGACGAACAUUGUUUCGUCGCGCAAAAAGCACUAUUGCGACGAAAAAAAAAUACCGUAGCGCAAACAACAUAACACAAGCGCGACAAACAGUUUCGUCGCGCAAACAAUCUAUGCGCGACCAAUAUUAAUUUCGUCGCGCAAAGGUAGGGGAAAAAAACCCGGUUUUUUUUUUUUGGCGCCAUAAUCUUGCGCGACAACAACAAUCGUCGCGCAUGACAAUAUUGCGCGACAAUUCAAAGAAUUCGUCAGGUAAAGAUGGACAGAAAAUUGUCUCAUUUUUUUGGCGGUAAAAAACUUUGCGCGACGAAAUUUUUCGUCUCAAAAGACAACUUAGCGCGACGGAAAUAUGUACCGUCGCGUAAAAAAACGAGGGAUACUUAUUUUUGGCGCCAAAAUGCAGGGUGGAUAAAAAAAAUUUUGCGCGACGGAAUUACCUUCGUCGCGUAAAGUGUAAUGCCGGUGCUUUCUUGCGCGACGAAAUAAAUAAUUUGCGCGACGUAAUUUAAACCUUGCGCGACGAAAAGUAUUAUUUGCGCGACGAAAUUUUGUGCGACGAAUAAUAUGUUUCGUCGCACAAAAAAGCAGAUGUCGACAGGUAAUUGCGCGACGGAAAUGUUGUUUUGUGCGAUGGAAAAGUGGGUUUUCGCGACGGCAUUUUGCGCGACGGAUAUUGGUGUUCGUCGCGCAAAGUCCUUCUUCUUCAUAUUAGUAUCUGCCAUUGCAGAGGCAGAAUGCAGAAAUUGCAUUCUGCCUCUCUCUCACUCUCCCUGCCGCUGCUCUGCUGUGAAUUCAAUACGUUCAUUGGGUAUGUAUUUUUUGUCGUUAGUUUAAAUGUAUUAAUGUAAAUUCGUAGUAACGCUAUUAAUUUUGUUAUCGUUAGGGAUAUUUGUGAUUAGUGAUUGGUGGAGAACGAUUGAGAAGGUAUGUUAUUGUAAAAGUUUGUUUGUUAUGUUUGUAAUUUUUUUGUGAAGUUAUAUGUAUAUAAUGUUGUGAAAUUGUGCGUGACAUAGCACAAUGUGUUGUGAUGUACGAAGUUAAUUGAAAUUAACUUCGUACUUUUAUUUUUAUGUUUAGUAACACGUAGUUUCCCGUUCGAGAUUAGUUGGAUUUCGUGCAUGGAUGAGUAAUGCAUGACUGCGGUCCAAUUAAUUCUUGAAUUGUCCCAUUAUUUGGACAGUUUGGUAAUGCAUAGUGUUGUCACAUAAUCUUCGGCUACAGGAUUAGGUUUCGAUUGUGGAGAUUUCGGUGUCAUCUCGGUACGUUCUUCGAGUGGUACGUAGGUAUUUAUACCUAUGCCCACUUCAAGAACUGUGUCGAGAUGCUGCCGAAAUUAAUCCACGUCGAAAUCUAAUCUCAUGUAGCCGUAGGUUACGUGACAGGACUAUGCAUUCCCGAAUGGGAUAGGGCCCUUACCGGAGGCAUAAGGUGACAUUAUAACUUCGUAUGAAGUUGUUGUGAUUGUUGUGUCGUGAUUGUGGUUUCAUGAAUUAUGAGCAGAAGGUGGAUACAUAACCCGAAUAGAUGCGCAGACGAAUACUUGGAUGGAAUCGAGGAUUUUAUUGAGUUUGCACAUAGACACAACCCGGGUGCAAGUAGAAUCCGUUGUCCUUGUAGGAGGUGUAACAACACGUUGUGGGAGACAAUUGAAAAUGUUGGAUUUCAUUUAGUAAGGAAUGGAAUGAUUGAAACAUAUAGCAUUUGGAACCUUCACGGCGAACAUGUAGGCCAUGCUUCGUCUUCAAAUGCCCCAAGAGUGGACAAUGUUGAACCUAUUGUGGAUCCUAAUGAUCAAGUCAUGGGUAUUAUACAGGAUGCUUUUCCAUUCGCAUCGACCAACAUCAAUCAGGAAGGGGAAGAUAACGUGCCUACACCAAUAGACAGUGCGGAGUUUGAACAGUAUGAAAAACUGUUAAAAAAUGCCAACCAAGAGUUAUACCCGGGGUACGAGAGCUUUUCCGUUCUCACUUCUAUUGUGGAGCUAAUGCACGGAAAAAUAAAGUAUCGUAUGUCGAACUUGUGUUUCGAUUACUUUUUGGGGGUUUUCAAGAGAAUGCUUCCGACGGAUAAUUAUUUGCCGAAAGACCAGAAACAUGCACAGAAGGUGUUGCAUGGUCUUGGAUUGGGUUAUGAAAAAAUCCACGCUUGCAAAAACAAUUGCAUGUUAUUCUACAAAGAGCAUGAAACGUUGGAUACAUGCCCUAUAUGCAAUGAGUCGAGGUUCAAAAUGACAUCCCAGAAUAGAACGACUAAGAUACCACAAAAAGUCAUGCGUUAUCUGCCCCUUAAACCUGGGUUGCAGCGAUUGUAUAUGUCGACGCAUACUGCCACAGACAUGAGAUGGCAUAAGGAAAAACGGGUAGACGAUGAUGUGAUGCGGCAUCCUGCAGAUGGGGAGGCAUGGAAAGAGUUCGAUCGAACGUUCCCCGAGUUUGCUGCUGAUCCCCGAAAUGUAAGAUUGGGACUUGCCACUGACGGAUUCAAUCCGUAUGGGGUUCUAAACCAACACCACAGCACUUGGCCGAUUUUCGCAUUCCCAUAUAAUUUGCCGCCUUGGAAAUGCAUGAAAAAAGAAUACAUGAUGAUGACUGUUUUGAUAACUGAGGAUCCUGGCAGGUCAAUUGAUGUGUACUUAAGGCCUCUGGUUGAUGAGCUGAAAGAUUUAUGGACAAACGGUGUUCGCACGUACGAUAAAUCAACUGGGAGGAUGUUCACUUUGCGAGCAGCAAUUAUGUGGACUGUGAAUGAUUUUCCAGCAUAUGCAAUGGUUUCUGGGUGGAGCACAAAAGGUUAUAUGGCAUGUCAUGUAUGCAAGGAAGAUGUAACUUCUGGUUGGCACGCGGGAAAAGUUUGUUACCUUGGUCAUCGGAGAUGGUUGCCAUGGGACCACGAGUGGCGAGAAAAAGAUAAAGAGUUCAACGGGAACACAGAGCGUCGCCUCAGACCUGGAGAAUGGUCCGGUGAUGAGAUCUUGGAACAGCUGAACCGUUUGGAUUUUGGUCCGUUCGGAAAAACAAUUAGUCGGACCAGACCUUCUACACAUUUGAACUGGACGCACAAGCCUAUGUUUUUUGAGCUCCCAUAUUGGUCGAAACUGAAAUUGAGGCACAAUCUAGAUGUGAUGCAUGUUGAGAAAAAUGUAUUCGACACAUUGGUGGGCACGAUUCUAGAUAUCGAGGGGAAGACGAAGGACACGAUCAAAGCUCGUCUUGAUUUGGAAAGAAUGGGCAUACGAAGGGGUUUAUGGAUGAAUAGGGACAGUGAUAAAGCUAGAAGGGAUCUUGCAUUCUUUUCUAUGAAACCGAAUGACAAAAAGGAGUUUCUAAAGUUUGUAUCGUCUGUCAAAUUUCCCGAUGGGUAUGCUUCUAAUAUCGCACGUUGCGUGAAUGUCGAUGGGGGUAAAUUUACUGGACUUAAGAGCCAUGACUGCCAUGUUCCUGUGGGUAUUCGACACCUACUGCCGGAAGAUGUGGUGAAGCCAAUCAUGUUGUUAUCCAGAUUUUUUUCCCAACUGACGGCAAAAACAUUGCGAAGGACAGACAUGUUUCAGUUGCGCCAUGACAUUGUCCAAGUCCUAUGCAAGUUUGAGAUGAUAUUUCCUCCGGCUUUCUUUACAAGUAUGAUGCACGUAAUGGUUCACUUGCCAGAAGAGGCAUUGCUUGCUGGUCCUGUCAACUAUCGCUGGAUGUAUCCAAUAGAAAGGUAUAUAAUCUUUAUCAUUUGUGUAUGCAUCAUUAUCGACACUUUGCUAAUUUGUAUCAUAUCGUUUUAUUUUGGCAGGCUUCUCGGAGAGCUGAAAAAAAGUGUACGCAACAGGGCAAAGCCCGAAGGAUUAAUUAUAGAGGCUUGGGUUCAAUAUGAGUCGCUUACUUUCUGUGGAAUGUAUUUAAAAGAUGUGGAGACGGUUUUCAAUCGUCCUCAACGCAAUAAUGACGGAGGUAUGAGAAAUGAAAAACUUUUUGUUUUUGCCCAAAGCGCAUGACCAUUUGGAGAUCCUGGACGAGGAGAGUCGUUUUCUAGAAAUGACAUGGAGGUAGCGCAUUGGUUCGUACUGAACAAUUGUGAUGAGAUAAUGGCCUACUUAGAUGAGCAUGAACAGAUGAUGAAGCGAGAACAUCCAUCACAUUUGGUUGCCCGGAAACAUCGUGAAUUAUUUCCACAAUGGUUUUUGGAUUCUGUAAGUUAUAACUGUUUUGUAAUUGACAAAUAUAAAUUGUAGUAUUUAAUUUUGUCAGACUAACAUGUAAAUGAUUUUGUAUACUAUUAGGUGAAUAAAUUGAAAUCAUCGAAUUCCCCCACUUACAGUGAUGAGUUAUAUAACUUGGCGUUCGGCCCAAUUCGUGCUGAGUUGUUCUCGGGUUGUAAUGUUAACGGCGUCAAAUUUUUGGGGGCCGCACGAGAUGACAAGUUGUGUAUGCAAAACAGCGGUGUCCAUGUCCCAGGUGGAGGCGAAAGUACGGACAUUGAUUUCUAUGGCAAACUGACAACUGUCGUGCAAUUGCUUUAGAAAGAUCGAUACCAAGUCAUCAUGUUUAAGUGUCGAUGGUUCGAUACCAACCCAAAUAGGGCGGGAAGUGUUAAAAUCGACCAUGGAGUACUGUUUGUGAACAUGGCGUCCCAAAUUGUGUAUCUAGAUGACCCUAAAGCCGGGAGCGGGUGAAAAGUUGUGCAGAAGAUGGAUCAUAGGAACGUGUAUGAUAUACCAGAACUAGACCCAAGUGACAACGACGUCGACAAUGUGGCUGACCAACGUUUAGAAUCUUCAAUGGAAAAUGAUGCGGAAACACUUCGAGAUACAAAUGUUAUACAAGAACCGUUUCAAAUAGAAGGAGUGUCUUCAGUAGAAAUACCGAUUCAGUCAAUUACAAUUGACCUCGGUGAUCUUCCCCGAUACGAUGUUGCAGUGGGUCCUAGCAACGCCGAUGAUGCAGUUAUAGAGGAGGAGGAGGAAGAAGAUUGGGAGACCGAGAGUGAUGAUAGCGAUGAUAACGAAAGUUAUUAUAGUUCAGAUGAUGAAUAAUGAAUUUAUUUGUAAAGUUAUUAUGUUAGUGUAUUCAUUUUGUGUAAUACAAAUCUUUGAAUAUAUGUAGUUGUCCAUAUGUAGUUGUGUAUUCAUUCUCCAUAUUUCAUCACAAACUUCAUUGGAAUGUCAAUACUUUAGUCAAUACUUAUUACGACCCCAUGCUUGUCGAUUGGUUUUUAUUUAUUUAUUUAUUAAUGUCUUUAACUCUUCAAUUAUUAUUUUUUUCUUUUGAGAUAUAGUUAUUUCUUCAUGUUUAAACAAAAAAUAUAAGUUAUUUCUCCAAUAUUAUCUGUGUGCCACUUAUUUUUCUUCACUUUGGUUCAUGAUUAGUGGCAUCAAUCUAGUCAAACCGAUAAAAUCGGUCGAUUCAAAUCUUAAUUAUCAAUUUAGUUUGGUUUUGAUGAAGAAAUACAAAGCCUUUCCAAAAAAUACAGAGCAUAAAAAAUGAUGAAUACAAAACCUUUCCAAAAAAUACAAAGCAUACACAAUUUGAAUUAAAUGAGGAUUUAUGGCGCCAAAUCCUUGCGCAACGAUAAGGAGCCCUUCGUCGCGCAAAUAUAUAUUAGGUAACGUUAUAGUAUAAUAUAUACCCACAUAUAUAUUUAAAAUUGGCGAUCGAAGUAGUUCAUUGUAUUCAUAUGAAGUGUAGGACUGUAGCUGCAAAAAAUCAUCAACAUCGGAGUUAAAAUAACCGUUCAAUCAUCACUUUUUAUUUAGAACCGUCGAAAAGUUUUACCCCGUUACUUAAUCUCUGAAUGUUUUUUUUGUCUGAUUUUUGCUGUCUAUGAUCUCGAAGUAUAACAAAACAAGUUUGACGGCUGGAUGACUGAAGCUAGUUUCGUAGACUGCGUGUGCUAUCAAAAUCAUAUAUUCACCAAAAACUCAAAAAUUUGUUCAUACAUUUGUGAAAAUGUAACUUAAUGUUUAUGUGGUAUCCCCUAGUGUAAAAAUAUGAAAUUGAAGAUCAAAUUCAGUCAUUGUAUUCAUAUAGGGUCAACAAAUGUUGCUGUAAAAAAUGAUCAAAAUCGGAGUUAAAAUAACCGUUAAAUCAUGACUUUUCAUUUAUAACCGUCAAAAUAUUUUGUCCUGUUCCCUGAUAUCUGAAUGUUUGGUCGUUUUGAUUUUUGGCGUAUACGAUCUCCAAGUAUAAACAAAUAAGUUUGCCGGUUGGAUCAUUGAAACUAUUUUAGGGUUUAGGGUUUAGGGCUUAGGGCUUAGGGUUUAGGGUUUACAUUUUAGGGUUUAGGUUUUGCGCGACGAAUAAACAUUCCUUUCGUCGCACAAAGUGAAAGUGACAAAGAUUGCGCGACGGAUAAGUCUUCCAUUCGUCGCGUAAUCUGGGACACACAUUUCACCCCUCCAUACCCUUUGAACACUUAGUGAAAAUUUCAACCGAAUGAAAUUCUUGAACCCGCGCGACGAACAAAGCAAAUACGUCGCGUAAAGUGGACGUGAACAAGAUUGCGCGACGGAUAAAUCUGGUAUUCGUCGCGCAAUCUGGGCCACACUUUCACCCUUCCAUCCCCUUUGAACACUUAGUGAAAAUUUCAACCGAAUGAAAUUUUUGAACUCGCGCGACGAACAAAACAAAUACGUUGCGCAAAGUGGACGUGAACAAGAUUGUGCGACGGAUAAAUCUAAUUUUCGUCGCGCAAUCUGGGCCACGCUUUCACCCUUCCAUCCCCUUUGAACACUUAGUGAAAAUUUCAAGCGAAGCAAAAUCUUCAACUCGCGCGACGAAUAAAAGUAUUCGUCGCGCAAAAGGCACAGGCCUCUGAUUUUUGUUAGCAAACAUUGCGCGACGUUUACUGUCUUCGUCGCGCAAAAGGCACAGACCCUUCAGUUUCAGCCUCCCGCUAAACCCAAAAUUUUCCCAAAAUUUUGGCGGAACGACAGCGUUUUGCGCGACGAACAUAUGACUUUCCGUCGCACAAGGUUAACCUUGCUCGACGUUUACUAUCUUCGUCGCGCAAAAGCACAAACCCUUCAGUUUCAGCCUCCCGCUAAACCCUAAGUCCCAAAAUUUGGGCGGAACGACAUCGUUUUGCGCGACGAAUAUAUGAUUUUCCGUCGCGCAAGGAGAACCUUGCGCAACGUUUACUAUCUUCGUCGCGCAAAAUCACAGUUUCAGCCUCCCGCUAAACCCUAAAUCCCAAAAUUUUGGUGGAACAACAGCGUUUUGCGCGACGAACCAUGUAUUUUUCGUCGCGCAAAAGGCACAGACCCUAAUCCCCAUUCAAAAUUUGGCGUUCUGGGAGACCUUGCGCGACGGAUAUUUCAUCGCGCAAGAUUCAUUAAUACCAUUUUGCACGACGCAUUCUGUUCUUCGUCGCGCAAAGUCGAAUAAAUUUGCAGAAACGGCCCGAUGCCUCCUUCUUCCCCAUUUUCUGGUUUCUCUCCGUUUCUUCCUCUCUCUCCGCCGUCACCUUAGCCCUCUCUCUCUGCCAUCACCUCAGCCACCUCCGCUCGUUCCGUAGCCUCCCUGCCGUCACCGUCGAGCCUGCCGUCGCAAUUUCGUCAGUUUUUCCCGAUUCUUCGCCGGCCGAUUUCUCUCUCCUCCGGCCACCAUUUUCGACGCCUAAGGUAUGAUUUCUCGACUAUUUUUUGUGCUCUAGCUGAUGGUUGGUUAGGAUUUCUUGAAUUUUCGCUAUAGGAAAUAGGAAUUAAAACCCUAGGUUUUGGCCGCUUUGGGAAUUUCAAAUCCGGCCACUUCCGGCCAUUUUUCGGGGUAGGUCCGAGAACAAAAGUGGCUCCAAUUAAUGUUUUCAACCUAGGGUAGGAACCUUGGCCCUUAGUUUUUAGAAUUUUCCGACGAAUGUUAUCGCUUUGGACACCCACGCGCUGCCGGCGCGUGUGGUGGCGCGUGGGAUGUUGUGGCAGUGGGGCAUUGGGUCCCAGAGCAAUCCCCUGUUUGUCACGAGCGCGUAGGUUUGCUCGGAUUUGAAUUUGGUUAUCGUUUGAGUCUUGAUCGGAUUUCGGCUAUUGUGCGAUUUCCAGGUUUGAUAUGUUCGGACCGUUGGAUCGAACUCAAACUCACGUAGUUGUACCUUUGUGUUUCUACGAUCGUUUAGGAUUCGACCGAUCGUUGAUCGGUGUCCCGGAUACUUCGAAAUUCCAAACCCUAGGUGAAGCUAUGCUUUUAAUUAAUUAGUUUAAAUUCUUAAUGAAAUUAUAUGUGCAGAUGUCAGAUUUGAUUAGACGUGGUAGGUCGAUGAUGACUGCACCGAGUUCGGAUCCCCCUGCUCAGUCGGCAUAUGCUGCCACUGCUCCAGCUUUGAUGGAGCACGUGCUGGUUGGUCCCGGGGCGUCCCAGGCGCCUGCGUCAUCUGCGUCAUCCGUCGCGCAGCCAGCUAGUGCUAGGCGGCGGCACCGGCCCGCCGACACGACAUCGACCGACGGUACUGGUGCCUCGGGAUCACAGCCAGAUAUAACUACCAUUUUGUAUUGUUAAUUUUAUAUUGAAAUUUGACAAUGUUGUUUAUUUAACAUUAAUAUCUUUUUUCUUUGCAGCGAAGAAGAACACCUGAGGGCCGUGUCGUCAGCUGAAGACGGCGAAGGUCACCCGGGUGACCAACAGUCGUAUCAGCAUCGGAUACGACGAGCGCCAUCGGGCUGCACCGACGGCGGAGUUGCAUAGCUCCUUGGCCCACGACAUUGGCCACGUCGUGCGGACCCAUUGCCUGAUGCAAUGGAAGUCUUGGAGGGUCAUGCCUGACGAGAUCAAGGUGGAGGUUCGCGGCCAGUUGUCGGUAUGUACCUUACAUUUUCAUUAAUUUUCUUUAAAAUUGUGUAUAUUUCUAUUACUUAACGUAUCUAAUUAAUUGAUUGCAGACGAACUAUAACUUGGAGGAUCUCGACGAAGAGUCGUUGGCGUACGUCAACAGACUCUUCGCUGAGAGGUACAAGCAGUGGAAGAGCGACUUGCACCAUCAUUUUCAGGCCUUUGAUGAUCCGCAAGUCGCUCUUCAGGAGGGUUGCCCGAAGGAGCUUGAGGGGCGGGAGGAUAGUUGGGAGUGGCUCUGCGCUCAUUUUCAAGCGUCCGAAUAUGUGGUAUUUUUUUAAUAAUAUUUGUUUAAUUAUUACUUAUUUCUUAUUAAUGUUUAUUUCAUUUUUUUUAUUUCAUUAUUAUUUAAUUUGUUAUGUUUUAACUAAUACGUUUCAUUUUUUGUAUAACAGAAUAAGGCCCAAGUGAAUAAGGGUAAUAGGAAGAAGAAGACCCUUCUCCACCAUUCCGGCUCCAGGCCCUUUUCGUAUAGGAUGGAUGCCCGGCGACGGGUAAUAAUCACAUAAUUUAUAUUUCAUUUUUAAUGUCAUUUUUAUUAAUUUAUUUUUUUCAUACUAAUAUUUUUCUUCUCUUGUUCAAUUUAGGAGGGGUCCAAGUUCCCAGAGAUCGACGUCUUUGGUGACGUUUAUGUUCGACCCGGGAAUGAGUUGGCCGAGUCCCUUCAUGUAAGUAUUAUUUAAUUUUAAUUCUUAUGUUACGCAUUCAAUUUAUAUGCAUGUUUAAAUUUAUAUUUUAUGUUAUGUUCAACAGACGACGAUGGUGGAGAGGAGCCAGUUGGUUCUUCAGGAGUCCGCCUCCCAGCUUCCUCCCGAGACUCCGAUCGAGUCUGUGGCUCCUCCACAGGAUGCUGGAUUUCAGAUCUUGACGGAGACGUUGGAUCAGACUCUCGGGAGGAGGCCGGGGACAUAUUGUCGAGGGAUGGGGAAUGCCCGGCGGAGGGAACCUAGACCUCGUUCAUCGGCCCAGUCAAACAGUCAGGUGACUGCUUUGACAGCACAGGUGGCCGAGCUUCAGGGUCAGAUGUCGGUGAUUCUACAGUCCCUCGCACAGAGCGGCUUUCCAAUCCCGCAGUUUCGUGCGUCAACCUCCCAGCCCGUCCACCCCGAGUAUGCCCACCAGACCACUGCCCCGGUGGACGCCCAGACCUCCGAGCCGCAUACUGGCGACGACCCGAUUGAUUUUGCUUCAUUAUUUGAUUAGUGUAUUUAUUUUCAUCAUAAACAUUUAUUUUAUUUGUAAUACAUUUAUUUUAUUUUAUAACAAAAUUUUGUUCUAAUUUAUUUUUAUUGCAAUUUCAUUGUUUAAUCAAUAAAAAAACCAAUUUUAUUUAAAAAAAAUAAAAAUAAAUAAAAAACAAAAACAAAAAAAACAAAAAAAAAUUGUAAUAUUAUUUUUGCGCGACGGAAGACAUUUCGUCGCGCAAAACCACAUGUAACAAAAAAAAUUAAAAAAAUCAAUUUUUUAUUACUUUAAUUCUUGCGCGACGAAUACAUACGUCUCGCAAACAUUUUUUGCGCGACGAAAUGUUUCGUCGCGCAACAGCUUUUGCGCGACGACUGAAAUUUUCGUCGCCAAAUAGAUGAGCGACGAAAACUUUCUCAUCGCGCGAAUAGUUCUGCGACGAAUAUAUACGUCUCCCGGACUAGUUUUGCGCGACGAAUUAUUUUCGUCGCGCUAUUCGUUUCGUCGCGCAAAUAUACGUGCGCCGAAUACUUUAUCGUCGCGCAAAUAUUUAUGCGACGAACAGUUGUUUCGUCUCCACACCGUUGGUGCAACGAUGGUUUACCCGUCGCACAAUUAUGCGCGACGAAGUGUUGUACCUCGUCGCGCAAAGGCUUUCUUCACGAUCUUCGCGCGACGGAAGGUGCGCGACGAAUUUUUUGUCGCGCUGAAAUUAGGGCGACUAAAUAAGACUUUGCGCGACGUUUUGUUAUUCGUCGCGCAAAGAGUAAAAUGUAGUAGUGAGACUUGUUGGAGACAAAACAGGUAAACAAAUUACUUGUAUUAGACUCACAAAAUAUUACAACAAGACAACUCUCAAAGAAAAGACAAACUCUCACACUUCUCACAAGGACUACUUAACUUUAUAGCUUAUUGCAUAUAGCAUAUGCAAACACAAUUAGAACAUACCUACGUACACUAUGGGAACACUCGUGUAUAUUUCAACACAAGAAAACAUGUGCACCGUGCACGGUUCACAUGAAGUAAGAAAUGAAGAGGAAAUAAAGAAGAAGAAUACAAAAGAAAAUGGAGAUGAGAAAAAAAAAAAAACCGAAUAAUGAAAAAUGAAUUGACAAUUAUAUAUGGUUGACAUUAGAUCUAAUAUUAUAUGUAACAACUAUUGAUCUAAAAUAAACAUUAAAUCAAACAAUAAUUAAAAGAUUUGACAAUAUAAAAAUUUAUUGAGGACAAAAAAAGGCAAAAACUUAUGAAAAAUGGAAACAAUAAAUAUGAACUGAGUCAUCAACUCACCAUGGUAAGUUUGCUGACGUAUAAAAAUAGUCAAUGGACAUCGAAAAGUAAUUGGCUUACAUCAAAAAUUAAAAUCACGUGGGUUAUUCCUAAGAAACCUUAAUAUUUGCCUUCCAUUUGUUCCAGCAAAAUAAAAGUCAUUGCUACUUAUUGUAACCCCUUUUCCAAGCUUAUUAAUCAAAGUAGACACCUCACUGCUGUCACCUAGCCAAUUUUCAACAAUGUCAUACUUAACAAGCAACUCCACAUCCUUUGAGGUGUUCACAAAACGAUCCAUGAGACUAACAUAAUCACUUAUGUACGUCUCCUCGUAGUGGCAUUGUUCAAAUGCGAUGAGAUUUCUAAUUAAUACCUCUGUAUGAUCGCUUAUUUUCAAUCUUGGAAUUUCAAGAGUCCGGCCAGCAAAUCUAAUAAGGUAUUCAUUGAUCCCUCAUUCAACUUGAACCCUGCCCUGUGUAGCUCUGUGAUGCUGGGUGUGUUUAUAGUUAUGAGUUUCCCGUCAUUAGUUUUUAGGGUUAUUCGUUAUAUGAGUCCCUGAACUUAGACCCGAUUUGCAUUUUAGUCCCUCAAUUUCCAAAAUCGUUCCAGUGGUCCUUCAACUUUAGUUUCGUUAGGACAAAUGGUCCUGCCGUCAAAUGAUUAUAAAGUGGAAAAAACAAGAACAAAAAAGGAAGUGAGUUAAAUUUGCACCUGCUAUGUUCAAACGACAAAGUUCGUUUCCGUUUGGUCGAUUACAAGAGAAGCUCAAUGCAGCUUACUUGGUUCCUCUUGGUAGAUGGAAAUAUAAUUUUUCUCCUAAUAACAAAGGUUUAGUGCAAUCAAUGAUGGGCUGUAUAGAACAACUUUUUUGUUUUAUAUGUUUAUGUGAGACAAGUUUUGCCAGAUUGAAUUAAUGUCUUCUAGCUAUGUACCUUAUCUUUUUGCCGGGCCAUGAGUUGAAUGUAGAGGCAGAGCAUGGCCUUGGGUUUGUAAAAGACAAAAGACUGAACCAGACGUAAUUAUUUAGAUUUUGGAUCCAGUUCCACAUCCCAAAGAGAAAACCACAAGUUUGCAAGCAAGUUUGUCCAUAUUAACACUACGUAGAGUAUAGGCAGUGUGCUACUCAUCUCACUUUCUCAACCUACCCUAUAUUUGUCUAAAAGAGUUUCUAAUUUCGUGUACUGAUUCACUACUACAUUUUACACUUUGUGCGACGAAGAGAAUUUCGUCACGCAAAAUACAUUGGUCGCGCAAAGUUUAAAAAAAAUUUUAAAAAAAUAAAAAAUUCCCGCGUCCAAUUUUUGGUACUUGUCCAAAUUUUUUGAGUUUUGCGCGACGAAUACUAACAUCGCGCAAAUAUUUGCGCGACGAAAUAUUUUUUGUUUUAAAUUUUUUUAAUUUAAAAUAAACUAAUUUAAUAGUUUGCGCUACGAAAUAUUUUGUCGCGCAAGGUUUUUGACUUUUUGUUUUAUUAUUUCUUUAAUAUGAAUUUAUUUAUAUGAAUUUUUUGAAAUUUUUACUUUUUAAAUUUAAUUUAAUUGUAUGAUUUCUUUUUAAAAUUACUUUAAUUUAAAUUGAUAUUAAUUUUUACUUUUUAAAUUUAAUUUAAUUGUAUGAUUUUUUUUAAUUACUUUAAUUUAAAUUGACAUAUUCAAAAUAAAAUUACAUAUGAAAAAUAGUGAUUAAAUUAUCCAAUAAAUAUAUAUAUAUAUAUAAUAUUCAAAAUGUACACAUAAAUUAACAAAGCACAAUAAUAAAAUCCUAAUACAAGCGUAUUGUGGUGGUAGUGUCGGAGGAUAUGUUUUGAUAGCUUCCUAAUCCUCAACUUUAGCCGUCAAAGUCUCGAUGAUUCCCUACAAAAAAAAUAAAUAUGGUCAAAUAACCACAAACAAAAAAAAAAAAAAAAAAAAAGGCAUAAUCUCCCCUAAAAUUGUUAUACCACAAAUCCAACCCAAACUCCAAUCCCUCCCCUUUACUCAACCCCAAAACCCACACAAACUCAAAAUUAACUCCAAAAACACAUAUUAAUGAAAAAAAUUUAAAAUUUGGAGAGAAUAUACCUUUUGGCAAGAUUGAGAGUGAAUGAGAGGGAGAAGUGAGUGUGAGAGAAUUAGAGAAGAUAGUGAUAGAGAGAUGAGAGAGAUGAGAGAGUGAGUGAGAGAGAGUGAGAGAUAGUGAAGAGAGAGAUGAGAGAUUAAGUGAGAGGAGUGAGUGAGAGAAAUGGUGGGAUUUGGGGAGAGGGAAAGAGAAAGGAGAGGUAAGAGUAGAGAAAGGCAUUGAGAAAAUGGUGGAUGAGUUAUUUCGGUUUUAAAAACCGUAUCACUUUGCGUGACGAAAAAUAUUGUUGGUCGCGCAAAGGUUUGCGCGACGAAAAAUAUUGGAAUAUUGAUCGCGCAAACUUUUGAGCGACGAAACAUAUUGGUCGCGCAAAGUCUAAAAAAAUUAUUUAAAAAAAAUAAAAAUCCCCGCGUCCCAUUUUUGGUACCCGCCAAAAUUUUUAAAUUUUUGCGCGACGAAUAUAGGAAUAUUGAUCGCGCAAAGUCUAAAAAAAUUAUUUAAAAAAAUAAAAAUCCCCGCGUCCCAUUUUUGGUACCCGCCAAAAUUUUUAAAUUUUUGCGCGACGAAUAUAGGAAUAUUGGUCGCGCAAAGUCUAAAAAAAUUAUUUAAAAAAAUAAAAAUCCCCGCGUCCCAUUUUUGGUACCCGCCAAAAUUUUUCAAUUUUUGCGCGACGAAAAAUACAUAUUGGUCGCGCAAAGUCUAAAAAAAUUAUUUAAAAAAAUAAAAAUCCCCGCGUCCCAUUUUUGGUACCCGCCAAAAUUUUUAAAUUUUUGCGCGACGAAAAAUACAUACUGGUCGCGCAAAGUCUAAAAAAAUUCCCGCGUCCGAUUUUUGGUACCCGCCCAAAUUUUUGCGAGACGAAAAAUAUAUAUUGGUCGCGCAAAGUUUUGAGCGACAAAAAAUAUUGGUCGCGCAAAGUCUAAAAUUUUUUUAUUUUUUUUUUAAAAUCCAGCGUCCCAUUUUUGGUACCCGUCCAAAUUUUUAGAGUUUUGCGCGACAAACUGUUGGUUGCGCAAACUUUUGAGAGACGAAAAAUUGGUUCGUAACACAAUAUUUAUAAAAAUAAUUGUUAUGAAUAAUAAAAAUAAAAUUAUUUUAUUUUACAAUUUAAAAUAUAAAUAAGGUUAAAGCUGCUUAAGAAAUAUAUAUACUAUUCAAUUUCUUAAGUGUUAUACGUACAAAAUAAAUAAAUUUAAAGGUACUUAAUAAAUAAAUAUAUAUACACACACCAUUCAACGAUCCAACCGUCAGACUUAUUUGUAUAUACUUCAAGAUCGUAUACCCCAAAAAUCACAAAAAACAAACAUUUAGAGAUCUAGUAACGAGACAAAACUUUUCGAUGGUUAUAAAUGAAAAAUUACGAUUUAACGGUUAUUUUAACUCCGAUUUUGAUGAUUUUUUUUUACAGCUACACUCCUUGACCAUAUAUGAAUACAAUGACUGAAUUUGAUCUUCAAUUUAAAAUAUUUACACUAGUGGAUACCACAAAAUCUUAUGUUAUAUCUAACGAACGUAUAAAUAACCUCUUAAUUGUUAGUGAAUAUAUUGUUUUGAUGGCAUAUGCAUUCACCAAAACUAGUUUCAACGAUCCAACCAUCAAACUUGUUUGUUUAUACUUCGAGAUCAUAUACGCCAAAAAUCAGAAAAAAUAAACAUUCAGAGAUCAAGUAAUGGGACAAAAAUUUUCGACGGUUAUAAUGAAAAAUCACGAUUUAACGGUUAUUUUAACUCCGAUUUUGAUGAUUUUUUACAGCUACACUCCUUGACCCUAUAUGAAUACAAUGACUGAAUUUGAUCUUCAAUUUAAAAUAUUUACACUAGUGUAUACCACAAAAUCUUAUGUUAUAUUUAACGAACGUAUAAAUAAACUCUUAAUUGUUAGUGAAUAUAUUGUUUUGAUGGCAUAUGCAUUCACCAAAACUAGUUUCAACGAUCCAACCGUCAAACUUGUUUGUUUAUACUUCGAGAUCAUAUACGCCAAAAAUCGGAAAAAAUAAACAUUCAGAGAUCAAGUAAUGGGACAAAACUUUUCGACGGUUAUAAUGAAAAAUCACGAUUUAACGGUUAUUUUAACUCCGAUUUUGAUGAUUUUUUACAGCUACACUCCUUGAACCUAUAUGAAUACAAUGACUGAAUUUGAUCUUCAAUUUAAAAUAUUUACACUAGUGGAUACCACAAAAUCUUAUGUUAUAUUUAACGAACGUAUAAAUAAACUCUUAAUUGUUAGUGAAUAUAUUGUUUUGAUGGCAUAUGCAUUUACCAAAACUAGUUUCAACGAUCCAACCGUCAACCUUGUUUGUUUAUACUUCGAGAUCAUAUACGCCAAAAAUCGGAAAAAAUAAACAUUCAGAGAUCAAGUAAUGAGACAAAACUUUUCGACGGUUAUAAUGAAAAAUCACGAUUUAACGGUUAUUUUAACUCCGAUUUUGAUGAUUUUUUACAGCUACACUCCUUGACCCUAUAUGAAUACAAUGAACUAAUUCGAUCGUCAAUUUAAAAUAUAUAUUUUCUAACAAAAACCCAAUCUGAACAACAAUAAUAUAUUUUUCUAACAAAAAUCCGAUCCGAUCUAAAAUAAUAAAUUUAAAGCUACUUAAUAAAUAUAUAUACUGUUUAAUUUCUUAAGUGUUAUGCAUACAAAAUAAAAAACAAAAAUAAAUUAGUAUAGGCGACAAAAUGUUUGGAUUACGUCAUGCAAAGAUUUUAAAAUAUAUAUAUAUAUUAUUUUUAUAAGGACUUUGCGCGACGAAGUUCAUUGUUUCGUCGCGCAAAGUCACUUUGAGCGACGAUGUAUUGUUGUCGCGCAAAAGUUUGUCGCGCAAAGUUACUUUGCGCGACGAAUUUUUUUUCAUCGCUCAAAAUUUGGUCGCGCAAGACUUUGAGUGACGAUGUAUUGUCGUCGCGCAAAAGUUUGUCGCGCGAAGUGACUUUGCGCUACGAAUUGUUUUUCGUCACGCAAAAUUUGGUCGCGCAAGACUUUGAGCGACGAAGUUUUGAGUUUCGUCGCGCAAAGUGACUUUGAGCGACGAAUAGUUUUUCGUCGCGCAAAAUUUGGUCGCGCAAGGGGUUUUUUUUUACUAGUAUGAGUUUUAUAUACAAUUUAUAACAAUAUUUUCAGGCAAAAAAAUGUCUUGGCAAGAAAAUGUACAAUUUGUUACGUACUUAACUGGAACGAUUACCUUCAAAUUCCUAUGGCCAAUUACCUUCUUUUUUCUUCCUUUUUUUUUUUUUUUUUUUUUUGGUUGUUGUUGUUCUUUUGAUCAAGUUGCAUAUUCCAAAGAACGAAAACCAGUACAGGCUCUUUUCCAAUGCAAGCUCUUUUCCCAUGUUUCCCUCUGUUUUUCUCCUAUUUUUCUUAUAUGGAAGUGAUUAAAAUACACCUCUAAGCUUGUUUUGCGUUUGGUAACCGACUGUAAAAGCUCAAUGCAGAUAGUUUGAGGUAGAAUUUUCUCCAAUUUUACUAGCACAGUGAUAAGCUAUACUAUAUGUAACAACAAAUUGCUUUAAUAAUGAUAAUGAAAAAAGUGUGAUCCAUCGAAUAUUUGCGGGGUUUUGUUCCAAGUCAACACAUCAAAUUCUUUUACACCAUGAAAUUAAAAAAAAUUUAUUCAACCAUCUCGACCUUAUGCUCGAUCAUUUUGCACAAGCAACCGUCCACGUACCCCAAUAAUUUAAAAGGGCUGAUGAUCUUUAAUUUGGCGAAAGCUUCUAUCUACUUCUACCGCGCUAUAUAUGAGCUAUGCAAUUGUGACGGUGUUACAUGACGUCACAAUGUCGUAGGGAUAAAAAAAUAAUAGUCAUGGUUUCUUAUUAAUGUUAAUACAGGCAUAGCAAAAAGCUUGUAUUUCUAGUGGUUAAGAACAAUUACCCAUGCACUUGAGAUAUUAUGUGCUUAAAUCCCCUCUUCCCCAAUAUUUCUUGUAUAAAAAUAAAAAUAAAAAUAAAAAUAAUAAAGAUAUUGAUAUUGUAUUCUAUAAAGUGUUGGACAUGUUUUAUACCCCUUUACUGCAAAUUACAGUUUGACACAUGUACAAAAAUAAUAGGUAAGUGUUGGACAUCAAGAGUACUUACAUAUAGGUUUAAUAGGUAAGUUUUGAAUAUUUCUGUCUUUAGCUUUAAUUAUUGAAAAUCAACCUAUUAUCAUAUUAAAGACUUAUCCAUGUUCAACGUACAUUCUCUUAUUUUUCUCUCAUUGAAGUAAAUACAAAACUAAGCACAUAGUGGAAAAGUAGGUCACGAUUAGGGGUGGGUUUGGUCUGGGUUGGUUCAGUUUUGGGCUCAACCCGAACACCGAACCGUAGACCUCGAUUUGGCUAUUUUGGAAACCAAAACUAAACCAUAAUUAAUGAAAACCGACCACUUCAAUUACCUUCUGGUCUUCCAACCAGAAGAAAACUCAAAACUUUAACCAUACCAAGUGCAACAGAAUUACACCAGGCUGGAGUCAAGUUUAUGAUGGUUAAAGAUAAAAACUUAUUUGACAUACAAUUUGAGAAUGGAAUCCUCAAAAUUCCACACCUGCGAAUACAGGGUUAAACAGAAAUUUUCUUCCGCAAUUUUAUUGCCUAUGAGCAGUGUGAGCUCCAUGAUCAUUACAUCAACAACUAUGUCUUCGUCAUGGACCGCCUGGUCGACAGUGCCAGGGAUGUGGAAUUGCUUGUGAAGAGUGGAAUUCUUGAAUCCAUGCUACCGGACAGCGAGGCAGCAGGGGAAUUUAUUAAUUCUCUUGACUUGGGGCCUAUUUUAGGCAAGCUUGAAACAAGACUAUUUCAGUUCACCAUGGGCUGGCCUGUCUAUUAUUGUAGCCGCUAUACUAGUUGUGCUCACAUUUAUUCAAACAGUGUGCUCCGUAAUGGCGCUGUAGGUUCUUCAUUUCCUCAAUUUCAUGUUUAGUGGUUGCAGAUUUGUUGCUCAUGUACGUGUUUAUCUAAAGUUAAAUAAGAGUGAUUGACUGAUAGUCUGUUAGUUUGUUUUUCUGGGGUUUUUCCCCUGUUCGUCAAAAAAGAAAAAGAGAAAGAGUGAUUGCUUGUGCCUGUUUGGGCCUAAUUUGACACACCCAAUCCAAAAUCAAAAAGUCCAUGUCAAUUUUGGACAGCCACCAGCAUUCCCUUUGUAAUUAGGCCAAAAACUGCACACCCAACCUAGCACUGGAGCCUAGAACAAACAAGGUAAACUCAGGACCCAAGCAGUUUGAUUUUUUCAUUUAAAUUGGAAUCAAGGGCCCCAAGUCAAAAAAGCCCAAGCCCAAGGCAGAUUUUUUACCAAAAAGACCCAAGGAAGCCCAGUGCAUGCGAAUUGCUUAGCCCACAAUCCCAAAACUCAAAACUAAGUUUGGCAUGAUUAAAUAAAGAUAGAGAGAAGCCCAAAAUUGAAGAAACCCAAAACAGUUUUAUCAAAAUUGUCAGCUCUCUACCCAAGACCUAAAAAGGGUCAAAAAUACCACUAUUGGCAAAAUUGACGCACUCAGCCUUGGAUCACAAAGAAAUCCACGUGACUAUUUGACUUUGAGAAGUCAACAAUUUCAACUAGUCACAAGAGAAGUUGAUUGGAAUUAAUGUAGGCAGGUCAUUACAGAAAAGACUUCUUUGAAACUCUGUAGCCAAAAGAUCAAAAUCCCUUUCUAUAUAAUUCUGCAUCAGAGUAGGUGGUCUUUCCAAGAGAUAAGCAGACUACGUUUUCAAGAGAUAAGUAGAGAAUGAGGGAGUUGUUCAACAAGAAAAGCAAACUAACCAUCAUGAUAGGUUGUGUUCUUUCUCUCUACAAAAAACAAUAGGGAACAAAGAAGAGUUGGUUUUUCUUUCAGAAAAAGGAAGGAAAAGACCUACAUGAAAACUAAUUAUUGAUGGUUCUUCUCUGCCAGAACAGAUAACUUCUCAUUUUCUUUGACAUUUAAAAAUGAAAGGUCUCGCUUUUACAAAAUCUGCCGCCCAUUAUUUAAAGAUUAGAAAACCCACUCCAGCAUUUCCUAUAAAUAUGAGAGGAGGUGAUGUCACAUCACGGGAUUGGCUCUGCCGUAGCACGAUAUUGUCCACUUUGCGCCCCCCUCUCUACCCUCACGGUUUUAUUUUUGGGAACUCACGAGCAACUUCCCAGUGGGUCACUCAUCUUGGGAUUGCUCUAGCCCCCAGCUCGCUUAACUUCGGAGUUCCCAUGACUCCGAAGCCAAUGAGCUCCCAAAAGGCCUCGUGUUAGAUGGAGGCGGGCAUGUACAUAUAAGGCACAUCACCUCCUCUCCGUUGGUCGAUGUGGGAUGUUACAGGUGAACAUAUCAAAGGACAGCCAAAAAAUCAAUCAAAGACAAAAACUCAAAAUGAUCACUUGAUCUCAAAAGCCUUCAAAACACUGAAGCAAGCAAAGCUCAUUGAGCCACAACGAACAAGUCAGCUAGAAUUCAGAAUCUUUAGAGUCAGUUCAGUUUCAGAGAAAUAAUCAAAGAAAGCGAGAUCUCUCUCGUUACAAAUUUGGUUCAGCUUAAAGCCAAAACAAGCAGAGUUCAGGUUCUUACAAAUAUGAAAACCUCAAUAAAUUUAUGGAGAGCCCUGAUCAAGCAAAACAGGUACUACAGUGCAGUUCUAGCUUAGUAAUAAUCAAAUCCACCCACUUCUGCCCCUUCCAGAUUGAGAAGGUCCCAAUUCUGCCCAUUCAAAAAGCCUUCCAAGACUUGAAAUAGAUUAAAGCUCUGCCAAACUCAAAUGUUGGAAUCAAUUCGCAGCUGAAACAUGACAGUUGAAGGUGUUGAUAGUCCAGUCCAGCACAGACAUACCCAGUCUAGCCCAGAUCAGAAGCAUUCACCGAGGCAGAAAUUGAAGUCCAAAGCUCUUUUUGUCUUUUUAGAGUUGGUCUUCCUUUUCUGAGCUUUGUAAAAGGCAAUUCUGCCUAAAACAGUUCACUUUCUUAUCAUUUAUUCUGGCCAGAACUACCAGUUUUGUACUGUGAAAAAUUAUGAAGUCCUCACCAGUCUAAGGCAAGAAAAGAACUUACUUGGGAGAUAUUCCUCACCAAAUUCACAACCGUUUGUUUAGAAAUCAGUAACUUGGUGUAACGACCCGGUCCUAAAUAAAUUGGUAAUUAUUAAUUUAUUCAGAUAAAAGACCAUUUUGCCCAUAGAAUAUUUUAAUAGGUUUACAUGUUGACCCGGGAGGCUUCGGUGAAAUUGUUACAUCUCGGUCCGAAAAAGUGUUAAAAUAAUUAAAGUAGAGUGCUGCUAAAAGAACCCUAAAAUUAACUGAGUACACCCUAUGAUCUAAGUACACCCUAAUAUUUUAAUUAAAAUAUAAAAUUAACUAAGUACACCCUAUAAAACUAUCAAAAAUAACACUGAUACACCCUAAUACUUGUAGCAUUAUUUUAUAGUUGAUUAUUUUAAUAGUGUUUAUAAAUCUUUGACUUUUCAUAUGGAUUUAUGCUUCUACUAAAAUUGUUGCCACUUUUUUUCCAAUUCCAAGUUCUUGCAAUCACCACAUCUUUCGUUAAAAACACAAUAGGACAAGCAAUCUCUUGAUUAGGGUUGAAUAUGGUUAGUAGGGUGUACUUAUUAAUAUUAUAUUUGUUUCACAAUUCCAUAUAUCCUUUUUGGUCAUUUUAUAUUAGGGUAAACCAGUAAUUCAAUAUAUACUUUUAUAGUAGGGUGUACUCAGUUAAUUUUAGGGUUCGUUUAGCAGCACUCUUAAAGUAAGAGAGAAUAAAAUGAAAUAAACAUUAAAAUAAAAUGAUUUGAAUUAAUUAAGGUUUUUGAGAAAUUAAAAUAUUAUUUAAUAUUAUAAGGGGAAAAAGAUCAUUUUAAGUUUGGGAAGGAAUUUGGAAAUUCCAAUUGUACCGUUGUGUAGAGCAUGUCGAAACGAGUCCGUAGACACGUAGUGGACUCGAAUCGUAGUUAUAACGGAGAAAUGGCGAUCAAAAGAAGUUCAGUGGCAUAGCCAUAAAUAUUUCGAAGUUCAGUUUUUUUAAAACCCAAAUUUCUUCUCUCUGGGGAGUGGGAGAGCCAACUUCAAAUGGUGAUUUCUCCCAACUCCGACCACCACACUUCCCUCUUCCUUCAGUUUUGGCAUCAUGAUGGGUUCCAUCCCGGAAUGACACAUUUUCGACGCUAAGGACGUCACAAAUGGUAUUUGAGAUGCUUUGUAAAUUUGUAACCAUGGAAAACACAAUGAACUUUAUGUUCGGAGUUGCAAGAGAACAUUAAGGGGAAUAUGGAGAGUGGGAAAAUAGUAAUAAGUGGAGAUCUGUAUGCUUACUUACUACUGAACUUCCGUCGUGGUGGUUAGUAUGAAAAAGUGUUAGAGAUUAUAGAUUUUAUGGAGGAACAUGGUUGUACACUGAUAAGUAGUCGGUAGGAGUUGAUUUAAGUUCCAAGAGAAAUUCAUUAUGAACUGGGAUGAAUUACUGCAAGAUUCUUGCUGUUUUGAAGUUAUUGAUUUUAGGGGCAUCACCUCUGAAUGAUCAUAAUAACCAUGCGUGGGCUCUGCAUGAGGUUUCUUUGACAUUGUUUGAUUUUGUGUAUUGAUAAUUACACUUAGGGGUGUCACGUUUCUAGAAACGUGUCUAUCCAAAUUGUUGUAUCUCAAUAUCCUAUGGAAGGAAAGCUGAGAAGCUGAAAAUACUGGAUUUAUGGUGGUGAGAUAAAAAUUGUCAGGAACUUUCAAAAGUCAAAUUAUUUCACAAAGGGAAAUACUGGAGAGAAGUAUUAGAGAAUUUUCUUUGGAUAAGUUAUAUAGGAGUGGAGGAGUUGCGAGUUUAACCAAGGAGGGUUGUGACAAUUUAAAUUGAGAAGUAGUGGUGUUGGGUGAAGUAUUAUUUCAUUCGCGUGGGCUUGAAUGCCGCGAUUGACAGGAAUGGAACAUUAGGGUUCUUCUUCCUUGCUCUCUCACGCGAGCUCGCCAUAGAGAGUAUUUCUUGGCGUGGUACUGGCUUCGUCCGACCUCCGAUUACUGUGAUUUUUGAAAGGACCCGGCCCAAAUUUCUCAAAAUCCGAGGCGAAUCCUGUGAAAUUCCCGACAUCACUCCGAUGCCAGGCCCACUUACUAAAGACCGAGACUUUCUGCCGAACUUUCGGCAGAGUCUCCCCUAUAAAUUGGACAUUUUCCAAAACUACCACCUGCAUAAAACACAAUUUAUAUCCCCAACUGGCAGCAUGCACAAGAUAAUUUCAUGCAAAUCACAUAAUCGGCCUGCGGCCUUCAAAUAAUUCAAAACGAAACCACCAAGCACACUAUCAAAUUAAUUCCUACCUUAAACAAGGCAAACAAUAAAUUUAAAUAUGAAUUAUGACUACUAAAUUUCAACAUACGAGGUUUUAACCUCCUAACACAAUCACAUCUAUGUCCGCGGCUGCACCUAAUAACCUUAGGCUGCCUACGUACCUUCACUGAGGGAUCAAGCCACACGUAGUUCUUCCGUAAAACCCAAUUCCACACAUAGGCAAUACCUUUAUUCAUUUCUCUGUAUUUCACAUAAUCUCCCCAUACGCCAGUACUACCAUUGCCACGUAUGGGACUUGUCAACAAGCCGGAUAACCUACACCACGUGCGAUCUCAACAUAAUAUCACAUAAUCUCCUCAUACGCCGGUACAACCAGCGCCACGUAUGGGGCCUGUCAACACGCCGGAUAACCUACGCCACGUGCGACCUCAUCAUACUAUCACAUGAUCUCCCCAUACGCAGGUACAACCAACACCACGUAUGGGGCCUGUCUCAACGCCGGAUAACCUACGCCACGUGAGACCUGAACAUAAUAUCACAUAUCUCCUCAUACGCCGGUACAACCAAUGCCACGUAUGGGGCCUGUCAACACGCCGGAUAACCUACGCCACAUGCGACCUCAAUAUACUAUCACAAUAUCUCCCCAUACGCCGGUGCAACCAACGCCACAUAUAGGGUCUGUCUCAAAUUGGAUAACCUACGCCACGCUAGACCUCAACAUCAUAUCACAAUAUCUCCUCAUACGCCGGUACAACCAACGUCACGUAUGGGGUCUGUCCGCAUGCCGGAUAACCUACGCCAUGUGGGACCUAACUUUCACAGAGUGGUACUUGUAGUGUAACCAAAAUCUGGGGAGGUGCCUAAGGUAGUGCAUAUAGCACUUCAAACUGACAUUCUCUCACUUAUCUAAACUAAUACUAGAGGUCUUCCCAUUUUAAUGGUACCAGUCUAUAGUAGAUUGUAACGUAAUUUAAUCAUAAAAAUAAUAUUAUUUCUAGACCAACGAUUAUUCACAUAAACAUGAAUUUCAUAAUUUCACUAUUUAAAAUAAUAUCUAAAAGUUUCCUAUAAUACAAAUAAACACUCUAAAGAUCCCAACUUAGUCAACACAGCUCAACAAUGCUCAAGACCUGUCAUUAGGGUCAUUAUGAUCCUUCUAGGAAGGUAAAACUACCUCGAAAGACUCAAGGUCAACCAAGGGUCAAACCACCCACAAUUGGUCAAACGGGCCCACGGGGCCCACGACCUCCAAAUUCCAAUCCGAAGGUUCCUAUGGGAUCUACAAGGUAUAGGACACUCGUCUUGCAAGUUAAGCCUAGAUCGGAUGGUCAGAUCGCUCACGAUCGCACAAUCUGAUGGUUAAUAUAAAACAUAAACUUUAAAUUAUUUAAUCGGAACAUCCGGGGCUCCCGAUUCACGAUCUGUUCCUACACGAUCCUAGAAAUACAUAGAUUAACAUAUAUUAAAUUUGAGACCAUCCAACGGUCCUAACCUAUCGAACCCGGAUAACGCGCAAUAGGCGAUAUUCGUUCGAUAGUCAAACGACGUCCGAAUUGAGAUUUACGAAAUCCUACGCACUCGUGACAACCUAAGGAUCUCAUUGAGACAUAUUGCUAUCCCAAAACCGACCGAAAUCCAAUUCGAAAAUCGAGUUACUUACGUUAAGAAUCGACCGAAUCCUACCCAACAGGCAGCUAGAGCAUGAAAAGUAUGUGAGAAACCAUACCUCACUCGUCGAAAUCAGUGGCCAAAGGAGGGAGAUCGACGAUAGAGAAGUUCGGACGAACUGACCGCUUCUUCUCCAUUUUUCAGCGAAACCACGGUAGCUGGUGGCGGGACCUAGCUGGGGUUGGAAGAGGAUGACGCCCCGGUCAUUUUGGUAUCGGCCUCGUGGUCAUCGGUGGCCGGAUGAGAAAACAGCCGGCGAAAAUGUGACCGGCUGCCGUUGCGCACGCGAGAGAGACCACGAGAGAGAGAGAGAGAGAGAGAGAGAGAGAAAUCUGAUUGUGCCACUGAGAUUCUUUUGACCAUAUCUCUCUCGUUACAACUCCGAUUCAAGCCCACCACGUGUCUACGGACUCAUCUCGGUACGACCUAUCCAAAAAUACCAAUCACUACCCCAAAUACUUUUUGGAUCAGAAAGUGACCAAAUUACCCCUACCUCAAUGGUAACUUUGUAAUUUCACUUAAAUAAUUUAAAUAAGGGAUUAAAUUUGGAGUCGGGGUGUUACAAUUUUUGUUGCUAAAUGUUGUCAUCAUUUCUCCUCUACAUCACUCAGUGAUCAUUCACUCCCAUUUCUCUAGUUUACACGGUGAAUUUUAUUUCUAAAAUUUCUUAAAAUUCCGGCCACUGUGAGUUUGACCAGCGACUUGGGUUACUUUUGCCCAUCUUUUUGGAAAUGGAACCGAUUUGAGGAAGAUUAGGAGGAAAGAUACAUAGGCCGCUGAGGCAGAAGUAAAGCCGGAGCUUUACCAUAGACAGAAGUUGUUUUAGAAGUCCUGGAAGAUUGUGAACAGGAAUUGGAAGUUUGCAUGGGGUGAUAGGAUUUUUAGUACUUGUGCAAACAGUGUUAAAAAUCACAUAAAAUACUUGCAAGAAUACAAGGCUAUUGUAGUCUAGAUGCUCAUGCAAGGUCGUUUUCCUCAAGGACUAAUUAGCAAUUUAUGUAAAAAUAAAUUCCAAUUACUACUUAAAAUAAAAAGUCAAGAAAGAUGAUUAUAAAUUUGGUUGAUUCUAAAAAACAAAUAUUAAACAAAAACAAAUACGAUUGAAAGAAAGAGUUUUGAAUAUCAAUUUAUAAAAACACUAGGGUUUCACCAUCACCUAGCAAUCCUAUGAACUUUUACCAAUUACUUAUGAUUUGCACAUGCCACUUUGAAGGUUAGGUUUUCCUAAUGUAUAUUCUACUUAGAACCUCCAACACAGAAUGUAUAUCCAACAUGCAACCCGUCCGGACGUUCGGAUCAAAUCUGAACAUGAAAGACUCAUUAAGUUUUGUGAAAACCCUUUGAAAAACCAUGCAACCCUUAAGACGUGGUGUUCAUCUUAAGUGAAAUUACAAUUAUUAAUCAGAAGAAGCUAGCAUCAAUUUCAGGGAACCUUCCGACCAAAAUUGCAUCCAAUUACUUUUCUAAAGAUCCUAAUGGUGAUCAGGCAUUAAGACAAUUAGAUAGUUUAAAACAGUGAUUAACAAUUCAAAAUACGCAUGCACUCAUCAUAAGCAAUUAAAUAAAAAUCACAUAUUCAUGCUAAGGUUCAAGGCUUCACCCUAGCAAAAGAAAUUUAGUUACGCAUACUCAUAAUUGAAAUCCAAGAAAAUAUCAUUAAGAAGAAAAGAACGAAAACACCUGAAAGUUGUGAAAACCCAAAACCCUAGCAAUUGCUCUCCACAAUGCAAAGUUCAAAAGUGAAAAGGGAGUCCUCCAUUCCUUGUGAGAAAGAGCUUAAAUACCCCUUAAAACCUAGCUGCCAAUGUACAGCUUUUCUAUCCCCACAAGGAAACUAAUUAAAAUAAAAUAAUACUAGGAAAUAAAGUCCAAAUUGGAAUAGGAGAAUCUGCUCAAAAUCUGCCCAGCCACGUUUUGGCCCCAAAUCUCCUCCAAAUCUGGCCCAAGAUAGCUUGUUUUAAAGAUAAAAAAUGUUCUGAACACUUCUUUAGAAGGCCACGAACCCAUCCGAGGUCAUCUUGGGCUCCAAAAACGCAAUAAAAGCCCAACACGUCACUAUUCCAGCACCGCGCACUGCUCCUUUAUUUUGUUGCCAGAAAAUAACCGCUUGGAAGAAAAAUCUGAAAUUUUGAUACGAUCAAGCUAAGUGACUCAAGAACGUCCUCCAACUGGAAUUACUCCAAAAUUCCUCAAUUUGAUUAUGUUUUGCUCCAGAGAGAUUCGAAAGUCCUAUAUUGGAAAUAUAAUUCAAAGUAUCAAAAGUCUUCCAAAAUAAUAACCAAAAUAUACUAAGAAUGAGGUUAAAUAUAUAAUAUAAAAUAUGUCCAUCAAAAUACCCCCAAACUUAGCUUUUGCUUGUCCUCAAGUGAAACAAGACUCAAACAAAAAUAAAAACUUAACAGAUUAGACAUCUGGCUAACACUUAACUAGGACAAAAUUUCCACCUUCAAGUUGCAAUCCAUAGAAAAUUUUAAAAACUAGAACAUCCUUUCAAUAGAUCUAAGUAAUCCCACCACAAAGUCUAAGCUAUUUAGACUCAAUUAGAAAAGAAUUCACAAACUUCUUUCGGUGCAAAGUGAACCAUUAUGGUUAUGGAGACUUGACUAAAACCCUUAACUCUCAUCCCUUUUAUUCAUACUUCACACACUCCACACUUUUUGUUUUUUUUGUUUUUUGUUUUUUGUUUUUUUGUUUUUUUUUCUUUUUGUUUUUAUAGUAACAGUAGUGGUUGUGCAAUGUUGGUUCCCUUAAGCUUUCAAUCCAACCGUGUAGCCAGCUUUAGGUCAAUGUCUCCCAAACCACUCGGGUUUUAGGGCACUAGGUGUAGAACACCCCUAAGGACUUAUUAACUCAAGCUGAAAAGGCUACGAAACCAACUAACCACCCUGCCUCAUGCCAAAACUCUACCUUUUGUCUCGAGAAUCACUGCUGAUUAGGCAGGAUUGACCCGGUUACUAGCAAAGCUUCGGGUGAGGUAAUUAUUACUUUAUAACACAAACUAACUUUAUUUAUAUUGAACAUAAAUUAAAACACAUUUGGACAAAAAGUAAGUAUUCCAAUCUCACUCCCCAAAAACCAUGUUGGUGUGAUGUGCAAAUUUCAAAGUAUAAUUCAUGAAUUAAUGUCUAAGCAACAAUAAAUAGAAAAUACUCUACCGUGGGAUUGAUUUUCACCAUGUCCAUUUGUUCUAACGUUUAAAAUAAUCUAUGGAUAUUGACUGAAAAACGAAAAUUUGUAAACAAGACUCAAAAAAUGAAAAAUAAAAAAAAUUACGUUCCCACCCCCUAACUUAAAUCACACAUUGUCCUCAAGGUGGGGUAAAUAAUCAAAAGAAACAAGAGCAGAAACAAAACGACUAAAACUUAGAAAAUGGAAAUCAAAAAUAAAGAAAAUACUCUAAGAAAAGAAAUUAGGAAGGCAAAGGAUGAGAUCCAGAUGGAUCUGGUAAUCCUAUCCGUAGAGAUGGAAAGAUUCUAUACACGCCAUUGAGACUGGAUUUGGAGAUGAGGAUUUGACCCUACCUUGUUCGACGAAUUCCCUCAAGGGGAAUUAUAGCAAUAAAAUACAUAUGCUUCUACAAACAUUUAAUUGCACUGCUACGACGUGGAAAGAGUGCUUUGGGGUCUCAUCUCAUGUGAACCCGUUCGAGUAGAAAUCUUUCAUUAGAAUCAGAAAUGGGUCAUGGUAAAGAGAGGUAGAUGAUGAUUACAGUUCGGUAAAAAUGAUCAUUUCUGACAUUCCUCUCAAAGAACCGUGUUGGCAAUGUCGUUUAUCGAUUCUAAAGAAAGAAGAAAAAUAUCAACAAGUCAAAGAACGUGGAUUUCUUUUAAGGGGAGAGCUAGAACAAAAUCAAAUCACGAAUGGAAGAGUUUAGCUUUCAGAGGAAGAUUGAGCAUUACAGCAGCUAUUAAAGGAUAUUUUUAGUUGAAGAAUGAGAUUUUUCUUCCUCUGAUUGUUUAGCUAGAGCUUUUGGCUUGACUGCCAACGUGGUUGUGGAGGAAGAAACUUGGGAACCCGAGUAGUAGAUGCGAGCCCACUACCCAUACCCCUUUUGAGUGACAGGUAUGAAAUUUCAAGGAUGAAAUUUUUAUAAGAGGGGUAGAUUGUAACGACCCGGUCCUAAAUAAAUUGGUAAUUAUUAAUUUAUUCAUAUAAAAGACCAUUUUGCCCCCAUAAUAUUUUAAUAGGUUUACAUGUUGACUUGUUGACCGGGGAGGCUUUGGUGAAAUUGUUACAUCCCGGUCUGAAAAAGUGUUAAAAUAAUUAAAGUAAGAGAGAAUAAAUUGAAAUAAACAUUAAAAUAAAAUGAUUUGAAUUAAUUAAGGUGUUUGAGAAAUUAAAAUAUUAUUUAAAAUUAUAAGGGGCAAAAAGAUCAUUUUAAGUUUGGGAAGGAAUUUGAAAAUUUUGAUUGUACCGUUGUGUGGAGCACGUCGAAACGAGUCCGUAGACACAUAGUGGACUCGAAUCGGAGUUGUAACGAAAAAAUGGCGAUCAAAAGAAUUUCAGUGGCAUAACCGUAAAUAUUUUGAAGUUCAGUUUUUUUAAAACCCACAUUUAUUCUCUCUGGGGAGUGGGACGUGCCAACUUCAAAUGGUGAUUUCUCCCAACUCCGGCCACCAAUUCAAGUAAGACCGGCCCCGUUAGAACCACCACACUUCCCUCUUCCAGUCCCAGCCCAUCUCAGUCUCGAUCCGCCGUCGUAGUCGCCGAAAAUCGCCACGAAACAAGGUGGUUUGGAUAGUUUUUGUCGAAAUUUCGUGGAGCUCGUUCUCCCUCCUCCGGCCACCGUUUCAGGCGAGUGAGGUAUCAUUUCUCACCUAUUUUCUAUGAUAUAGCUGAUGGUUGGAUAUGAUUUGAUAAAUUUUGAGCGUUGAUAGUUCGAUUUUCGAAUCAAAGUUUGGCCGAAUUUCGGGAUGAAAUUCCGGCCACUUUCGAUCACUUUUUGGGGUAGGCCCAAGAACAAAAGUGUCUUCAAUUGAUGUCCUGAUCCCAGGGUAAGAGCAUUGGUCGAAAAUUUUGAGAUUUUCCUGCUGGUGGUAUCGCUUUGGGCACCCAUGCGCUGAUGGCGCGUGUGGCAGCGUGUGGGCACUGUAGCAGAGGGCCAUUGUGUCCCAAUGCGACCCCCUUGUUGUCACGAGUGCGUAAGGGUGCUCGGAUUCCAAUUUGGUUGAGGUUUGAACCCCGAAUGGAUUUCGUAUAUUGUACAUUAUCCGGGUUUGAUAGGUUUGAACCGUUGGAUAGUCUUGAAUUUAAUAUAUGUUAGUCUAGACAUCCCUAGGAUCAUAUAGGAUUUCGCGGAUCAUGGAUCGGAGCCCCGGAUGUUCUGAUUUAAUAAAUUAAAGUUUGUGUUUUACAAUAACCGUCCGAUCGUGCGAUCGCGAGCAAUCCGACAGUCCGAUCCGAACCAAACUUGCAGGACGGGUAUCCUAAAUCUUGUAGAACCCAUAGGAGCUUUCGGAUAAGAAUUUGGAGGUCGUGGGCCCGGUUGACCAAGAUUAGGUAGUUUGACCCCUCGGUUGACCAUGAGUCUUCCGAGGUAGUUUCACCCUUCGAGGAGUACUAGAAUGACCUUAUUACAUAGUCUCGACCUUUAAUUGAGCUAUGUUGACUAUGUUGAGAUUUUUAGAGUGUUUAUUAUUAUCGUAUGAAAACUCUUGGAUAUUACUUUUAAUAAUUGAAAUUAUGGAUUUGAUGAGCGUGGGUAAAUUGAUUUGAUGAGUGGUGAAAAGAAGUCGUGGGCUUGGCUAUGACUAUUAGGAAGUGAGGGGACAUUUAUGUUGAAUAUGCAUUAAUUUCAACAAUUGAAAGAACAUGCAUGGAAUGGGUAUAUAUAUAUAUAUAGAUAAAUUGGAUUAAAGAUUGAGAAAUUAAUAAGUUGAGAUAUUAGUAAUAUUUAAUUGAGAAAUGGAUUUUGAGGUGGAAAUUGGAAGGUUGAAUUUGGGGAAUUUUGGAAUUGAGAAUUAUGGGUUAAUACUGAAAGAUGUAGGAUUAUACUAUGUAAGUACCAUCCCCUAGUUACUAGGCUUCCCAUACGUGGAGUUGGAAUUUCUGGCGUGUGGGAAGGAUAUAUGAUUAUUAGAUCUCACAUGCCGUUGGAUUUUCCAGCGUGAGACAGACCCCAUACGUGGGGUUGGAUUUUUCGGCGUAUGGGGAGAUUAUGUGAUGGUUAGGUCACACGUAGGGUGGGAUUUUCCAACGUGUUGACAGACCCCAUAAGUGGCGUUGGAUUUUCCGGUGUAUAGGGAGAUUAUGUGAUGGUUAGGUCACACGUGGCAUAGGAUUUUCCAGCGUGUUGACAGACCCCGUACGUGGCGUUGGAUUUUCAGCGUAUGAGGAGAUUAUGUGAUGGUUAGGUCCCAUGUGGCGUAGGAUUUUCCGGCGUGUUGACAGACUCCAUACGUGACGUUGGAUUUUCCGACGUAUGGGGAGAUUAUCUGAUGGUUAGGUCACACGUGGAGUAGGAUUUUUCAGCGUGUUGACAGACCCCAUACGUGACGUUGGAUUUUCCGGCGUAUGGAGAGAUUAUGUGAUGGUUAGGUCACACGUGGCGUAGAAUUUUCUGGCGUGUUGACAGACCCCAUAUGUGGCGUUGGAUUUUCCGGCAUAUGGGGAGAUAAUGAGAUGGUUAGGUCACACGUGGCAUAGGAUUUUCUGGCUUGUUGACAGACCCCAUAUGUGGCGUUGGAUUUUCGCGCGUAUGGGAAGGAUAUGUGAUUAUUAGGUCUCACAGGUGGCGUUGGAAUUUCCGGCGUAUGAGACACUAACAGUGAGAAGAGAAUGAGAUUAUUUUUCUAUAUCAGAGAAAGGUUAGAGUAUAAAAAGAAAUAUGUUUGGUGUGUGGUAAUUUAAAUUAAAACAGGGAAAGAUAACUUACCUGUACUACUGAAACAGUUGUGUAACAUUUGGAGCAUGAUUAUGGAGUGAAAGAACUACGUGUGGCUUGAUCUCUCAGUAAGGGUACGUAGGCAACCUAGGUGCAGUCGUAGACUAAACGUUAUUUAUGUUGUUUUAUUGAGAUUGGUUCUGACCCUGUCGUUGGUCCUGAAAUUCGGUUGAAAACUAGAUGCGAGUAAAUAAUUGUUCAUACUCCCGUUUCGUUGAGGGAGGAUUGUGUAAAUGUGUUCUGGUCAAGACAGGUAUAAGAACUCGUUUAGGAUUGAUGUACGAUUUGGGCUAAGGCCUUAAACUACUUGUUGUUGUAUUAGGAGAUUAAAACCUCGCAUGUGGGAUAAUUGGGAAAGUUAGAUGAUGUAAAGUGCACUUAGGCAUUCAUAUAUAUGUUUAAAUUUAUUAUUUGUCUUGCUUAACGUAAUUGUUUGACUUAUGGGCUUUAUUGGUGAUUUGCUUCAGAUUAUUUAAAGGCCGAAGGCCGUUUAUGUGAAUUGCAUUUUGAUACAUUGUGCAUGCUACUAGUUGUGGAUAUUAAAUGUGUUUUAUGCAGGUUGAAAUUUUUGGGAUUGUUCAAAUUACAGGGGAGACUGCCAAAAUUUUGAUAGAAAGUCUCGGUCAUUAGUAAGUGGGCCCGGCAUCGAGGUGAUGUCGGAAUUUACACAAGAUUCCUCUCGGGUUUUCAGGAAUUCGGGGCGGAUCCUGUUACUUGGGGUGCAAAUUAUCCAUUUGUUCACCCGUUUUCGUGUUUUACUUCUGAGGUGGAAGGGCGAAGUUUCCCACUGGCUUGGAGACCACUUGUUGGUCGACAAGUCAGCUUUCUUUGGUGUGUGUGAGCGUGCCACUGCUAGCAAUGUAAAUUCUAGCAGACUUAUUUUUUAGAGUGGAUAACUUGCGCCUCAAGUUACUGACUUCUAAAACAAAUGAUUGUGAAUUUGGGUGAGGAAUAUCUCCCAAGUAAGUUCUUUUCUUGCCUCAAACUGGUGAGGACUUUCACAAUUUAUCUCAGUAUCAAAUGGUUGUUCUGGCCAGAAUAGAUAAUAAUAAAGUAGACUGUUUCAGGCAGAACUGCCUUUUACAAAAUUAAGAAGGGAGAAAUCAACUCUAGAAAGGAAAAAAGAUGGCUGGAAUCCCAUUUCUGCCUGGGUAGAAACUUCUGAUCCGGGCUGGACUGGGUAUGUCUAUGCUGGACGGUGCUGUCAACAACUUUAGCUUGCUCGGCUUUAGUUGUAAAUCGAUACCAAAGUUCAAUUUUGGCAGAGCUUCAAUCUACUUCAAGCCUUGGGAGACUUUUGAGUGGGCAGAACUGCAGCUUCUUCAGUUUGAAGGGACAGAAGUGGCUAUUCUCGAGGAUUUAGCAAGCUGGAACUAUGCUAUAAAAUUUGUUGAGGUUUUCAUAUUUGUGAAAACUCAAACUAUGUUUGUCUUGGCUUUUGCUGAACCAAAUUUGUAACGAGAGGGAUCUUGUUUUCAGAAGACUUAUUUUCUAAGUCUGAACUUUGGAAUUCUGAUCUAAAGCUGUUUUCUUGUUUGUUUUUUUUUGAUUGACUGAUGAAUUGAGUGUCCUUUGUUUCUUUGCCUUCUUUCGCUUUUAUAAGAGAUCCUCCUAAGGAGGUCAUUUUUAAUCCUAAACAAUGGGCGGCAAAAAGAUCUCUUAUAAUGUAAAGUAAGAAGGGUUUCUUAUCAAUCAAGGCAGAUAGGUUCUGAGCAGUCACCUCCUAAAAACAGUCCAUUCCCUGGUUUCCUGGGUGGCAGCUUUCUAAUUCAACCAACGCCACCGUCUGUGUGGGCUUUUUAUGGCAGUUUUGGCUCUUUUCUUUUGUAUUUUCUGAGUGGUUCCCUGUUUCCCGUUCUAAUUUAGAAAGCGUGAUUCGUGAAUUCCUUGGGAGAUGGUGUAUUGAUUUGGAGCAAAAUCUUGAACACAGAUGGGUUUUUGAUCUUCAAUUGGCAGUGUUUCAGAGACGUCCCUCUCACAUUUUUAAACUUUAGUUGGAAUUGCUGACUUUUCCAAAGUUGAGGCAAUCACGUGGGUGUGUCUUUGAUCCCUUGGUUUUGAAUCUAUCGAAAAUUACGGGCUGAUCUUUGAAGCCCAUUUCGAAAGUUUCCACAUCUGGGCUUUCUUUGGGCUGAGGCUUUAUUUCCAACAUUCUUGGUGUGAAGCCCAAACUGUCUGGGUCUUAUUUUCGUUUUUCUCAAGUCUCUGGGCUGGGCAGGCAAUUUUAUCAUGGGCCUGUCUUCUGGUCUUGGGCGUGCCGAAUUUGGGCCCAAACAAUGCCCCCUAAGUCUGAAUCGUUUUGGAAUGGUUUCAGACUUAAUGUUUUGCCAUUUAAUUCACGUGCCAGUUUCUUCCGUGUUUUCGCCCACGUCUGCCACGUUUGCCUGCUACGAACUAGAGUUCGUGGGAAAACGGCUAGUUAUUAUCUAGUUACUAGCUAAUAAUCAUCAGGUGCCGUCCCAUCUUCUUCUUCCCACGUUUUCGAGCCCCUCUUUAAAAGAAAUUCAAAUUCAUAGCUUCUGAAAAAAGAAACCCUAAACCUUCCAGCUCUUGUUCCUGCGAGUUCUUUCUUCGAGAUUUCCAAAGCCUUCUUUAGACCUUCCUUUCUUCUGCUUCUUCCCUUGAAUCAGAAAUGUCUUCCCCAAGGUCCCGCGCUCAGUCUUCUUCCGCUUCAGUUCCUCCCGAUUAUAUCACUGGGAGCGGGAUUGAUGCUCACGCGAUAGAAAUCAGGAGCAAGCUUCAUCCCUUUGCCCAGAAGAAUCUGGACGAGAAUGUCCUCCAUUUGUUUGAGAACACCCUGGUGUUAGGGCCUCACUGGUUUGGUCCUGUUCCAGCUGAGAUGGCAGAAUUGCUAAAAAAGGAUGCCGAGGCUCCUUUGUGUUUUGAGAGCUCUUCUGCCCUGGCUUCUUAUUCUUGGGUUAGCAAGAAUUUGAGCCGGUCCUUCCCGUCCAGCGAGGUGAGGAAUAGUCUGGUCAAAUGGGCAGACUGGAUUGAUAGACUUCUCCCGAGAUAUGGGGGUCACUGGAGGAGAGCUGGGAUUUAUGACGCCAUUUUUCUGUCCAAACAAUCGAUUAACAGAGAUGAGAAUCUGCUUGCUGCUGCUUUAUGCUUCUGGAAUUCUGCCAGCAAUACAUUUGACUUCCGCGUGGGUCCUAUGGCGCCAACCUUGCUGGAUAUGGCUCAGAUUUUUGGGUUCAGGCCCCAUGGUAGGCCUGUUGAUGCCAUUGGAGAUUAUCACAGGCGAAGGAAUCAAGAGAAAGUGGCCACCCCUUUUACUAUCCCUCCAGCCGUGAUCAACCAGAACUGCUCUUUCUCCAACUAUCUGAAGAAGUUCAGUGCUGAUAAGGACAAGGAUCAGCAACAUAUGUUGUUCCUUCUGUAUUGGCUGAAUUGGUUCGUUCUCCCCAAUCGGUCUUCUGCAGUUCUGCUAGAGUACAGACACUUGGCAGAAGCACUCCACAAUCACACUGAUGUGGGGCUCGGGCCUACAGUUCUGGCUCACCUUUUCAAGAAUCUGCAUACUUCCACCCUGGAGAACCCAUUGAACCUGUCAGCCCCUGGCGCAUUCUGGAUGAUCCAGAUCUGGCUGCAGGUUUAUUUUCCAGAACUAAGGUUCCCAGACAUAGUUCUGCCUGAAGAUCAAGUCCUGGCUCUUCCUCUGAUGUCGGCAGAAGUGCCCAAGCAUUCUAUUGAGGAGUAUUUGAUGCUCUUCAGGCAUUGUACAAAGAGGUCGGCAGCUCAGUGGCAAGUGGUGAUCAGGAGGACCUAUCCUUGGUUCCAGACCGGAUUUCGGUUGUUUGAGAAGGAGCCAGAAGAUGAAGCUGCCAGAACAGAUUUCAGGAGGAAAUUUCUGAGCAUUACUCUGCCCAGAGAUCUACCCCAUGGUGGGGGCAAACCUCCAAACUAUCAUCUGGGGGCAGAAGUCUACCAUCCCAACUUCUGCGCGAGGCAGCUUGGUUGUCCCCAACUCAUUCCGCUGAAAUCAUAUCGGAGUUGUAACCGGGCCUCUUCUUGGAGGGAUGCAGAUGAUCUGGAGGUGCACAAGGAUGCCCGGUGUGCAGUGAACAAAAUCAACAACAGCACGGAUGCCCUCUAUCCCUCGUGGGAGCUGAAUUCCUGCAGUUCUGCCGACUUUGACGCAUGGUGGAAAGCCAGAUUCCAAAGUCUGCCUGCUUCUGUCACUGCCCUCAAGGUGCUGUUUGAUGGUUGGGAAAACUGGGUCGUUUUUGCGAAUGGGGAUGCCAAGACGCAUAUGAUCCAGACCAUCAAGGAUAUUAACGCGCAAAUUAUAGAAGGUAGAUUUCUGAUUCUGUAUGGGGUUCGUUCUGUCCUGAUGAUUGAUUUCUAAUGUCUAUUCUGCCUGUAUCAGAUCCUUCUUUGACCAGCGUAGGUGGGCAGUCUGUUCAUGCUGGGGAAGUGAUUGGUAAGUCUUUUCUUUUAAUUCUAUUCUGUCUUUUCCUGCUGGAUUGGUCUCUAAUGUCUAAUGCCUUGGUGCAGUCUCUUCCGUUAUUGCUGCCGGGGACUUGGAGCUCCCUUCUGCGGAUGAAGGAGAUGAGGUCCAGACAGAACAAACACCUACCGAGGCCGCUCUUUCUGGCAGAAGAAAAAGGAAAGGACCUGCCCCUCCUUCGGAUAAUCCCACGCGGCCUGGUAUUUCAGGUAAGCUCGUGAUGUUCCAACCAUUCUCUUUAAAUUUAUUAUGUCUUGCCUUCUUUUCCCUAAUACUGCUUUUUGUUCUGUGCAGCUGGAAGUCCUUCCCCUCCUCCUACCAAGUUGAAAAAACUUAAAAAGAGGAGUGAGGAGGAGUAUGUCGCCGCGGAAGAGACGGCAGCAAUUCCCACCACUACCUCCGGGACGGAUGAAGAGCUGCGAGAGGCUUUUGAGGAGGUGGAGCAGGAAAAAGAAUUGGAAGAGCUGGAAGAAACGCCUCAGGAAAAAACGGCAGUGGCGGAAGGAGAGGUAAGUUUUAUUUCUGUGAUUCGCAUCAGUUCCCUUCUCGCCCUGUUUCUUCCGUUCUGACCCUUAUUUUGUAGGAGAAGAUCCCUGCUGAGGUGAUUGCAGAGAGCAUUGCCUUGGCGCAGAAGCAACAAGGGGGUCCAAGGGCUGAGCGGACUAGCUCAGAACUAGCCCUAUUUGAGGAUGCUGAGGCAGAGCAUUCUACUGCCGUUCCAGCGGCUGAGGAUCAGGCGGAACGGUCUGCAUCAGAGCCUGUGGAUCAGGCAGAGCUGUCUGUUGUGGUUCCGGAGGCUGAAGUGGAAACAACCGCCGCUGCCCCUGUGGUUGUGGUAACUUUCUUUCUUUAUCUGUCCACACUCUCCUGCAUUUCUGCCUUGUUCUUUAUUUUUAACUGUUGUAGCCUUUUCAGGUAGAAGUGCCUAAAGCUGUUGGCGUCCUGGCAGCGGUUACCAGUCCCCAGAAGCCUCCCAUUGUUGCUGUAAGUUUUCAUAACUUUUGGGCCUUUAUUUUCCACUUUCUGCCUGGUCUUACCUUAUGCUUUCUUCUUGCAGAUGCCAAUUCAUUCCCUUCCAGGAUCAUCUGCCACGGCUUCUUUUGCUGAUCCAGAACUCGAAGAGUUUGAAGCCAUGGAUCUGGAUGCCCAAUUGGACAGAUUGGAGAAACUCAGCUCUCCUCCAGGCAAGGCAAAAUCUAGGGCAGUGGAGGAGGCCAUGGAGAGGUUGAAAAUCUGGCAGUCUAAUGAGCUGGAGUUUGAUCAAGACAAUGAAGCCUUAAAUCAGCUGAUGAAGGACCUGGACCUGCUUCACAGACAGAACAUGGCUCCAAAACCUAUCCUUGAGAUGGGCCUAAGCUUGGCCAGAGAUGUGCUCAAUCUGCAUGAUCGCUAUGAGGAUCUCAGGCCUACUUUCAAGACUUCUGAAUUCUGCAAGGCCACUCAUGAAGCCAACCUGGCUGAUUUUGCAAAGCAGAAAGCAGAACUGGAUCAGAUGGUGGCCGGAUAUAAGGAAGCCAGGGCCACUGCGGACAAGCUGGAGAAGCCGAUGGAAGAGCUCCAAAAACAACUGGCAGAAUGCAGGGAGGUGCAGAGCAGGCUUGGGGCUGGACUGAGUUCUAAAACUAAGGCCACUUUCCUUGUGCAAAGUAUGGUUGCAGCUUCCAGGACAGCCUUGGAGAUUGCAGAGGCUUCAAUUCACCAGGGGGUGCUGCUCCAGAAAGAGCUUUCUGUCAAGAAAGCGAACCUGCAGGAGACUCUUAGAAAACUAGGAUUUUAGCUUCUUCUUUCCUUUUAUUGUUCGAAUAAUUUGCCGCAAAGGUGGCUAUUUUUAUAUAAGCUUUCAAAGCAUUUUACUGCUUUUCAUUUAUUCUUGAUGCAAUAACUGGAUACGGCUUUGAAAGUAAAAAACAGAACAACUUUAAAGCAAAAAUAAAUCUAAACAAAAUUCUUUUCAAGAAACAAAAAGGUCAAACUUGUUCCUCUUCUAUCCCGGGAUCUGUUUAUACAGCCUGCGAAUCCCACGUGGUUGGAUAGAACUUCUUUAACCAUUUACCAUUGAUUGGGGCAAAAUGAACAACUCCAUCUCGGUCCUGCAACCUGUAUGCCCCCAUUCCGAGGAUUUGGUUAAUUAUAAAAGGGCCUUCCCAUGUAGGUGACCAUUUCCCAUAUCCAGCUAUGUGUGCUCCAAGGGGCAGAAUUGCCUUCCAGACUAUCUCUCCCUCUUCAAAACUCUUGUUUUUGACUCUUUUGUUGUAGGCCCUUGAUACAGCCUGUUUUCCUGCUAAGAGUUUGUUGAGGGUGUCAAUUCUGCUUGCAUCCAAUUCUUCCAAUUCCAGCAACAUGGCUUGAGAGUAAUCCUCCCCAGUGAGACCAUGCUGGUGAGCAAUUCUAAGAGACUGGACCGCUAUCUCCAUGGGAAGAAUUGCAUCGUGGCCGUAGGUUAGAGCAUAGGGGGUCAUGCCAGUUGCUUCUCUCUUUGAAGUUCUGUAUGCCCACAAAGUUUCUGAUAACUUCUCAUGCCAUUACUUUGGAUUCUUCUCUAGCAUCUUUUUGAUGAUAUUGAUAAUCACCUUGUUACUUGAUUCCACCUGUCCAUUAGCUUGAGCAUAGUAAGGAGUAGAUUGAAGCAGUUUGAACUUGAACGUUUCUGCCAUAUCUAGCAUGUCCCUAGAUAUGAAAGAAGAACCCCUAUCGGUUGUGAUUGAUUCUGGAAUGCCAAACCUUUGUAUGAUCUGUUCUUCUAUAAAGGUGAUGAUCUCUUGAGAUGUUGUGGUUUUUACUGGCUUGGCCUCUACCCACUUGGUGAAGUAAUCUGUGGCAACGAUAAUGAAACAGUGCUGCUGGUUGCUGGCUGGAUAGAUUUUGCCAAUGAGAUCCAUUGCCCAUCCCCUGAAAGGCCAUGGUUUUACUACUGGAUUCAUGGGAACCGAAGGAGCCUGCUGGAUUGGGCCGUGCCUUUGACAGGCUUCACAUCCUUUGGAGUAGUUGAUGCAAUCCUUCAUCAUGGUUGGCCAGAAGUAGCCAUACCUUCUGAUUAACCAGCACAUCUUUCUUCCCCCUUGGUGAGCUCCACAGAUCCCCUCAUGGGUUUCUCCCAUGGCUUUCAUAUAUUCUGUCUUCCCGAGGCACCUUAAUAGUACCUCAUCCUUACUUUUUCGGACCAAAUCUUCAUUCCACAUGAGGUAGUUUGUAGCCAUGAUUCUGACUCUUUUCUUAGAGGGCAGAGUGGGAUAUCGUAAGUAAGUCAUGAUAGGCUCCCUCCAAUCAUCUUCAGUGAUCAAGGCAGAAUUGACUUCUAUCUCCAUUCCUCUCGUCAAAACAGAUGGUAGACUUUUCCUUCCUAUCUUGAUGAUCCUUUGGACGCAGUCUUCGGGCAUUUGUAUGCCUGAUGCCACCUGAGCCAGUUCAUUGGCUGCAAAGUUUUCCUCCCUUGGGAUGUUCUCCCAAGUAGCUUCUCUAAAUUCUGUUAGCAGAUUUCUAGCUGCUACUAGAUAUACAGCCAGAGAAGGAUUCAGACACUUAUAUUCUCCAGCAAUCUGUUUUAGGACAAGCAUGGAAUCUCCCAAGAUCUCCACGGACUGGACUCAUAAUUCUACCAACAUCUCGAGCCCUAUAAUCAAAGCCUCAUACUCGGCCAUGUUGUUGGUGCAUUGGAAAUCUAGCUGGAAGGAAUAGCAAUGUCUGACCCCUAAUGGUUCUUCCAGAACAAUCCCUGCUCCUGAAGCCUUGUCUGUCUUUGAUCCAUCAAAAUAUAACUUCCAAGGUGUGAGAUGAAUCGAGUAGAUUGGAUUGUUAAGGCAAACAUGAGCUCUAGUUAGCAGAUCUGCAUUUGCUAUGUCCAAAGAAUCCAUGUUUUCAAUUUCCUCUCCCGAGUGAUCUACCAAGAAGUCUGCCACAGCUUGCCCUUUGACAGCUUUCUGGGGGACAUACCUGAAGGUGAAUUCUGUCAAAGCCAAAGUCCAUUUCCCAAUUCUGCCCCUCAGCAUUGGUCUUGUUAGCAUGUAUUUGAUUAAGUCUGUUUUGGCAAUGAUGUAGAUAGUAUGUGGCAGCAUGUAGUGCCUGAGCUUUACAGCAGUGAAAUAUAAGGCCAGGCAAAGCCUUUCUAUUGCGGAAUACCUUCUUUCCACUUCUGUCAAUGUUCUGCUUAGAUAGUAGGCUGCCUGUUCUUUUCCUUCUUUGUUAUCUUGAACUAUUAGACUUCCAAUGGAUACUUCUGAUGCAGAUACAUAAAGCUUGAGGGGUCUGCCCCUUUUUGGUGGGGACAGAACUGGUGGAUUUGAGAGGUAAUGCUUUAUUUCCUGGAAAGCCUGUUGGUGCUGUUCUUCCCAUUUGAAUGUCUGUUCCUGCUUCAGUCUUAACAGGGAAGAAAAAGGUUGGAUUUUUCCUGCAGAAUUGGAUAUGAAUCUCCUUAGAAAAUUGAUUUUUCCUAAGAGACUUUGAAGUUCCUUCUUGUUCUGAGGUGGUAGAGCUUCUAUGAUGGAUGUUGCUUUAUUUCUGUCAACCUCUAUACCUCUCUGGUGGACCAAGAAUCCUAAGAAAUUCCCUGCUUGGACUCCAAAAACACAUUUUUUGGGGUUCAUUUUCAGUUUGUGCUGCCUCAUUCUUAGGAAUGCCCUUCUCAGGCUUGCUACGUGAUUUCCUUCCUCAGGGGAUUUAAUCACCACGUCAUCUAUGUAUACUUCCAAGGAAUGUCCUAUCAUAUCAUGAAAAAUAGAAUUCAUUGCCUUUGGUAGGUGGCUCCCGCAUUUCUCAAACCGAAAGGCAUUACAGUAUACUCGAAAGCACCUAUAUGUCCUGGACACAUAAAGGCUGUCUUGUGGAUGUCCUGUUCUGCCAUCAUGAUCUGGUUAUAACCUGCAUUGCCGUCCAUGAAAGAUAGCAUCUGGUUAUGAGUGGCUCCAUCCACUAGCAUGUCUGCCAUUGGCAUAGGAUAUUCGUCUUUAGGAGAUGCCUCAUUCAGAUUUCUGUACAAUAUUUGCUAACCAAUCGGAAUAGACGGCUGGCCUGAUGAAUCCUGCCUUGAGCAGCCUUUCUAUCUCUUCUUUGACCUUUAGUUCUGUGUCCAUAGACAUUCUUCUUCUGGCCUGUUUGACUGGAAGGUAGCCAUCUUUAAUUGGCAGCUUGUGCUCCACUCACUGCCUGUCCAAUCCUGGCAUUUCGUGGUAAUGCCAGGCAAAACAAUCUCUGAACUCCUGUAAAAGUGCCAUGAGUUCAGUCUUGAGUGGUUCCUUCAAAAGUGUGCUGAUGAAAGUAGGCCUUGGAUCUUCUUCUGUUCCUAAGUUUAUCUCCUGUAGAGGAUCCUCUACUUCUGGCAGGGAGUCAUCCAGUGCUGCUGGUGCAAAAUCUAAUACUUCCUCCUGUAAAAUUUCCUCCUCUUGCUCUUUUGUGCUUUCAUGGGUGAAUUCUGCCAUAUUGAUGGCUGGAUUCUGUAUGAAAAGCCUCCUUUCUCCCCAGUAUAUCAACAAUCUUUUUGUGAUGGAUCGGAUUGUUGCAGCUCGAUCCUUGUCUAGUUGAUUCGGACUAAACAUCAGAGUUCUGGAAGUUCAGCACAAAAAGGUCUAUUCCAGUCCUCUAGAGAACUGGCUAAACCUUCUUCAAUGAGUCUUUGGGCCGUGACACCAUGUGGACGGCCGUUCUGAUUGACUCCAAGGAAAGUGAAAGGACCGAGGUCAUCAUGAUAAUACCUUGUUUCAAAGCACAUGGCAGAGGGCAGGAAUGGCCGUGGAUCAGCCUCUAUAAUCUCCAUGCAGCCUUCUUCAUUCCAUAGUGCUAACUGCGGGUGGAGGGUGGAAGGAAUACAAAGGCUCUGGUGAAUCCAAUCCCUGCCAAGUAGUGCAUUGUAGGUGGUGGAAGUAGUGUCUAUAACAAAGAAUGCUAUUUUCAACUCUUUGCUUCCGAUUAUGACAUCCACAUCUAAGAUGCCAUGUAUUUUGGUGAUGCAACCAGAAGUUGGUGACGGUCAAUCGUGUUGGAAUCAGAUCUUUCUCUGUCCUGCCCAGCUUGGUCAGCAUUCUGUGGGGUAAUAGAUUAAUGGCUGCACCUCCAUUUACCAUGAUCUUGGAAAUAGGAAUACCCCCAAGAUUUGCCGUUAUAAACAAAGGUCUGAGGUGAAACAAGGUUGCUCUGUAGCUGGUUUAUUGGCUGUUCUGCCUGUCUUGGGGUUUUCUGCUUGUGGUUCUGGUGGCUCCUCUGCUUCUGCCAAUCUACAUUCAAAGCUUUCCUGAGAGAAAACAUCCCCUUCCAGAGUGCUUUCUUGUCCUUCGGCUGCCCUGAAUUUACUUGGUAGGAUGAAUACCAUGUUAAUUCCCAGAUCACCCUGUAGGAGGUCUUCUAAUUCUGCGCCAAAAGCUUCUGUUUCUGGGUCCAAUUCUACACCAAAUUCCAUUAAUUCUUCCCCGUAUUCUUCCGUCCAGUCAUCCUGUUCUGCUACUUCGAGGGGCUCUUUCUGAUCAUCUGCGGAAGGUUCAUAGUCCAAUUGCUCUUCUUCAUAUUCCUCAGUGUAGUCGUCUUCUCCUUGUAACGGGGUAGACCCAGAUUUCUCUGGUGUCUGCGUGGUGUCAGGACGGCUGCUGGACGACGAGGCCACAUGGAUAGGAGACCUGGCUGGGGGUUCUGUUUUCAGCAAUUCCCUUGACUGGCAAGCUUUCUGUUCUGUCUGGGGAAGUGUUUCAGGAUUUUUUCCUUUCCUAGCAGAACUGGGUUGUGAACGUACCUGCGUAUUAUCUUGGCUCUUAAGAUAUGUGCAGUAUUGCCUCUGGAUUCUCCUUUUCUGGGUUCUGGUUAGCUCCAGAGUCGGUCUACCGCUUCUUCCUACGGAAUACCAUCUCCCUUCUAUGAUCGUUGCCAAGGAUCUUUCGUUUCUGGGCAUCUUGACUGGUAUUUCCUUUCUGGGUUGCUCCAUCCUCCUCUCGCUGUAUUGUGUAGGCCUAAGACAGCUCUUCUGCCUUGUUUUGUCUCGGGAUGAGGUUCCAAUUCUGUCAAAGACACUAGGUGUGGGCUGAUUUUGUCUGUCUAGAACCACCUCUAGCUCUGUUUCACAUUUGCACCUACUGCAGAGCACUACCCCAGCCGAGAUGGUCGCUCUUGGUAUUUGACUGGUCUCCCUUAUGAUUCUUCUGCCUCUGCUGCAACCAGCAUCUGUGAUUGGCUCGGUUUUCCUCUGUUCUGGCCAAUUUAAGUUGACCAUAUUGACUUGUGGUUGAGGAAAAGGAUCCGUUGUGACGGAUGGUGGUUUUUCUGCCAGUUUCAACCUUCCUGCCGUUAUCCCUUCUUGUAUUACGUCCCUGAAAACAACACAACUAUUGGUAGAAUGGUUCCAAGAGUUGUGCCACCUGCAGUACUGUCUGCCCUUGAGUUCUUCCGGCUUCGGUAUUCUGUGAGGCGUCUCUAUUGCCUUCUACAGUAGCAUUUCGUGGAACAAGGCAUCAACCUUGGUUAAGUCAAAAGAGUAAACCUUGUUUUACGUUGGUUUGUUUGGAACGAAUCCUCCUGUGAAUGGUGGUGGCUUUUGGUCUUUAGGUGGCUUUGUGAGGGCUUUGCAACUAAUGGGAUGUUUUAGUUUUGCCAUUUCUGCCACUGAAACCUCUUUCUCUUCUGAUUCUUCUGCAUCUUCUUGUGAUUCCACCUCGAUCAGGUGGACUGAAGAAGAAGGGGUUUUAUAGUAUGUACCUUUGGAGGAGUUCCUCCUUUGCUGUUCCUCCCUGAGUAACUCCUCAUAUUUGGAUGCCUUAUCAGCCAGUUCUGCCAGAUCUCCGAACAAUAUCCCGUCGAACCUUUUCCUGAGAGAGAUUUUAAGGGCAACUUGGGCCAUCUGGAUGAAGUGUCUUUCUUCCAUCGGGAUUCGGCACUUCAUUUUGAGCUUUCUGAACCUGGUUAUGAAAUCUUGGGCCGGUUCAUCUUCACUUUGCUUGAGGGCAGCUAGAUCACUGAUGGUGACUUCUGGCUGAAUCCUGUAAUAGUAGUCAUGGAAGACAUUUUCCAUCUGUUCCCAGGUUUGAACAGAGUUAGCUGGCAGGCUGGUGUACCAGGUAAAAGCUUGCCCAAAAAGAGAGUUGCCGAAAAGCCUUAAUUUCAGCAGAGGGUUGCUUUCUAUAGCUAUGCAUUGGACGGAGAACCUGCCUAUAUGUUCAACUGAGGAAGAAUGGGGGUCUUCCCCAUUGAACAAAGUGAAGUUUGGCACUUUGAAACCUGGAGACAACAGUAUUUGAUCGAUAUAGGCUGGGUAUGGCUUUCUGUAAGUAGGCCUUUCCCCUAUUCUAGCCUCGGGUUCCAUGAUUUCUCUGAUCAUUCUUUGCAACGCUCCUAUGUCAUUCAAAGCAUUGACUGGGGGAAGAUUUUGUCCCUGUUCUGGCUGAACGUAAUCAAACCUGGGCUCUGCUCUGUGUGGUCUGGGUGGAACUUCCUCCCUGUGUUCUUCCUGCUCUUCGACUUCUGGAUGAUUCCUCCAGUUUGCCCCCGGUCUAUUCCUGUCAUGAUUAGCAAAAAGGUUGUUCCCUCCUCGGCCUCUCCUCCUUCUUGCAAGUGGAGGGAAUGGAUUAGGGUCCAUCCUUCUGGGUCUAUAUGGCAAUACUGCCGGUGGUUCAGGCAGAAGCGCCAAAGGUUGAUCAUGUGGGAGCACAUGAAGUGGAAUGGGCUGAGGUUCUGGCUGGUUCUGAGCCAGUGCCAGGUUAUCUGGUUGAGCUGGGGCUUCAUGUUUUUGAUUAGGAAGGGCUCCUUCCCUCGGACCAGCCUGAAUUUCUCCGUGGUCUGGCACUCCAGCCAUCUGUGCAACUAGGAAAUUUUCCUGGUAUGGCCAUAUUAGUCCUGGCGGAGGGCCAUAAGGGAGAUCCAACUGCUGGAUUACAGGAUCUGGGUUUGGGUUUCUGGCCAUGGCGGAUUCUCGGUCCUUCCGGAACUGUCUGUUUACCUGCCAUUACAUCAUGGCUGUCAUGUUAUUGAGAGUGUCCUGGCUCCUUCGUACUGUGAUCUCUUGUCGGAGUACUGACUCCUGUAUUUGAUUCAUCCUUUUGGAGCCAGUCCUGGAACGUCUACUUCCUGUACUGCCGUGGGCAGAUUGCCUAGCAUCGCUUUUUUCUGAUUCGAGGCCUUCCCUGAGAACCAUCUUGUUUUUCUCCAUAUCUGGUGUGGGUUCUGACUAGAUCUUCCGGUAUUUGUGAAUCUGUGAAUGAUUCUGUCAGAGUAUAUAUACUGAGAAGUCCCACUGGGUGUGCCAAAUUAUUCACCCGUUUUCGUGUUUUACUCCUGAGGUGGAAGGGCGAAGUUCCCCACUAGCUUGGAGACCACUUGUUGGUCGACAAGUCAGCUUUCUUUGGUGUGUGUGAGCGUGCCACUGCUAGCAAUGUAAAUUCUAGCAGACUUAUUUUUUAGAGUGGAUAACUUGCGCCUCAAGUUACUGACUUCUAAAACAAAUGAUUGUGAAUUUGGGUGAGGAAUAUCUCCCAAGUAAGUUCUUUUCUUGCCUCAGACUGGUGAGGACUUUCACAAUUUAUCUCAGUAUCAAAUGGUUGUUCUGGCCAGAAUAGAUAAUAAUAAAGUAGACUGUUUCAGGCAGAACUGCCUUUUACAAAAUUAAGAAGGGAGAAAUCAACUCUAGAAAGGCAAAAAGAUGGCUGGAAUCCCAUUUCUGCCUGGGUAGAAACUUCUGAUCCGGGCUGGACUGGGUAUGUCUAUGCUGGACGGUGCUGUCAACAACUUUAGCUUGCUCGGCUUUAGUUGUAAAUCGAUACCAAAGUUCAAUUUUGGCAGAGCUUCAAUCUACUUCAAGCCUUGGGAGACUUUUGAGUGGGCAGAACUGCAGCUUCUUCAGUUUGAAGGGACAGAAGUGGCUAUUCUCGAGGAUUUAGCAAGCUGGAACUAUGCUAUAAAAUUUGUUGAGGUUUUCAUAUUUGUGAAAACUCAAACUAUGUUUGUCUUGGCUUUUGCUGAACCAAAUUUGUAACGAGAGGGAUCUUGUUUUCAGAAGACUUAUUUUCUAAGUCUGAACUUUGGAAUUCUGAUCUAAAGCUGUUUUCUUGUUUGUUUUUUUUUUAUUGACUGAUGAAUUGAGUGUCCUUUGUUUCUUUGCCUUCUUUCGCUUUUAUAAGAGAUCCUCCUAAGGAGGUCAUUUUUAAUCCUAAACAAUGGGCGGCAAAAAGAUCUCUUAUAAUGUAAAGUAAGAAGGGUUUCUUAUCAAUCAAGGCAGAUAGGUUCUGAGCAGUCACCUCCUAAAAACAGUCCCUUCCCUGGUUUCCUGGGUGGCAGCUUUCUAAUUCAACCAACGCCACCGUCUGUGUGGGCUUUUUAUGGCGGUUUUGGCUCUUUUCUUUUGUAUUUUCUGAGUGGUUCCCUGUUUCCCGUUCUAAUUUAGAAAGCGUGAUCCGUGAAUUCCUUGGGAGAUGGUGUAUUGAUUUGGAGCAAAAUCUUGAACACAGAUGGGUUUUUGAUCUUCAAUUGGCAGUGUUUCAGAGACGUCCCUCUCACAUUUUUAAACUUUAGUUGGAAUUGCUGACUUUUCCAAAGUUGAGGCAAUCACGUGGGUGUGUCUUUGAUCCCUUGGUUUUGAAUCUUUCAAAAAUUACGGGCUGAUCUUUGAAGCCCAUUUCGAAAGUUUCCACAUCUGGGCUUUCUUUGGGCUGAGGCUUUAUUUCCAACAUUCUUGGUGUGAACUGGACUAAACAGUUAGUCGGACCAGACCGUCUACACAUAUGAACUGGACUCACAAGCCUAUGUUUUUUGAGCUCCCAUAUUGGUCGAAACUCAAAUUGAGGCACAAUCUAGAUGUGAUGCAUGUUGAGAAAAAUGUAUUUAACACAUUGGUGGGCACGAUUCUAGAUAUCGAGGGCAAGACAAAGGACACAAUCAAAGCCCGUCUUGAUUUGGAAAGAAUGGGCAUACAAAGGGGUUUAUGGAUGAACAGGGACAGUGAUAAAGCUAGAAGGGAUCUUGCAUUCUUUUCUAUGAAACCGAAUGAUAAAAAAGAGUUUCUAAAGUUUGUAUCGUCUGUAAAGUUUCCUGAUGGGUAUGCUUCUAAUAUCGCACAUUGCGUGAAUGUUGACGAGGGUAAAUUUACUGGACUGAAGAGCCAUGACUGCCAUGUGUUUAUGCAACGCCUACUUCCUGUGGGUAUUCGACAUCUAUUGCCGGAAGAUGUUGUGAAGCCAAUCAUGUUGUUGUCCAGAUUUUUUUCCCAACUGACGGCAAAAACAUUGCGAAAGACAGACAUAUUUCAGUUGCGCCAUGACAUUGUCCAAGUCCUAUGCAAGUUUGAGAUGAUAUUUCCUCCAGCUUUCUUCACAAGUAUGAUGCACGUGAUGGUUCACUUGCCAGAAGAGGCAUUGCUUGCUAGUCCUGUCAACUAUCGCUGGAUGUAUCCAAUAGAAAGGUAUAUAAUCUUUAUCGUUUGUGUAUGCAUCAUUAUCACAGACUUGCUAAUUUGUAUCAUAUCGUUUUAUUUUGACAGGCUUCUCGGAGAGCUGAAAAAAAGUGUACGCAACAGGGCGAAGCCCGAAGGAUCAAUUAUAGAGGCUUGGGUUCAAUAUGAGUCGCUUACUUUCUGUGGAAUGUAUUUAAAAGAUGUGGAGACGGCUUUCAAUCGUCCUCAACGCAAUAACGACGAAGGUAUGAGAAAGGAAAAACUUUCUGUUUUUGCCCAAAGUGCACGACCCUUUGGAGAUCCUGGACGAGGAGAGUCGUUUUCUAGAAAUGACAUGGAGGUAGCGCAUUGGUUCGUACUGAACAAUUGUGAUGAGAUAAUGGCAUACUUAGAUAAGCAUGAAGAGAUGAUGAAGCGAGAACAUCCAUCACAUUUAGUUGCCCAGAAACACCGUGAAUUGUUUCCACAAUGGUUUUUGGAUUCUGUAAGUUAUAAGUGUUUUGUAUUUGACAAAUAUAAAUUGUAGUAUUUAAUUUUGUCAGACUAACAUGUGAAUGGUUUUGUAUUAUAUUAGGUGAAUAAGUUGAAAUCAUCGAAUUCCCCCACUUACAGUGAUGAGUUAUAUAACUUGGCGUUCGGCCCAAUUCGCGCUGAAUUGUUUCGGGUUGUUAUAUUAAUGGCGUCAAAUUUUUGGGAGCCGCACGAGAUGACAAGUUGUGUAUGCAAAACAGCGGUGUCCAUGUCCCAGGUGGAGGCGAAAGUACGAACAUUGAUUUCUAUGGCAAACUCACAACUGUCAUUCAAUUGCUUUACAAAGAUCGAUACUAAGUGAUCAUGUUUAAGUGUCGAUGGUUUGAUAGCAACCCAAAUAGGCCGGGAAGUGUUAAAAUCAACCAUGGCUUACUAUCUGUGAACAUUAACAGAACUUGGUAUGAUGACGACCCUUACAUUUUGGCAAACAUGGCAACACAAAUUGUGUAUCUAGAUGACCCUAAAGCCGGGAGCAGUUGGAAAGUUGUUCAGAAGAUGGAUCAUAGGAACUUGUAUGCUAUACCAGAACUAGACCCAACUGACAAUGACGUCAACAAUGUGGCUGACCAACGUUUAGAAUCUUCAAUGGAAAAUGAUGCGGAAACACUUCGAGAUACACAUGUUAUACAAGAACCGUUUCAAAUACAAGGAGUGUCUUCAAUCGAAAUACCGAUUCAGUCAAUUACAAUUGACCUCGGGGAUCUUCCAAGAUUCGAUGUUGCAGUGAGCCCGAGCAACGAAGAUGAUGUAGUUAUAGAGGAGGAGGAGGAGGAUUGGGAGACUGAAAGUGAUGAUAGCGAAGAUAACGAAAGUUAUUAUAGUUCAGAUGAUGAAUAAUUAAAUUUUUUAUAUUUUUAUUAUGCUAGUGUACAGACUUUGUGUAAAACAAAAGUUUGAAUAUAUGUAGUUGUGAUAUCCAAACCUUAUAUAUGUGGACAACUGAAACAUUAUUAAAAUAAAUUUAGUUAUAAAACAUCGGUAAAUCAAUAUAUCCAAACCCUUUUAAUAUUCAUUUAAAAUUUUUUUUUUUGACAAAAACGUUUACAAAAUGAAAAUGAUAAAAUAUUUGUUAUAAAACAUUGAUAAAUAAAUAUAUCCAAACCAUUUUCAUACAAAGUUUGAAAAUUAUUGACAACAAACAUUUUUCAAAAAUGAAAAUCCUUGCGCGACGAAGUACACCUCGUCACGCAAAGUUUGCGCGACCCAGUAAACAGUCGUUGUGUAAAGUUAAAACAUUGCGAGACAAAUUAUCAUCCGUCACGCGAUAGAAUUUUGCGCGACGAAUAUUUACUCUCGUCGCGCAAAUGUAUAUUCUUUUAUAAUAUAUUUUAUAUACACAUAUAUAUUCGAAAUUGACGAUCGAGUUAGUUCAUUGUAUUCAUAUAGGGUCAUGGAGUGUAGCUGUAAAAAAUCAUCAAAAUCGGAGUUAAAAUAACUGUUAAAUCAUGACUUUUCAUUUAUAACCGUUCAAAAAUUUUGUCCCGAUACUUGAUCUCUGAAUGUUUUUUUUUUCCGAUUUUUGGGGCCUAAGAUCUCGAAGUAUAAACAAACACGUUUGACGGCUGGAUUAUUGAAACUACUUUCGUAGAAUGCGUAUGCCAUCAAAACUAUAUAUUCACCAACAAUGAAUAGUUUACUUAUACUUUCAUUAAAUAUAACAUAAGAUUAUGUGGUAUCACCCUAGUGUAAACAUCUUAAAUUGAAGAUCAAAUUCAGUAAUUGUAUUCAUAUAGGGUCAAGAAAAGUAGCUAUAAAAAAUCAUCAAAAUCGGAGUUAAAAUAACCGUUAAAUCAUGACUUUUCAUUUAGAUUCGUCGAAAAGUUUUGUACUGUUACUUGAUCUCUUAACGUUUUUUUUGUCAGAUUUUCGGCGUAUACGAUCUCGAAAUAUAAAAAAACAAGUUUGCCGGUUAGAUCAUUAAAACUAGUUUCGGGUUUAGGAUUUCUGCAGUUUAGGGUUUAGGGUUUGCGCGACGAAGCCAUUUCGUUGGUCGCACAAAGCCUGCAAAGAACAGUCUUGCGCUACGAAACUAGGAUUCUUUGUCACGCAAUCUCAACCAGCCCUUUCACCCUCUUCCUCCUUGGACACUUAGCCAAAAAAAGUUGCGAGUUUACAGAAAGCGGCUUUGCGCGACGCUGCCGGUAUUCGUCGCGCAAUAUGUAUGCCAAUAAAACCUAAAUCCCAAAUUUUGGCGAAUUACAACUUUGCGCGACGAAUAUGGGAAGCUUCGCGCAAAGUUUUCAAUCUUUCCCGCUAAACCCUAAGUCCCAAAAUUUUGGCGGAUUGACAACAUUGCGCCACGAAAGAAGGUACUGUGCGUCGCACAAAGUUUUCAAUCUCUCCCGCUAAACCCUAAGUCCCAAAAUUUUGGCGGAUUGACAAUAUUGCGCGACGAAAGAAGGUACUGUGCAUCGCGCAAAGUUUUCAAUCUCUCCCACUAAACCCUAAGUCCCAAAAUUUUGGCGGAUUGACAACAUUGCUCGACGAAAUAUGGUACUGUGCGUCGCGCAAAGUUUUCAAUCUCUACCCAAUAUUUUGCCGGAUUGACAACAUUGUGCGACGAAAGACGAUACUGUGUGUCGCGCAAAAACUACCCUGAUACCAAAUUUUGGGAUUAACAAUAUUGCACGACAGAAGUUAUACUUAUGUCGUCGCGCAAGUGUCAAUUAAAAUAUUUUGCGUGACGCUUUUGUUUGUUCGUUGCGCAAAAUCGAAUAAAAUUGCAGAAACGACGCGAUAGCCUCCUUCUUCCCCAGAUUUGUUUUUCUACCCUAACUCUCUCUCUCUCUCUCCGCCUUCAGCUCAGCCCCCUACCCCAGUGGAUUUUGGACGACGGCGCCACAACAGUGGUACCCCGGAGGUUUCCCGCCGUCACCGUCGAGCCAGCCGCCCUAAUUCCUCGAUUUUCACCGAAUCUGCGCCGCCGUCGUUCUCUCUCCUUCGGCGACCAAAUCCGACACCUGAGGUAUGGUUUCUGUCCUAUUUUUGAUGCUUUAACUGAUGGUUGGGUAGGAUUUGUGUAAUUGUUGCAAUAGGGCAGUGGAUUUGAAACCCUAAAUUUCGACCGAUUUUUGAAUUCCAAUUCCGGCCACUUCUGGCCAUUUUUCAGGGUAGGUCCGAGAACAAAAGUGGCUCCAAUUGAUGUUUUGAACCUAGGGUAGGAACCUUGGCCCUUAGUUUUAAGAAAUUUUCGACGAUUGGUAUCGCUUUGGACACCCACGCUCUGCCAGCGCUUGUGGUGGCGCGUGGGGUACUGUAGCAGUCUUGCAUUGGGUCCCAGUGCAAUCCCAUAUUUGUCACGAGCGCGUAGGUGUUUUCGGAUUGGAAUUUGGUUACCGUUUGAGUCUCGAACGGAUUUUGCCUAUUGUGCGAUUUCCGGGUUUGUUAUGUUCGGACCGUUGGAUCGAACUCAAACUCACGUAUGGUGUACCUUGUAUUUCUUGGAUCGUCUAGGAUUCGACGGAUCGUGGAUCGGAGUCCCGAAUACUCCGAACUCGCAAACCCUAGGUCAAGAAUCUUAAUAAAAUUGUAUGUGCUUUCAAAUAUUCGUAUGUUUUAUUAAUUUGUAUGUGUAUUAAUGAAAUUGUGUAGAUGUCAGACCUGAUUAGACGUCGUAGGGCGGUGACGACUACGCAGAGUUCUGAGCCCCCGGCUCAACUGACAUCUGCUGCCACUGCGCCAGCACUGAUGGACCACUUGGCAGUUGGUCCCGCGGGGUCCCAGGCUCCUGCUUCAUCAGCUUCAUUAGUGGCACAACCUGUUAGCGCCAGGAAGCGUCAUCGGCCUGCCAGCACCACCGACACCACAUCCACUGAUGCGUCGGGGUCACAGCCAGGUAUAGAUUUCCUUAAACUCCAGUUAUUUAUAUUUUUGUUUUUGUUUUUAUUUUUGUUUUUGUUUUUGUUUUUGUUUUUAUUUGUGUGUGUAUUUUAUAGUUAAAUUUGUUAUUUAUUUAACAUUAAUGUCAUCUUUCUUUGCAGCCAAGAAGAACACCCGAGGGCCGUGUCGGUAGUUGAAGACGGCGAAGGUCACUCGGGUGACCAACAGUCGUAUCAACAUCGGAUACGACAAGCGACAUCGGGCUGCACCGACGGCGGAGUUGCAUAGCUCCUUGGCCCACGACAUUGGUGAUGUCAUUCCGAGCCAUUGCCCGAUGAAAUGGAAGUCUUGGAAGGUGAUGCCUGACGAGACCAAGAUGGAGGUUCGCGGCCAGUUGUCAGUAUGUAGGCCUUUUAAUUCUUUUUCUUUCAAAUUUUAUAUUUCUAUUAUUUAAAUGUAUUUAAUUAAUUUAUUGCAGACGAACUACAACUUGGAGGACCUGGACGACGAGUCGUUGGCGUACAUCAACAGACUCUUCUCUGAGAGGUACAAAUAGUGGAAGAGCGACUUGCACCACUAUUUUGAGGCGUUUGAUGAUCCAGAAGUCUCUCUUCAGGAGGGUUGCCCGAAGGAGCUUGAGGGGCGGGAGGAUAGUUGGGCGUGGCUCUGCUCUCAUUUUCAGGCGCCCGCUUUUGUGGUAAUUUGUAAUAUGAAUUUCAAAUUUAUUAUAUUUUUCUUACUAAUGUUUUUUUAAUGUUUUAUAUUUAAUUUCAAUUUCAACUAAUACGUUUUAUUUUUUGUAUAACAGAAUAAAGCCAAAGUCAAUAAGGGCAAUAGGAAGAAGAAGACUCUUCUCCAUCAUUCGGGUUCCAGGCCCUUCUCCUAUAGGAUGGAUGCAUGGCGGCAGGUAAUCAUAAAAAAAAUUUUAUUUAAUUUUUAAUAUUUAAUUAUUCUUAAUUUAUUUUUUUGUACUAAUAUUUUUCUUCUCUUGUUCAAUUUAGGGGGGUCCAAAUUCCCAGAGAUCGACGUCUUUGGCGACGUUUAUGUUCGACCUGGGAAUGAGUUGGGCGAGUCCCUUCAUGUAAGUAUUAUUUAAUUUUAAUUAUUAUGUUACGCAUUCAAGUUUAAAGGUUAUUAUAUGAAUGUUUUAAUUUAUAUUUUAUGUUAUGCUAAACAGAUGACGAUGGUGGAGAGGAGCCAGUUGGUUCUUCAAGAGUCCGCCUCCCAACUUCCUUCCGAUACUCCGAUCGAGUCUGUGGAUCCUCCACAGGAUGCUGGGUUUCAGAUCUUGACGGAGACAUUGGAUCAGACUCUAGGGAGGAGACCGGGGAUAUAUUGUCGAGGGAUGGAGAAUGCCAGGCGGAGGGAAGCCAGACCCCGUUCAUUAGCGCAGUCAAGCAGUCAGGUCACUGCUUUGACAGCACAGGUGGCCACUCUUCAGAGUCAGAUGUCGGACAUUCUGCAGUCCCUCGCACAGUUCGGCAUUCCAGUCCCGCAUUUUGAUGCGCCGACCUCUGAGCCCGUCCAUCCUGAGCAUCCCCACCAGACGACGGCCCUUGUAGACCCCCAGACCUCUGAACCGCAUGUGCCAGACGACAAUGUAGAUUUUGGAACAUUAUGAUUAGUUUUUUUAUUUUCAUAAUUAUUUUUUAAAUAUUUCUCUUGCAGCAUACAUUUAUUUUAUAUAAUAAAUAUGUUCUUUACAAUUCUUUUUUUUAUUGGAAUUUCAUUUUAUUACCCAAAAAAAAAAAACCAAAUUUAUUUUUUUAUAAAAUAAAAUAAAAAGUAAUAUUAAAAUUAAAUAAUAAUUAUAUAUAUUAAUUUUGCGCGACGAAAUCUUUCUCGUCGCGCAAAUUUAUAUAUUACGAAAUAAAAAUGUUUCAUUUUUUUAAAUACAUAUAAUUUAUUCUUGCGCGACGAAUAUUUUCGUCUCUCAAAAAGGAUUUGCGCGACAACAGUUUUUCGUCGCGCAAAAUGUGUUGACACGAAUUGCACGACGAAGAUAUCUUUGUGCCGCAAAUAUCUACGACACGUAUUGCGCGAUGAAAAUGUUCGUCGCGCAAAAAACGUAUGCGCGACAACAAUGUUUCGUCGCGCAAUACGUGUAGACAUGAAUUGCGCGACGAAGAACUCUUGGUGCCGCAAAUGUGUACGAGACGUAUUGUGCGACGAAUAUUAUUCGCCGCGCAUCGUUGUGGCGACGAACCCGCUUUCGUCGCGCAUAAGUUUGUGCGACGAACUAUUGCAUCGUCUCUGAACCUUUUGUGCAACGAAGGGUAACCGUCGCACAAAUUUGCGCGACGAGUGAUACAAUCAGUCGCGCAAAGUCUUUCUUCACCAUCUUUGCACCACAGAUUACGCGCGACGAAUUUUCUGUCGUGCUUGAGUUUGUGCGACCAAAUUUAACUCUGCGCGACGAAAUUGGCUUCGUCGCGCAAAUCGUAAAAUGUAGUAGUGGAAGUUAUCAACAUCUAUAGGAACCCCAAUGAAAAGGCUGUUAACUAAUAAUGAAGUAAACCCCUCAAUGUUUCCGCGUAUCAGAUAUCUCUCAGAAUAUGCGAUUCCAUACUCAAUAAGCAACUCCACAUCCCCUGAGGUUUUCACCAAACCACCCAUUAAGGAAACAUACUGACUCAUGUGUAAUUAUCAUUACUCAUCGGGUAAUGCAAUUGUUCAAAGGCAAGGACAUUUCUCAUUAUUUCUGUAGUGAACCCCAAUGGAAAUGGUGGGAUCUUCAGAACCCCAUUGGUGCUACUGAAUUGUAUGUCAAAUAUGUUUUCACCUUGUCGCGCCUCAAACUUGACUCCAGCGUGCUGUAAUUCUGUCAAGCUGGGUAUGGAUGAUGGGAGUUCCCCUCCAGCUUUUGAUUCCAACGGUUGAUAGAGUUUAAAUAUUUUCCUGUAAAGAUCAACAAUAUGUGCCACUGAUCUAAAAGUCUCCAAAUUGUCUUCCAUUUUGUCAACAGGCAAUAGAUGUUCGAAGAAACUGAAAGAAAGACUAAUUAUUGAAAGCCCCUCAGUAAUGCAGUUAUUGUCAGCAUCAGCAGGGAGUGUAAUUUUCUGUGGGUCGAAAAGAUCCUCGAGAAUGAAGAAUGGCAACUGAUUUUCAAGCAACCACAUAUCUGUCCAUACAUCUUGCAACAUACCUGGUUUGUCAAAUAUGCGGUCAUUUUCAUCCCAAAAUUUGAAGUAGUCCUUCAAUAAGAGCUCAAUAACGAAGGCGGCAUCCACUAGAAUGAUUGUUACAAAUUCAUCACUGCUAAACUUGAUGGGUUCUCCAUAACAACGUCUCAAUCUUGCUUCGUGGUCCUUUAUUUUCUUAAUAUAAUCCUCCAAACUCACAUUGGUCCGACCUAUAAAAUCUUGCAGGUAUCUCUGUUUGUGCUCUUCCUAUACGACAUUCAAGCCUUCCUUUCCAUGGUGAAGUGGGCCUAUAGAGACCACCUGAGGUGUGCAGAGCUUUUCAUUCACACUUCGUAGUCGUUGAGGAACUCUGUAGAUACAGCACUUGGAGGAUGGGGGAGACAAGCUAUUGAACCCUUUUCUCAUCGAAUUUGCUAAUGAAAUGUAUGGGUUUUCUAUGUCAUUUUGAGCAGAUUGAUGGCUUCCUGCCAUUUUCCAGCUCCUGACUAUAUGUGGUGUUCCGAUUGUAACAGAUUACAAUAAUGAUGAGUAUGGAUAACUGAAUUACUGAUAAAACAAUCAAGAAACAUUUCGUUAUUUUCCAUUCCCAAUAACGAAAUCAAAAUGUUCAAGGAAAUAUAAUCAGGAUAUUGCAAUUAUAUAGCCAUUCAUAAGCUGCCUGGCAUGGAAUAAGAGGUGGAAACCAAAUCUACUUAUUGGCCAAAGUUCGAAUUCACUAUAUAUAGAUAUAUAUUUUGCCAAAAUCUAAAACUGACCAACCUUAGAUACAAAAACACGGUACAGCCCGGUUAAAGUAAUUCCAAGUGCGAAGAAAGAAAGGAAUUGAGCGUUUGUACCUCUACAGCUAGCCAAAUUUUCUAUUGAUUCUUUAAAUUUUAGAGAGCAAUUACUCUUAAUUUGGUAGGUGUAGGACUGUGCAACUUCAAGCUUUAAUGAAAGAAGCCAAGUUUAUUCUAAGGGGACAAGUCAGAGACAACGAAAUUUUGCUCAGCUUCAUUUUCAAAUUUGCUGCUUAAGAAGGAAAUUUAAUAUGUUUGUUUCACAAAUUGUAUUGUCAUCAAUGAAACUCGUGCACACCCAACGAAAUUUGCAUGGCUUAUUUUCAAAGGAGUACUGCUAUUUCCAUCCUCUGUCCUAUUUUUCCACUCACCUUAUCUUCAAAAUUUUAAAGACAAAAAUAAACCCCUUUGUAAAAUGCUUAAAAAGAAAUUUAAUAUGUUUGUUUCAAAAAUUGAUAUUGUCAUCAAUGGUUAAAGAAUUGCUGGUGACAACAUAUACUUCUUUUCUACUGUAUUAAUUUCUUUCUUUAUUUUUUCUUCAGUAUAGUUCUGCCUUUCUUUUACAUGUUUAUGCGCAUAUUUGACACGUUCAAGUAUACUUAUAUAACAAAUGCAAUGAGUUUGUAGUCACAAAAAUCAAGGAUUGAAAACAAAAAGUAAUAUUAUGUGCAAGAGAAACUUACCUGCAGAAACUGAAGAACUCCUCUAGUUUCUUCUCUGUCGCUAUGUACUCCCGCGUUCAAGUUAUUAUUCUUACAAUGUACAUACACUAUUAUAUAAUGGCGAGAAGGCUCUGAUUAACCUCCUUUUUGCUUCAUUGGAUGGGGCAAGAAUGGAAUUGUCACCGUGGGUGUGGAGGUGAUCUACCAUUUGAGCAAGAAAUUCCCACAUAUUCUUUAACUAUUUUUCAAGCAUGCAUAUUCCUCCCUAUCAAUCUUUGGUCUCUUCUUUUACUAUUUUUCAAGCAUGCAUACUUUGAUUUUAAAUCAUCUUUUCCGCACUAAUUUGCUUCAAUCAAGAAACAGUUAAUAUAUUUUGUAUCAUCAUUAGAGAACACUUGAAACUGCAUAAGUUAAUUUUGAAGAUGAUGGCAGAACCAAAAUGUGUAUAGCUUAUAACUAUAAUUUCUUGAUUACAACAAGAGGUUUCAAGUUUUCAACAACACAAAUAUGAAUCUCCCAAGCAAAGAUAAACAAUAAAGCAAGCAUACGGAUUGUCAAAUUGCCUUCAAUCACUCUAAAAUACUUCAUACCGUCCGACACUGGCUUCAAUUACUCUACAAUACUUCAAUUCAUAUAUUGUCCUAUUUUCACAUGUACAUCCUGCUUUUACUUAAGGGUUAAUUGUUGAUUUACCCCUUGAACUUGUACUCUACUUUCAAUUUGCACCCUCAACUUUUUUUUUUGAAAAUUAGGUGCAUGAACUAAUUUUUAUUGCCAAUUCCCCCUACCAACAUGUCAUCUAAUAGUCUGUCAAAUCAUUAAAAAAUAUAAUAUUUUUGGAAAAAAUUAAAGAAAAAAAAAUUCCUAAGGACCCACAGACCCAGAACCCACCCUCCGUUGCCCCCGCUUGCUGUUUUCUUCUCCUCCCAGUCCCCCAUGACCACCACCCUCCACUGCCACACCAAUCCCCUACCCAACAGACCCCUCACCCCUUCUUUUUUUUCACCCCCGAACCCAGCAUGAGUUAUUGGUUAAUACCAUUUUCUUAAUUGCCAAAUAAAAAAAAAAAACAGAGUUAACCCUCUGUUAAGCUAGCUGACUAGUGGGGCGAAAUGGAGGAAAAUCAAUAUGGAGACAGCGGAUCCGGUCCCGUGUAAGUGUAUCUGAUGGAAUAAAAGAAUGAUAUUAUUGGUGGUGGGUACGGUUAUGUGGAAGUAAUAAUGGGUAAGAGAAGAAACUUGUUCUCUUGUGAUAAUCAAAAGACAGAAAGUAGUGGGAAAAGACAGAAAGUAGUGGGACACUAUUUUAGAUAUGAUAAUGUUCCUUCCUUGAUUGAUGCAAAUGAAGAGAAAAGGGUGGCUUUAUAUAAUAGCCACUACCGACCUAACACAUUAAAAACACAACUAACACCAAACAUAGUUAAUUCAACUAACUUCUACCACACCAUUAAUUUAACACACAACUACUAACAAACUGCCAACUAUUUCAAAGUUACCAGCCGACUAUUAAUGAAGUCUAGAUUACUUUAACAUCCUCCCUUAAGCUAGACUUCAUUUACGCCAAUUAAUUUUCUCAUCUUGAUGAGCGGCUCUUUCUUCAACGGUUUGGUGAACAAAUCUGCCAGCUGAUCUUGGGACUUGCAAUACAGAACCUCAACUUCUUUAUCUUUGAUUAGCUCUCUGAUGAAAUGGAACUUGAUCUUGAUGUAACACCCCGACCCCAAAUUUUCCCAAAUUUUACCCUUAUUUAAUUAUUUAAUUAUUUAAGGGUAUUUUAGUCAUAUUUUUAACCGGAGAGAGUUUGGGACCGUGACUAGUAUUUUUGGAUAGGUCGAGCUGAGACGAGUUCAUAGACACGUAGUGGGCUCGAAUCGGAGUUGUAACGAGAGAGAUAUGGUCAAAAGAAGCCCAGUGGCACAAUCGUAAAUAUUUCGAAAUGGGAUUUUUUAUAAAAACUCAAAUUUUUCUCUCUCUCUCUCUCUCUCUCUCUCUCUCUCUCUCUCUCUCUCGCGACUCCUCUCUCUCUCUCCCGUCGGCCUCUCCUCUCUCUCUCUUCGUAACUCCGGCCACCGGCCGCGGCUGCGGACGGGGCCGGUGUCAAAAGAACCGGCUCGACCUCGGCAUCACGACCCAGCCCAUCCCCGCCAUCGGCCGCCGCUCCAGCCGCCGGAAAAUGGCGAUUUUCGCCCAGAUGUCGCCGGAACUUCAACGCCGUCGAUCUCCCUCCUCCGGCCACCAAUUCCGUCGACCCAGGUAUGGAUUUUGAACCUCUCGAGCUGCUCUAGCUGAUGGUUGGGUAGGAUUAGAUCGAUUCUUAGCGUAGAUCACUCGAUUUUCGAAUUGAAAAUCGGCCGAAACUUCGGCCGCCGUGAUCGGCCAUUUCCGGCCACUUUUUGGGGUAGGUCCAAGAACAAAAGUGGCUCCAAAUAGGGUGUUAUACCUAGGGUAGGAGUUUGGAGCCGUGGUUUUGAGAUUUUCCGGCGGAGCGUUAUCGCUUUGGGCACCCACGCGCUGCUGGCGCGUGCGGCGGAGCGUGGGCACUGUAUAAAAAGUAGCGAUGUAUUCCGAUGAGAUCCUUAGGUUGUCACGAGUGCGUAGGAUUUUGCGGAUCUCAAUUCGGACGUCGUUUGACUAUCGAACGAAUAAUCGCAUAGUGUGCGUUAUCCGGGUUCGAUAGGUUGGGACCGUUGGAUGGUCCCAAAUUUAAUAUAUGUUAAUCUAGGUAUUUCUAGGAUCGUGUAGGAAUUCACGGAUCGUGAAUCGGAACUCCGGAUGUUCCGAAUAAUAAUUUUAAGUUUAUAUUUUAUAUUAACCAUCAGAUCGUGCGAUCGUGAGCAAUCCGACCGUCCGAUCUGAACCAAACUUGCAGGACAAGUGUCCUACACCUGGUAGAACCCAUAGGGACUUCCGGAUCGGAAAUUGGAGGUCGUGGGUUCUGCAGGUCCGUUUGACCAGGGUUAGAGUAGUUUGACUCUUGGUUGACCGUGAGUCUCCCGGAGUAAUCUCACCCUUCCAGGGGGAAUUAUCGGGAGCUAGACUAUUGUGGAGGGUUACACAAUAUUAGAAUUAUUUAUAUAAAUUAUGUGGUUGUACAAGGGUACAACAGAGUCUAGAAUGUCAGUUUGGAGUGCUAUACGCACUACUCUAGGUACCUCCUCGGACUUUGGAAUUUCUACAAGUACCACCAAGUGAAAGUUAGGUCCCACGUGGCGUAGGUUAUCCGGCGUGUCGACAGACCCCAUACGUGGCGUUGGUUGUACCGGCGUAUGGGGAGAUUUGUGAUAUGAUAUUGAGGUCCCGCGUGGCGUAGGUUAUCCGGCGUUGGGACAGGCCCCAUACGUGGCGUUGGUUGUACCGGCGUAUGGGGAGAUAUUAUGAUAGUAUGGCAUGGUCGCACGUGGCGUAGGUUAUCCGGCGUGUCGACAGACCCCAUACGUGGCGUUGGUUGUACCGGCGUAUGGGGAGAUUUGUGAUAUGAUAUUGAGGUCCUGCGUGGCGUAGGUUAUCCUGCGUUGGGAUAGGCCCCAUACGUGGCGUUAGUUGUACCGGCGUAUGGGGAGAUAUUAUGAUAGUAUGGCAUGGUCGCACGUGGCGUAGGUUAUCCGGCGUGUUGACAGGCCCCAUACGUGGCGUUGGUUGUACCAGCGUAUGGGGAGAAUAUGUGAAAUACAGAGAAAUGAAAUAAGGUAUUGCCCAAGUGUGGAAUUGGGUUUUAGGGAAGAACUACUUAUGGCUUGAUCCCUCAAGGAGGGUACGUAGGCAGCCUAAGGUUAUUAGGUGCAGCCGCAGACUAAAUAUUAGUCAUAAAUUGUAAUUGAACUGUUUGGUAGUCGUUUGAGGAAGUAUUGAAAGGCCGAAGGCCAUUUGUGUGAAUUGCAUGAAAUUAUAUUGUGCAUGCUGCCAGUUGGGAAUAUUAAAUGCGUUUUUAUGCAGGUAUAAAUUUUGGGAAUGUCCAAUUUACAGGGGAGACUCUGCCAAAAUUUCGGCAGGAAGUCUCGGUUUUUAGUAAGUGGGCCUGGCAUCGGGGUGAUGUCAGGAAUUCCAAAGGGUUCGUCUCGGGUUUUGAGAAAAUUCGGGGCGGGUCCUUUCACUUGAUAUGCUUACUCUUGCUGUGAAACAUUGGAUUUUUGGAAAGACAAAUAGCUGAUUUGUUGUUGCAGAACAGCUUUGUAGGUCCUUCUUGAACUUGACCCAUCUCUUCUAAAAUACUUUUCAGCCACCUAGCUUGACAACCUGCUGAUGCAAGAGCAACAUACUCAGAUUCUGUAGUUGAAAGUGCCACUAUAGAUUGCUUUUUGGAGGACCAUGAAAUCGCACUUGAGCCAAUGCUAAAGACAUAACCAGAUGUGCUUUUGCAAGUAUCAACAUCUCCACCCAAGUCACUGUCACUGUAGCCAGUCAAAUUUAGAUUCUGAAUAGGAUAAUAAUGCAAACCAUAAUUGAUAGUUCCAACCACAUAUCUUAGGAUUCUCUUUCCAAGCUCCCAAUGAACAUCUUUUGGUGACUCCACUAAACGGCUGAGGAAGCUUACUGCAUAUGUAAGAUCUGGCCUUGUUGUAGUUAAAUACAAGAGGCCACCCACUAGACUUCGAAACAAAGUUUGAUUUACCAUUGUGCUUCCAUCAUUCUUACCUAUCUUAACACCAACCUCCAUUGGAGUAGCAAUUGACUUUGCAUUUUCCAACCUGAACCUUUUCAACAAUUCCUUUGCGUAUUUCUUUUGAGAAAUAUAGAUACCAUUCUCAUUUUGUUUGACUUCAAUUCCAAGAAAGAAAUGAAGCAAACCAAGGUCUGUCAUUUCAAAUCUUUGUGACAUAAUCAUCUUGAAAUUAUCACACAUUUGAGCAUUACUUCCAGUAAAUAUUAAGUCAUCCACAUAUAAGCAGACAAUCAAAAUCUCACCUUGAGAGUUCUUCUUGGUGUAAAGAGUAUGCUCAUAUGGGCAUUUGUGAAACCCAUACUCUUGGAAGAAUGCAUCAAUCCGACUGUACCAAGCUCUUGGAGCUUGUUUCAAACCAUAUAAAGCCUUCUUCAAUCUACACACUUUUGUUUCUUCAUUUCCCUGCACAUAACCUGGAGGUUGAGCAACAUACACUUCUUCUUCCAAAAAACCUUGCAAGAAUGCUGGUUUAACUUCCAUUUGAAAGACUUUCCAACAAUUUUGGGCAGCAAGAGCUAACACCAUUCGGAUGGUGUCAAAGCGUGCAACUGGAGCAAAAACUUCAUUGUAAUCAAUUCCAUAAUUUUGCUUGUAGCCUUUAGCUACCAAGCGAGCUUUGUAUUUCUCAACUUCUCCUUGAGCAUUCAGCUUGGUCUUAUACACCCAUUUUACUCCUAUAGGCUUCUUUCCUUGAGGAAGAUCAACCAGCUCCCAUGUGUCAUUUUUCUUAAUGGAAUCAAUUUCUUGAUCCAUAGCCUUCACCCAAUUUUCAUCCUUUGAAGCCUCUUCAAACAUAAUUGGGUCUGCAUCUACAAAUAGAGCAAAAUUUGUGCCACCAUUAGUGAUCAAAACAUAAUCACUAGAUGGGUACCUUGUGGAUGGUUGAUGAGCUCUUGUUGAUCUCCUUUGUCCUCUGCAAAUUUCUUCUUCCUCACUGCUAUCACUAGAAGAAGUUGAUGAUGACCCUUGUGAUGAAGAUUCCUAUGAUGAUAGAGUUGUUGGUGGAGUUAAAUCUGGAUUUUCAAGGCCAAUGUCCAACAGUAUUGGACUUUGAUUUUCAGCUUCACUCCAAUUCCAUGCUUCUUCUUCAUUGAACUUGACAUCACGACUAACAAUAAUCUUGUUAGUCAAUGGAUUAAACAACUUAUAUGCCUUGGCCUUUUCACUAUACCCAACAAGAAUGCACUUUUCUGAUUUGUCAUCCAAUUUUCUCCUUGUUUUAUCAGGAAUAUGAGAAUAAGCAAUGCUGCCAAAUAUCCUUAAGUGACUAAUACAUGGCUUGAGGCCACUCUAAGCUUCUUGAGGAGUCUUGCCUUCCACACUAUUGGACGAUGCACGGUUCAAGAGAUAUACAGCACAUGCCACUGCUUCUGCCCAAAAACGAUUAGGCAUUGCUUUUGCCUUCAACAUGCUUCUUGCCAAUUCCAUAACGGUCCUAUUUUUUCUCUCGGCCACACCAUUUUGCUGUGGGGUGUACCGAGCUGUGAACUGAUGCUUAAUCCCAUUUUCUUUUAGAAAAUUUUCGAACACAUUGGAUGAGAAUUCUCCACCUUGAUCAGACCGCAAGGUUUUCAAUGCAAAUCCACUUUGCUUCUCAGCCAAAGCUUUGAAAACUUUAAAGUAAUCAAACACCUCUGAUUUAUAUUUGAGAAAAUAGACCCAUGUCUUUCUGCUAUAAUCAUCAAUGAAUGUAAGAAAGUAGCGGUUACCUCCUGUUGAUGUUGUGUUCAUGGGCCCGCAUACAUCUGAGUGCACCAGCUCAAGAGGAUGGGAUGCUCUCCAAGAAUUUCCUGUAAGAAACGAAUUUCUCUGAUGUUUUCCCAGCACACAUGCUUCACAAACUUGUGUUUGAUGCUGUAUCGUUGGUAGGCCUCGUACCAUAUGUUGUUUCCCCAUCAAUGAUAGUGUAUUGAAACUCAAAUGCCCAUAGCGUAGAAGCCACAACCAUGAGGAAUCCUUGAUAAGUGCACUUAAGCAAGCAAAAGAUUCAUACUUUAUGUUCAGAGAAAACAUAUUGUCUCCUGACAUCUGCACCUUUGUAAUUAGAGAGUUGUACUUGUCUCUAAUUACACACUGGUCUUCCCUGAACUGAAUAUUAUGGCCUUUAUGAAGAAGUUGCCCCACACUAAGGAGAUUGUAAUUUAAAUCUGGAACAUAUAACACAUCAGAGAUUCUUUUUUGUUCUCCAGACUUGGAUAGAAAAAGAAUAUCUCCACAUCCUUUGGCCACUAGCUUUCCACCAUCACCAAUCCUUACUUCUGAGUUGUUGGUAUGCUUGAAAUUGACAAAGGCACUUUUGUUGCCUGUCAUGUGAUUACUACAUCCGCUAUCAAGAUACCAUUUUUCUGCACACACGUUUCCUUCCCUGGCAGCUGCAUAUGCAAGUAGAACCACAUUAUCAUUUUCCCUUUCAGAAGCUUUUUCAUGCACAAAGCUUGAUUCGGCUCCUCCAUUUGUUUUGUUUUUGCAUGUUGACUUGAUGUGCCCAUAUUGCUUGCAAUUGUAGCACUGAAUAUUAGAAAGAGAGGAACCUUGUUCUCUUCCUCUUCCUCUUGAAUAACCACCAUAAUCUCCUCUUCCUCUUGGAUAACCAUAAUCUCCUCUUCUUCUUGAAUAACCAUAAUCUCGUGCAGAGCCUUCAUCAUUAGUUUUUUUUAGGUCAUUUGCAUAGCCACGUCCUUGAUUAUUUCUUCCUCGUCCACGAGUAAAGCCGCCUCUUCCUCUUCUAGAACUUCCUCUGAAUGAGACUUGAGAUUGAAAAGCUUGCUCAACAGGGCCAGAGUCAAACUGCUUCAGUCGUAACUCAUGGGAUUGAAGAGAACCCAUUAAACUGUCAAGAGACAAAGUAGACAGAUCUUUGGAUUCUUCAAUUGCCACCACAAUAUAUUCAAACUUUCGGGGACAUACUUCGAAGAAUUUUUUCAGCAACUCUCUGAUCUUCAAUUUUUUCUCCAUUAAUUCUCAGUUGGUUGACUAGAGAAAUGACACGAUUGAAAUAGUCUUCAACAGAUUCUGACUCCUUCAUACGUAACAUAUCAAACUCACCUCUUAGAGUUUGCAGUCUUGCCAUCUUCACUUUAUCUUCUCCUUUAUAUGAUGCAAAGAGAGUGUCCCACGCCUGUUUUGAUGUAAUGCAUGAUGAGAUUCUUUCAAAGAUAGCUUCAUCCACUGCUUGAAAGAUAAAGAAUAAAGCUUUUUUGUCCUUCUUACGUGUCUCCUUCAGCUCUGUGAGUUGUUGUUGAGUGAGGACUGCUUGAUCAUUUGGCUCCACAAAGCCAUUUUCAACCACCUCCCACAAAUCUUGAGCAGCAUACAACACCUUCAUUUGGAUGCUCCAUUGACUAUAAUUCUUCCCUGUAAACUUUGGAAGCUGGGGCUGUAACAAGUUGUUGUUUGAAGCCAUAUGAUUCUGAGUUUCCAGCUCUGAUACCACUUUGAUGGAAUAAAAGAAUGAUAUUAUUGGUGGUGGGUACGGUUAUGUGGAAGUAAUAAUGGGUAAGAGAAGAAACUUGUUCUCUUGUGAUAAUCAAAAGACAGAAAGUAGUGGGACACUAUUUUAGAUAUGAUAAUGUUCCUUCCUUGAUUGAUGCAAAUGAAGAGAAAAGGGUGGCUUUAUAUAAUAGCCACUACCGACCUAACACAUUAAAAACACAACUAACACCAAACAUAGUUAAUUCAACUAACUUCUACCACACCAUUAAUUUAACACACAACUACUAACAAACUGCCAACUAUUUCAAAGUUACCAGCUGACUAUUAAUGAAGUCUAGAUUACUUUAACAGUAUCGAAUCUAGCUUUAAUAUGUAUUGGGUCCUCUGGACAAGAAUUCUAUCCUUUUCGUCCUAACUAAUAUGUAGGGGAAAAACAAUACAUCAAUUAUCCUUUUCGUCCUAACUAAUAUGUAGGGGAAAAACAAUACAUCAAUUAUGAAUUUUUUUUAUCUGGGUUCGAAAUUAAAUAUGAAUGGAGUUUUGGAGGCUUAAAAGUUAUAAGCUCAAGAAAGGAAGGAAACUAUAUGUACAUUUGGGUCGGAGGCAAAGGUCCAGUCAUCUACCGUCCAGGAUAUACAGUAUCAAAAAAGGCUUAAGAAUUGUAAUAAGGUGACAUACGCCCACAUACGGCCAACGCUAGCAUAUUUCGUAAGUGUAUUAUAUGUCUUCUAAGUAUAUCAUAGUUAUGUGUCAAUUUUAGAUCCAAUUGCACACCCAAAAUACAGAAACAAAAUCAUUGAGAAUACACUUUUUUUCACUUAUAUUUUGAAUAUGCAUUGCCUGUAUUUCAUGUGUAUGAUAUAGGGGCUUCACUUAUAGUUUUUGCACAAAACCUCCCUUGAUGAAGGAUGUCUUAGAUUAAUGACAUCAAUGAUUUGUUACAUUUGGAGUACCCAACAUAACAGCUCUCUGAUUAACAAUAAAGUUAUAAAAUUUCAACAGUUUCAUACCUAACAAGCAUAGAGAAACAAAUAAAACAACCACAUUGCUUCGAUCACUGUACAUGCACACAGCUCACUUUCACUAACUACAGAGGCUAUAUUUUCUACAUAUACACUAACUUUUUCUUUCUCCAGCUCUCUUACACCACCAGGCUGGUGACAAACCCAGCUCGCGUCAUGUGGAGGACCAAAAGGAAAUGACAAGGAGAAAACGGCUAAGGAGAGACUUACUCUCAACACUUAGAAGGCAGAGCAGAGAUAACAGAGCACACUGCUUGUAUAAAAGUGAGUAUGAGGAGAAAAAUAGCGGUAGCAAUUGAAAUAGUUGCCCAAGGUGUGUUGCAAUAGUUUUGUCUCAAGUUUGCCUGCCAUUUGUGCCAAGACGUUCUGCAGUACUUGUUGAGGUCUGCACAAAGAAUAGCAAAAUAGAAGUCAUUAGAGUCCACAAUGACCCCAUCUGCAAGGUUGUUGAUCAGAGUAGACCCUCCACUACUGUCACCGAGCAUAUUUUCGACGAUUCCUUGCUUAACAACCAACUCCACAUCCGUUGCGGUGUUCACAAAGCGAUCCACGAUGACAACAUAAUUGUUUAUGUAAUUCUCCAUGCAAUGGCAUUGUUCAAAGGCAAGGAGGUUUCUGAUUGUAAGCUCUGUCUCAUCACUUAUUGCUAAUUUUGGAAUUUCUAGAAUCCCAUUAGCGAAUUGUAUGUCGAAUAAGUUUUUGGGUGAUCCCACCUUAAACUUGACUCCUGCUCUGUGUAACUCUGUGAUGCUGGAUGUGUUUAAGAGUUUCAAGUCGCCCCUUAGCAGGUGGUUUCAAUGGUAGAGGUAGAUACAAAUUUCUACAAAAAUCUACAAAGUGUUCUACUUUAGAAGUACAUAAUUUCUCCAUAUUGCCAUCCGUUCCCUCUAUGUGCAUUAGAGUUUUGAAGAAAUUGUGGCAAAGGUUAAGCAUCGAAAGCCUCUCAAUAUUGUUAUUGUUAGAAGAGACUUUGAUUUUUUCGGGGUCAAAAAGUUCCUCAAGAAUGAAGAAUGGCAGCUGAUUUUCAAACAACCGCAUGUCAGGCCAUACGUCUGGCAACAGCCAUGGUUUGUUAAAUAUGCGGUCAAUUUCAUCCUGCAAUUCAUCGAAACGAUACCUCAACAAGACCUCAAUGAUGAAGGCGGCAUCCACUAGAAUGAUUCUCACAAAUUCAUCACUGCUAACCUGAAUGGUUUCUGCAUAACAACUGCGCAGUUUUGCUUCUUGGUCUUUUACUUUCUGUACAUAAUCGGCUAGGCUUACCCUGGUCCGACGUAUAUAAUCUUGUAAGUACCUCUUUUUGUGAUCUUCCAUGGCUUUUAGGCCUUCCUCGCCAUGAUGAAGUGGGCCUAUAGAGACUACCUGAGGUGUGUAGGCCUUUUCACUCACACGCCGUAGUCGUUCAGGAACUCUAUAAAUGCAACACAAGGAGGAGAGGGAAGACAAGCCAUCCAACUCCUCACUCAUUGAAGUUACUAAUGGAAUGCAAGGGUUUUCAAUAUCAUGUGGAGCUUGAUCGCUUCCUUCCAUUUUCCGCUGAUGUGUUUGUUGUUGUCAAUCAUAAUGGAUGAUAAUGAAAUGAUAGUCACUGACACAACAAUAAACAAAUUUUUCAAGAUGGCUGAGAAAAUUAAUACAAACAUUGCAAUUAUAAGACCAAACACACAAAGACUUUUGAUCCUUGUAACUCUUACAUACCACACUAGUGCCUUAAGAAUUCGAUUUGAAUGCACCAAAUUCAUUCAAAACUCUUCUGGUCAACUCUGUUUCUUGUAAUUAUUCUUGGAAGAUUCUAAUACAUUUUUGAUUGAAAAAUUCCUACUAAUCAUGUGAAUCAGUACCAAAGUUUAUUUCAAAUUAACAUACAAACCCCACUUUUUUUUUCCUACAUAUAUACUUCUUUAUUUCCCCUCAACUUAUUGGAGCUUCUAAUAAAGCAAAUUCUUUCUGUGAUGAUAUCAGAUAGUAGAUUAUGCUUCCAGUCAAAACAUAGACAAACCAAAAUCCCAUUAGAAGAGAAGAAAAUAAUAUACGACAUUCACAUAACCUUCUGCUCAAUUCCAAUUUCCAACUACAAUGAAACAUAAGACACUUAAAAGCUUCAAGAAAUUGGAUGUGCAAGCAAACAUAGCGAAAUUAUGAAAGACAGAGAAAGGUGUUGGGCAUUGAAAACAUACCUGAUACGUAUUGAAACACAAUUUUUUUUUGCCUUUGGUAGAUGGAGUAGCUAGAAAAGCUCAAUGCACUUGCUCUUCUGCUACAUUUCAAUAUAAGAACAUUGUUUGGAAGUCCGGUCAAUUCCUCAAAGCUUCCUUGCCUUUGUUUUGACAUGCCGAUGCCCGUCUUGGGGAAGUUUGAAUAAUCCAUUGCAGGCCCCAUGAUAGGAUUUUUAGUACUUGUGCAAACAGUGUUAAAAAUCACAUAAAAUACUUGCAAGAAUACAAGGCUAUUGUAGUAUAGAUGCUCAUGCAAGGUCGUUUUCCUCAAGGACUAAUUAGCAAUUUAUGUAAAAACAAAUUCCAAUUACUACUUAAAAUAAAAAGUCAAGAAAGAUGAUUAUAAAUUUGGUGGAUUCUAAAAAACAAAUAUUAAACAAAAACAAAUACGAUUGAAAGAAAGAGUUUUGAAUAUCAAUUUAUAAAAACACUAGGGUUUCACCAUCACCUAGCAAUCCUAUGAACUUUUACCAAUUACUUAUGAUUUGCACAUGCCACUUUGAAGGUUAGGUUUUCCUAAUGUAUAUUCUACUUGGAACCUCCAACACAGAACGUAUAUCCAACAUGCAACCCGUCCGGACGUUCGGAUCAAAUCUGAACAUGAAAGACUCAUUAAGUUUUGUGAAAACCCUUUGAAAAACCAUGCAACCCUUAAGACGUGGUGUUCAUCUUAAGUGAAAUUACAAUUAUUAAUCACAAGAAGCUAGCAUAAAUUUCAGGGAACCUUCCGACCAAAAUUGCAUCCAAUUACUUUUCUAAAGAUCCUAAUGGUGAUCAGGCAUUAAGACAAUUAGAUAGUUUAAAAUAGUGAUUAACAAUUCAAAAUACGCAUGCACUCAUCAUAAGCAAUUAAAUAAAAAUCACAUAUUCAUGCUAAGGUUCAAGGCUUCACCCUAGCAAAAGAAAUUUAGUUACGCAUACUCAUAAUUGAAAUCCAAGAAAAUAUCAUUAAGAAGAAAAGAACGAAAACACCUGAAAGUUGUGAAAACCCAAAACCCUAGCAAUUGCUCUCUACAAUGCAAAGUUCAAAAAUAAUUAAGAAGUCCUAAAUUCCUUGUGAGAAAGAGCUUAAAUAUCCCUUAAAACCUAGCUGCCAAUGUACAGCUUUUCUAUCCCUACAAGGAAACUAAUUAAAGUAAAAUAAUACUAGGAAAUAAAGUCCAAAUUGGAAUAGGAGAAUUUGCCCAAAAUCAGCCCAGCCACGUUUUGGCCCCAAAUCUCCUCCAAAUCUGGCCCAAGAUAGCUUUUUUUAAAGACACUACUACAAAAAGUGAAAAAGACGACCAGAAAACAACGACGGUCUAAGUGAAAACCGUCGUGGUUUUUAAAAAGACGACGGUUCUAAAAACACCGUCGUGUAAUACCACCUUAGACAACUAAAAAAUGGAGAUUCAAAUGGCUGUUCAAAAACAACGACGUACCUAAUUAAACAACCGACGUCUAUUUGAAACAGAUUUCCGCAGUGUAAAAUCAAAGCAAACAAAGAACGGCAGAAGUUAUGAAUAGACCGACGUAGAAAGUAAAGACGACGAUUUCAAUAAAAGCCGCCGUUUUUACUCAUAAAAUAACACGACGAGGUUUUCGUAUAAGACGCCGUAUAAUUACAAACAAAUCCACGGCUUUAAAAUACAAAAUAAUCUUAACAGAUGACACAGAUUUGCAAUCAGAGAGACAAUUUUUUGGAAGUUGAUCAACGUCGUUGAAAAUUUGCAAUCAGAGAGACAAUUUUCAACGACGGUUAUAUUAUACCUAACGACGUUUAAAAACAAAUCAACGUCGCUCAACAAAUAUAUUACGUCGUCUUAGUCUUACUUAAGACGACGAAAAACGACGACAGUAGUAAAAAAACAGUCGUUGUUUUUAUAUUCUUAUUUUAUUUAAAUCUGUCGUGUUAGUUAAAAACGACGGCAUAACAAAAAACCGUCGUUUUGUUUCAAACUGAAUUAAUUUAAAAUUUCUUCAGGAAAGCAAAAUCUAUUUAUAAUUUCCUCGGGUUAGUAAUAUUGUGUCGUGUUAGUUUACAAAUUCUAGAACAUUAAUUUCCCUCAUUUUAAAUUUUCUCGGGAAAGAAAAAUCUAUUUAUCACGCUUUGUAAUUGAAAACUAAAACUGAAAGAAUUCUGGAAAAAAAACUCUAUUUAUAAUUUAAAAAUAAAAUGCACGUCGGUUGUAGUACACUUAACGACGUUUAACAAAAUAAUCUACGUCGGUAAUUAUAAAUCUACCGCCAUCUUACCCUAAUAUAGACGACGAGAAAAGACGACGGUAGAACAGAAAACCGCCGUUGUUUCAGUUUCUUUAACAGUUUGGUCCUUUAUCUUUCUGCAGGACUUGUAUAGUUCAAAGCAUUGACAAUGUCUUCAUCAUAUCUCCCAGCAACUACUGAUUCGAUUGCUCAUGCUUUAGAGGCCAUCUGAAGCCAUUUCUAUUCUUUAUCGCAUUCUUGAAACCCAUCUUCUUCUUCUGAAGCUCUACGGAUAAAGGAANNNNNNNNNNNNNNNNNNNNNNNNNNNNNNNNNNNNNNNNNNNNNNNNNNNNNNNNNNNNNNNNNNNNNNNNNNNNNNNNNNNNNNNNNNNNNNNNNNNNNNNNNNNNNNNNNNNNNNNNNNNNNNNNNNNNNNNNNNNNNNNNNNNNNNNNNNNNNNNUUUUUUUUGGGGUUGGUUUUUUAUAGUAACCAGUUAUAACAGUAGUGGUUGUGCAAUGUUUGGUUCCCUUAAGCUUCGAUCCAACCGUGUAGCCAGCUUUAGGUCAAUGUCUCCCAAACCACUCGGGUUUUAGGGCACUAGGUGUAGAACACCCCUAAGGACUUAUUAACUCAAGCUGAAAAGGCUACGAAACCAACUAACCACCCUGCCUCAUGCCAAAACUCUACCUUUUGUCUCGAAAAUCACUGCUGAUUAGGCAGGACUGGCCCGGUUACUAGCAAAGCUUCGGGUGAGGCAAUUAUUACUUUAUAACACAUACUAACUUUAUUUAAAUUGAACAGAAAUUAAAACACACUUGGACAAAAAGUAAGUAUUCCAAUCUCACUCCCCAAAAACCAUAUUGGUGUGAUGUGCAAAUUUCAAAGUAUAAUUCAUGAAUUAGUGUCUAAGCAACAAUAAAUAGAAAAGACUCUACUGUGGGAUUGAUUUUCACUAUGUCCAUUUAUUCUAACGUUUAAAAUAAUCUAUGGAUAUUGACUGAAAAACGAAAAUUUUAAACAAGACUUAAAAAAAACUAAAAAUCUAAAAUUUACUUUCCCACCCCCUAACUUAAAUCACACAUUGUCCUCAAGGUGUGGUAAAUAAUCAAAAGAAACAAGAGCAGAAACAAAACGACUAAAUCCUAGAAAAUGAAAAUCAAAAAUAAAGAAAAUACUCUAAGAAAAGAAACUAGGAAGGAAAAAUAGAAGAAUAAUAAAAUAAAAUAAAAUAAGAAAGAAAAGGAGAAAAACAACAAUAGAAAAGAAAUAGGAAAGAAAAUACCCAAAAAUGAGACACCUUGGGGAUUCAAAGGCAGGACCAGGCGGAGUGUUGCGAAAAAGCGCUGACCAACUCAACCACGUCCACACUGGCAUCAAAUAGGAGCGACAGCUACAAUAUAACCUGCUGUAGCUGCUGCAUCUGUCAUUUGAAAAAUAUUGGAUUCCCUUCUCCUACCCCGAGCUCAGAGCCGAAAGGCUCUCUUCUGUCCAUUCCCAUUUUGCAGAAGAAAAAAGAAUAUUGCUGGAUAAACCAAAGCCUCCGCUGUGUCCAGAGAAUCAGAAAAGGUCUCUGAUUUCUCUCUUCUCAAGGCCAUCCAUCUCCGCCUUCACUCUUCUUCAUUCUCUCCAACACUCACGAUCCUUUCCUCUCUUUCAACCCAAUUACACCAGCGUUUUCAUCUGCGUGAGGAGGCCACAUUUGCAGCAAACACAACCAGUGAGGUUGAAUUAUCUGAUGCACCUGAAUUUUUGGAUGGUUUUGGAGUCCCUAGAUUCCUCAAAUUCAGAUCUGUCUCCAUCCAUGUCACCAGAUGCUAACUUGUUCCAAGAUGAAAACAAGCUGAAGCCGAACAAGAGUCUAUUCUCCACCAGUAAGGACCCCAGAUCUGUGCAUCCCGUAGGUAAACUUUCGAACCCCAGAACUGGUUUUUUUUUUUUUUUUUUUCCGUUUUUUUUUUGUUUUGAAAAUAAAAGAAGUAAAGAGUUUAGAAAAAUUGGGUUGCCUCCCAAUAAGCGCGCUAUUUUAAGUCUGUAGCUAGACUUUGCAGAAGCCUGGUGGUCAAAUCACUGGUUCCUUCAGAGUCAAAGACUCGGCUGCAAUGUCAAAGGGUGUCUCCACGUAGGGUUUUAGCCUAUGACCAUUCACCUUGAACGUGUUGCCUUUAUCUUCAUUAGUGAUUUGAACUGCUCCAUGAGGAAAAACUUGAGUCACUAGGUAGGGUCCAGUCCAGCGAGAUUUUAAUUUCCCUGGAAACAACUUGAGCCUUGAACUAAAUAACAGAACCUUUUGCCCUGGCUGAAAUUCCUUCCGUAAAAUUUGACUGUCAUGAAAUGCCUUAGUUCUUUCCUUGUAGAUGCGAGAACUAUCAUAAGCACCUUGACGAAUUUCCUCUAGCUCAUUUAACUGCAAUUUCCGCUUUUCCCCAGCUGAGUCAUAUGCAAAAUUUAACUCUUUAAUGGCCCAGUAAGCUUUAUGCUCCAGCUCCAUAGGUAGAUGACAGGCUUUCCCAUAAACAAGUCGGAAUGGUGACAUCCCAAUAGGAGUUUUAUAAGCUGUCCUGUAUGCCCACAAAGCAUCAUUUAGUUUGAAACUCCAAUCCUUGCGUGUAGAGCUCACUGUUUUCUCCAAAAUACGCUUUAUUUCUCUGUUUGAAACUUCAACUUGACCAGAUGUCUGUGGGUGGUAUGGUGUAGCCACGCGAUGAUUAAUCCCGUAUUUUGCCAGUAGGUUAGCAAAUGGUUUAUUAAUAAAAUGCUUCCCCCCAUCACUAAGAAUAACACGCGGUAUUCCAAAACGUGGAAAUAUAACCCCCUGGAGGAACUUCAGGACCACUGAUCCUUGAUUAGUUGGUGCUGCAAUGGCCUCGACCCAUUUUGAAACAUAUUCCACAGCCACUAAAAUAUAUUGGUGCCCAUUAGAAGAUGGGAAUGGCCCCAUGAAAUCAAUACCCCAAACAUCAAAUAGUUCAACAAUUAGGAUACUUUGUUGGGGCAUUUCAUUCCUUCUGGAUUGAUUGCCGACCCUUUGACACCGAUCACAUGCCUUGCACCAAUUCUGUGAAUCUCUAAAAAGUGUUGGCCAAAAUAACCCACUCUGUAGGAUUUUCUCUGCUGUCCUUUUCUGCGCAAAAUGUCCUCCUCAAGCAUAGUGAUGAGCAAACUUUAAAACACUUUCUUGUUCAGCCUCCGGAAUACACCUGCGAAUAAUCUGGUCUGCACAAUACUUGUAUAAGUACGGUUCAUCCCAGAAAUAGUGCUUUACAUCAGAUAAAAACUUCUUUUUCUGCUGGUAGGAAAAAUCUGGAUGCACCACACCCUUAGCCAAAUAAUUGACAAUAUCUGCAAACCAAGGUGUGUCAAUUUUGACAGCAAAUAGCUGUUCAUCUGGGAAACUUUCACUCAAUGGUAGAGAAUCUGCCUCUGUAGCUGCUGGAAUAAUUAAUCUAGAUAAAUGAUCAGCCACAACAUUCUCACUGCCCUUCUUGUCUUUAAUCUCUAAGUCAAAUUCUUGAAGUAAGAGAACCCAACGAAUCAAUCUAGGCUUUGCAUCCUUCUUAGACAACAAGUAUUUUAGUGCAGCAUGAUCUGUAUAGACAAUUAUUUUAGCCCCAACCAAAUAAGACCGAAAUUUCUCUAGUGCGAACACAACUGCCAACAAUUCCUUCUCUGUAGUUGCAUAGUUAAGCUGUGCAUCAUUUAGAGUACGACUUGCAUAAUAGAUGACAUGGGGAAGCUUAUCUUUUCGCUGCCCUAAAACUGCCCCGACAGCAUAAUCUGACGCAUCACACAUUAGUUCAAAUGGUAAAUCCCAAUUUGGUGCAGCAAUGAUGGGUGCCGAAGUUAGGAGUGCUUUCAACUUGUUGAAUGCUUCUAAACAGGCCUUAUCAAAAUUAAAUGGUGCAUCCUUAGCCAAUAAAGUGCACAAAGGUCGACUAAUCUUGGAGAAAUCCUUGAUGAACCGACGAUAAAAACCUGCGUGUCCUAAGAAGGACCUCACACCUUUUACUGAUGUAGGAGGUGGCAGCUUUGCAAUAACUUCAAUCUUUGCCUUGUCAACCUCGAUGCCUUUGCUAGAAAUUGAAUGACCCAAGACAAUUCCCUGUUCAACCAUGAAAUGCCACUUUUCCCAGUUUAGCACUAAAUUUGUCGCUUGACAUCUCUGAAGAACUAAUGAUAAAUUCUGUAAGCAUUGAUCAUAUGAAUCCCCAAAAACAGAAAAAUCAUCCAUAAAAACUUCCACAAUAUUUUCGACCAAGCCAGAAAAAAUACUCAUCAUACAACGUUGAAACGUAGCAGGUGCAUCGCAUAAUCCGAAUGGCAUCCUCCGAUAAGCGUAAGUACCAAAUGGACAAGUGAAAGUAGUCUUCUCUUGAUCCUCUGGUGCUAUUGGAAUCUGAUUAUACCCAGAAUACCCAUCAAGAAAACAGUAAAAAGCCCGCCCAACCAACCUUUCUAACAUCUGGUCAAUAAAAGGCAAUGGAAAAUGGUCUUUUCUCGUCCCUGUGUUAAGCUUCCGAUAAUCUACACACAUUCUCCAACCCGUAGUCAAUCGUGUAGGAACUAACUCAUUAUUAUCAUUUUUCACCACUGUAAUACCGGUCCGUUUAGGCACAACUUGAGUCGGGCUAACCCAUUUACUGUCAGAAAUAGGAUAAAUCAUACCUGCAUCAAGUAAUUUCAUAACCUCUGUUCUAACCACCUCUUUCAUAAUUGGGUUAAGGCGGCGUUGAGCAUCAACUGUUAGCUUUACGUCGUCUUCCAUUAAUAUUCUGUGCAUACAUAGUGCUGGGCUGAUUCCCUUGAUAUCCGCAAUUGUCCAUCCCAAUGCAUCUUGAUAUUUUCUCAAUACACGAAGCAAUUUAUCCUCCUCUGUCGGUGUUAAAUCUGCUGCAAUUAUAACUGGCAACGUCUCUGCAGCUCCUAAAUAUGCAUAUUUAAGAUGUUGUGGUAAAGGCUUCAGCUCCAAUUUUGGCGGCUGCUGUCUGGAUGGUUUAAGGGGCUGUUUGGGCUCCCCUAAACUCUCAUACACAUUCCUAAAUUUUGGCAACACUGUGGGCAGACUGUUCAAUGCGUGUAUGUACUCAUGAACACCUUCAUCUUCAAAAUCUGUCUCAAAUGCCCCCUGUAAAACAUGCAACAACUGAUCUGUUUUUGAAUUAGCAUAAAAUCUGUCCUGCACCAUACUGUCUACCAUGUCAAUACGCAUACAAUCUAGCUGUUCAGCAGGACGUUUUGUUGCCGCAAACAAAUUAAACACCACAGAUUGGUCCUGAACCCGUAAAGUCAAUGUUCCAGCUUCCACAUCAAUUAAGGUCCUAGCUGUUGCCAUAAACGGCCUCCCCAAAAUAAUAGGUGUUUGAAGGUCUUCAUCCAUGUCUAAAACCACAAAAUCUGCCGGUAGAUAAAGAUUAUCAACCUUAAUAAUUAGAUCUUCAAUAACACCUCUUGGAUAAGUGAUUGAACGGUCAGCUAGUUGAAGUAUAAUUGAUAUAGGCUUUAAAUCUCCUUGCCCCAAUCGCUGAAAAACAGAAAAAGGCAUCAAAUUAAUACUUGCACCCAAAUCAAUUAAAGCACUCUUAAAAUUAGAAUUUCCAAUAGUGCAAGAAAUAUUAAAACUCCCUGGAUCUUUUUUCUUAGGUGGUAGUUUGUGUAGCAAAACUGCAUUGCACUGUUCUGUCAAAAUAACUUUUUCCAAAUCUGAAAGCUUCUUUUUGCUGCUGCAAACUUCCUUCAAAAAUUUGGCAUAUGAUGGAAUUUUCUUGAUUGCAUCCAGUAAGGGAAUGUUGAUUUGAACCUUGGAUAAUGUCUGCAUAAAGUCCUUGAGUUGCUGAUCUUUUACUUUUGGCUUCAAACGUUCUGGAUAUGGAAUUGGGGCCUCAUAAACACGCUCAGGUACUUGUUUUGGAACAGUUUCUAGAUCUGCCAUAUUAUGUUUUUCUACAGGUUUGGCAGGUUCUGCUGCUGCAAAAUUUUCUGUAUGAUCCUCCACUGCAUGCUGCUCCUUUUCAAUGUUAUUUUCACGAUUGUCAUAGCUUUUUCCACAUCGUAAAGUCCGAACAACUUUGCAAUCUUCACGUCCAUUUGGAUUAGGAAUUGUUUGACUAGGAAAUUUGCCCUUUUAUCUGUCUGAAAUCUGUGUAGCUAGUUGUCCAAAUUGUUGCUCCAAACUUUUAAUAGAUGCUUCAACAUUUUGAAAUCUUUGAUUGUUGCCCUCGAUGAAUGAUUGAGUUGUUGCUGCCAGUUUAGCAAGUUGAUCUUCCAUAGAUGGUUUGGAGGGAACAAAAGGUUUUUGUGCAUGCUGGAAUGGUUUGGCAUUAGUCUGAUUGUCACCCCAUUUGAAAUUAGGGUGAUCCCUCCAUCCAGGAUUGUAAUGAGUUGCAUAUGCAUCAUUCCUAGGCCUUUGAUAGCUGUUCAUCAUAUUGACAUGUUGUUCAACAAGCUCUGGGUAAGAGUCUCUAUGUGGGCAGCCCAUUAUGUCAUGUGUAGCCAUACUGCAUAUAGUGCAAACUGUUGAUGUAGGUGGCUGCUGUGUAGAACUUGCUAUAUGUUGUAGAAGCAUAUCAAACUUUGCAUCAAUUUUCUUAUCCAUUUUUUCCAUUUGUGCAGACAUGUUGGGAGAACCUACUGAUAACUCAAAAAUGCCCCUUUUCUGUGAAUGUUCUGCUGCCCAUUGCUGAGAUUCUGUAGCCAUCAUAUCAAACAGUUCAAAUGCCUCUCUUGCAGAUUUAUUUGAUAAUGAUCCUCCAGCUGAUGCAUUCACAUGGCUCUUAGAUGUAGGAUUAAGCCCAUCAAAGAAAAUAUUCAUUUGUGUAUCUGAAUCAAUUUUAACAUGUGGACACUUUAUGUACAUCUUUGUAUAUCUCUCCCACGCUUCAUGAAACUCUUCAUUAGGCUUCUGUGUGAAUGUCAAAAUCUCCCUCUUGUAAUUCAAUGUCUUGGAUGCUGGAUAAUAUUUGUUCAGGAAUUUUGUGUGUAACUGCUGCCAAGUAGUAAUGCUAUUAGCUGGUAGAGUGAAUAACCAAGUUUCUGCCUUGUCCUUCAAAGUGAAAGGGAAAAGACGUAACUUAAUAGCCUCAGCAGAAAAACCCCUAAUCAAAAUAUUCUUGCAACCCACAAUAAAUUUUGCAAUAUGUAUGUUUGCAUCUUCAUUAGGCAAUCCCCGAAAAGUAGGUAGAAUUUCAAGCAUAUGGUGCCUGAUCUCGAACGAAUCACCCUCUUCUUGUUCAGGAUACACAAUGCAAUUGGGAACAUCAGUGGCACGGGCUUCCAAUGACUCCCUGAGUGGUCUACCUGCCGCAGGUAAUUCUAACGCCAUGUUACUCUCGUUUGCAAACAGAUCCUGCAGAAAAGUGCCCUGCAGUGAACAGUCCCAAGCCCAAGUAACUUCUCUCCGCUGUCUAUGCAGUGUGCGCUCUGGUUCUGGAUCAAAUUGUACAAUCUGUGUAGUUCCUGAUCUGGUCUGGACCAUGCAGUCUGCAAAAUCUGCAACAGAAACAAAAUUGUUCAAUUUCAAUUUUUUUUUUUGGACGAAAAUUAAAAAUAAAAUAAAAUGAAAUAAAUCAGAAAAAGGUUAAACAAAAAUUGUCUAAAAUAGUCCCCAGCAACGGCGCCAAUUUCUUGAUAGGAUUUUUAGUACUUGUGCAAACAGUGUUAAAAAUCACAUAAAAUACUUGCAAGAAUACAAGGCUAUUGUAGUAUAGAUGCUCAUGCAAGGUCGUUUUCCUCAAGGACUAAUUAGCAAUUUAUGUAAAAACAAAUUUCAAUUACUACUUAAAAUAAAAAGUCAAGAAAGAUGAUUAUAAAUUUGGUGGAUUCUAAAAAACAAAUAUUAAACAAAAACAAAUACGAUUGAAAGAAAGAGUUUUGAAUAUCAAUUUAUAAAACCACUAGGGUUUCACCAUCACCUAGCAAUCCUAUGAACUUUUACCAAUUACUUAUGAUUUGCACAUGCCACUUUGAAGGUUAGGUUUUCCUAUUGUAUAUUCUACUUGGAACCUCCAACACAGAACGUAUAUCCAACAUGCAACCCGUCCGGACGUUCGGAUCAAAUCUGAACAUGAAAGACUCAUUAAGUUUUGUGAAAACCCUUUGAAAAACCAUGCAACCCUUAAGACGUGGUGUUCAUCUUAAGUGAAAUUACAAUUAUUAAUCACAAGAAGCUAGCAUAAAUUUCAGGGAACCUUCCGACCAAAAUUGCAUCCAAUUACUUUUCUAAAGAUCCUAAUGGUGAUCAGGCAUUAAGACAAUUAGAUAGUUUAAAAUAGUGAUUAACAAUUCAAAAUACGCAUGCACUCAUCAUAAGCAAUUAAAUAAAAAUCACAUAUUCAUGCUAAGGUUCAAGGCUUCACCCUAGCAAAAGAAAUUUAGUUACGCAUACUCAUAAUUGAAAUCCAAGAAAAUAUCAUUAAGAAGAAAAGAACGAAAACACCUGAAAGUUGUGAAAACCCAAAACCCUAGCAAUUGCUCUCUACAAUGCAAAGUUCAAAAAUAAUUAAGAAGUCCUAAAUUCCUUGUGAGAAAGAGCUUAAAUAUCCCUUAAAACCUAGCUGCCAAUGUACAGCUUUUCUAUCCCUACAAGGAAACUAAUUAAAGUAAAAUAAUACUAGGAAAUAAAGUCCAAAUUGGAAUAGGAGAAUUUGCCCAAAAUCAGCCCAGCCACGUUUUGGCCCCAAAUCUCCUCCAAAUCUGGCCCAAGAUAGCUUUUUUUAAAGACACUACUACAAAAAGUGAAAAAGACGACCAGAAAACAACGACGGUCUAAGUGAAAACCGUCGUGGUUUUUAAAAAGACGACGGUUCUAAAAACACCGUCGUGUAAUACCACCUUAGACAACUAAAAAAUGGAGAUUCAAAUGGCUGUUCAAAAACAACGACGUACCUAAUUAAACAACCGACGUCUAUUUGAAACAGAUUUCCGCAGUGUAAAAUCAAAGCAAACAAAGAACGGCAGAAGUUAUGAAUAGACCGACGUAGAAAGUAAAGACGACGAUUUCAAUAAAAGCCGCCGUUUUUACUCAUAAAAUAACACGACGAGGUUUUCGUAUAAGACGCCGUAUAAUUACAAACAAAUCCACGGCUUUAAAAUACAAAAAUAAUCUUAACAGAUGACACAGAUUUGCAAUCAGAAGAGACAAUUUUUGAAGUUGAUCAACGUCGUUGAAAAUUGCAAUCAGAAGAGACAUUUUCAACGACGGNNNNNNNNNNNNNNNNNNNNNNNNNNNNNNNNNNNNNNNNNNNNNNNNNNNNNNNNNNNNNNNNNNNNNNNNNNNNNNNNNNNNNNNNNNNNNNNNNNNNGGAAGUUGAUCAACGUCGUUGAAAAUUUGCAAUCAGAGAGACAAUUUUCAACGACGGUUAUAUUAUACCUAACGACGUUUAAAAACAAAUCAACGUCGCUCAACAAAUAUAUUACGUCGUCUUAGUCUUACUUAAGACGACGAAAAACGACGACAGUAGUAAAAAAACAGUCGUUGUUUUUAUAUUCUUAUUUUAUUUAAAUCUGUCGUGUUAGUUAAAAACGACGGCAUAACAAAAAACCGUCGUUUUGUUUCAAACUGAAUUAAUUUAAAAUUUCUUCAGGAAAGCAAAAUCUAUUUAUAAUUUCCUCGGGUUAGUAAUAUUGUGUCGUGUUAGUUUACAAAUUCUAGAACAUUAAUUUCCCUCAUUUUAAAUUUUCUCGGGAAAGAAAAAUCUAUUUAUCACGCUUUGUAAUUGAAAACUAAAACUGAAAGAAUUCUGGAAAAAAAACUCUAUUUAUAAUUUAAAAAUAAAAUGCACGUCGGUUGUAGUACACUUAACGACGUUUAACAAAAUAAUCUACGUCGGUAAUUAUAAAUCUACCGCCAUCUUACCCUAAUAUAGACGACGAGAAAAGACGACGGUAGAACAGAAAACCGCCGUUGUUUCAGUUUCUUUAACAGUUUGGUCCUUUAUCUUUCUGCAGGACUUGUAUAGUUCAAAGCAUUGACAAUGUCUUCAUCAUAUCUCCCAGCAACUACUGAUUCGAUUGCUCAUGCUUUAGAGGCCAUCUGAAGCCAUUUCUAUUCUUUAUCGCAUUCUUGAAACCCAUCUUCUUCUUCUGAAGCUCUACGGAUAAAGGAAGAGGCUAUCACAAAUCUGACGGAUCUUCUUAGUCAAAAAAAUCAAGCAGAGGAUCAGGCACAUCUGAUCUUCAGAUUUCCCUGAGAAGCGAACUUUCCUUCGACAGCGAGUGGAGGCCAGGCUUGCAUCUCUUUUGAUGGAAAGCAAGGAGUAUUCAGAAGCACUAAGUGUCCUAUCAGGCUUGAUCAAGGAAGUGAGAAGGCUAGUUGACAAGCUUCUUCUUGUCAACUAGCCUAAAUGUAAGCUCAAUUUCUCUUUGAGAAAGACCUCCAAAUUAUUGUCUUUGAGAUGUGAGAGACAGUGUCUCUGAGAGAGGAAGAACUUGGAACCCUAAAUGUAAACCGCGAAAAUGAAUGAAAGCGACAAAUUUAUAGAAUAAAUUUUUAAAACCAACGGCGGUACUUACCAAGAAACCGCCGUUUCAAUUGUAAAAUCAACGUCGGUAUUACUGACGUAUAUUACAGAACUCCACGUCGGUACAUUAAUAAUCACGACGUCUUAAAUAAUCUACCAUGACGCGAGUUAUUACUUAUGUACUUUAAUUUUUGAGUUUACUACGACGGUACCUACAACACUACUGUCGUAUUUAUUUACCACGUCCGAAGUUAAAUUUACCGACGUAUUUUGUACUUUAUACGUCGUAGUUAUAUGUAACCGCCGUAUUAUUUUUUUGAAAUGGUUUUAUAUGUAAGCAACUUUUCGUCUACUUGACUUACACAUUAGUUGUUUUUAUAUUCUUAUUUUAUUUAAAUCUGUCAUCCAAAAAAGAAACUUUACAUAUUGCAGAAUAUUAAUUUCCUUCGUUUUAAAUUUCCUCCGGAAAAAAAACUCUAUUUAUAACGCACUGUAAUUGAAAAAUAAACUGAAAGGUCACGGGAAAAAAAAUUCUAUUCAUAAUUUAAAAAUUAAAAUCCACGUCGGUUAUAUUAAACCUAACGACGUUAAAUGAAAUGAUUCCACGUCGAACGAAAAAUAUUUCGUCGUGUUAGUUAAAAACGACGUAGUUAAAUGUAACCGCCGUAUUAUUUUUUUGAAAUGGUUUUAUAUGUAAGCAACUUUUGGACUUACACAUGCACUGUUUCCAAACCCGAUUAAAAAUUUCAAUCUCCAGAGAAACCUUUUCGUCUUUUUUCCUUGUCAGAGCAUUAUCAGAGUUUCUCAUCGUCUUCCUCUCGUCUUCUUCGUCGUCCUUGAACUUAAACAUCGAUCAUCUUCCUCUUGCUUUCAUUGCACGCAAAAGGUAAGCUUUCAUUUUCACUAUUUUGGUUACUGUUUUGCAUGCUCAUACGUUUUUUGUUUGAAAAAUCUUUUUACCUUUUUUCUGGCCAAAAUCAUUUUACUUCUUUCCAAGUUUGAUAAAAUAUACAGACAAAAAGGGAAAGUUUCCAACUUUGAAGACAACUACCUCAACUAAAUGAGACGACGGUAGACCACGACGGUUCGUCAGUUGUUCUAGCGUCGUCUGAAAAUUGACAAAGUUGUUUUUAAAAUAAUAGUCUUUUUUUAUAUGCUUGUUUAAUUGCAGGUUUGAUUUCUCUGAACAAUGGUUUUUGUUUUUCCCUUAUUUGAUAAAAUAUAAAGAAAAAGAAACUAGGGUUGGUAUCUAAUAUAGACGACAAAAUAUCUUAUUGUUUUACGUCGUGUGAAUGUUAAUACCACGACGGUGUAUUACUAUUAACGUCGUAUGAACAUAAAUACCACGACGUUAUAUAAAUAAUAGUUUACCACGACGGUGUAUUACUAUUGACGUCGUGUGAACAUAUAUACCACGACGUUAUAUAAAUAAUGGUUUUAAACAUUUAUUACGUCUGAGAUUAUUUCAUUGCGUCGUCUAAAAUCAUAUCAUACGUCGUAUUUUUUUAAUACCGUCGUUUGUGUUCUUAAUGUUUUCCUGAAAUAUUUUCACUUGCAGUUUUGUCUGUUAAAAUGGUUUCUCAACAACAAACUAAGGAUUCUGGCUCCAAGAAGCUUGGAAUGGUAGCUCCUCAAGACAAGUCUUCGAAGGAGAUGAAGUCUUCGAAGAAGAUGAAGUUUGCUUCAUCAUCUGCUGAGACAGAACCAACCAGCCAGACAACAAUCUCUGAUGAUUCAAAGACUGGUCGAGGCAUGAGCACAAUGCCUCGUGUUGUGAAGAGAAAGCUUCAGAAACUGAGGCCAAUUGUUGAGUACAAUAAAAGGGGGAAAGGUGUUGGCCAAGCACAUAUUGAGAUGCAGUCGUAUAUUGGUGUGUUGGCACGCUCCAGGAUCCCACUUGUGGACAAGAAAUGGUCCCAAAUCCCCAAGGAUAUAAAGGAGCAGAUUUGGGAAGCAGUUGACAUGGCUUUUGUCGUAGGCCAAGGGGGCAAGACCUCUGUUUUAGCUUCUGCUUCCAAGAAAUGGAAGGAUUUCAAGUCUACACUAACGAGGCAUUAUAUCCUUCCAUACACCAAUGACAGGGAGAAAUUAAGCCAACCCCCUGAAACAUAUAAAUUCAUAGAGAAAGCACAAUGGGAUGCCUUUGUAGCUUCAAGGCUAUCCAAAGAUUUUGAGUCUGUGCAUUCUCAACAUGCACAGAUUAGGGAGAAACUCGAGUACAAUCAUCGAUUGUCUCGAAAAGGAUAUGCUGGAUUGGAGGAUCAAUUGGAGGAAACCAUGCCUGGGGUAGAAAUUGAUCGAUCUACCUUAUGGAAGAGAGCUAGACAGGACAAACAUGGUAACAUCCCUGAUCCAAAGGUGGCAGAGAAAGCAAAAUUAAUUGUAAGCCUACUAUCACUCUGUUUUAAAUUUUUAUUAAACUGUGAAUUAUUCUUAUUACGUCGUAUGUUAUAUUUUUCGUCGUGUGAAUGAUAUUACCACGUCGAAAAGUUUUUAAAAACGUCGUUAAAGGUCUAAAUAGGAAUCACUACUAAUUUUCUGUAAUUAUAGCAUAAGACGUCGGUGGUUCAUUUUCGCGUCGUUUGAAUGAUAUUACCACGUCGAAACUUUUUUAAAAACGUCAUUAACGGUCUAAAUAGGAAUCACUACUCUGUUUUCUUUAAUUAUAGCAUAAGACGUCGGUUGUUUAUUCAUUUCGUCGUUUUAAAUAAAUAACCACGUCGGUAUAACUACCGUCGUGAUAAGUUAUAAUAACGUCGGUUUAUACGUUAUUGCGUCGUGUGAAAUUAUAUAAUACGUCGUUUGUACAUAAAUAACCGUCGUGUGUUUUUUUGUUUAUCUUUGUUUUAGGAUGAAUUGCAGAAACAAGUCUCGGAAGGCAAAGUCAGAGUAGAUGGCAGCAAUGAUGUGCUGACCAUGGCUUUGGGCCCCGAGCAUCCAGGCAGAGUGAGGGGAGUUGGUGCUGGUGUUUCCCCAAGGCAAUAUUUCAAUUUGCCCAAACCACAGAGGGUGAGCUUUGACGACCAUUUGAAGGACAGUUUAAGAGUUCUCCUUCAAGAAGAGACUAAAAAGAUGGAGGCUAAGGCAAGGGAAGAGGCCUUAAGAAUGGAGGCUAGGACAAAACAAUUGGUAGAGGCUGAGAGGGAGCAUUUCCUGAGUCAGCUUUCCCAAUUAAUUCCCAAUUUUGAUCCAAGCAUGCUUAAACCAAGAAUUAGCCAAAGCCCCAAAAAUCCAAUGUCUGACAAAGCUAGCUGCUCUGGAGGUGAUGUGAGAUCCCUACAUUUGGAGGAUGAUACUGCCAAAAUGGGGAAACAUCAGCCAGAUGAAGAGAAGGAAGAAGAAAAAAGAGAUGAAGAGAAGGAAGAAGAAAAGGAGAAAGAAGAUGAAGAAAAGCAUGACGACAAGGUAUGUUCACAUAACUUUGCCUUUUUUAUUUGUUUUUCAAAAUUUCAGACGUCGAUAUUUUUAUUUAAUCCGUCGUUUGUUUAAAACUUAGACGGCGGACUUUUUUUAAGACGUAAUAAAAUAUUUAAACGACGGUUUUUGCACCGUCGUUUAAAUGGUUUCAGACGACGCUUUAUUCAUAAAAUCGUCGUCUUUAUUGAAUUACCACGACAGUUUUUUCACCGUCGUUUAAAUACUUUUAAGACGACGUUUUAUUCCUUAAACCGUCGUCUUUGUUGAAUUACCACGUCAUUUUUUUUAUUUCUUUAAACAGGUUAUUGAAGUUGGUGCUUAUUCAAAUAUGGAGGCGCCAUCUUCUUUAAAAACCCUUUGUCGUUUUGUGGAAACGACACUCCUGCCUGAGGAUAAGACACUCCAAUUUACAAUUGAUAAGGAGGUGUUUGGUGGUGAGCGCGAUACCUUCCUCCUGCCUGAAGAUAUUACACAAUUUGCAGGCAUGGAAGAAAUUGGAGCUACUGUAUUGGCUGUAUAUAUGAGGUUUGUACUUCUAAAAUAAUACCUCGUUGGUUUAUAUAUUGCGUCGUCUUAACUAACUAACCACGUCGUCUUAACUAACUACCGUCGUGAUAAAUAUAUUAUAACGUCCUCAUCUAUUUCAGUACGUCGUGUGAAAUAUUAUAAUACGUCGUUUUUUUAUACAUAACCGUCGUGUUUGUUUGUGCUGACUUGUUUAUAUUAUUUUAUGUAUUUAGGUACUUACACGAUGUUUUGAAACAAGCCAAUAUGUGCAGCAUGGUUGGCUUUAUCGACCCUGCUACAGUUAGUGCCAACUCUGGCACAAUAACUGAAAGAUCACGACUGGUAGCAGCUCGACUUCAGAAGACAGACGGUGAACAGAUUUUCAUGAUGCCUUACAAUCCAGGGUUAGUCUCCUUAGGAUUUUGUUUUUAUGAUUUUCAAUAAAUGACAGCUUAUAAACUAACCACGUCGGUGUUUUAUUUUAUUUAGUCGUUUGAAACUACUAACCACGUCGGUAUUUAUUUAUCGUCGUGAUAAAUAUAUAAUGUCGUCGUUAUCUACUUUAUUUCGUCGUGUGAAAUACUAUAAUACGUCGUUUUUGUAAAUAACCGUCGUUUUUAUAUUCAUUUUGUGCAGCCGUCAUUGGAUCUUGCUGAUUGUAAGAGCAAAGAAGGAGACCGUCUAUUUUCUGGAUCCUCUGCCAGGUCAUCGUGUGGUCGACGAAGAGGCGAAAAACAUCGUGAACAGUGCUUUAAAAAUAUAUAAUACCCACAUAGCCCGAGCACGACGUAAAAAUGUAAUUUGGAAAACUCUCUCAGGCACACCAAAGCAACCCAGCAAUGUCGAAUGCGGGUACUAUGUGAUGCGCUUCAUGAGGGACAUCAUCAUGGAUCCUUCCUUGGGGUUUGAGAAUAAGGUAAGAAGAAAUUACCUUCAUACAUUUCACGUCGUUUUUUGUAUUAUCAACGACGGUCAUGUAAAAUUAACGUCGUUGAAUGGAUAUACUACGUCGGUUAUGAAAAAUAUCGUCGUCUGUGAUUGAAUUUCUUUUUAUUUAUAAACCCUAAUAGUCAUUGUUUAUGCAGUAUGCCAAGGGAAACCAGGAAGCUUCAUACCCCCAAGAAGCCAUUGAUGAAGUCCGGAAUGAAUGGGCAGAGUUUGUUUUCCAAAUUAUUAAACAGGGCAAUUAUUGAACACUUGAUAUUUAUGUAUAAUGUACAAAUUUUCUCUAUAAUAUGUAAUGUAAAAAUUUGUUGAGGUUUUCUUAAAUUAAAAAAAAAACAAACAUACAAAUUGCUUAACCGACGUGUAAUACUUUUCCAACGACCUAAUAAAGUCAAAAACCGUCGUAUUUUGUUGUUUCGUGUUUUAAACAAAUACGACGUAAAAAUAUAGUUAGACGACGUUCUUUGAACAAUUGAGUCGUUUAUGGUUUACAACAUCUUCAAUUUCUUAAGGGUUCAGGGUAUCAUCGACGACGUUUAUGUAACGACAGCGGUUAAGUCGUGGAAUAUAUAUUUUACGUCGUAUAGUUAAAUAGCCGCCAUGGUUUCUCAUUUUAACGACGUCAUUUUAACGACUUAGUAGUCUAUUACAAUUUACAACGUCUACAAUUUAUUAACACCGACGUGGUUUGUUGUUGUGGUAAGAAUAUUUUAUUAUUUUUAUAUCAAAAUAUUCAAAAUAAAUUUAAAAUAAAUCAGAAAAUUGAAAAGUCAUCUCCUAUGAAGUCAUUGAUAUAUUUUCUUCCACAUAAACCUUGAAAAAAUUCAUUUUGAAUAACAAAAAUUUAAAAUGACCAUCCAAAACAAAAUUGUUUUGAUGAGUCAUAAAAUCACUUCUAGUUUUAUGGUUUAGGGUUUAGAGUCUAGGGUUUAGAGAUUAGGGUUGUUAUUUGUUGGGGUUUAUUUUUAAAGUAUAAUUUUUGGGUAGUCUAGGGUAUAUGUUAGGCUUUAAAACCAUAAAACCUUUUAUAAACUUAAUUUUUUAAAUUGUAUAAUUUAGUUUUAUGGGUUUAGGGUAUUAAUUUUUAACGACGGUGGUUGCGUCGUGGAAUACAUAUUUUACGUCGUACAGAAAAACAUACGACAUGGUUUACGCUUUAAACGACGUCAUUUUAAUAUGUAAGUCGGUUUAUAUAAUUUACAACGUCUUUAAUUUCUUAACACCGACGUGGUUUUUCAGUCGUCGUUAUAUAAAAAAUUCAAAAUAAAUUUAAAAUUAAUCCGAAAAAUGAAGCUUCAAAAUGAACGGCCUUACGUUCUUAAUCCGAAAAAUGAAGUUUCCGUCGUGGAAUAUUAAAUUUACGUCGGUACUUGUAGAACUUUCGCCUUGGUUUUUCUUUCGACGUUUUAAAACGCGCGAGCUCUAAAAAUUUUCGCGUGACCUAAAUUUUUUUAGAUUUGGCUCUUAUUCUUAUACUUCGAACCCUGAAACCUAAAAUUUUCAGAUUUCGCUCUCUCACUUCUGCUCUAAUUAAAAGUUGCACUCUCCAGGCUUCGUCGAAUCUGUGAGCUCGUCCAACCUGUAAGUACAAACCCUAUCUUCCCCUUGUAAAUUCAUUGAAUGAUAUUAGGUUGUUUUGUUAAAGGGUUUUAUGUGUAUGCUUUGCGAUCUGUUAAUAAUGUGCUUAUAGGUAUGGGUUCAUAGAUUUUCUGUUUAAUGGGUUCAUGGAUUACAUUAUCUGUUAUGUUGAAUUGGGAAUGGAUUUAAUUUUGUCGUAUCUUUUAAUCACCCUAUGUUAUGUUGAAUUGGGAAUGGAUUUAUUGUUUUCAUGCUUGGUUUCAUGUAUAUGUUGGUUUCUUGCUUGGUUUCAUAUAUAUGUUGUGUUCUUAAUGGGUUUUGUGUUCUUGAAAAUAAACUGAGACACGACAAAUUUUAAGGCAUACGACGACGAUUACACGACGGUUUUUUUAAACUACCGUCGUUGUAUUACUUAUACAAGACGGUUUUUUCAUAAACCGUCGUUUGUAUUACUUAUAAUAGACGACGUCUGUUGAAAAUCCGUCGUCUAUAUAUGCCAAAUACGUCUGUUUUUGUUUAAAACCCGUCAUCUCUGUUGUGUAUUACUUGCGAUUAGAUCAUUGUAUAAUCUGCUAUAGUGAUGGUCAUUGCCUGUAUUUUCACUUUAUUAUAGAUAAUAGGUUAUAGUGUCGGAGAUGGAUAAGUCAUGGAUGCACUCGGAUAGAAGAUCGAAGGCAUAUGAAUUUGGGGUGGAAGCAUUUUUGAACUUUGCUUGAGAAGUACUUUCCCCCUUCAUUCUUUGAUAUCAUGGUUCAUCUAGUAGUACAUCUUGUCAGAGAAGUUCGUCUAUGUGGGCCAGUAUAUUUUAGGUGGAUGUAUCCGUUUGAAAGAUAUAUGAAAGUGCUGAAGGGGUAUGUUCAGAAUCGUACUCGUCCCGAAGGUUGCAUUGCUGAGCGGUAUAUAGCUUAAGAAGCGGUAGAGUUUUGUACUCAGCAUUUAUCUGAUGUUAGUACAGUUGGAGUGCCUUCAAGCCAAAAGAUGGGACUUUCAAAGCCAUUAUCAGGUUGCACAGUGAGCGUAGUUGAUCAGGACCUGUUGAAUCAAGCACAUCUAUAUGUCUUGGAGAAUACGGAGGAAGUCCUACCUUAUAUCGAGUACGUAUGAGCUUUAUUCUUUAAGUUUCCAUUUUAAAUUAUUUCUUAUGUUUAUCUUCUAUAUUUGGGACCGUAAUGCUUGAAUUUUUCGUGUCAUGUAGGCAACAUAUGAUCCACAUCAAGAUUGCUUAUCCAAAAUUUAGAAAGAGAACAAAGUGGCUGCAGGAUAAGCACAAUAGCACUUUCAUUCAAUGGCUACGCUUCAAGGUAUAUGUUGUUGAAUAACAUAUUUCUCUUUUAAUUUUCUUCUUAUUUAUAUGUUAGAUUGAAUUAAGAUAUGAUUAAUUUGCAGGUUCAAAGUGAACUUGAGGAAGACAAUCAUGGCGUAUCAGAAAAUUUAAGGUGGCUAGCAGCUGGUCCAAACAUGUCAGUGCCAUUAUAUAGGAGCUAUCUUAUUAAAGGUAUUAAAUUCAAUAUCAAGGCACAAGAUGAUGUGCGGACAACUCAAAAUAGUGGAGUUUAUUUACUUGCACAUACCAUGCAAGUUGCUAGUGCCAAGGAUAAAAACCCAAUUCUCUCAAACAUGGGUUUCUAUGGUGUCAUUCAAGAAAUUUGGGACCUUGACUACCAAAAGUUUACAAUCCCAGUCUUUAGGUGUGAUUGGAUAGAUAGUUCUGGUCUUGUAGUCGACGAACUUGGAUUUACCCUUGUAGAUUUGAGUAAAAUUGGACAUAGGAAUGACCAAUUUGUUUUGGCUUCUCAAGUCAAACAAAUAUUUUUUGUUGACGACCCGAUGCAUCGUGGUUGGUCGGUAGUGUUAUCAAUGCCUAAUAGAGAAUAUAAUGAUGUUAUUGGUGAUGAAGUCUUAGGUGAUGUGAUAAUUGAGUGUGAGCCAUUUACUAGAGGGAUGCCAAAUGUUGACACAUUUGAUGAACUGGUGGGUGAGUUAGGCGGUCAAAAUAUUCGAGAUGGGUGUGAAGAUAUAUGGAUUGAAUGAUGCUUAUGUAAUUGGCAGUGUAUGACAUUAAUUUUGUAAUAUAUUGUAAUGUGAUUUCUUCACUUUCUACGUUCAAAUAAAACACGACGUUAUUGUGAACCAGUUAUUCAGCAUAUUUACCGACGUCUUAAAGCAACGUAACAAUGAAGAACCACGACGCUAUUGUGAAGCAAUUAUUCAGGAUAUCACGUCGGGGAAGGAUUAAGAACCGCCAUGUAAUUCAAAAUAACACGACUCCAAUCCCAUAAUACCGACGUCUAAAAAACGAGAUAUAUAAUCUGAACGUUAAAAAAUACGACGUCAUCAUACAUUUUCCACAUCGCAAGUUCUUUUAUAAACGAAGAGGAACGAAAUGAAUUCCGACGGAAAUUCAUUAUAACCGCCGUCUAAUAACAAUUAAACGACGUUAUUUGUAAUACGGCUCUCAUCAUAAUCAACGCCGUCUAUAUGUUCUGUAAUACGGCUCUCAUUUAUUUGGAACCGACGUUGUUUAGAAGUUCAACGUCGUCUAUAUUAUUAAGUGCGUCGUGAGUAAUGAUGAUAGAUAUAAAUACAACGUCGACUAUAUAAAUGCCACUGACGUUGUUUCGCAUUUCAACGUCAACUGUAUAAAUACAUACGUCGUAAAUAAUGACACUGACAACUAUUUCCACGUCAUCUUUUUUAGAAAAAUCGAAGUGGAAAAUUUAUUUCACGACGGUUGUUUGUAAAUAAGAGACGUAGUAUAUUUCAAUAACGUCGUCUUCUCAUGUAUUUAAAGACGUCAUAUUUUUUCUUGUCGUGUAAAUUAUAUUUAACGGCGUAGUAUUUUAGUUGUCGUCGUUGUAUGUAUAUCUUGCGGCCUUGUUCUUUUAACAUGUGUCAUAUUUUUCCUUUUUAACGACGGUGAUUUGUUUGAGUUGGUCGUCUAUUCUCAUCCUCGACUAUUUUCUAGAACUUUAGCAGACUAAACACGUCUGUUUUUAUUGUUUUCCGACGUUGUUUUAUUUAACAACGUCUAAUAUUUAUCGUCGUUGUUUGUUUCUGAAAAUAUGACGUAUAAAUUUUGUAAUACGACUCUCAUAUAUUUGUAACCGACGUUGUUUCGUUUUUCAACGUCUACUCUAUAAAUACAUACGUCGUAAAUAAUGACACUGACAACUAUUUUCACGUCAUCUUUUAUCGAAAAAUCGAAGUGGAAAAUUAAUUUUACGACGGCUGUUUUUAUAUAUGCGACGUAGUAGGUAUCAAUAACGUCGUCUUCUAAUGUAUUUAAAGACGUCAAAUUUUUUAUUGUCGUGAAAAUGAUAUUUAACGGCGUCGUAUUUUUAUUUUCGUCGUUGUAUGUCUAUCUUGCGGCCUUGUUCUCUUAAUAUGUGUCAUAUUUUUCCUUUUUAACGACGGUUUUUUUAGAGAGUUGGUCGUCUAUUCUCAUCCUCGACUGCUUUUUUAGAUCUUUUUGCAGUACAAAGACGUCGUUUUGUAUUUGUUGAUGACGUUGUAUAUUUUAACAACGACGGUGAUUUUGCGUCGUGGUUUAUGAGGGAAAAGAUGACGGUGGAUUCCACGACCAUUGAAAAACCGAAUACACGACGGUGAUUUACCGUCGUCUUUUUGCUUUUUUGUAGUAGUGAGAUAAAAAUGUUCUGAACACUUCUCUAGAAGGCCACGAACCCAUCCGAGGUCAUCUUGGGCUCCAAAAACACAAUAAAAGCCCAACACGUCACUAUUCCAGCACCGCGCACUGCUCAUUUAUUUUAUUGCCAGAAAAUAACCGCUUGGAAGAAAAAUCUGAAAUUUUGAUACGAUCAAGCUAAGUGACUCAAGAACGUCCUCCAACUGGAAUUACUCCAAAAUUCCUCAAUUUGAUUAUGUUUUGCUCCAGAGAGAGUCGAAAGUCCUAUAUUGGAAAUAUAAUUCAAAGUAUCAAAAUUCUUCCAAAAUAUUAACCAAAAUAUACUAAGAAUGAGGUUAAAUAUAUAAUAUAAAAUAUGUCCAUCACCCCACAACAACUAAAGAACCAACAUUUUGUAGAAGGUUUUGUCUAUACCUUUGACUGUAAGUAAAUCUCUUGUAUCUGCUCCUGUGGUUCGGUGAAGUUUCUUUGUGUCCUUUCUGCGGAGUCUCCCAUGCUUGUUCCAUGAAAAUGUUCUAGGAGAAAAUACGGUUGUUUCUUACUAGAUUCAAAUGAUUAAGAAAAAUAAAAACGCAAGAAAAAAGGUAUUUUCUUGAUGGACUUGGUGAUGAAAAAUAUCACUCUCUUUAUAUGUCGUCUUCCUUGGACUUUGAGACCUUGGGUUUCGAUUCUUCUUGAGGAUUGCAUAGGGUUUCUAGGCCCAAGAAUACUUUGAGUUAGUUUUUGCGUUUUGGGCUUUGAGACUUUGAGACUAUAAUGAGUGGAAAGUUAUAAGGGGUAAGUUAUAAGGGGGUCACUUUAUAGCCAUCAGAUUAAUCCAAGGGCUGGGGAGAAUUGAGAUAAAGUUUCACAAUUGGGUAGGUGAGGAACCCAAACCCGAAUUGAAUAUCCAGCACGUCCAAAAAGAAGAAGAAGAGGGAAACACGUCCGAAAAAGAAGAAGAAGAGGCAAGUUCGAAGUUUGAACAGAAAGAACUCAUCUCUCUAAAACACAGAGGUCUGAGAUACCCAAUGAAGGCAACGGCUAACGACAGUUGAAGGCAACAAUUCGCCACUCCGUUCUCCAGACCCCGAAAAAGUAUUUAUUUGGAGUAGAAGGGGCAAAGGUGUGGAUUCCAAAUCAGUGAAGGGGCGAAGCAGUGGAAGGGGAAGGGGAGAAGCUGUAUUCGUUGGAAGUGUAGGUUCCAUUUGUGGAGCAAAGAAAUAGAAAGACCCCACACAGACACCUUGCAAUAACCAGCAUUUGGUGAGUAAUUUAUGGAAUUUGAGUUUAGGGUUAGAGUAAUGGUUUUCCCCAAUUUGUACCAUAAAUUUUGUUGGAUUUGGCAUCUCUUCGUUGUGCUUCAGUUGCAUGUUAAUUUUUGCUUAGGUAUAUGUUAAAAAAGGAAUGAAAAUUAAGUCAAUAACAAGUGAAUAACAUGUCAAUAAUGAUAUGAAUAAGAUAAUGGUGUUGAAUUGGAGGAGGCCCUCAAAACCUUCCACAUUUGAAGCAGUGCAUAGUGCAGAUUAAGAAGAGGCGCUAGAAUAUAUAUAUAUAUUUUAUGAAGUAAAUAUGAUUUCCUUUGUUACUAAAUUUGCCUGAGAAACAUUUGAACAGAUAAUAAUAAACUCAUGAAUAGAACUGCAAAGCAUUUGAUGAGCAAUGUAAGGAAUUUAAGUUUAGGGUUAGAGUAAUGGCAUCUCUUAUUUGUGCUUCAAUUGCAUGUUAAUUUUUGCUUGGGUAUAUGUUAAAAAAUGAAUGAAAAUAAAGUCAAUCACAUGUCAAUAACAUCUCAAUAACAUGUCAAUAACAUGUCAGUAAUGAUAUGAAUAAGAUAAUUGUGUUAAAUUGGAGGAGGCGCUCAAAACCUUCACAUUUGAAGCAGUGCAGAGUGAAGAGUACCUCUCUGGCACUAGAAUUUAUAUAUUUUGUGAAAUAAAUAUUAUUUCAUUUGUUACUAAAUUUGCCUAUGAGAAAUGAGAACAGAUAAUAAUAAACUCAUGAAUAAAAGUGCAAAGCAUUUGAAAUGAAGGUUGAUCUAUGACGAUUGUGGGUGACUGAAGAAAAAGGUAGAAAGAAAGAAGGAUGUGGCAAUUGCUUAGCAAGCAGAUAGCAGAGUACAUGCUUUGCUUUGCUUCCUUCCACUAUAUUUCUUAUUUAUUUAUUUUGGGUUGUGUAUGAGAUGACAAUAAUUGUCAUGUGUGUGAAGUGCAGAACUUGCCUACAUUGCACUCACACGAGUAUGGAUGCAUAAAUAAAACACGUGAAAUUGUUUGUAAUUCACAUAAUCAUUGCAUUAACAGGUAUUUGCACAAAAAUUGUCAUAUUGCUUUGAUGAUGUUAAAGGCUGUGAUGAGUAAUCCCUAUGCUCAUGUACUUUGUAAAAGUUGUAAUGUGCCUGGUUGACUAGUUGUGAUUGUGCAAAUACGUGGUAGUAUAUAUGUUCACGUUAUUUCACAUUGUAUUUGAGGAAAUGGGAUCCAACGUGGAGCUGGUAUGGCCAGAGGCAGAGGUAUAUUCGUCACGGGUGAACAACUGCUCACAUGCAAAUUCAUCUCUAGCUGCAAUUCGAGCGAAGUUGAGUGCGGAACAAUUAGAACAAUUCAAGACAUCAUGCUUUGGCCAUCUUCUGAAUAUAGAUAAGAUUCAGUUUAGCGGGCAGAUUGUGCAUGGGGUUGUGUUGCGUAGAGUAGCGGGGCAGGGUGUGAAAGACUUGGAUGGACUGAGUUUCUUAUUAGGGUGUGACGUUGCUCAGUUCACUCGUCAGGAUUUCUGUUUGAUCACAGGGCUUCGUUUUGGGGAAGUGCCUGAAGUUUCCAGUGGAGAGAGUGAUGAAAUCAGACUUCAGAAAAGAUAUUUUAUAGACGAAGGAAUUACAUGCAAUGCUUUAGAAGAAGCAUUUGUGAGGUGCACAGAGGAAGAUGACAUCUACAAGCAAGCUCUUGUUUACUUUGCUGAGUUAGUGGUUUUGGGAAGGGACAAACAUUUGAACAUCAAUCUAAAUUACCUGACCCUUGUAGAGGACUUGGAUGCGUUCAACAGGUAUCCGUGGGGUUCGGUGUCCUUUGACAAAACCCAAGACAGUCUAUUUUCUGCACCAACAAAGUAUGUGAAAAGCUUGGAAAAUGAAGAGGGAAGAGGGAAGGGGAAAAGUAAGGUAACGGGAACAAGCCGGAGAAAUGAGAAGGGCAAGAAGGAUAAGCAUGGUGAAGCGCAAAUGAGUGGCUGGAGUUUUAAAGGUUUCACGUAUGCUUUCCAGGUACAUGGUAAUAAUGUUCAUGUCAGUUAUGUUUUGUUUUUCUUUAAAACAUAAAUAAUGACUUUUGUCCUGUGAAUUGUGUAGAUUUGGGUAUAUGAAUUAAUUCCUAGAAUGGCGGACCUGAAUUACUGCAAGGUUGUUGAUCCGACCGUUGUCCCGCGUAUUUUGCGAUGGAGAACUACUACGUCUGUUCCAGAGAUGAGAAAGUUGAACAAUUAUUUUUUCCAGAGCAAAGAGGUUUGGUUUGCAGCCCUUGGAACUAUUGAUAAGAUUGAAUGAAAUUAUGAAGUAGAAUGAUUUGAUAUGACUCUUGUCUGUAUUCUGAAACAGUCAGUUCAGUUGCGGGCGCUAUGUCCGAGUGAAGAGGAAAUGAGACAGCCAUAUUGGAGUUGGCCACAGGAUCGCCCUGCUGUUGUCUCAGCAGAGUCAAUUCCUUCUUCAUGUGGUGAUCUUGAUGAGUUGAACAAGGUGGUAAGUUGGUUGAGGUCCGAGUUGUUUCAAGUAAAGCGGGAAAAAGACGUCCUUCACUUAAAGGUCAUACGGAUGGAAAAACUGUUGGACCAAUGUUUAGGUCCUCAGUUUGAGCAGGAAGUAAGGAGGGACCUAGCUUUACUGAAACAGAGGACGAAUCGUUGUGUCAUCUCACAUCUAUUUAAGGGAUAUGGGGAAAUGGAUGACAUUCAAUGGGAUGAAGGGCCAAGUAACAGAAAUGAGGGAGAGGAAAAGGAAGAUGAAGGGAUUGAAGGGGGUGAAGGGCCAAAUAAUAGAAAUGAGGGAGCACAUAAGGAAAAGGAGGGGAUUGACGGAGAGGAAAAGGAAGAGGAGGGGAUUGAAGGGGGUGAAGUGCAAGGAAAACCAAGUGAGGUAGAGGAAGGGCAAAGGAAAAGAAGUGAAGGAGAGCAAGUGCAAGUAAAAAGUAGCAAAGGAGAGGAAGCCCAGAGACAGAGCAGUGAGGGAGAGGAAGUGAAAAGAAAAAGCAGUAAGGGAGAGAAACUGCAAAGGAAAAAAAGGGAGGGCAAGGAAGUGAAAACACAAACAAGUGAGGAAAAGGAAGUGCAAAGAAACCAAUGUGAGAAAGAAGAUAAUGAAGUUAUGUUGCUUGGGGGUGACAUUGGCGAGAGCACGGAGGGGACACUGCUUGAGUUUACUGUCGGGGACAUUGAUUUGGAUGAACCUACAGCUGUGCUAUCUCAGUUGAACGUGUGGUUGAAUGAUAAAGGUAAAGCUCUGGCACAAGGGGUCCAAUUACGGAAAAGGAAGAGGAUCAUUCCUUUGUGGAAGAUCAUUGAAGGCAGUGAAUUGGUUCCAAAAAUUGGGGCACAGACAACCGGACUGAAGAUGUUAGACCCAAUGAAGGCGAUUUCGCAUGAUGAUCUGGUGAAAUUGCUGAAACUUUGUUGGGAAUGGCGCCAGGACCCAAAGUAAGUCCCUUGCAAUUAUAAGAUACAAGCAUGACUGUAUAUAAUUUUUUAUAUACAGUGUUCUAAAACUGUUUUAUAUUCAUAGUUUGGUGAUGCAAUUUGGCAACGUGGAAGCUGAGAUUGAAUUCUUCGCUUCCCUCGUGAAAGCUGAUGGUUGGCUGAAAGGAGAUGUAAGUGUAAUUGAUUAUGCAUUUGUUUUAAUGUACAUACAUUAUGAGAUUGACAAGAAAAACAUGUUGCAGCACAUUGAUUUGGGGUUGUAUCUCAUCCGGAAGCGACAACAACAGUUGGAGACAGAUUCGGUAGAAGUAGCGGACUGGACAACGACCGAUGUUUUUUUUAUGGUAUGUCAUCGGCCUUGACCAAGUGCCGUUAAUAAUUACACAUUUUCCAUACACACACUAGUGGAGGUGUUUAACCAUUGAUUGUUUUGUAUUUCACAGAAUCACAUUCGUACUUGCUUUGCGGAUAAUAAAAGAAAAAAACAGCAGCUUGGGUGGAAAAUCAGGAAAAGUUUACUAACCGUUGUAAAUGGGAAGGUUCCUCCGUGUGGGUUGGAUUGGCAGACCGUCUAUAAGGUGUAUACCCCAUUUAUGUUGACGAAGUACAAGCAUUGGGUGGCUGUAAUGAUUGAUCUGGUAUUGUGUGAAAUCAAAGUGUACGAUUCAAAGGUUUCACUAAUUCCAGAUGACAUCGUAAAGGAAGAACUCGGCCCGCUAUCAAUUACGCUUCCAAAUCUUCUCAACACCAUCGACUUUUAUGAAAAAGGUGUUUAUGCAAACAAUUGCAGCCAAGAUUAGUGGUGUCCGUGGCCAAUAGAGCGUGUGGAUGUUCCACAACAGUCUAAUGAGUAAGCACAACUUGCAAUUUAAUUUUAUUACUUUCAAUUGUCAAUUACGUUAGAAUGUCAUUAGUUGAAUUGAUCGAGUUCUUGUUUUGCUUCAGAGGCGAUUGUGGCAUGUUUGUGUUAAAGUACAUUGAGCUUUUCAGCGCUGAGCUUCCGUUAGCUACUUGCACCUCGCACAACAUGCCUUUUUUUCGGUUGAAAUUGGCUGCGGAGAUAACAAGGGGAGAUGCUUACUUCCCAUGAUAUUGGUUGAAGAUGACAAAUGGUACAUGAGAAGGUUUUGGGAAUGUCCAUUCUCAAACUAAUGUAAAUACACAAUAGAGAAGUACGGGUCCUUAUCGAAUUCUACCGCUAACUCCUUCAUGACAUUUACAUGUUUGUUAACCAAACUGCAUUGAAUUGGAAUUUUAAGACUGCAUAUGUGAAUUGGGAUUUGAAGAUGGCUUUUUAAGUGUAUUACAUCAUUGCAAAGUGAUAUGUCAUUGUUGAUGCAAGCCACCAUUAAUCGCAAUGUGUUGCAUCAUAAUAGGUGUCUAAACAUGCGAAAGGUUUUCCGCAGCUCAGUAGCAUAAAAGUAGAAACAAAGACAAUAUACACAAAAUGAACAACAAUUCACAAAUGCACCGACAAGCAAUACACACACAACAGACAAACAAUAUACACAAACUUGGCCUGCCAUAUACAGAGAAUAGACAUGCAAUAUACACACAGUAGACAUGCAAUAUACACACAAUAGACAUGCAAUAUACACACAAUACUCCCUUAACACACACAAUAGACAUGCCCUUGCCCACAAUAAUGAUGCAAUAUACUUCAGUCCCCAAGUACACCAACCAUAGGGAAGUCGUAUUGAAUAGGAUAUUAAACUUAACAGUUGUUCUUCCUACUAAAAGAAAGAAUAAGGUUCGUUUCCCCCCUUCAUUCUUACUUGAGUGAUACUUGUGGCCCCAAUAAACAUCCAAUUUUGGGGCAAUGAUAUUCCAUAUACAUGCAGCAAACUAUCAAUAAACCUUCAAUAAACCUUCAAUAAACAUUCAAUAUCGUUUCUAUAACAUGCGAAAUACAUGCAGUUACCAAAUAUUACAAAAUGGGUUUAGGGUCUCAUUGGUGGUGCGUGCAACAUGUCUUGUGCGGGAGAACUUUCACAAUCUUUUAAACCGUGCAGUUAAAUGAUCAUUAAAAGAACAAAUAAAAUGACAAUUGAUACAACUAAUAAAACUAAUACCAAGUCCUUAAUGGACUUCAGCAUGUUCAGCACUCUAGCAUCAUACGUGUCAUCUUGAUGUUCUGCUUCAGCGGAGGUUACAUCAACCCAUUCGAAUCCAUUGCAACUGGUGGCUCCCUAAUUGCAGGCAUCAUAUAUGGAAUAUAAUUCUGUCAGAGUUAGACAUAGGUUUUUUUUCACCCACAUACAUAUUCUUUAAAUUAAAACUUACAUAGGAGGUUAGACACUUCCAGAAUGGCUUCCCUCGAUUUUUGUCAGAUUUUGAAACCCGAAGCACCAUUGUAGCUCCACAAUACUGACACCUCUUUGUUUGAGCGGGAGAUGAAGAUGAAGACAUGUUUAAUCUUCUCAGUUGUACCUCUUCUCACUCAGAUCUUCUCACUGAAACCUCUUCGGACUCAUACCUUCUCACUCAUAGUUGUCAUUCAUACCACUUCACUCAUAACCCUAAACUUGUCACUCAGCUCUCUCUCAUCUCUGCCCAAAUCGAGUUAUAUUUCUUUUUUUUGGGAUCAUUUGGUGGGUUGGUCACGAUGUCGACACCUGUACCGUCAGCAUUGUGACAUCUUUUAGCCCGAAAAGCAAUAUAAACUACUUCACUACCAAAUAUAUUUUCUGAAUAAUGACGGGACACUGCUUCAAUUUUAUUAAUUUAUUUAUAUUUCAUUAAGGCAACUAGUUGGAUAAGAAUCCGUCAUUAUUGGUUCCAUUUUAAUAACAUUACUAGGGGUAAUUGGGUGUGGGAAAAUGAAAAAGUAUAUGAUGGGACCUUCUGUCACUAGUCAGUAAUCCAUCACAUUUGUAUCAAUGAAUUUGAUAGUGGGAUAAACCCAAAAAUGGCUAUGCAAAUAGCCAUUUAAUUAACUUUUUGACUGUCUGACUCUGUAUGCACCGUUAUGACGUUUUCCCUUCUUUUGUCUUAAGUUUUAAUUCACUGGGGUUCAGUUUCUUUCAAAAGGGUCAACUUGGAAAAACCCCAACUGGAAACACCUUUUCAAAACACUAUAAACAGAGGCUAAAACAAAACGUGUACCCCAAAUAUUAUCAUUUAUCCCCUCUGCCACUCCUCAAAUCGUUCCAUUCCAAAAACUUUUCAAUGAAUUCGAAACACUUCACUACAGUCGGAGGAAAGAGAAGGAAGCAUGUCCAUUUCGAUAUGCCCGAAGCCUUCAUCCCGGAGUCCGCUUGGUUUCAAGUCAUGUUAUACGUGGCAACCGAAUCAUCGGAAGAUCUCUUCCGUAUGGCAUCUGUGUGACGAUUGUUCCGAACUUUGGCAAACAGUUCACAAGUGUGGAACACCAUUUCAAUGGCAAAGUACCCAGACCAUCCUAUAUGGUACCGUGCCAGACCUGCGGUCCAGCAUUUCUUGCAACAAUGCAGGGCUUGCGAUAACCCUGAGUCCAUAUUUAGAGAAGCAUUCGAAGGUUUUUUCAGGCACGGUAAGGUGGAAGCGUUGUAUGGGAUGCGCAUUGCAGCCACGGCAGGCCAUAUGGAAGCGGCAUAUGUAGUUGGACUACUUGGUAUGUCCGGAAUUGGUCAGUCAAAAGAGGAUGCAUUACAAUUCUUGUGUUCUUUGAAUCAACGUAACAACAUUGAUAUGAAAGGAACCAGGGAUGCUUUGACAGGAAGAUUUCACGGAGCAUUUGUUGCAAGACAUAUCGUAGAUAUGUUUGACUAUGGGAAGAUUAAGUUCAAUCGGUGCAGCGCUUGUAACAACAAUGAAUGGUAUUUUGUUAUUCCAGGCUGGCCUAGUGAAGACAAGAUAAAUCCUGCGUUGUGGACUUGUUGCAAUCGAUGCAAAUGGCACCGUGAGAGUAUUUUUUGGUGCAAACUGAUGCGUGAGUAUGUUGUGCGAGGGAAUCACGUAUUUUUGCAUUAGUUUUAGUACGAAUUUACGGUUUUGAUGCAUUGUGGACUUGCUUCUCUUCACUUCUAGGUUGGCUGGCUACGUUAUACCUAUCUCAGUUUAAAUGUUGUUCAAAUGUUGGUAUUUUGUCAUAAACCGUUUUAUAUAUAAAUGUAUAAUAUUUAUUAUAUAGCGGAAUUAUUACUUACAUCAUAGACGGCUAGGAAUGACAUUUUACUGACACAGAUAUUUUGCUCACCGACCCCAAUCUUCAUAUUUGAUAAACGAAAAGUUAUGCAUGGAGUAAAUAGGUGUCUUUUCACCAGUGCUUGGGAAUGACAUUUUCCCACUUAGCAUAUCCGAAAGGAUUUGGUUACACGUUUCUUAACCUAGGGGGUUGAACAGUGAAUGACGUAGACUAUUUUUUGUGUGUGGAAGGAGUACAAUGGAUGACUUGUAUAUUUCCAUAUUAUGUUUCAAAACAUCCCUUCAACCUAAAAAAUAAAAAAAUUAACAAAUUGAAGAACAGAGAAACCGAUGAGCACUACAAAUGGCCUAUUCGCACGGAAAAUAAAAUUGUUUUCAACAAGUUGGACUAAAUAUAAUUAACAAAUGGACAGCCUAAAAAGUAAUAUCAUAAUAAUUAUAAUAAUUGUGGAUAAAUAAUAAUAAAAUACUAAUGUAACAUAACCAUUAAACAGGGAAUGCAGUAGGAAGAUGAAAUCGCAAUAAGUUCGUAGAAAUUUUGGGAUCGUUUUUCUAAUUUUUGUGUAUUUAGUUAUGAAUUUUCCAAGAAAAAAGGUAAUAAAAUAAUAAUUUAGGGUAAAAUGGGAGGAUGUGGCCAUGUUCGGUAACGUACACUUGUGCAAGUAGUCAAAAGUGACGGGCUGAGAUCGCGCCAGGUGUCAUAUUCUUGUUAAUUUUGGAUUCUUUUGUUAAAAAAUCUUUGAAACUAGGUAAUAAAUAGUAGGAAAAUCGUAAAAAUGGCCCAAAAAUUACUCCGGCCUCCUUUUGACGUCCUAAAACUAGGAGAACCUAUAAAUCAUUCGUCUCGCAAUGAAAUAAUCCAAAUUGUGUUACAUAACUCACUUUCCUCUUAACCCUAAGUAUUGAUGUUUGUUAACUUCAACUUGAAUAACCUACUUCAACAAGCAUCUCCCGUUAAUAUUGGGAAUUAAUUUUACAAAUGCGUAACAAUGAAUCGGAGAAUUCAGCAACGGAGAUGGAGUGUCAAUGAGUUCGUAGCAAUUUUCGGAUAAUUUUUUUAUUUUGUGUGUAAUUAGUUCUGAUUUUUGUAAGGAAAAGUAAUAAAAUAAUAAUUUAGGGUAAAAUGGGAGGGUGUGGCCAUGUUGACUGACGUACACUUGUGCAAGUAGUCAUCAGUGACGGGCUGAGAUCGCGCCAGGUGUCCUUUUGCUAUUAUUUUGGCUUUUUUAGUGCAACAAUCUGUGGACAUAGGUAAUAAAUUCUACGAAAAUCCAAAAAAUGCCCGGAAAAUGAGAAAAUGAAAAUUAUUUGUACAUAACUCACUUUCCUCUUAACCCAAAUUCACGUUAACACGUAUAUUUCGGAUAAUAUUCGAAAUAUAAUUUCUAAUAAUACAAUAUUUAGUUUCACUAUAUACAAUAAUAUGUUUUUUUUAUAAUAAUGUACAUAAAUAAUAAUUGCACAUGCUUUGAAGCCAUCAUUGCAACUACGCCUAGAGCUUUGAAGACGUCAGUUCGUAUUCAAUAAGUUGUCCACAUGCAACUGCACCUAGAGUUUUCAACACGUCAGAGGUAUUCAAUAAGUUGUCCACAUGCAACUGCACCUAGAGUUAUUAACACGUCACAGGUAUUCAAUAAGUUGUCCAUAUGACGCCGCAUUGGGAAUCAGUAAUAUAUUUUCAAUCAUGUCAAAUCACAUAAAUAAUGCCAUACUUUUUCUCAAUAACCUCACACAAGUGAAGCAAUUUUAAAACCCUUAGUGAAUAUUUAUCCUAGUCUAUAUGAGUGAUUAUAUAAUCAGUUGCAUAAUAUUUUUUUCACAGUAUAUGUUAACUUUGAGAGGGAUUCCACAAACAUAAAAUAUAAAGAAAGCAAGAAAUAGUAGGAAAUGAACCAGUACAAAAAACAAUAUAUAAAGUGUACAUAAUAAUUCCAUAACCUUGUCACAAACGCACUCACAAAAGCUUUUCCAUAAACCUUGUCCUAACAUAUAAUAAAUAAAGGCAACAUUGCAUAUGAUGCAACCAUGUCCAAAUCUGAUAAGUGAUCAAAAACAAAUGGACAUGGCAGCAACAUAUGAUUGAAGUAGAUGGGCUCUUUGCAUCUUCUGUUUUCGUAAUUAAAGACAUCAAAAUAUUAAGGUUUAAAUCUUCCAUAGUAGUUAGCAUCAAAAUAGCUUUGAAGCAGAGUGUAACGAAAAUUCCAAUUCCACUUAUUUGCCUCUGCUCAAACACGAGAACCAAAAUGGUUACUUCCCUUGCUGAGUAUAUUUGGUGACGUCGGAAACGGUAAUAGAUGACCAAUCAAACCCGGGUACGACGAGUUUUGCAUAGGAUCGGAAGUAGUCGAAUCCAGCUUGCAUCACACGCUUCUUUGACUCCACUACAUUAGAUGAGUUCUUGUAUUUUUGAACAGCUACACUCUGAAGUCGUUUGUGUCUACGCUUCAUGCGCUGCAACUUCGCCCUAUCCAGAUUGGCCUGCCUUUUGUCAUCUUCAAUUUGGCCUUCCACAAAUUCCAAACGUGCCCUUGCCCUUUGGAUUUCAUCACCAAGUUGAAGAUGCCUCUCCUUCCAAAAAGCAACAACUCUUUCAGACUCAAAACUUCCAACAAAAUGGUCAUUCUGUCUAGCAAUGUGACAUUGCUUGUCUGGUGACUCACUUGCGUGUCGAAGCCGGUCUUUGUUUGGAGGGGUGUUUAUUAUACUCACAUCAAACUUGGUUGUGCUUAUGCUCAUUCUUUGGGGGGAAUGAGUUUGUUUGCUUGAGAGAGUAUCGGUAGAUGGAGACAGAUUCGGUGGAGGAGUGAGUUUUGUGUGGAAGGAGAUUUUAUAUGAAAGGGGUGAUAGUAAUACCAAGAAAAGGGUUCCCGCCAAAAAAUAUUUGGUUGACAAAGUAGAAAUUAUUUUUUUAGUCUGAUACAAUCUAAGUUUAAUCCUAACUAGUUUGGUUGAGUUAACUAAGUAGAUGUCACUUCCAUUGACUUUCUUUCAACAACUAUCAGUGGUGUAAGGAGAGUGUGAGGUUGACAUGCUUGAAAAGCAAAAGCUGACACCUAUUUUUAAAAAAUUCCCGCCAAAAAGUACAUAUGUUGACUACACACAAGCUUUGGUAUGUUGGUCUAUAAACCUAUGUUCCCUUUCUCAAACGAAAUUGCAUAUGCAAUCCUCAUCCUCCCAAAACAAAGAGGAUUAUUCAAGCAUGUCAACCUCUUCAGGCGCCAACAACACAAUCGAACAUGACAAAUUGGAGUCACAGGUUCUAUUUCCACAUUGUACUCGCCGACCCCUUCCUUUUUCAACAUCAUUUGGGAGUGAGGGGGACUCCGAUGAUCCAUUAGAGGCAAUACAUGCAGUCAGUGGCAAGCUGGAUUAUAAUUCCAGACUGAUCAAUUCAUGGCACGAGAAAUGUGUUGAAGACGAGGCAAUUUUGGCUGAUCUUAACAUUAGGGUGAGCAAAGCGUUAUCCCAAAAGAACAAGUACUUGAAGCUGAGUCAUAGCAGGAAGCUGAAAGCUGAGGAGUUGGAUACAGUAAUGAAUGAUGAAAUGAAAGGUUGUUUGAUGAACCAUAUGCGAUGCGAACAGCACCAUACUGAACUGGAGUUGGCAUUCAACGAAGGAUUCGACAAAUUCCGAGCAUUUGCGGCAACUACUCAUACAAGUUAUGAUUGGAACUAUGUGUCCCCUGAUGCUGUGAGAGAGAUACUAGACGAUGGGGGUGACAUGAAUGAGCAUAAGCACGUCAAAGCUGCUCGGAAGAAGCCGACCGAUACGACUAAGUGAUUGCGGCUACCGCUGUUCAGUUAGUUGAGGGUGACCGUGGUAUUGCACAUAUACUCCCUUAAUGUCAUUAUCUAACUUAAAAUAACACAAAUAUCAGUUUCAUUUGCUUGAUAUAUAAUUAUUGGGACUAUGUAUUGCAAGUCAUCAUGUGUUAUAAUGUCUAACAUUAUAUUUUGCAAAUAUGGAAAUAUUAUUCAAGAAGCAGUCAAUAUCACAGAAAGCCGGGAAUCAGUAAAUGCUCCUUAUCAUGUCCAUUUACAUUAAAGAGCUGGAGUACUAAUGUGUUCAAAAAAAACUGACACGUGAGUCAUAAGUAACAUAACAUGUGCUAUACAUUGUUUACUGAAUGGUUUAUGGUUUAUUUGUAUAUAAUAAAAUUUCAAAUAUUGCUGAAGAUUUAUUUCGUGUAUAUCACUAGGGAUAUGAGUGGCCAUAAGCAUGUGAGACCUGCUAAGAAGAAGCUGACGAGUACGACCCAGUGAUUGGCUACCGUUGUUCAGUUGGUUGGGGAGAUCGUGGUAUUGCUAUGAGGAAGCACACAAUAUGUUUUGCAAUCAAAUGUUCUUUUGUGUGUGGAAUUAUGAGUAUUUAUGUAAGUUAGUGUACCCUUUAAUAUUUUUCACCUAAGUAUCGAAAUGCAGUUUUUGAAUGUUAUGUUUUUUUUUACCCGCUGCUUUCUAUUUGCUCUGUUCCAACAAAGUGCUUCAAGUAUCCUUCACUUACAAAAGUGUACAAAAUCGUGCCCCUAAUAACCAGUCGGAAAAAGUGGCUACUGCUGGAAAUGAUUACUGGUAAUGGAAACAACAGCUGGCUGCUGUAAUUGCUGCAUUACCGUGAGGAUUUGAAAAAUGAAUCUCUGUUAAAACAAAUUUCACCCUAAACUGCCCAUUUUACAUGGUAAAAGUCAUUGCUUCUUCAAAUCUUUUGCAGCUACACGAUGCGUGGUCAGAAUCUUUGACAUAUACGACUUCUGCCACUCUUGUUUCCCAAUUUUUUCUUUCGCUCACGUUGAACACAACUUUACAAGCAUCCUCUGUUUUGAGCUCUAGGAAACAUGCUGUACUUUGUAUUAGUUCUUGCUCAAACUUUUGAAACAUUGUCCUUGUGUACAAGGUAGCCAUUUGUUUGUUCAUUGGCAUCGGUAGAAGACAUUGAGCCACUUCAAAUGCAUCUGCGUGAUCAGCAACUAACUCUUUUUCACGUUGAUGAGAAAGUGCCCUCUCAAAUCGUAUUAUGAAAUCCAUCAACGAAUUUCUCCUUGAUAUGUAUUGCUUGAAAAAACCAUGAGAACCUUCCGCUCUUUGGCUGCUUGACAUUCCAGCGGCAAAAAAUUGUCGUGCGUAGGCUGGAACCCAAGAUUCCCUUAAAUCAAACAUUGAACUUAGCCAUGGAUGGUCAGUCAAACCAGCCUUUGUAACCACAAUAUUCCAUUUUGCAUCAAACUCAUCCUUAUUGUCAGUAUCCCAUAUGGCUUUCUGAAAUUCAGGCCAAUACUCCUUAUAAGCGUCACGUGGUAACUUAACAGAGAACUUUGAUGUGAUGUGCUAUAUGCAAAGUCGAUGAAAUGUACUCGGGAAGGCUAUUGAAAUCGCUAUGGCCAUUGCCGCAUCUUGAUCUGUAAUGAUCGUUUUAGGUUCCCCACCUGGCAUGGCUUUCUUAAACUCCUCAAACAUCCAAACAAACGACUCAGUCGUUUCCUUGCUCAAAAAUGUGCAUGCUAACACAAUUGUCUGACCAUGGUUAUUAACUCCCAACAUUGGUGCAAAUGUCAAGUCGUAUCGAUUCGUGUUGAAUGUGGUAUCAAAUACAACAACAUCUCCAUAAAACCCAUACGCCCGUCUAGAAGUUGCAUCUGCCCAAAAACAUCGACUAAACCUAUCAUGCCCAUCUCCCUCAAUCUUGAAAUAAAAAGCCUCAUUUUUUUUCUGUUCAGCCAUAAAAUACUCGGUCACUAGUUCAACAUCGUGGUUCCUCAGCUUCCCAAUCACACUACAUUCAAGAUUGUAGAUAUCUUUUUUGAUAAAACCGAUUUUAUCCAUUCCUCCGGAUUGCACCUCGAAAAUACUUACCUUCUGAUGAAUGGGAAUAUUAACUGAACCCAACUGUUUUGUGAGUACUUUUGUAGAAUCUGAAAUAUGACGGUGUGAUCUCAAUAAAUGCAUUCUUUCUAAGGGUGUCAUCUUAUGAUUGUGUCCCUCUGCAAAAAGAGAAAUGUUAUACUUGUUGCUCCCAUUUGUCUUCACAACCACAAUCUUUGCUUUGCAAUUGCAUCUACUUAUUCCCCGUUGUCUUUUUCUCUCCCGAGUUUCAUCCUUCCUGUAUGCACCUUGUUUGCAACAUACAAAUUCUUUCCUCAAAAUCUCUUUCUUAUUUUUCCCCCAAAAGCUAGAAUGAAGUCGAAUACCAAAGCCAGCCAAGAAUGCAUAUCUAUUAUAGAAAUUGUAAACGAGGUCAAGCGAGUCAAACUUCAUCCCAACUGCUGGUGUUUCCUCAUUUCUUACUUCAGGAAUAUAAACCCUCCCAUUAGCUGUUGCACAUUCAUCACUCUCUGAGCCCCCAGACAUUUUAUCUACGUAUAUUAUUGAUCCACUUCUAUAUUACUGCAUAGCAAUUAUUCAUUCAUUAAUCAGUCAUUACUGCAUCACAACAUAUCAAUGCAUUCCACUUACACAAAACAUUGCCCAAAUUGACACAAAAUACGCAUAGCCUAACUUCCGAUUACACAAAACACAAGCAAAAUUUCAUAAAAGUUACGUCAUCUCUUGUGAAAUAAUCUGGUCAAAAUAACAUUAGAACCAACAUGUUCAACUAAGAACACAAAUGUAAUUCAAACCACCAAUUACAGAACUUCACCCAAUAUCCUCUCCAACUGCUUACUCCUAAUGUCAUUAAGCCUAAGUUUAGGUUCUUUUACCUACAUUUCAUAAUUUUUCACCCCGACCAACAACAAUGAACUAAGUAUAUUGAAUAUUCACAAGGAAAUGACACAUUAUUGAUGCCACAAAUGACGAAUUUCCCACCCUCACAAAAAAUAAACCUAACCCAAUAAAAUCAAUCCAGCAAGUGAACUUACCUCUCAAAAUCAAUCGAGAGCUCUGAAGUCAGUCAGCUUGAAAGAAUGUGGUGGACAUUAGAGAAGACUCUUUGGUAUUUGAGACUCCAUCUCUAUCAAAAUCGAGGAACAACUGCUGCUGCGGCUUCUAGCUACAAAAACAGAUAUGCUACUUUGCUUUCAUCUAGAAUCUUGUCAGCUGAAUGAAAAAGAGAAGGGGUUUUCACUUGAGCCAUAGAAUCAAAACAGGGCAACAGCUAGGUAAGAGCCAUUCUUCGUAAUACCCAGGAUACCAUAGAUCGCAGGCCUCCCAACGAGCUAAUGACAGUGGAGUGACUAUAAGGUUUGGGAGAUUUGGAUCCUUCUAAUUGUGGGUUUGCUUUACAUUCAAAAAGAAAGGAUUGUGUUCUUCAGUUUUUCACAGAGAGGGAAAGAGGGGAACAACUGAAGUUGGGUUUCUAACGGGUUAGAUUUCAACCCGAUUCUACAUGCACCCUCUUUUAAAAACUCACCGUUGGAUGAAAUCCAACGGCUCUUACAUACCCCUCAAAAACACCCCUUAUAACUUCCCACUCACUAUAGAAGCUCCCCCAACUAAAUCCCAAAAGGGAAACAGAUUUGAACAACAUACAAAUUUGAAGGACACACAAAUAUGAAUCUCAGCACCGGUGAGAAAUUAAUUUUAGUUGAGGUUGGUAGGUAGGCAUUGGAAGUUUUUAUUGUUUUUGCUCCAAGUCCCUCCUCCACUCACUAAUACAGAUUACUCGCAAAUGAACUAAAGUCUGCAGGGAUAUAUGGACUCCCCUGUCCAUACGAAUGUUGGAAGAAAUGUGUGUUAAAUUUUAGAGAGACGGGUCUGUGACCCACCACUAGCAACGUUGAUAUUGUCUCCAACUUAACUACAUGUUUAGUAGAUGUGGGGUUUUAUACAAAAAGUAUUGAUGUUAUUGGGAAUGGAACCACUUAUUAUAAGUUAAAAUUUAUUUAGUCAAGUUUCCUAUGUGGGACUUUCUAUUCUUCAACAAGCCCCUUCAUGUGGGACCACCACAUAGUGGGCCACACGUAGAGCCAAGUCCACAUCGGAGUCAAUCAUUCAAGCCCAAUACCUAAACACCACGUAUUGUGUGAGGGGUAGGGGUAAACAUUCAAGCCCAACAUAUGAACACUGUAACAUCCCAACUCCAAAUUUAAUCCCUUAUUUAAAUUAUUUAAGUGAAAUUACAAAUUUACCCUUGGGGUAGGGAUAUUUUGGUCAUUUUCUUACCCGAAAAGAGUUUGGGGCAGUGACUAGUAUUUUUUGGUAGAUCGUACUGAGAUGAGUCUGUAGACAUGUAGUGGGCUCGAUUCGGAGUUGAAACGAAGAAGUUACGAGCAAAACAUCACCAAUGGCAAAACCGUAAAUAUUUCAAAAUGAAUUUUUAAUAAAAAAAACCUGAAAAACCCUCUCUCUCUCUCUCUCUCUCUCUCUCUCUCUCUCUCUCUCCUGCGCACAGCCCCUUUCCCCCCUUCGUUUUUUCUUUCCGUGGCUUCCAAGAGCCACCAUCGCCACCACGAAUCACCACCGGCCAUGAGGCCGGACUCGUUCGAACUGCCGCCGCAUCCUCUUCCUGUUCCGGUCGCUCCCAGUCGCUGCCAUCCGCUGUGCUGGCCGGAAAUCGAAGAAAACCAGCCGAUUUUUGUCAAACUUUCGGCCGCUCGUUCUCCCACUUCCGGCCACCAUUUUGGCCAUCCAGGUAUAGAUUUUGAACCUCUCGAGCUGUUCUUGCUGCCUGUUGUGUUAGAUUUGGGAGAUUUCCGCGUUUUGAAGGUCGAUUAAACGAUGGAAGUUUGGCUGGUUUUUGGCCUCCGAUUCCGGCCACUUUCGGUCACUUUUUGGGGUAGGUCCAAGAACAAAAGUGGUUCCAAAUAGGGUGUUAUACCUAGGGUAGGAGUCUUGAGCCGUGGUUUUGAGAUUUCUCGGUGAUGCGUAAUCGCUUUGGACACCCAUACGCUACCGGCGCGUGUGGUGGCGCGUGGGCACUGUAGAAAUGGGGUAUUGUGUCCCGAUGCGAUCCCCUUGUUGUCACGAGUGUGUAGUGUGCUCGGAUUCCAAUUUGGUUGACAUUCGAACCCCGAACGAAUUUCUCCUAUUGCACGUUAUCCGCGUUUGAUAGGUUUGAACCGUUGGAUAGUCUUGAAUUUAAUAUAUUUAAUCUAAGCAUUUCUAGGAUCGUGUAGGAAUUCACGGAUCAUGAAUCGGAACCCCGGAUGUUCCGAUUUAAUAAUUUAAAGUUUAUGUUUAUAUUAACUGUCAGAUCGUGCAAUCGUGAGCGAUCCGACCUUCCGAUCCGGACCAAACGUGCAGGACGUAUAUCCUAAACCUUGUGGAACCUAUAGGAACUUUCGAAUCAGAAUUUAGAGGUCGUGGGCCUAGUGGCCCCGUUUGACCAAGUGUGGAUAGUUUGACCCUUGGUUGACCUUGAGUCUUCCAAGGUAGUUUUCCUUCCUAGAAGGAUUAUAAUGACCCUAAUGACAGGUCUUGAGCGUUGUUGAGCCAUGUUGACUAGGUUAAGAUUUUUAGAGUGUUUAUUAUUGUCGUAGGAAACUCUUGGACAUUAUUUUAAUAAUUGGAAUUAUAAAAGUGAGUUUUGGGUUCGGCUAUGACUUUAGUGAAUGGACUUUAUUUUUAAAUGAAUAGCAUGGCUUUGUGAUGGAAUUUUUAGGCAUGUGAAUUUAAUGGUUUAUUGAAAUUCAUUUUUAUAAUUAAUAGUUAAUUUAGCAGUUUUGGUAAAGUAUUAGUGAUGUGUGGGGUACUUGGGAUUUUGUUGAGGUUUAUACAAUAUUAGAGAUUAACUUAUAUAUUUAAAUAUAGGUAUGAAUGUAUGAAAAGAGUUUAGAAUGUCAGUUUGAAGUACUAUACGCACUACCCUAGGUACCUCAUCGGAUUUUGAUUACACUAUAAGUACCACCCUGUGAUUGUCAGGUCACCCAUGGCGUAGGAUUUUCCGGCGGAAUGACAGACCCCAUACGUGACGUUGGAAUUUCCGGCGUAUGGGGAGAUGAUAUUAUGAUUGUUAAGUCACACGUGGCAUAGGUUAUCCGGAGUGCUGACAGACCCCAUAUGUGGCGUUGGAAUUUCCGGCAUAUGAGGAGAUUAUGUGAUUGUUAAGUCCCACGUGGCGUAGGUUAUCCGGCGGGAUGAUAGACCCCAUACGUGGGGUUGGAAUUUUCGGUGUAUGGGGAGAUGAUAUAAUGGUUAGGUCACAUGUGGCGUAGGAUUUUCCGGCUUGAUGACAGACCCCAUACGUGGCAUUGGAAUUUCUGGCAUAUGGGAGAUUAUGUGGUUAUUAGAGAGAUGAAUUAAGAUUAUUAUACUGAGUUGGGAACGAAUGAUGUUUGAAAAAGAUUUUGUUUGGGAUUUCUGCAAUUGAUUGCAUGUUGAUGGACUUGGAAAUUUUGUAUGAAAGAACUACGUGUGGCUUGAUCCCUUAGUAAGGGUACAUAUGCAGCUUAGGGUAGUGCCUAGGUGCAGCCGUGUGCUAAACUUUACUCAUGUUGUGUGAUGGAGAUUCGUUCGGACCUUGUUGUUAGUCCUGAAUUUUAGGUGAAAAUGAGAUGCAGUCUUGUUAGGAGGUUUAAAUUUUCUACGUUUAAUAUUUGGGAAUUUAGAUGAUGGAAAUCGCAUUUGGCGUUCAUAAAUGUGUUUGAGUUUAUAUUUGCAUUGUUUAGAGUUAGUUGGUGGUUUCGUUUCGAAUUAUUUGAAGGCCGAAGGCUGAUUAUGUGAUUUAUAUGAAAUUAUCUUGUGCAUACUGCCAGUUGUGAAUAUCAAAUGUGUUUUAUGCACGUUGAAAUUUUUAGGAUUGUUCAACUUACAGGGGAGACUGCCGAAAUUUCGGCAUAAAAUCUCGUGCCCUUAUUCCUUAUUGGGAAAAAUGAUUUAGUUUUAGAAGUGGGUUCGACAUCGGGGUGAUGUCGGGAAUUUUCACAGGAUUCAUCUCGGGUUUCGGGAAAUUCGGGUCGGGUCCUGUCAAACACCACGUAUUAGGUAAGGGUAAAGGCUCAAUUCAGGCCCAGUCAAUCAACCCAUUAUGAUAUCAUGUUAAAUUUCAGAUAGACGGGCCUGUGGCCCACCACUAGUAACAUUGAUAUUGUCCCCAACUUAACUACAUGUUUAGUAGGUGUGGAGUUCUAUACAAAAGAUCUCGAUGUUUUUAGGAGUGAAACCACUUAUUAUAAGUUGUAAUUUAUUUAGUCAAGUUUCCAGUCAACCUGACUUUGAUACCAUGUUAAGAUUUUAAAGGGACGAACUCUUGGCCCACCAUUAGCAAUAUCGACAUUGUCCCCAACUUAACCACCUGUUUAACAAGUGUGGGGUUUUAUCCUAAAGAACUCGAUCUUAUUAAGAGUGGAGCCAUUUAUUAUAUGAAACUUUCUAUUUUGUUAACUCUGUGUAUUCUUCAUCAAUGUGAACACCCCUAAACCAAUCAUACCUGAUACGGAUUGAAACACAAGUUUGUUUUUUGCCUUUGGUAGAUGAGUAGCUAGAAAAGCUCAAUGCACUUGCUCUUCUUCUGCUACAUUUCAAUAUAAGAACAAGGUUUGGAAGCCAGGUCAACUCCUCAUAGUUUCCUUGCCUUUGCUUUGACAUGUCUAUGCACUUCUUGGGGAAGUUUGAAUAAUCAAUUGCAGGCCCCACGACAACUAAGGAACCAACAUUUUGUAGAAGGUUUUGUCUACACCUUUUGACUAUAAGUAAAAUCUUUUGUAUCUGCUCUUAUGUUUCGGUGAAGUUUCUAUGUGUCCUUUGUUGAACGAAAAAAUGAGGUUGUUUCUUACUAGAUUCAAAUACUUAAAAGAAAAAAAGAAAUUAUUGUUUCUUAAUUGAUUUUAUGGUGAACAAUAUCAAACUCUCCUCUUAUACGUCUUCUUCGUUGGACUUGGGGUUGUUUUCCUUAUAUGUCCCUUAUAUAUAUAGGGCCUUUGGUUGAGCCCACAAAUACCUUCAGUUAGUUUUUGGGUUUAGGGGCCUACAGAACCUGCACUAAACAAUAAAAGAAAAUACCUAAUUAGUUUAGUACGAAUUCUAUAAUGAAGGCUUUAUUAGGUAAGAUUUUAUUUCUUAAUCGUUAGAUCAAAUUUGACAGGACCCGUUCCUGAAUUUCUCGGAAAUCAGAGCGAACCCCGUCCUUGUUUCGACAUCACCCCGAUGCAGGGUCCACUUACUAAAAACCGAGACUUUCUACCAAAAUUUUGAUAGAAUCUCCCUUGUAAAUUGAGCAAACCCAACAAAAAUUUCAGCCUGCAACAUACAUAAAAAUAAUCCCAACCAGCAGCAUGCUUACAACAUACAACAAAACGUACUAAAUGGCCUCCGGCCUCACAAGUAAAAUUUAACAUGGGUAAUCUACUGAUGUAAACGAUUCGGCCUUCGAACACUGCUUGCAACCUUCCUGAAGCGACUACUGGCUAAGGGGCGCAAAACAGAAAACAUGUGAGUGGACAAAAACAAGAUUCAAUUAAAACAACAUAGUAACCCCACCGUGUAAAAAUAAUGCUCAAGACAUGUAGGUUUACAAUUCAUAAUUAAAUAUUCAAAAACAAAUUUCAUUUAAAAUUCUUUAAAACCACAAAUCACUCCAUCCAUAAAACCUCAUGCCCACAAUUUUACUGCUCCUACCAACCCACUGUAUAGACUCUAAUUUCUUCACAAUCACAACUAUAUAUAAAUAUAUAAAUUGUAUCAUACAACAUACUCCUCACACUACUUAGGUACAGGGGAAACAAUCCAACCGGAGGAUCGUUUAACUAGCCCGCAGGAUUUUCAGGUGCUAUCCUGAGUCUAGGAAUGAGUGGUCCAACCAGGGGACGAAACUCUAUAGCUCACACACCGGAACAUCCAACGCCACGUGUAGCUCCAAUACUAAGUCCUACAGGCACAGACUGGAUCACCACACACCGGAACAUCCAAUGCCAUAUGUGAUAAUCCCAAGCAAUAUACAGAGUCUUCCCAUACGUCGGAACAUCCAACGCCGCGUAUGGAAAGUGUUCACACGCCGGAACAUCCAACGCCACGUGUGGGAAGCCUAUUAACUGGGGAAAGUACUUACAUAGUGUAAUCAUACAAUUUCUCUCAACAACUCCUCAUACUCAAGUUCUUCCACAAACUCACCUCAACAAUCCCAAGUACCCCACCUAUAGACAAUAUAUAUAUAACUUCCCCAAAAUCUAUACAAAACAUACUCUCGAUAUCCAAAUAUGCCAAACUCACAAUAUAUUGCCAAAGUGCAAUACAAACAUCAAAAUCAACACAUGAAUAUAAUAUAUAUUCAAUAUACCAUUUAAAACAUUAUGCGUAAAUCUUUCAUCAAUAAAACCAUGCGUAUGAUUGAAAACAAAGUCCACUCACAAGUAUUCCUACGCUGCUUGACCACGAGAGAGUCCUGCCUGCUGAGUACGUGCAGUAGGAGCACCUAUUUUGAGAUACAAACCUUUAAUUAAUAUAAAAUUACUUCAAAACGGAAAACACAAAUUAAAUACUUAAAUCCCCAAGUUCCCAGUACAUGUACGUUGAACGAGGUAUCCUAAGGUCUAGUUACAAGUUUGGGAAUCGCUCACGAUUGGACGGUUAUCGCUAACCCACAAAUUUUGAAUUAUUGAAUCGGAACAUUCGGGGCUCCGAUUCACGAUCCGUGAAGUCCUACGUGAUCCUAGGAAUACCUAAAACAACAUAUUUUAAUUGGAAAACGCACAAUAUGCGAAAAUCCGUUCGAUAGUCAAACGAUGUCCGAAUUGAGAUUCGCAAAAUGCUACGCACUCGUGACAACCUGAGGAUCUCAUCAGGACAAAGUGCAACUUCACCACCCUCACCCACGCGCCGGCAGCGCGUGGGUGUGUAGAGUAAAUUCCGGCGAUGGAAAAACUCCACACCUACUUGAGGUCAGGAUCUCAUCACUCAACUACAGGGAGGUUCAAUUAGGACGGCAACUGGCCGGAAUUUCACUUUGAAAUCCAGCCAAAACUUAGGUUUUCUAAUCGGUUCCUAGACAACAAAUCGAUCUAAACCUAUGCAACAGUCAGCUAGACUAAGGAAAAAGAGGAAGAAACCUCACAUUUUUCACUGGAAUCGGAAGGGAGAGGCGACGGGGCGACGUCGGGAAGACUCGGGUUUGAACCAGUCGAUGCCGUUGACGAUUCUCGCAUUUUUCGGGGGGACUUUGGGUGGUUCGGGUUAGUGGCUUCACGACGAGUCGAACGGGACCGGUCUCGGGGGCUGGGGUGGUCGGGUGUGGUGGCGGUGUGGUGGUUUUCGUCUCGGUGAACAGUAACAGGGGAGGGUUUCGCACGCGCAGAGAGGGACUCGGGAGAGAGAGAGAGAGAGAGAGAGAGAGAGAGAGAGAGAGGAGAGAAAAGAAAAAUUAGAUUUUUACUCUCCUCUUUUCAAAAUAUUUACAAGUUUGCCACUAAUGAUGUUUUGAUCGCCAUUUUCUUGUUACAACUCCGAUUCAAGCCUACCGCAUGUCUAGGAAUUCAUCUCAGUACCACCUACCCAAAAUUACCAGUCAUGGUCCCAAACUCUUCCCGUAACAGAAAAUGACUAAAAUACCCCUACCCCAAGGGUAAAUUCAUAAUUUCACUUAAAUAAAUUAAAAAUAGGAAUCAAAUUUGGAGUCGGGGUGUUACAAAAUUGGUUAGUACGAUCCAACGGUUAAUAGAUAAAACUUUACAUAAAAGUCAUAUAUAAGGCCCUCACUAUAGAAUGACUCGUUAGUUUAGUCUCUUGUUACAUAUCAACUGUUAGAGAUAUUUUUUUAAUAAGGAUCUACCAUACCACAUAGUUGGAUAAGACAUUAUACACAACUUUUGUAAGAGCAUCUCCAGCGAGCCAGGCCAGCCCAAGCAGCAAGGGGCCUUAAGCCCGGUAAGCAGCUCCAGCGCUCAAGAUUCAGCCCAGGCAAGGUGUGGAACCCACAAGGAGAUCUGGCCCGUCACCUUGCCUUUGGGUUUCAGUCAGGCUGAUGUCAACGAAAGAAUUUCAAAAAAAUUUUGCCGUUGCAAUGCACGCGCCAACGAUAAAUUUUCUUUGGAUUUCUUGCGUUGAUCCACAGCUACCAAAAACCAACGGCUACAAGCCACGUGGCUUCUCCAAGAGCCUCUGAUCCAAAAAUCUUGUCAAAUCUAACGGCUGUCCAUUUUUUGGCUAAAAAAAUAUCAAAAAAUUAUGGAAACAUUUUCUAUAAAUACCUACAAAUAUUAUUCACUUCCCACACCAAACCUUCAUACAAAUUCAUAUCCUUUCAAUAUUUUUCACUUUCCACACAAGAUUUUCUACUACUAAAUUUCAUUUGUGUAAAAAUACAAGUGGCCUCUUCUAUCAAAGCCGGAGGCGCGUGGACAACCGUGGAAGAUAUUUUGUUGUGUGAGUGUUGGGUCAAAGUUGGUCAUUGCCCGAUCACCGGCAAUGAGAUGAAGUCCUCUCGUAGGAGUUUCUGACAUCGCAGCGAAAGUAAGAUGUGAUAUGAGAAUGUAAGGAAUUUGAUGAGAGGAAUGGGAUUUGAGGAGUUUGAUGUAGGAAUUGAUGUUGAAUUGGAUUUGGGAGGUAUGUAUAUAUGAUUUGAGAGUAUGUGUUUAGGGAUUUUGAUAGGAGGAUUUGAGGAAUUUAGAUUUGAGGGAUUUGGAUUUGGGGAAUUUAAAUAUGAGGAAUUGAUUUAGGGUUUGGGUUUGAAUAUGAGAAAUUUGAUAUGAGAGUUUAGAGACAACUGAUGAUUGAUUGCUCUAAUACCAUGCUAAAAUAUAAAUAUGGUUUGAAUACUUUAGGUUGAGUUUUAUUCUUUUCCAUAAGGAGGUAUAUAUAGCAGUUUACAUGAGUGUUUUACAAGGAAAUAGAUACAGUAAUCAAUUAGGAUAAUAUCUCCUAAUUAUACAAUAAUUUGUCAACUAUAUAGAAUAGGAAAGUAAAUUCCUUAAUUAAUCAAGAAAAUAAAUCUCAUUGAUUAAUUAAGAGACUAACGUCAACAUUUAUAAGCCAUGGAAGAGCAGAAAAAGAGGUACUUAGGAGAUUUUAUACGUCGGACUAAGGUAAGCUUAAAGGACUAUAUCAAAAAAAUAAGGGACCAAGAAGCAAGACUGAGAAGUUGUUAUGCAAACCCAUUAAGUUUAGCAGUGAUGAAUUUGUAAAAAUCAUUCUAGUGGAUGCUGCCUUCACUAUUGAGUUCUUAUUGAGGUUCUAUCUGAAAGGAUGUAGACAUGAAGGAGACCGCUUAUUAAACAAAUCAGCUCCCAUUCUUUAUUCUUGAGGAUCUUUAUCACACAUACAUAAUAACCGACUCUUUUAGGAAUUAUUACAGUACUCAUGAUCAUGAGAGGCUUUCAAUAAUUAAUAUUUCUAAGAAUUUCGUCACAGCUGGAAUAUUGAAUUUGGAGGGGAAGGGAGACAAAUGGAACAGAAUAUCAUCUUCUUCUAGUGUUGGAAAUUUUAUAUUAUUUAAUAAUAUUUAAUUUCUAUUGUGAAUGAAAAAUAAGUUUCUUUAAGAAACGUGUGUCUUAGGCCAGUUUUUCUAACUGGUCGGCUUCCUUAGAUUUGUGCCUAUUGCUUUUCAAAGUAUAAUGAUGCAAUGGUUGUAUCUCGUUCAGGCAAAUGGAAGGUAUAUAGCAAUUUAUAGAACAAUACAGUAAUCCAGAAGAAAUAUUAUGAAAUGAAAAGAAUAAAAAGUAAAAAAAGAGAAGGAAAGGAAUUCCCACCUGCAAUGUAUAUGUAUGAAAGGAAGGACCAAGUUUGUUUUAAAAUGGUAAGAACAAGUUGAUUUAUAAUUGGGUUCAGAUCAACUCAUGGAUUUCUUGCCUUUUCUAUUCUCCUUCCUUGGACAUGAACUGUUUAAUCUUGGCUCUUCCCCAUCAUGUUGGGCCUAUCUUCUUCUUGAGGAUUGUAUAGGCCCAGGAAAUGCUUCAAGAUAGUUUUUGUGUUUUGGGCAUUGGGACCUAACUUCACAAAAAGAAAACAGAUUUGGCCAAAAAACAAAUUUGAAGGACAUUGAAAUUGUACCUGUAGGAUAGGUUAAAACACUGUAAGGGAGGUAAAUAGUACGUUUACAUAGUUUAAGUGUAAUAAAGGAAUAAAAACAUGCCCAGAGGAUUGAUAAGUGAUAUCAAUUCUUGAAUAUAGAGAACGUAAAAUAAAGGAACACGUAUAAAAUUAUUUUAUGUGGUAAAACCCCAUCUCUAGGGAAAAUCCACGGGACUUCUUAGUCCAAAACAAAUCUAUUAUAGAACGAUGAUUACAAGAAGUACUCACACACUUAUCCUAGACACAUUCUAGAUAAUGUUUACUGACCUCUUCGUAACUCAACUUCUGUCACAGGAUGAUCUUUCGACACUUCUUAUGUUGAACGCAAUACUAGUCACGAUUUCUUUCAAGCUCAUUGGAGAAAAACCGCCACAACAGUCUCGGUGCCCUCAAUCUUAUGAGUCACUGAACAUGCAAAUGAAUACAAUAUGAAUGAUAAAAGUGUUUGAUAAAUCACCAAGUUAUGGAACACUUGAUGAUUUAUUUCAAGUAAAAAUUCAGCUUUCCAAAGUUUAUGAAUUGAAAAUAUGAUCGUUAAAGCUCUCUAAACAAAAAAAACGAAGGUCUUAUUUUAUAGACUUUUUCUUUACAAGAAAGAAAACACGUUGAAAACCAAAUCUCCAAUUUCAAGGCUUGACAGAAAAUCACAAAAGUAUCUUUCCUAUUCUAGAGAUUGGUCACAUGAAGUCCAACCAAUAGGAAAUGAGAUAUUUAAGAAAGGAAGAUUUUGAUCAAUAUCAAUAUCAAAUGAAUUCUUAUAUGCCUAGUCAACUAUUAAGGGUAUCUUAACUACUUGAUAUUAUGAUAUGAUUGAAACAUGAUUUCCACGUUAGAAAAUUAAGGGGAUUUUAAAACAUGAAAGUAAUAGGAGAAUCAAAUUGAUUUGGACCAAAAUUGCCUAAAAAGAAAACACUCCUAAAUAAACUUCAAUUCACUUUUAAAAACAGUAAAACUUGAUUGAAUCGUUCUUUAAAACAAUUCCCUAAUAUACAUGCAUGAUAGUGACAUCACUUACCUCUGAAUCAGAUGCCUUUUACGAGUCAAGCCACAAGUUUGUGUUUUGGGGAUUGCUGAGCUGCAUCAAUCCUGCCAAUGUCAAUUCUGCCCCUAGGCUCUCUCAAAGCACGUUUACAAUCUAUGCUAAUAUAUACUAGAGUUUAUGCUAGUAUCUAGAAAAUGCCAACACUAAUUUCGUAACACGUAGAAAUUGUUAGAGAUUGGAAGUUUUUUUCAUUUUUUUCUUCCAGACUCUCCACCACUCACUAAUACAGUUUACUCAUGUGAUGAAUUUACAAAACCUAUUUCUCUACUCUCACAAAGACUAUACUUAGGGGGGGUGUAUUCAAUUAGGAGUCUAGAGCGUUUAAAAAGAUUUUGUUUAAGUGCCAGCUUUCAUAGAACUUGAUGGAACUUUAUAAUUCGUAUAGAACUUGAUAGACUUUCAGAAGACUUCUGUAUAAUUUGUUAAUAAAACUUUCUUAAGCUUUCAUAGAACUUGAUAGGCUUUUAUUCCAGAAUUAUGUAGACAGUAUAUUUCAUUUUAUCCCCAUCCUUGUCAUUUAAAGAAAGAAACUUGAAUGUUUUCAAUCAAAUUUGUUUUUGUUACCAAAGCAAAAACAAAAAGUACUUGUUUGCGAAGGAAGAACAUAUGCACAGUUCAAAAUGAAAAGAAUAAGAAGCAAAGUACCUAUUGGACCAAUGAAUGCUGUGUCAACUAGAGAAGCAAUUGGAUCGGCUGUCAAAGCCAAUGCUACAGGCAAUGCAUCGAUGGUCCAAAUUGCAAUAAAAAAUAUUUUGUAUAAUGGUUCUUGCAGACAAAGACCACAUAAAUUCUGGACUGGUCCAGCUUGAAUAAUAAGGUUAGAUUAGCCGAUGGAUGAGAGUAAAAGCAAAGAAAGUUGAUGAAUUCAUCACCAAUUAUUUAAUAACUGUAACAUCCCACAUUGACCAACGGAGAGGGGGUGAUGUGCCUUAUAUGUACAUGCCCACUUCCAUCUAGCAUGAGUCCUUUUGAGAGCUCACUGGCUUCGGAGUCAUGGGAACUCUGAAGUUAAGCGAGUUGGGGCUAAAGCAAUCCCAGGAUGGGUGACCCACUGGGAAGUUGCUCAUGAGCUUUAGAAACAAAAAUCAUGAGGGCAUAAAGGGAGGCCCAAAUUGGAUAAUAUCGUGCUACGGCGGAGCCGAUCCCAGGAUGUGACAAUAACCAAUAGAGUAUUUAAACAUAAACAACAAUGUUUGAUAAACAAAACAAAUAGUCCAAAUAUUAUCCAAAAAACAAUUCUAAAACCAAUCAUUCCAAACAAACUAGUCAUUCCCAAAAACUCUCAAAAAACCCACUCAUUCCAAAUUAUAGGAUAUCCAAUUUGAGCGCUCCUCAGGAGACAUUUUCAAAAAUGCAUCCUUUUUUGUGUUACUAUGCAACAAAGAGAGCGCUUUAUAAUGAGCACGUUCAUCCAAAUUUGAGGUCUCCUUAAUGGCAUCCCACAUAUAACUCUGCUGCUCUCGCUCUUUUCCCCUUUUUGCCAAUAGGUUAUGGACCUCCCGGAAGUCGGUGACAAUUGAAUCAAUGCUAAGGCUAAUUCUUCCCAUAGCUUGUUGGGUGGUCACAUUUGAGAUGGCAUUCCCUUCCAAAUCUAUUCUAGUUCGUUUCCUCUAGUAACAAGCAUAAAUCCUAGUAACAAGCAUAAACCCUAAUCCCAACCUAUAACCUAAUAACAAGAAAAACACGAUGAAAAAAAAAUCAUGGAAAAAGAAAACCCAACGAGGUAUUGAUCAAAAAAAAAAAUAGGGAGCAUACCUUCACAGAUGGAGGAAGGAAGCUGUUUGUCUUCACAGAGAGAAAAGCUAGGGAAAGAGAAAAACGUCUGAUGAAAUACUUUGGGGGGAGGUUGGAUUUCUUUUGGUCUUUGAUAUUUAUAACUCUCCCCUUAAAACCUACAAAAAUUUAUCACUUAAUGAAAUCCUUCCAAAUAUAUGACCUUUCGAAUACACCUAGAUUUGAUUCAACUUUUUUAUAAUCCUAAUUGAAUACACCCAUAUUUGAGUGGACUUUUUAAAAGUUCAUAUAAGUCCGAAUUGAAUACACCCAGACUUGUAAAACCUCUUUUAAAGUUUGUAUAAAUCCAAAUUGAAUACACCCGGAUUUUUAAAAUAUUUUUUAAACGCUUUAUAAUCCUAAUUGGUACAUCCCCCUUAUUCUCAAAAGACUAUAUCACUUUACCUCUAUCUCUGUGAAAUGUAAAAAGUUGAAACUUUAAUGUCAAACCUCGACAAAAGAUGAACUUCCAUCAGUUGCGUUGAAUUUGGAUUUGUUGAACUAAAGUGGUUUUACUUUCUCUGUCAGUGUUUGAUGACUUAAUUUGGUAUUUACUUCUUUUUUUCCUUGGAAAUGUGUUCCACCAACGUGAGGAAGAAAAAUGUGCACAAAUUAAUAUAUUUAAUAAAAGCCCAAGAUUUCGGAAGCACAUAAUUUCUACAAAAAUCUAGAAAGUGUUCUACUUUACAAACUUCUUAUGUCUAUCAAUUUCUACUAAAAUUAAUUUCUCUGUGGUGCUCAGAUUCAUCAUAUGUGUGUCCUUAAUUUUAUUGGAAAUUAGAAGUUUCCAUAAUUUUUAUUUUUUGGGAAUUUUCUGAACCAAGAAAAAUCAAGUAAAAUUAAUAAAGCUUAAAUUGGAAAGGGAAAAUAUCUAGAGGACGCAUUGUAGGAUUUCUCAUGCCGAUAAUUGUACCCUCUAAAUAUAUAGGGACAUAUUUUUUUUGUUUUCAUGACAUGUGGUCCUAAAAUUAUUGUUCCUAGCGGGCUCUCCACCCCCUCUCAAAUUUACGUGGUCCAUUAUGAUUAACCAUAUAUUUUAUUGACCAUCCAGCUGUGAGGUUUUAUCCCAAAAACCUUAGGUACAUUUCUCAAUUAUGUCUGAUACAUCACAUCAUGCCACAAUUGUAUAUUCACAAUUAUGUCUGAUACAUCACAUCAUGCCACUUGCCUCAAAUGAAUUUAAGUGAGUGUGGCAGUGGGAAGUAAUUACUUCUAGGUGCCCCUCAUCAUUCGUCUAUAAAAUGGUGAAGCCAGUGGCUAUAAGAGCCAGCUCCAACUUUCUUUUAUUCGUCUAUAAAAUGGUGAAGCCAGUUGCCAAGUUAAUUUCAGUCCUAAUGGGGUUUCAUCUCCCACUCAUCUUUGCUAUUCUCAGUGUAAGCUCUGCAAUUUGAUUAACUUUUCCAUUCUCUCUCAUUGUACUCUAUAUAAACGAAAGUUUUGUGUUCCUAUAAUUCUCUUUGAUUUUAUUUAGUACGUACUUAAGUGUCGUCCACUAAUUAAUUACAGUUUGUGAGAUUUGAUUUUAAUUAGAGUUCGAAUUAAUGUUGCAGCUAGCAGUGGUUGCACUGGCAAACCAUGCUGCUCAACCAGCACCUCAACUUUACUGGAACUCCGUCCUGCCAAACACACAAAUGCCAAGAUCUAUCAGUGAACUUCUGCAUCCUGGUUUGUGUUGAGCUCUUUAGAAUCUUAGAUAUCUCUUCUACCUGCCAUUUUACUAAAAUAUGUUCGACCACAUAUUUAUCAGUUAACUACUGUCAUUACAUGAGUGACACUUAUUCACAAAUCGGCUGAUCACUUAUUUUCCAUUUUACAUGAGUGAUAUAUAAUUUGCAGACUCCACAAAUGAAGAAAAUAUCGUGAAUGCUGUUGGGAAUGGAAAGCGCAAACCUGAAAUUUUCCCAUUGAGAAAUAUAAAUUACGUUCAAAGCCAUUAUGGAGUGUUAAAUAGAAAUUACGUUCAAAGCCAUUAUAAAAAACGUCCUCCUCCACCUGAAAAUAUCCCAUUUGCAAAUCGAAAAAAGUACGCACUAGGUUCUCCUCCAUCUGACAAUCAACUACUCCAUUAUAAAGAGUUAGCUAUUUUCUUCUUCGAGAAGGACAUGCGCCCUGGCGCAACAAUGAAGUUCCAAUUCCCUAGAAAUUCAAACACGGCUACUUUCCUGCCACGCGAAAGUGCUCAAUCGAUCCCCUUCUCCUCUAACAAACUACCAGAAAUUUUCAACCAUUUUUCAGUGAAGCCAACAUCUGUGGAAGCCAAAACAAUUAAGCAAACAAUCGAAGAGUGUGAAGCUCCAGGCACUAAGGGAGAGGAAAAAUAUUGCGCCACAUCUUUAGAAUCAAUGGUUGAUUUUAGCACUUCGAAGCUUGGAACAAGAAACGUUGAAGCAGUCUCGACGGAGGUAUUGGAAAAAGGAGCCACCAUGUCCAUGCACAACUAUACAACAAUGCCGGGACUGAAGAAGUUGGCAGGUGACAAAGUCGUUGUGUGUCAUAAGGAGAACUAUCCCUAUGCUGUGUUUUUCUGCCAUGCAAUAAAACAAACAGCAGCUUAUGUUCUCUCCCUGAAAGGCGAUGAUGGGGAGAAGGUUAAAGCAGUAACCAUCUGCCAUCUAGACACAUCAGAAUGGAACCCAGAGCAUUUGUCCUUCCAAAUCCUCAACGUUAAGCCCGGAACCGUUCCCAUCUGCCAUUUCAUUUCCACUGAUGCUAUUGCCUGGGUUCCAAAACACAAAUUUGCAUGAUCAUCACUUAGCACUGUGGUGUAAGAUAUAUGAUGAGAUAAAGUUUUUGGUAUUAGUGGUCGGGUUGCCUGAAAAACACAGAUUACAGAAACUGCUUGAAAUUAACCCGAUCAUGUUUUCUCUUGUAAGACUUCAACUUGUACUCCUAAAGCAAGUUAUAUUUAUGAAGAGAUAUUAAUCUAUAUAUAUUUUAUGUAUAUAUAUAUAUAUAUAUAUAUGCUUUGGCUUUGUGGUUCUACCCAGUGUUUGAGUGUUGAAUUGUUACGUUGGAAUAGGCUGAUAAUGCGUGUAGUUAGAGAAGCCUUCAUUUAUAUCAAAGUCCUCAAACUAUCAAGAACUAAUGUAUCCAGAAACAUAUACCAAGACGCAAAACAACAUAUUUUCCAUGCUCUGUCUGUAACGCCAAAGCAAACUUCCUUUAUCACAUCAUUUAAAGGAUCAAAUUCCAGUACUAAUCUAAUCCAUCAUGUAAAGCAUACAAGUGCCUCCCUAAAUUUGUCCAUUGGAUAUAAAUGUUGAGAAAAUUAGAGUACACAACUCUAAUAUGAUAGUUGUACACAACUCUAAUAUCAUAAAGCAAACAAAAUUUCUAAGUUAGUUUGCUUUAUGAUAGUUGUUUUUUGAAGGGGUCCUUAGAUCCUAUCUCAAAAAGUUUGGCUUUUAUUAGGUUUAACUCUGGUUUUUAUCUCUACCCACUAACUUUUAUCUCUCAUUUUUAUUACCCAUUUUACCCUUUAAAAUAAAUAGGGCAAUAAACUAAAAAUUCUGAUUUAAUGCAUGUUUUACUCAUAAGAGAACUAAAAACUAAAAAUUCUAUACUCUAACACAAAAAAUGAAAACUAAAAACUAAAAUUGAAAUGGUUUCAAGCAAUUGCAUGUCAGGCGCUAUAUAUAAUGUAUUAGCCAUGGUUUGUUUAAUACGCGGUCAUUCGUCAUUUUCCCAUUCAAAAUAUUGAAAUUACGAACUACAUACCAUGAAAGAUAAGAAACUAAAAGCUUCAAGCAAAUAGAAAUGUGCUACAAACAUAGUAAUGAAGAUGUGGAAGCAUUAUCUCAGACGAAUGAUUCUGAAGUGGAAAAAACAAGAACAAAAAAGGAAGUGAGUUAAAUUUGCACCUGCUAUGUUCAAACGACAAAGUUGGUUUCCCUUUGGUCGAUUACAAGAGAAGCUCAAUGCAGCUUACUUGGUUCCUCUGGUAGAUGAAAAUAUAAUUUUUCUCCUAAUAAUAAGGGUAUAGUGCAAUCAAUGAUGGGCUGUAUAGAACAACUUUUUUGUUUUAUGUGUUUAUGUGAGACAUGUUUUGCCAGAUUGAAUUAAUGUCUUCUAGCCAUGUACCUUAUCUUUUUGCCGGGCCAUGAGUUGAAUGUAGAGGCAAAGUAUGGACUUGGGGUCAAGUUUGACUUGUAAAAUAAUUAGGAAUUGAAUGGCUCCUACGUUCAAUUAUUUUAAUUUUUUUUCCCGAGCCAUUCAAUUCCUAAUUAUUUAGAUUUUCGAUUUAGUGAGCAUCCACAAUCAUGCUCUCUAUUUUUAAGUUAAAUUUUAGUUAAAAACAUAUAAAAGUUAUUUAGGAGCUCUCUAUAAAAUUUAAACUUCAAUCGUUUUCUAUAGUUUAGGGAGUCAUAAAUGUCAUAACUCUUUUUUGAUUGGUCCAUCUCUAUUAAAAAAUAAAAUAAAAAAUAGUUAGCAUGAAAUAAAGGUUUGAAAUACUCAUUAAAUAAAGCAGCAUUAAAUUAUAGGGAGCCACUAAGAGUCCUUUCUCUCUCCUCAAGUUUAGGAGCUCCUAGAGGUCUCCCUAUUUUAAGAGGUGGAUAGGGAGUAUGGUUGGAAUUGUAUUUUUACAAUUCCUCCCUAAAAAUUUUCUAUGGAUAGGUGGUUUUAAGGAACCCAUUGUGGAUGCUCUGAUCUCAAAGAAAGAAAACCUCGAGUUUGCAAGCAAGUUUUCUACGUAUGUAUAUAUGAAAAACUGACAUUUAUGAAAAUAAUAAAUCCAUAUUUUUAUGUAAGCCAACUUUCUAAAUCCAUGUACUAUAUUUAUUAGGGAAAUAUUGGAGAAACUGAUUAUUUUGAAAAAUUAAAUGUGAAAAACUGAACAAAAAUUUGACAGGUUACAUAUUUCAACUCAUUCAGCAGCUUAGGUUGUGAAGACCUCAGAAGAGGCUAUGCAAUGAGCCUAGCUAGUGCACUGUUGAUCACUUCAGUGUUUACCGAUCUGUAAUUUUUCCAGAUUGGUUAUAUUUUCCUUUACAUAUUCUUAUAUUUUUCCCAGUUGGGGAGACUUAUAAAUAAACCCAAAAUGGGUACAAUAUCUAUACAGAAGGACAAAAUUAAAGUGUUUGGACAAUAAUCCCCUAUUCAUUUUGGGAUUGCCUAAGGAAUUCUUUUUCUGAUUUUCAAUGAUGCAAAGGACUGUUGUUUGAUGCUUGCCGUAUGGAGCUAAGAAAACUUGCUUUGAUAGUUUUGGACAGAUGCAAGCUACUGUUGUUGGUAGGGGUGGGCACGGUCCGGAUUGGUUCGGUUUUACUCUCAAACCACAGCUGAACCAAUAAGAAAAUAACGGUUCGGUUUGGUUCGGAUUAGCCUAAAAUCAUAAUGGAAACCGAACCAAUCCAAACCACUUGUAAUCGGUUUGGUUCGGAUUGGUUCGGCCGGUUUGUGCCUAACACAAAACCAUGCAUUUUUCAACCUGCUCUUACAUUAUAAUGCUAACAUUUUGCCAUUAUAUCAUUCCAUUCCAUUCCAUCAAAGGCUAAUACAACAUCAUUCCAUUUAUUCAAAGGUUGUCCAAUGUCUAGCAUGCAUCUAAGUUCACAAUUUCCAUCAAAACAAACAUAUACAUAAUUUGCAUUAACCAAGUAGCAUUACAUUUACUCAUUGCAUUCAUCACAAUUCAUAAGAGAUGAGAACGAAUCAAUUUUACUUUAACAUAUUAAACAAAUGCAUUCUUUGUAAUAGUUAAACAUUCUCACAUCAUGAAUAUCGGCAAGCUUAUAAAGCUGCUGCACCAACUUGCUAAUUGAUUCGUCUGUACCAGGAACAACAGUAGUAAUGCGAGAGAACCCCUCAACUUCUGCAUGGCCAACAGCUAAACUCUGGAAACGAGAAACCAGCUCAAUUAUAACAAAUGCCUAAAACUUCUACCUUAACAGAAGACAAAGGAGGAAAUAACAGCAGAAGGAAACCAAAUUUCUCAAUUUAAUAACUGAUAUUUCCAAAGGAUUCUUAAGUCUAAAAUUCGACCAAGACUUGAUUAACUAUUCCAAUGUCUAGCAUGCAUCUAAGUUUAUAACUUUGUUCCUUCUUUAACAAAAAGAACAAGGAGAAAAAGCUAAUAAUAAGGUAUCCUUCUUUAACAGGCAUCAAGCAUAUCACAUAAGCAACAUUUUAUAUACAUUAUUCUAUGAACAAAACUAAAUCAAAGCAAGGUAUGCUACAGUCUUUUUGUACAAUAAAAUAGAUUAACAUAUUUUAUAACCAUAAAAAUGAAAAAUUAGGCCUCAUAGAAAAUACCAUUUUAUUUUUCAACUCUCUAACUUUUUAUAUAACCAGUUAUUGGAGACAAUACAAAAAAUAAAGUAGUAGACAGAACUAGCAUAUUUUACAAACCCAGCUGAUGAUGACGAUCCACCACCAACAAUAUUCCCAUAAUCAAUCCUUGCAUAACCUGAUGGUCGAUGAUGGAACUUGGGUUUUGUAGAGAUGGAUUUCGCUGAGGACAAAUGGGUGGGUUUCGCCGAGUUCGAAUCAUGUUGGCUUGAGUUAGCGUCGAGGGAGAGGGAGAGGGAGAUGUAGCAGAGAGACAAAGAGAGAGGGAGAGGUAGCAGAGAGAGAUGGAGAAAUAAUGAGAGGGAGUUGCGGCUAGGGUUAAGAGACGAAGGAAGGGAGAUAGGAGAGAGGCUCUUCUGAGGGAGAGAGAAUGGUUAGAUAACUUAGAUGUGUCCGUGAGUUGUAGUUUUGGAGUCCAAUCAAGUGUUGCAGGGUACAUGGUACACUCUUAAAUAACCACUCAAACCUUGCCACAUGUAAACUAAAUUAAAUAAAUAAUAAAUUGAUUUAUAAUCGGUCCGGUUCGGUUUAGGACAGUUUUUAAAACUCUCAAACCACAGCUGAACCAAACCAAACCGGUUCGGUUCGAUUUUUCAAAAUGUUGACUUUUUCUUUGGUCAAAACCAAACCAAACCAAUCCAAUAUAAUCGGUUCGGCUGGAUUGACCUGAUCGGCCAGAUUGAUGCCCACCCCUAGUUGUUGGGAUGAUCUUUUCACGUGAAAUGAGGAUGACGAUACUUCUACACUACACAAUCCAACGAAUUCACAUUUCUAUUUCAGAUACAUGUAUAAACAGACAAGGCUUUAAAAUAUGGGAUGCUGCACUGUUGUUGCUGCUGCUGACACUGUUACUGUGUUGCUGCUACUGUUACUGCGCUGCUACUGGAAGAAGGACAAGGACUUCACAUGUUGCUUUCGUCCUUUGUGGAGGAGAGAGACCUAGGACUUGCAUGUCUUAGAUAUUUAAGAUAAGGGGCUUUCGUGCCAUUUUGAAAAUACUUUGGGUGUUUUUGAAAGCUGCUUGUUUCUUUUGGGUUUCUCACUAAAUUUCGCUAUUAGAAGGGAAAAUAAUAAUAAUAAAAAUACAGCUCUUAUUAGCAACAGGGUUACAAAUUCUUCUACAACACACCAACUGUUGUAAAAGUUUGAAGGUGGAGCCCACAGAGGAAGUUUCCUUGCAUCUUCCAGGAACUUUCCCUUCCCUGUAUUUAUCAAUUCAGGAAGUUUCCUUGCAUCUUCCAGGAACUUUCCCUUCCCUGUAUUUAUCAAUUGAGGAAGUUUCCUUGCAUCUUCCAGGAACUUUCCUUCCAUGUAUUUAUCAAUUCAGGAAGUUUCCUUGCAUCUUCCAGGAACCUUCCCUUCCCUGUAUUUUACCAAAACCUUAGCCUAUAAAUAGGCUUGCUCAUUCACUUGUAAUACACACCAAAAUGAAGAGAAGAAUGAGUGAGGAAAGAAAGAAAGGAAGAGAAGGAAGAAAGAGGGUGAGUAAGUAGAGAGAAAAAUAGAGUGGAGAGAAAUUAGUGAGCCACAUAUAUUGUAAACACUAAAGUUGUAGCCCUAUUAUUUUACAUAGUGGAAAAGUUACUACUGCUGCUCUCCGGGGACGUAGGCAUAGCCGAACCUCGUUAAAUACUGUGUCUCAUUUACUUUACGUGCAGCUCAAUAUUCAUACAUAUUCCAGGUUAUUUUUAUAACACGUUAUCAGCACGAGAAGCUCUCAGGUAUAAUUUUUGUGCUGCACUAUUAUCUAUACUACUAACCACUAACAAAAAUGGACCCUUGGUAAUACUAAACAUAUUAUCAGUGGGAGACCGUUACUAAUACUAACUUUUUCUUAUUUUAUUCGGUGGUGGUUUUAACCCCACAUUUAUUUACUGUAUGGUGUAGGUUUAUUACCCAUACAUGCACCUUUACUUUAUCGCAAAUUUAUUUUACCGCAUAUUUAUUUUAUUUACUGUAUGGUGUAGGUUUAUUACCCAUACAACAGUAUUUAUUUAAAAGGGUGGUGCGAGUUUAUCGUCCACGCCUUUGCUUUUAUUUAAAUGUAUGGAGCAGAAUUAGUGCCCAUACAAGCACAAUUUACUUUACCGCACAUUUAAUUUUAUUUAAAGUAUGGUGCGGGAUUAACGUCCAUACAGCAAGCAAUUUAAUUUAUGAAUUUAAUUUACCGCACAUUUACAUUUAUUUAAAAGGGUGGUGCGGGUUUAUCGUCCACGCCUUUACUUUUAUUUAAAUGUAUGGAGCAGAAUUAAUGCCCAUACAAGCACCUUAACUUUAUGAAUUUAAUUUACUGCACAUUUACAUUUAUUUAAAGUGUGGUGCGGGUUUAUCGUCCAUACCAGUAAUUUAUUUAUCAGCAAUUUAUUUUAUGGAUUAAUUGUUUAUUUAUCAGCAAUUUAUUUUAUGGAUUAAUUGUGCUGUAUGAUGAGUUUUUCCAGUAUGCAGAUCAGGACCAGAAGUUCCUUGAUCCUCAUCAUACAAUUACAUCAGGACUUGAAGAUCCUUGAUGAUGAUAUUAAAAUGAGAGCUGGCAGUCUCACCGGUACUGUAUUUGUAAACAUGUGAUUGGACUUAAAGGUCCUUGAUCCCUGACAUGUAAAUAAGGACCUAGAGUUCCUUAAUGAUGUAACAGUACCGUAUUGGUUCAUAGUGCCGUACACAUUGAUGAUAACUGUACUGGCAGAUGAAUAGAUACGUAUUCAUGACUUGAUGAAUAGUACUAUUCACAUGAAUAGUGACGUAUGCAUAAAUAUUAACCAUUUUGGGUAAACCGUCACUAUAUACAAAAGGGAACCUGCAGUUCCUUAAACUCAUGGAUGAGCAAUUAAAUGAGAUGCCAGAAGUUCCUCAAAAUAUGGACAAUUAUGUAAGGGCUUGAAGUCCCGAAAUAUGUACAGAAAAUUGUAAAAAUGUCCAUACCAUGAGAAUAUGUGGCUUUGGCCUGAAGUUCCAAAUUUAACAGUGUUGAGAACCUGAAGUUCCAACAAUUAAAUGGACAACCCUUGAGGUAUUAUUGCAAAUUGUGGUAUGCCACAUAUUUCUUUGGCAUAAGAAGAUGAUGAAUUUAAUAAAGUUCGAUUUUGUUAUAAUCGACACCUCAAGGAAGAAAUAUAUUUUGUGAAUUCCGGUUGUUAAGAAUACACCGCGAAAUGGAUAAUAUUAAUAUAAACCUCAAAUAAUGAAUUGAGACUCCCCACAUAUUUUGUUAUAUCUGGGCCGGAAGCCCAUGGAUCCAAAUAUAUGAGAGAUCCUAAACUUGAAGUUGUGGGUAUAUAGUAGUUAAUGCUCUUCACUACUAUAUUGCGAUAUUAUCAUGGCUUUUACUCAAUUCAUAUUUCAUGUCCAUUUGAAAAGGGCAAAUAAAUUCUGAGUUUGUGCCCAGGCCAUAAGUUCCGGGCUACCAUACGUUGAAAUAUGAAAUUUGGGAGAGUCGAUGUGGUUAUUUGAACCUAUAAGGCACAAGGUUCCAAAUCGUCAUUUUGAAAAGACGUAAAAACCAAAGGUGCAAGUUUAAGAAUGUGCGCAAUUAUUAUUACAGGAACAUACAACAGAUAGAUUUUUUCCACUUGCAAUGAAGGUGCAGGCCCUGUAAAAUCUAUAAAAUUACAUUAUGUUCUGGAAGCCUCUGAAGGAAGAGGACGGCGCCUCUUAAGCUUAGCCAUGAGCUUCUCAUGGUCUCCCAAAAUUCUUUCAUUGGAGACCUGCAGCAUGUCUAGCCUUCUCAGUGUAUCAACAGAGUACGAACUCACCAGUUUCAACAAGGAAUUAUUCUCUCCUUUAAGUUUCUCAACCUCCUGUUGAGACUCAUGAAGCAUUCUUUGGAGAGACGAAUUUUCAGUUGUUAAAUUCUCAACCUCGUUUGCUCUGGCACGCAAACGAUCAGCCAUGUUAGAAACAGAAACAGCACUCUGAAUGCUAAAAGCCAUUGAGUCAUCAAUAGCCUCUUCCUCUGAUCUCCCCGUCAACAACAUUUCAUCCAUUGGAGUAAUGAAAUUCCUAGCUACUAUGACAGCAGUAGCAUCAUUCAUCAUCACAGAAUCAUUAACUGUGAGAUGACGAUUUUUGGAUACAAAGGAUGGACGCCAAACUUGGGCGUCACUGGUAGUUGUGGGAGUAUCAUUUAAAUUGAAAUAAUUUGGGCAGGAAGAAGAGGAAGCCAUUUUUAAGAAGGUUUCGAAGAAAGCCUUAGGAAAACUAAAGUUUCAUAAAAUGAAGGAAGUUAAGUUGAAACGCAAUUGCUCCAAUCAAGUUUUGCAAAGGCAAUAUCUAUAGACGAAAAUAUGGCAAUAUCUUCAGGAUUCCAAUAUCUUCUCGAAUCCCCAUAUUAUCUUUUUCUUUCCCAGAGUCCAAAACUUCACGUGGCCUCUAAUAAUGCCUGUCGGCACUUUCGGCGUUUUUCAAAGUAUUAUUUUCAAAGCCGAUCUUGCUUUACGGAUUUCACGGAACUACUUUUUCAAAAGUAUCCCGAGAAUCUCGCAAUUUUCCUAUGGUUAAUUUGAAAUUCACCGGUUCUACCUAUUUAUUGUAUUUAUGUAUAAAUGUGUUACUAACGAAAUUUUCUUUGCAAAAGACAUCCAGUUUUCUCCAUACCUAGUGAUGCGAUAUCUACUUAUUUUUCUUAUCAGUGAGCACUUAAUAUGCCUGAGAAGCAAGACUAUCUCUGAUCAUACAUUCAGGAAGCAAGACUAUCCCUGAUCAUGUUUCCGCUACAUUAGGGAACUGUGAAGGUGACCUUAUGCUCCAAUCUCCUGAGGUCUUUCUAGACUAGGAGAAAUGAGAGCUUGUUGUUUGCUCCCACCAGCUUCCUUCCUUGAUUGCUUACCUUACCUUGCAAUCAAUAUCACAAUCUUUUUGCAUUUUUUCUCUUUUUAUAACUCUCUGUUCAUAAGAGAUUUUAUUUCUUUAGAAUGAACAUCUGAAGAAUGAAUCCAUGAAGUAAUCCUAACUAUGAGGGUUAUUUGUUUUGACAGAGGCAAAAGAGUUGUGAUUUUUGCUCUUGCAGGAUAUAACUAGAUCAUCAAGCGCUACAUUAUAUUUACUGGGCUGAUAUGAGCUUGAAUGAUACUUGAGAAAAGUUUCUCCCACCUAAGGAUGUAAGCAAUACUUGUGUUAUUUUAUGCUUAUAUACCUAUUUGAUAUUUUAUCUUGAAAGGUAACUAAAUGGGGAGAUAAGUCCGUUCCAAAAGAAUGACUUGUAUGUAUCCAUGAAUUAUUAAUGCAAAUUUUACAGAUUGCAAGUUGGAUACAUUGAUAAUACACUGCACAGAUUAAAGUCCCAUAAGAACAGAAUAUGGGUAUAGCAGUGAUCAAUAUGAUGCACGCCUAUUGCGUAGCAAAUGAUAUGGAUUGAAGUCCCGAAAGGACAAUCCUUUGACAUUUCAAUAUUGAUAUUAUGCACGCCUAAUGCGUAGCAAAUUAUAUGGGUUAAAGUCCCAUAAUAUGGGUUAAAGUCCCAUAAAUUAAUUGACAUGUAUGUAUUAAUCUGUGGCAUGCCUGCAGCAUGACAGAUAUAUGGGUUCUAAAUGUUCCAACUCCCUAAAUGGAGAUUAUCCACGCCCUACUAUAAAAUAACGCUCCAUUGGAGGUUAUAAUCCACAUUCUCACAUAAUAAAAGCCCCCUGCAGUGGCUUGGGUACCCAAAAGCAAAGAAAUGCUUAUAAUUGAUGCAUGCGCAUGCACAUGAGAAUGGUGGGAUCAUGAAUUGAUGAAUGACAAUUUUUGAUCAUGAAUUGAUGAAUGACAAUUUUUGGUUUUAGAGUAGCUACUCAAAUCAUCAAUGGGCUGUGUUGAUUGGAACCACGUUCAAUUAUUAAAUGUCGACAAUAUCAUUGGCCAAAAUGGAACGAGGUAAUUCCAUUAUAAAUGAGAAUGAACGUGAAAGAACAAACCCACAAUACGAACCCCAAAAUUUGUUAAUACUAAAAGUUAUACUUGGGUGUUCGGAAUAAAAGGAAAUAUAUCUACUUUGUAUGACACACUGUUUCUGGCAGAAACAAGGAAUGUUGGGUUUUCUCCAUAUUUACAGAUUCAAUUGUGCCCCCCUUAUUACACAAUUACGGAGACCAACAUAUUAUCUUUAAGGGUUAUUAAUGCACAGAGCAUAUCGCCAGAAGCGAUUUCCUAAAGAUGUAUAAAUAGCUGGGUAAAAGCUAUAUAAUGUGUCAUAAAGUUUAAUCCCUUUUAACCAAAAUCUGUUGAGAGGAUUGAUAUUGCAUAGAGCAAGUCCCUAAAGAACAUGUGCUUGAAGCACAAAAUUUGUACUCAAUAUUAAUAUGCAUAAAUUACCUCAGUGAGUACAUUGAUUAUAAUGUGAUUGCAACACAUUAAAGCUUCUGCAGAAUUCAUGAAAUAUUUGUCUCGAUCGAGCAUUAUGCCAACGAGAUUCUUGCUUAUACUAAGAAAGUAUUAAAGUAUUUUUAUGAGGAUUAUCCGUUGGACACUUUAAUGAUUUUCCGGAAGUAUAUUGGACCGGACAUCAUAUUUUCCAGAUAGGGCUCAACUCCAUCACCAUCAUUUUGGGAUGAUGUGAGGUAUAUUUGAUGCUAUCUAAGCAUAACACCAUAUAGGGGCAUAUUUUUUUAGUGAACUUAUAAAUAGCCCAAGUGUUCUAAGAUAUGCGGACUCAGGAAAUCUCUAUGGUCGCUUACUGGAAAAAGCUAGUCAUGAAGUUUUCAGGGGGAGAUAUUCAUCAGGGAGAGCAUGGUAUUAAUAAAGACCUUCAUACACUAUUGACUCACAGCAGCAGUGUCAACUAUGAUAUUCAGACAGAUGAUCAACAGUAUGGCUUAAAGAUAUUUUGCCAAGCAUCAGGGGGAGCGUGCUGUCAAUACAGACCCUUACCCACUGUACUCUUUUUCCUUCGUCCAGGUUUUUAUCCCACUGGGUUUUUCCUGGCAAGGUUUUAACGAGGCAGUGUCGCACGCGCGUCAAUAUACACAGAAUUUUAUGUUACACGUGAUUAUGUACUCUUUUUCCCUUCGACCAGUUUUUGUCCCACUGGGUUUUUACUGGCAAGGUUUUUAACGAGGCAUAUUCCAUAUCAUUUGUGGUCUCCAAGGGGGAGUGUUGUAAAAGUUUUAAGGUGGAGCCCACAGAGGAAGUUUCCUUGCAUCUUCCAGGAACUUUCCCUUCCCUGUAUUUAUCAAUUGAGGAAGUUUCCUUGCAUCUUCCAGGAACUUUCCUUCCGUGUAUUUAUCAAUUCAGGAAGUUUCCUUGCAUCUUCCAGGAACCUUCCCUUCCCUGUAUUUUACCAAAACCUUAGCCUAUAAAUAGGCUUGCUCAUUCACUUGUAAUACACACCAAAAUGAAGAGAAGAAUGAGUGAGGAAAGAAAGAAAGGAAGAGAAGGAAGAAAGAGGGUGAGUAAGUAGAGAGAAAAAUAGAGUGGAGAGAAAUUUCUCCAAGAGAGAAAAAUUAGUGAGCCACAUAUAUUGUAAACACUAAAGUUGUAGCCCUAUUAUUUUACAUAGUGGAAAAGUUACUACUGCUGCUCUCCGGGGACGUAGGCAUAGCCGAACCUCGUUAAAUACUGUGUCUCAUUUACUUUACGUGCAGCUCAAUAUUCAUACAUAUUCCAGGUUAUUUUUAUAACACCAACAUCAAUCUAGCCCUGAUCCACUCUUUUACAUACUUGAAAACAAAACAAAACACGAAAAACAAAAAACAACAGGGAGAAAAUGGCUCCGGAGAGACUUACUGCUAAUACUUGAUCAAUAACAGAGAUAAUAGAGCACACUGUUUGUAUGGCAGUGAGUAUCAGAAGAAUAAUAGCUGCCCAAGGUGUGUUGAAAUACUUUUGUCUCAAAUUUGCCUUCCAUAUGUUCGUGGUCUUCUCGCAAUACUCGUUUAGUUUGCCAGCAAGAUCACCAAAAUAGUAGUUUCCCUGGUUAAUCAUAAUGGAAACCUUACUGUUGUCACCUAGCGUGUUUACAACAAUUCCAUUGUCAACAAGCAACUCUACAUCCUUUGGGGUGUUUACAAAUUUAUCCAGGAUGAAAACAUAAUCGCUUAAUUAUUUAUUAACGCAAUGGCAUUGUUCAAAGGCAAUGAGAUUUCUAAGUGUAAGCUCUGUGUAAUCAUGUAUUUCAAUUUUUGGAAUUUCCAAGGUGUUUUUCAAGAACUGUAUAUCGAAUAAGUUCUUGCUUGAUUCAACGUUAAACUUAACUCCGGCCUGGUGUAGUUUUGUCAUGCCGGGUGUACUUUGGAGCCCUACAUUUUCUUUUAGGGUUGGAUCUGGCAGAUGUAAAGUUCUAAUAAAAUCAACAAAUUGUACAGGUUUUUUAGGAUCAGGAGGCAUAAAAGACUUACGGAAGGCUGGUGAGUUCUCCAAGUUUUCUAAACGCAGUGCCUGUUGGAAGAACCUGUAAGAGAGUUCAAUUAUUGAAGGCUCCCCAGUCUGGGCACCUGUAAGAUUGUAAAGAUCCUCGAGAAUGAAAAAUGGCAGCUGAUUUUCUAGCAUAAGCAUGUCAGGCAAUAUAUUUUGUAGCACCCAUGGUUUUUUAAAUAUCCAAGCAUUAUCAUCCGGCAAUUUUUCUUCCUGAAAUUUUUCUUCGGAUUUAUUCCUCAACAAUAGCUCAAUGACAAAGGCGGCAUCAACUAGAAUGAUAUUCACAAAAGCGGCAAUGUUAAACUUCUUAGUGUCUUCAUAAUAAUGACGGAGUUCAACUUCUCUCUCCUUUAGGUACCUGAGUUUGUGAUCUUCCAUGGCUUCUAAGUUUUUGCUGCCAUGGUGAAGUGGGCCUAUUGAGACUACUUGUGGUGUGUAGGCCUUUUGUUUUACGUUCCGUAGUCGCUCAGGCACCCUGUAGAUACUGCAGGCAGGGGACAGGGCACGGAAGUUUGUCAACUGAUUUUCCAUGGAAGUUGCUUGGUUUUCUAUGUCAAAAGAAGCUUCAUUGCUGCUUUCUUCCACUUUCUUCCUCCGCAUUAUGUGUUGUUCUGAUUGUAAGUGACGAGGAUGGUGAUGAUUCUAGACACCAUAAUCAACAAAUGUUUCAAUCAUAAUUGACAUUUCAAGAUGCUCCGACAAAAAAUUAGAAAACAUUCAUCACAAAAUGCGAACUCAUACAACAGAUGGGUUGAGAAGAUCCACACAUUGCAAUCAUACAAUCCAAUUGAACAGGGAUUACUCCCUAUUCUCCUCUCUCUCUAAAAAAGAUUUUCAUAUCGAUAACAUCUUAUUGCAAGGGACUUGUACAUCAAGUGGUGAAGAACAGAAAUUCAUAUUCUUUCAAUCAACAAAUUUCGAAGAAGUUUGUUUGUUUUAUUUUUGGGGGAAAAAAAUCUGAGCAUAUAUAGAUGCAUAUUAUACGUAGACCUAAGGUGAAAACAUACCAGAUUUUUACUCCAUUUUUCAUGAGGUUUAAGUUCUUGAUGUAUAUAUUUAUCUCAAGUGUAACAUCCCACAUUGAUCAACGGAGAGGGGGUGAUGUGCCUUAUAUGUACAUGCCAGCCUUCAUCUAGCACGAGGCUUUUUGGGAGCUUAUUGGCUUUGGAGUCAUAGGAACUCUGAAGUUAAGCGAGUUGGAGCUAGAGCAAUCCCAGGAUGGGUGACUCACUGGGAAGUUGCUUGUGAGUUCCCAGAAACAAAACCGUGAGGGCAGAGAGGAGGGCCCAAAGCGACCAAUAUCAUGCUACGGCGGAGCCGAUUCUGGGAUGUGAUAAUUUGGCAUCAGAGCUACUCUGCCGUGUGGUGUGAGUGUGCCGACGAGGACGCCGAACCCUUGAGGGGGGUGGAUUGUAACAUCCCACAUUGACCAACGAAGAAUGGGUGAUGUGCUUUAUAUGUAUAUGCUUGCCUAUAUCUAGCACGAGGCCUUUUGGCAGCUUACUGGCUUCCGAGUCAUAGGAACUCCGAAGUUAAGUGAGUUGGUGCUAGAGCAAUCCUAGAAUGGAUGACCUACUGGGAAGUUGCUCAUGAAUUCCCAGAAAAAAAAAGCUGUGAGGGCAGAUAGGGGGGCCCAAAACGGGCAAUAUCGUGCUACGGCAGAGCCGAUCUUGGGAUGUGACAUCAAGAAUUUAUAUCCUCCCUUUUCAGAUCUCAUGUUCCAGUCAAUACAUAACGAAACAUAAGAAACUAAAGUCUUGUUUAUACCCAUCCUCCCACCCACCCACGGCCAUCCACCCCUACCCCCUAUCUCCAUUAAAUCUACAAGUAGCUCAUCAAUUUCUCCACCAUCCCAAGUUCAAUAUACCACCCAACAACCAUCUUACCCAUCUUCUCAUUGAUCUUCCACCCAACAUCCAACACUAUCUUCAUAAACUCUUUAGCUUAAUCUCUCUGUUGCUUUUGUUUUUUGUUUUUUAGAAAUUAAAUUUUUUAGUUUAUUUUUUUGUUGGUACAAAUUCAAUGAUAAAGAACAUCGAACUCGUCGCAACAUCCUGUUCUAGAUCCAAGCUCUACCACCAUCACAACCCUCUCUUGACCUCCGACCAACCUUAACACCCAACUUCAAAUCUAGGUUGUUUGAAACCCAGCCCCCAACAACCCCCCCAAGUCAUCCCAUUGCAACUGACUUGUAGAUGAAGUAGUAAAGAACAAAAAGUCAUAUUCUUCCAAUCAAAACGUAUCAAGUCAAACAAAAUUUCUAGUUAGUUUGCUUUAUGAUAGUUGUUUUUUGAAGGGGUCCUUAGAUCCAAUCUCAAAAAGUUUGACUUUUAUUAUGUUUAACUCUAGUUUUUUGCAAUUUUUUUUUAUCUCUACCCACUAACUUUUAUCUCUCAUUUUUAUUACCCAUUUUACCCUUUAAAAUAAAUAUAGUAAUAAACUAAAAAUUCUGAUUUAAUGCAUGUUUUGCUCAUAAGAGAACUAAAACCUAAAAAUUCUAUACUCUUACACAAAAAAUAAAAAAUAAAAACUAAAAUUAAAAUGGUUAUCAAACAGACCCUUAUAUUACAAAAAACCUUAACUGACCACCUUAUAUGGCAACUGAUNNNNNNNNNNNNNNNNNNNNNNNNNNNNNNNNNNNNNNNNNNNNNNNNNNNNNNNNNNNNNNNNNNNNNNNNNNNNNNNNNNNNNNNNNNNNNNNNNNNNUAGCAUUCUAAAAAAAGUGGCCUCAUGGCAGCAUUCAUUAAUUGACAUGGCAUGACACAUCAGUUGCCACAUAAGGUGGUCAGUUAAGGUGGUCAAUGUUGUGUGUCCAAAUAGCAUUACUAAAAAAAAAUCAAAUAUUGAACUCAUCAUAAGAGAACACAGAAAAACCUCACUGCUUGCAACUCUUACACCACCACUACACGAACAGAACAACUGCUAAUUAAAAUGAGUCACAUGUCACAUGUCACAUGUGGUACUUAACUCUAAAAACUUAUUUAGAUUAUAUAUCCAUAUUUAUAUAUCCUACUCCUCGAUCAAAACAACCAUGAAACAUAAGUGACUUAAACCUCUAGGCAAAUGGACGGUAUAUAGCAAUUUAUAGAACAAUACAGUAAUCCAGAAGAAAUAUUAUGAAAUAAAAAAAAUAAAAAGUAAAAAAAGAGAAGGAAAGGAAUUCCCACCUGAUAUGUAUAUCUAUGAAAGGAAGGACCAAGUUUGUUUUGCCUUUGGUUAAUGACUAGAAAAGCUCACUUGUAUAUUGCUUUCUCCGGCCGUAGAUGCAAGAGAAAUUUUCUCUUAAUAAUAGCACAAUGAUCGGGUAAUCGUAAGAACAAGUUGAUUUAAAAUUCAGGUCAACUCAUAGAUUUCUUGCCUUUUCUAUUCUCCUUCCUUGGACACGAGCUGUUUAAUCUUGGAAUCUUCCCCCAUCAUGUUGGGCCAGUCUUCUUCUUGAGGAUUGUAUAGGCCCAGGAAAUGCUUGGAGGUAGUUUUUGUGUAUUGGGCCUUGAGACCCAACUUCACAAAAAGAAAACAGAUUUGACCAAAAAAACAAAUUUGAAGGACAUUGAAAUUGUACCUGUAUGAUAGGUUAAAACACUGUAAGGGAGGUAAAUAGUACGUUUACAGAGUUUAAGUGUAAUAAAGGAAUAAAAACAUGCCCAGAGCACUACUACAAUUUUUCCCUGUCCUGGCAACCCUUUGUGAUCGGUAAAAACACCAUUAUUGACGGAACUUCGUCAGUAAUUGCUUCUUGACGACUGCAGCGACGAAAAUGAGUAUAGUCAGUAAAAGUCCCGUCAGUGUUACUAUUACUGACCAACUUUUGCAACUUAUUCGUCAGUAGAGGUGUGUCUCUGACACAAGUCAUGAAGUGACUCUAAAUUAUUACUGACAAAACAAAUAGCCACUAUUAAACAAGCUUUUGUCAGGAUUAUUAUUUUAGGAUGGAGUACUAGUGGCAAAGAUUUGUCAAUAUUGUUUUCAACAAAAAAAAAAAUUCAGUCAAUUUGCUUCUGAGCUGAUGCGCCUUUAGAUAUCCUUUUCUGAAAUGUCUUUUGUUUUCUAAUAUAAUGGAUGUUUUUCUUUAAUAAAAAUUUAAUGGAUUCUGAAAAUGUAAUAACAAUUAUAAAUACUCAUAGAUUGAACCAUUCAACCCCCAUCCUUAUAAAUAUAAACUACCAAUGUCGAUUACAAUAGCCAAAUAUUACAAAGUCUGCCUACAUCAGUAGAGUUCAAAAACUUUAGGUGCCCUUACUAUACAAAAGUAUGCAAUUCCAAAUAUUCAACAAAUACACUACAAAAGCAUGCAUACCCCAAUAGGGUCCAAAAUACAACGUCAGCAACUAUAUAUACCAAAAAUGCAUAACACUAAGUAACUGCAUCUAUUCAAGUCCAUGAGUACCUUGAUCUGAUUCUAAAAAGUCUGUCUCACUUGGGUAUGCAUCCCCCCUCAGCAAUCCAGUUAACCCACCAAUAGGAGUAACUGACCUGGCUUGAUAAGGCAUUUGAUGGAACAUCUGCGGCGAGUAAUAUGACAUAUGGAAUGGGUUUGGCAGCUGCUGGUACAAUGGGUGAUGCGAAGCUGACGAGCACGAUAACAUCUGCCUCAUUUCCUCAAUCUCUUGCUGGUUAUGCUUCAGCAACUCUUGCGUCGCCUUCAAUUCAGAACGCCAAUGAUCCUGGUCAUGUUUGUACCUUUCUUGUAACUCUACAUACUGUGACUCAAGGUGAACAUAGUCGUGCCCUCGCAAUCUCUUGGAUGACCCUGCUUUCGUUUGAAUCCAAGGCACCUGAUGGGGUUUCACCCCAAGUCCUUCACCACGAACACUAUUAUUUGUCUCAGGACCCAUUGCCUCAACAUAAGCCCUUCUUCGUGUCUCUAAAUUAUCAGGACAUUCAUCUUCAACCAAUUCCUUCAACUUUUCCUGCAUUUCAGCCUAACAAAAACAAAAUAUAUAUCCUUCUCCAUCAAAUUGUGGUCAUCAUAGAACUAGCCCAAUAAACUCUACAAUGAUGAAUUGCAUUAUGUAAUAAAAAUUUAGGCCAAUUAGUCUUCUGGACCUCUACUGUUUUGUUUUUCAUAUGCUUAAACAAAUAAAAGAACAUAAAGAAUAGUGAACAAGAAAAAAAAACUACCUCCAAACAACUUUCCAUAUGCUUAAAAAAAAAAAAAAAAAAAAGUCAACCAAAACAAAAUAAGAGAAACAUCCUGGACUAUGGCUAACAAUUCCUCAUGAAAAUGAACUUAUAUAUAAUUAUUCCAAUAUAUAGUCCAUAUGCUUACAUAUUUCUGCUCAGCCACCAAGUUAACCCAUGAUCGAUCUUCGUCACGCCGUGUAUGCUUAUCUUGGAAAAACCAAAUAGGAUCGGGGUCUUCACCAUGUUUCUUAUUCUUAGCAUGCAAUCAAUAAAAUAAAAUAAGAUAAUCAAUUAGCUAACACGACCUCAUAUGCUCAAUAUUUGAAUAUAGUAAAGAGUAAACAUUCAAGUGCAUCAUCAAAACUGACAUAUUGUGCUUUGCUGCGAGCAUAAGACUUUGUUCUAGAUGUGUGAUUCAAUGUUUGUUUACUCCGAUUUUCAACAUUUCUUUUAGCUUGCUCCUUUUAUUAGCAAAAACAAAACAUACUUAAUCAUUGCACAGAUUAUAUAUACUGAGUGUUGUGUAAUAAUACGUACUGCAAUCUCAUCUUUUUCCCAAUGUUCAACCAACACCCUCCAUUGAUCUGGGUCUACACGAGAAUCCCCACAUUGCCACCGUCUUUUACUUCCUGUGAAAGGCUUAUAAUAAGCUUUCUUCAAAUCACUCUUGAAACUUCUCCACAAUUUUUCAAUAUUCUUCAUUGUUACAUCCUUGAAGACAUGAAUCAUAGGUUGUUGUUCAGGACGAAAUUCAAUGGUGCCCUGCAUCCACAAUAAGGUAGUCUUACAUCAAGUUGAAAUAUACCUAUUAAACUCAAUUUCAUGCAAUAAGUAUUCAAUAAUUUUAGGAAAACCAAACCCGUAGAGUGUCCCAGACAUCAAGUUUGCAAGAGUCUGGUACUUUUUCCCAUUUUAAAUACUUGAUCGGAAUUAGAUUGGCAUCCCGCGCCAAAAUACCCAUGUAUCUAGAAAAAUGGGGACUAUUGUCACUAAUAACUCUGCCAAAUGGAGAUAAAUCAACUGACUCUUUUUUGUUAUUUAGAAACCAGUUGCAUUUCCCUUGACCUCGACCUUGCUUCGCCUCCUUGCCUACAUGAAAAGUUAAUUUUAACUGAUCAAUACAACAAGAAAAUAAUAAGAAACUGUAAGGUAAUAAGUUUCUCACACAUUAUUCAAAUGAAAAAUUAGCAUAGCUAUUUGGAGAUGAUGUGAUCGUGAAACAUCCCAUAUUCAAUACAUUUGUAUAUGAUUAAAACAUACCAAUUUAUUAAAAGAAAAAGGAAAAGAAAACCAACAUACCAGUAGCACUUAUAGAACCAUCUCCCUCUAGACUAUCCCUAAAGUCAGCGUUGGGCCCUUCUUGUGAACUAUCUUGAGAACUGCUCAUCUAAAAAAUUUGAUAUGCAUAACAGUGAAGGGGUAACAAAUUAAUCAGACAUCAUUGGUAAAAGAAACUAUUACUUCAACAUUCUAAUACAAAACAAUCUACUAAAGAAAUUCUUGUACAAUAUUCUUAAAAUUACGUAGUCCAUUUAAGCUGACAGCUCAUCAAAAUACAUGAAAAAUUCAAUACUCCAUGUCAUCAUAAAGCUCAUCCUCGUUUUCAGUAGAGAGAUCGUCUGAAGACUGUUCAUCUUCUUCAUCCUCAUUUCCGGGCUCAUGCUCAUCUACCAUCUCAUCCAUAUCAACCCUAAUAUGAAAUUCCUCAUUGUCUAGCAGCUGAUCAUCAAGAUUCGGAAUGGCAUAAUUAUCAGUAGCACUUAAAAGGGUUAUCUAUAGUUGGAGCUAGAUCACUAUCUUCUAGCACAUCAAAAAAAUCUCUUGGUUGAGUUUGGGUUGGCACAUGCCAAUGACUGUCUUCUGGAUCUACAACAUAAAACACUUGUGUAGCUUGAGAAGCCAAUAUGAAAGUGUGUCUUUCGUUUGUCGCAACCGAUUGAAACUAACCAAAGGGAAACCAUACCCAUCAAACCUCAUCCCCCUAUCACUAGCAGUAUCAACCCAAUCACAGUUAAAUAAUGUAAUUUUCCGACCAUUAUCAUUCUGUUCUAUUUGACCCCCGUAAUUAAGUUCAUAAAUCUCUUUAAGAACACCAUAAUAAUCAACAUUGCCAAUUACUGGAUUGCGAUCUCUUGCGCUUGAGUAACUAGAUGUCUCUGCACAUUGAAAUACACCACUAUUCUGAUUCUUCUUUUUAUCGUCUACUGAUUUAAUCCGGAACCUACACCCAUGAAUUAUGUGAUUCUUAUACUUGUUCACAAAUCUACUAGGACCAAUUGAUAGCCAACGCAAGUCCUCAGAUAUUGACAGAUCAUGGGCUGUGUACAAUUUAGUAACCUAUAAUUUAAAACAACAACUAAAGUAAAUAACUUUAAUUAAAAAUAUGGUGCAGCAACAUAAAAUGAAUCAUAUUACAACUAAACAUACUUACAUGAUCCUUGAACCAAGUUGGAAAUAUCUUAUUUCUCAUCCCCUCAAUUUCCUGUAUGGUCUUCCGUCGAUUACUUUGUCUCAAUUCUUGGAAGCAUUUUCUGUUUUACAAUAUAAUAUAAUGACUUGUUAGUUAUUAAUUCAUAAUUGAGGAUUGAAAAAAAAAAAUAUCAACAACUUGCUUGUUUUUAUUCAUAAAUAUCUUACUCUAAAAAAGGGGAAACUUCAUCGCAAUUGAACAAGACCACUCUGCGACAUUGGUCCCAAACAUCUUUGUCAAGAUAUAUUUGUUCAGCUGAACCCUUAGAAUGACAUGAAGAGUCAAAAACUUUUAGCUCCCCAAUGACACCACGACCAAUACCAUCAGCAUUUCGACCCUUUCGAUUCCUUCGAGUCUCAACGUUGCUAAGAUACAUGGUACACAUAGCUAAUCCCUCGUCGACAAGAUAUCCUUGUUCCAUACUUCCUUCAGGAUAACUCUUAUUCUGAACAUAUUUCUUUAAUGUUUGUAGGUAUCUAAAGAUAUGGCAAAAUUGAACAUGUUAAUUUACAAUUAAAAUGGAAAACUAGAAAUAAUAAAUAAGAUUUGAACUAAUUACCUUUCAAUGGGAUACAUCCACCGGUAUGGGGCAGGCCCUGCGAUUGCAGCCUCAUCUGCCAAAUGCAUGAUUAAGUGUACCAUCACAACAAAGAAGGAAGGAGGGAAUAUCUUUUCCAUCUGGCAUAAUGUCACUGCAAUCCGAGGUUUUAAAGCCAUGUAUGACGCUUCAUAUUCCUUCUUACUACAUAACCGUCUAAAAAUUGCACUUAGCUCAAGCAAAACAAUGGUAACAGCUUUUGGUAAUACUCGUCGUAUUGCAAGGGGCAGCAGCUGUUGCAUUAUAAUAUGAUAGUCAUGACUUUUCAAUCCGUGUAUUUUUCUCUCAUUCACAUUAACACAUCUAGACAGAUUUGCAGAAUACCCAUCAGGAACUCUCACAUUUGCCAAGACUUCGCAAAACAUUGUUUUUUCCCUUUUCCUCAUGUCAAAAAGUGCUGGAUCAAAAACUUCCUUACCUUUCCCAUUUAUAUAAGGGUGCUGUUUUCUCCUUAUAUUCAAAAUUUGAAGGUCCUUACGAGCUUUUAUUCCAUCCUUUGUCUUCCCAGGAAUAUUUAACAGUGUACCUAAAAUGUUUUCACAAACAUUCUUUUCAAUAUGCAUUAGAUCAAGGUUAUGCCGUAUCAAAAGAUAUUGCCAAUAUGGUAACUCAAAGAAUAUGCUUUUCUUCUUCCACUGAACUUUGUUACUAUUUAUAUUCGUUGUGGGAUAGGUAUUUGUAUUCCUAAUGGGACAAGAACAUUUUUUGGGUUUUCCUUGCCCAACAAAAACAGCUGACUUCUUUUUGGGUUUUCGAAAUGUGAAUGUCAAACUUGACAAUUUUUCUAAACACUGUGAACCUGUCAAGGGAAUAGGUGGAAGAGCAUGUUCUUCCUUACCGUUAAAGGCUGCUUUAUCUCUUCGAAACCUAUGUUGUAUAGGUAGAAAUCUCCGAUGACCCAUAUAACACAUCUUACUACUAUUUGCCAAAUGCAUUGAGACUGUAUCAUCCAUGCAAUGCGGACACGCUUUCUUCCCCUUCGUGCUCCAUCCUGAAAGAAUUGCAUAUGCGGGAAAGUCAUUAAUCGUCCAUAACAAUGCAGCCUUCAUUGUAAAAGUUUGGUUGGCAAACACAUCAAACGUCUUAAUACCAACCUCCCACAACUCUUUCAACUCAUCGAUUAAAGGCUUCAAAUACACGUCAAUAUUAUUGCCAGGCCCAUCAGGACCAGGAAUUAUUAACGAUAACAAUAAAUUUGGUUGCUUCAUACACAUCCAUGGAGGCAAAUUAUAAACUGACAGUACAACAGGCCAUGUACUAUGGGGUUUGUUCAUAUUUGAAAAGGGAUUAAACCCAUCACUUGCAAGCCCCAAUCGCACGUUGCGUAUCUCCGAAGAAAAUUCAGGGUAUAAGGAAUCUAAAUGCUUCCAUGCACGAGAAUCUGAUGGGUGCCUCAUGAAUCCAUCUUUAGGACAUUCGGUUGCAUGCCAUCUCAUAUCUUCAGCGGUAUGCUUCGACAUAAACAAUCUUUGCAACCUUGGUUUUAAUGGAAAAUACCGAAGAACCUUGGUUGGAACCUUAGCUGAUGUGUUCUUACUCAAAGAACCUCCCACAAUAUUGACUUUGUACCUUGAGGCACCACAAAGUGCACACUCAGUCAAGUCUGAUGUAUCUUUCCAAAACAGCAUACAAUCAUUGGGGCAAACAUCAAUCCUCUUGACUGUAAGUCCCAACUCCCUAAUGAUUUUUUUAGCAUCAUAAUUAUUUUUUGGUAAACAAUUCCCCUCUGGCAACAAUUGUUUAACCAAUUGUAACAGCAUUGUAAAGACAUUAUCGCUUCCCUAAACAUUUAAUCUGGAACAGUCUUACAACAGAAUACAAUUUCUUAUAUUUACACCUAGGGUACAACUCCAUAUCUGCUUCUUCAAGUAACUUAUAAAAUAUUUCAGCCUCAGGUGUUUGGCCAUCAAAGAUAGGUGGCUCUGUCGAAGUCCCAACAGUUUCUCCAAUUAUUGGUUGCACAAAGGCUUCAUUGAGAAAAUCAUGAAUGUCAUCUAUACAAACUUCUUCAUUAUGAACUGAUUCUAUAUCCUCUUGGAAUGGUAAAUUUGUCAUGGGCUCCCCAUGAUGCCUCCAAGGGCCAUUCAUAUAUGUGGGAUCCAUUCCUUUUUCUAUAAGAUGAAGCUGGAUGAUGUUUCUUUCAUAGUGAUAACGGUUACAACAUUUUUUGCAAGGACAUAUGACCCUCUCUCCAAAACCCACUUUGGCAAAGACGUCAUCUAAAAACAUUCUCAUUCCGUCUGCGUAUUCCUUACAAUUUCUCCUUAAAUGUACCCAACUUUUAUCCAUAGUUCACCUAUAUUGAGUGCAAGGCACCAAAUACAAUUAUUCAGCACAGAUCAUCCCUCAUACUUAUUGUCUAUAAAUUCCUAUCAGGUGGGUCAAUUUAUUAUCCAUUAGAUGACCCUCAUGACCAUCUACAUCAAUUCACAAGAAAAACCAAAUUAAAAUAACAAAAACCUGAGUCUAAAGAAUAUAUUAACUAAGAAAUUGCACAUUCAUUCAACUGAAGAAAAGAACUAUAACACCAAACAACUAGACCCACUUAAUAGCUAAAGAAACUCACGUCAUAACAACAAAGUAUACAUAUUAAACAACAUAUCAACUCAUAGAUAAAAGCCCGAUAAUCUCAAUACUAUGAACAAUCUUAUUCAAAAAUAAUAAGAUAACAGCAACAUAAUAGAAAAAAGUAAAGGGAAACACACCUGGAUUCUAAGUUUCCAACAACAAUUCAACACUCCUGCAGUAGAUUAAUACAUACAUACCCACAUAUCAAACUUCACCAACAAAUAAUAAAAAAUUAAAACAAGAGCUUUGAAAAAUCAAAGGAUUCGUGUCACAUCCCGGAAUCGGCUCCGCCGUAGCACGAUAUUGUCCGCUUUGGGCCCCCCUCUCUGCCCGCACGGUUUUGUUUCUAGGAGCUCACGAGCAACUUCCCAGUAGGUCACCCAUCCUGGGAUUGCUCUAGCCCCCAACUCGCUUAACUUCGGAGUUCCUACGACUCCGAAGCCAGUGAGCUCCCAAAAGGCCUCGUGCUAGAUGGAUGCGGGCAUGCACAUAUAAGGCACAUCACCCCCUCUCCGUUGGUUGAUGUGGAAUCUUACAAUCCACCCCCCUUAAGGACCCGACGUCCUCGUCGGCACACUCGCACCACACGGCAGAGUGGCUCUGAUACCAAAUUGUCACAUCCCGGAAUCGGCUCCGCCGUAGCACGAUAUUGUCCGUUUUGGGCCCCCCUCUCUGCCCGCACGGUUUUGUUUCUAGGAGCUCACGAGCAACUUCCCAGUAGGUCACCCAUCCUGGGAUUGCUCUAGCCCCCAACUCGCUUAACUUCGGAGUUCCUACGACUCCGAAGCCAGUGAGCUCACCCCCUCUCCAUUGGUUGAUGUGGGAUCUUACAAUUCGUUUAUAUCUUGGAAUAAAAUCAGUAUUCUAAUUUUUAUAUCUAAUUGGAAGGAUUCAUGGGUCAUUACCUACACUAAAAUACUUGAAAAAAUAAAAUAAACAAACAAAAUAAGAACAAAAAUUUCACCAGAACAGAGGCACAAAAAUCUCACCAAAACAGAGGGCCUCUUUAAUGAAGGACAACCAAGUCAGCCCCAAUUGAAAAGAGCAAAGAACCCCCAGAUUUAAUCUCUCUCUCAAUCUGAAUCAGCAACCCCAAUUGAGAAAAGCAAGGAAAACCCCCCAAAUUUAAUCUCUCUCUCUCAAUCUGAAUUAGCAACCCCAAUUGAGAAGAGCAAGGAAAACCCCCCAAAUUUAAUCUCUAUCUCUCUCAAUCUGAAUGAGCAGACACGAAAAUCACUACCACACAUGACUCCAACUCCAUUAGCUAUGAGGAAGAAUACAAUUCAUUCUUCAAUGAAAAGAAGAGGGAAGAGAUGGCCGGUUUGGAGGAAGUAGAAAAGCUCAAGUAAACAAUUGAAGUUUUUUAUAUAUCAAUAGGAAAAUUUUGAAGUUAAAAAUUAUAUUUAAGAAUAGUAUUGGCAAUCGAACUCGUCAGAAAAAAAGUUGGCUUCCUGGUGUCUGAAAAUUUAGGCGCUUAUGUUUUCACUUCCCGCGUUAAAAGAGACUGGCGCAGUGUCUCGUCAGUAAAGGUAGUAAUGACAAAAGACUUUGUCAGUAUUAUUUACUAGUGAAAAAUCACUUUAUUUUGCUAGUAUUUGGUCUCAGUACUGACUAAGCUGCUCUUUCAUCAGUAUUAGUCCGUCAGUAUAAGCUAAAAUUGUAGUAGUGAGAGGAUUGAUAAGUGAUAUUAAUUCUUGAAUAUACAGAAUGUAAAAUAAAGGAACACGUAAAAAAUUAUUUUAUGUGGUAAAACUCCAUCUCUGGGGAAAAUCCACGGGACUUCUUAGUCCAAAACAAAUCCAUUAUAGAAUGAUGAUUACAAGAAGUACUCACACACUUAUCCUAGACACAUUCUAGAUAAUGUUUACUGACCUCUUCGUAACUCAACUUCUGUCUCGAGAUGAUCUUUCAACACUCCUUAUGUUGAACGCAAUAUUGGUCACGAUUUCUUCAAGCUCGUCAGAGUUCUUCCAACUCUCCUAAUAUUGAAUCCGAUACUAGUCACGAUUGAUUCAAGCUCAUCGUAGAAAAACCGUCACAAUGGUCUUGGUGCCCUCAACCGUAUGAGUCAUUAAACAUGCAAAUGAAUACAUAUAUGAAUGAUAAAAGUGUUUGAUAAAUCACUGAGUUAUGGAACACUUGAUGAUUUAUCUCAAAUAAAAACUCAGCUUUAAUGCUUUCUAAACAAAGAAGACGAAGGUCUUACUUUAUAGACUUUUUCUUUACAAGAAAGAAAAUAAGUUGGAAACCAAAUCUCCAAUUUCCAAGGCAAAAUCACAAAAGUAUCUUUCCUAUUCUAGAGAUUGGUCACAUGUAGUCCAACCAAUAGGAAAUGAGAUAUUUAAGAAAGGAAGAUUUUGAUCAAUAUCAAUAUCAAAUGAAUUCUUAUACGCCUAGUCAACUAUUAAGGGUAUCUUGACUCCUUGAUAUUUUGAUAUGAUUGAAACAUGAUUUCCAAGUUAGAAAAUUAAGGGGUUGUUAAAACAUGAAAGUAAUAGGAGAAACAAAUUUAUUUGAACCAAAAUUGCCCAAAAAGAAAACACUCCUAAAUAAACUUCAAUUCACUUUAGUAAAACAUGAUUGAAUCGUUCGUUAAAACAAUUCCCUAAUAUACAUGCAUGAUAAUGACAUCACUUACCCCUGAAUCAAAUUUGUUAAUGUAUGCAUUUUGAGUUUUUUUUUCUUUUGGCUUCCCUUGACAAUUUUGUAAUAGGAAAAUCAUUGUAGUUUCUCAAGCUCUAAGUUUAGAUUAAGAAUUACUUCUCUAGGUGUUCUUAUCUGCCUACAUUCUGAUGGAAAACAAUGCGUUUGACAAAGGUAAAUUCUGCAUUACACUACAUUGCAUUCACUAAAUUUCUUAAGAUUAUGACUAGUCAUCUUUCUUUCGUAUGACUAGUCAUCUUGCAUUCGUAUGACUAGUCAUCUUUCCUUCGUAUGACUAGUCAUCCUUUGUUUCAAUUAGGAUUUCCAGCUCACUGUUUCCAGCUGGGGCUUAAGCAUUUUUUUGUCCUUUUCUACGAAUUUCUCAGCUUCCAUGUGUCUAUUCUGACCUAGGAAUUUUUGGUAAAAGCCAUAGAAUUCCUCAUUUGGCAGCCGUCACUUUUGGGGACAAGUUGUGGAAAGUUUCAUAGCAAACUUUCGCUUCUUCUUCCUCAAGAGUAACCUUCAUAUUUUUCAUCUUUGAGUUCUCUAAAUUGUUUCUUUUUGAAAACUGCAUUUGAAAUAUGAAAACUUCAUCUUGCUAGAUCAAACACUCUAUCAUAUACAUCUAGGUCAGAUUCAAGAUUGAUUUCUUCAAGAGUAUGGUUUCUUGAAGAAAUUGGUCAUUUUCUCCAUGAAUCCAAAUUUCAUUUCUGUCUGAGUUAGAGCUUGCAAGCUGGUGCCAUGGGAUGAAUGAGCUGAAGAAGGAGCUGCCAUUGCCAUGAAGAACUGAGCUUCAAGCUUUGCUAAGUUGGAGAAGAAGAUUGCACAAAGGAGAUAUAGCAUCUUCCUAAAUAGACCUAGGAAUUUCUUGAGCUUGCUAGUGUUCUUUGUAAGAAUCUUUUUGCUUAGUGGAUUGCCUGGUCGGUUGAUGACCCCCAGUUUUUCCCAAUGGUGGGUUUCUGGGUGAACAAUAUCUGGUUUCCAUCUCUGUAGAUUUUUUGGGUUUGUGUUCUUGAUAGUUGACUAGUCAUCUGAAUUUGUGUGGUUGACUAGUCAUCUUUUUCUGCUGUUUGGUGUUUUCUUGAUUAUGUUGUCUUCACACACUUUUACCAUAGUUGUUGCUAGCACAAGGGAUGCCUAGAUUGAUGGGUCCUUCUGAGUGCCUAGGUUGUCACUAGUAAUUCUCUAGGCCUGCAGGUACAUCUUGGUAUGCUUUGUGUAUGUUAUUGUUUGGUUUAAUUCAUAUCUAACAGUUGACUAGUCAUAAGAGUAUUUGGUCAAGGUCUAGAGUGUGUGAAGUUUGUUGCGUUCUUGAUUGAAUAUCUUUUAAAUUUACCCUUCGUCACCUAAUUACCAAUUUGCAGACUCCACAAAUGAAGAAAAGAGCACAAAUAUCGUGAAUGCUAUUGGGAAUGGAAAGGGCAAACCUGUUCAAAAAGGGUAUGGAGGGGGCGUUAGACUUUACGUUCAAAAAGGGUAUGGAAAACGUCCUCCUCCAUCUGACAGUCAACUACUCCAUUAUAAAGACAUAGCUAUUUUCUUCUUCGAGAAAGACAUGCGCCCUGGCUCAACAAUGAAGUUCCAAUUCCCUAGAAAUUCAAACACGGCUACUUUCCUGCCACGCGAAAGUGCUCAAUCGAUCCCCUUCUCCUU
rnacentral:lncRNA from 1 species